rnacentral:lncRNA from 1 species
GAUGGUGAGGAAGGUACCCGCGCCGUUGUCGGUCAUCUCCCAUUCAGUAAGGGUGAGGCCACCCUUGAGGAGGCGCUUGUCGCAGAGGUCCGUCUUGACCUUGGAGCCGCAAACCUCGUAGCAGGUACCGGCGGUGAGGGAGUUCGCGACGGAGCUGGUCCAGGCCGUCUCAUCGUCGAAGAACUUGGUGGAGGUGGAGCAGGCGGCGGGCUUCGAGUAGUGGAACUCGGCGGGACCGGAGGCGGUGCCGACGAUGUACGCGGGCGCGCGCUUCUUUUGGAGGUAGCCCUUAGAAUCCACCCAGUUGGACUCGUAGUUCUUGUGGACGUUGGAGCAGUCCGUGGUGGAGGUGCAGACCUCCGCGGAGAUCAACUUCAUGGCACCGCUGGAGUAGCUCUUGCUGCACUGACCGGCGCACCAGUUCUGGGAAAUGUAUUCGGCAACCUUCUUGUCGUAGUUGGCGACGCCCUUGGAGUACGGGGAGAUGUAAGGACCGAGGAACUCAGUCUUCUUGCAUUUGUCACCCUCGCAGGGCUUCUGGUCCUUGGCCAUCUCGUAGGUCAUCUUCGCGAGGAAGGGGUAGAUCCAGUUGAGGGGAAGGAAGAUCAAUACGUUGAGCAUAUUGAAAAUGUCGUGCACGGUGGCGGCGGCGAAGCCGCGGCGGAGGUCAUCCUGGUUUGCGAAGUGGCCCAUGGCGACGAUGGUGUUGGUGACGGAAGUACCGAUGUUGGCACCCAUGACCAUGAAGAUGGCGAUGUUGACGGAGAGCUCAUCGGCACCAACCAUGGCGACAAUGAUGGAGGUAGUGGUCGAGGAAGACUGGACGAGCACGGUGGCGAGCACACCAAUCAGGAGGGCAGAGAUUGGGUUGUCCGCGACGUCGAACAUCUUGGCAGAGUCCUUGCCUCCGAGGAGCUUGAAACCGGUGCCCAUGAUGGAGAGGGUGAGAAGGAACACCCAGAUGCAGAAGAAGACAGCGAGGGUGAGAGCAACCUUGAGUUUCGGGUCGUCGUUGGAGGGCACGAGCCAUUUCGCCUGCCUGGCGGCGUCGCGCGCUUCUUCGGGGGUCAUGCCCUCGGAGACGUUUUCGACCCCCUCCUCGGCAGACUUGGCUUUCUGCUCCUCGAGGUAAUCCGCGUCGGACUUCUCCUCGGGGGAGGGAGGGCGGAAAAAUUUCUCUGCAAAAAACAAUUAGUCAGGUAUCUGCGCACGCGAGGCGUCGAGAGGGGCGGAGUCGAGGUGGGCGGGAAGCUGAAGCUCACCGUAAAUGGUGAUCGCGAUUGCAGCGGCGAUGACGAGGAAAAUCAUGACGAGGCAGGCGUCGCCCUCGCCGGACUCGCCCUUGGGCCCAGGAUCGUGGACGAGCGCUUUCUCGGAGCCGAGCAGGUGGCGCAUCAUUGCAUCAGACAUCGUUGCUGAAUGACUUGAUUCGAGCGCGAUGAACCGCGCGGCAGUGAAGUGGCAUCGAGGUUGUUAGGAAAUGUUCUUUUCGUUAACACUUAAAAAAAAGUGGGAAAAACGCUCCGCUAUGCCGUAUGAGCAUCGUUCCUGGACCUCUCGAGAUUCAUCGCCGCCGGCUUUGCGAGAUUCCAAAAAGGCUACAUCACGCGGUGUAAUUGGUAUCAAAUCCGCAAAAAUAUUUUUGAUCGAUCCCAAAUAACGCCCGUGGUCUAACUCGAAGAUAUGUACGCUUUGAAUUUUUUUCGAGUCGGAGUCGCGCGCCUCAGAUAAUCUGCGAAAAAGAUUUUGAUCAAUCCCAAAUAACGCCCGUGGUCUAACUCGAAGAUAUGUACGCUUUGAAUUUUUUCGAGUCGGAGUCGCGCGCCUCAGAUUGAUCUUAACCCCAAUCAUUCCCAUGAUACUAUAUACACUGUGAUUUUUUAAGGUCGAGUCUGUCGAUUCUGGCGUGAAUGGUCUCAAGGAUAGCACUCUGGCUGGAGAUGGCACUACGAGUUAUUAGUCUACCUUCGGUAAAUGCGGAAAUCCCGCGGCCGAGAAAUGCAGCUUUUUAGCGGGAAGGACGAAAUCUGAGAAAUGCAGCUUUUUAGCGGGAAGGACGAAAUCUGUUUUCUCUUGUGGCCGCGAACCGCUGUCAAAACGUGAUUCUGGGCCUCUUUUGCUUGGCUGGGAUGAGAGAUCUCACCGCGUAACUGCGGCUGCCGCCGAGCGCCUUUUCAAUCGUUUCAAACGUCGCAGCGACCGUCGUGUUUCGUACGAGGCGCAGUCACCAAAAAAAGGGAAAAGUCGCGAAAAAGCGGUUCUCCCCACCGCGCCCGCGCCAGUCGCGACGCGCGCGACGCUCGCGCACGCCUUCGGGAGGUGCACAUCGAGCUCACCGGGAGGAUCGUCGUUCGUCCGAUAUCGUCGUCGCGACCGUUCGGCGCAAACGGACCGGGCACGGCGGGAGGCGCGUCGAAUUCGACCGAUAACCCUCCGCCGCGAGGGACCACGCGGUCGCCGAUGGCCCAGCUGACGCGCUCGGACUCCUCGAUGAGCAACCUCGCUGAGGAGUUCCCGACGCGGAUCAUGGAGUGCGGCUUGCUGCCCCUGACCUGCGCGGGUGUCGAGGUGUCCAACAAGCUGCACGUCACGUGCACGGUCGUCAAAGGUGCGCCUCCCGCGUCCCCCGCGCGCGCAUGUGACGACCCACGAGACCGCUGCCAAUCCCGAGGGGUCGCGCACCGCUUUCCUUUUCCGCGUUCCUCACCCGUCCCCGUCCCACCCGUCCCGUCCCGAACGCAGUCAAAACCGCGGAUCGCACAGCGCUAUUACUGGACAUCAGCGACUUCUUUCAGCGGAACAAGUACAGCAUCAUCGAGGCGGAGGUGUCCACGACGGCGCACGACAACAUGGCCUCGGACAUUUUCCUCGUGCAGCAGGCGGACGGCCGGAAGAUACAAAAGCCGCGGCAGUUCGCCGAGGAGAUUCGCGACGUCAUCUUGAAGUCCAACCGCAUCCAUCGCAGCAACAGCACCACCCCGGGGACGUCCAUGUCAUCGUCGAGGGCGGGGUCCAGGGAGCCCUCCGCGCACGGGGGCAACCACUUCUUCACUUCGCAAACGGGGGAAUCGCGGAUGGGCGUCGUCGACGCGCUGGACGUCAUCAAGCGCGCCGACGACCUGGCGCGGGAGAGAAACGGCAUCGGCGCGAACGGCAACGGCGGCGCUAAUGGAGUCCCGCCGAUCGAGCUCAAAUCCCACGUGAUGAACGCCAACGGCAUCAGCGAGGCGGAGGUGACGGCGCUCGACCUGCGCCUCGCCGAGAUGGAGUUGGGACCCGCGCCCGAGGUUGAGAGGGUGGAGCGUCACGGCACCGGCGACGCGUACACGGCCAAACUCGACGACAAUGACGCGGGUAUCGAGCCCGGUGUGGGAGGCGCGGCGCGCUCCCCGCCGAGCCGGGACGUCCGGGAAAGCUCGGGACGCGGCGGCAUGACCCAGAUCGAGGAGGAGAAGGAGGCCAUGGUCGAGUGGCAGCUUCGGACCAAGGUGGGCGGAUCCACGCACUCCAGCGCGGGGUUCAAGCUCAGCCAGGAUAAGCUCGCCAACGCGACGGAGAUCACGAUGGAGGUGCCCGAUCGCGUGGGGCUCAUCGCGGAUGUCUUGGAGUGCCUCAACAAGAACAACGUCGGCGUGGUUCACGCGCACAUCUACACCACGGCGGAGGGUUUGGCGUCCAAUUACCUCUCCGUGGUGGACGUGGCGACCGGGGAGAAGAUCACCGAGGAAGUUCUCGAGGAGGUGCAUAGCGCGCUCGCGGCGAGGUGCUUCAGGGAUUCGAAGCGGGUGGGCGGAACGAACAAGACGAGGCCGUAUUCGAGCAACUCGGCCAAGCGGGGUUUAGCGCUGGUGGGGACGCCCUCGCCGCCCGGCGCGGCGACCCCGACGCCCUCGCCGCCGAAGCACGAUAAGAAGGUUUGGGGGAUUGACAUCGAGACGGAGGUGAAGAAGCGCAUGGCGCGGCUGCACGGCGGCGAGGUUCACGGCGCGGAGUACAUGCAGAUGCGGAGCAAGGCGAUGGAGUCUCUCACGCGGCAGAUGAACAACGUCAACCUCGCCGCGGUUGAGCCCGCCGUGCUCACCCCGGAGGACAGGUCCGUCGUGGACGGCGCGCUCGCGGUGCUUCCCGCGUACGCGUCCAUCAUGUUCCAGUCGUCGAAGGAGGAGAUCAUCAGCGAGUUGCGGGAGGUGCGGUGGGCCGCCGGCGACAUCGCCUUUGAACCCGAGGAUUUCAUCCCGAACCUGUACAUCAUCGUGGAGGGUUCGCUGUUUCGCGACAGCUGGCAUAACCAGGCGGGUAACCAGGUCCAGGCGCUCGUGCUGAGCCGGGGGUGUUUGCUCGGCGAGGUUGCGCUGCAGCACGCCUACCAGACGGCGGCGAGGAUCACGUCGCAGAACGGGGAGAUGGAGCCGGUGGCGACGAGGGGUUUCGCCAUCAACGUCGAGACGUUCAAGCGCAUCGUGCGCUCGCGCAUCCACAGGACCCGACAGCUGUGCACCAACGUGUUGAACAUCAUCGAGACGUUCCGUAUGGUCCCCGCGAACAUGAAGGAGCUGCUCUUGAACGCGAUGUGGACCGAGAGCAAGAGCUACCCGCCCGGUUCGAUAAUCUCCGGGGGUGGGAAGGUUCCGUCGUUUCACAUCAUCCUGGAGGGCGAGGUCCGGGCCGGCACGGACUGGCGGCAGGUGCACCUGAUGGCCGCGGAUUCCUUCGGCGAGGACGCGUUGCUCUCCGCGGAGGCCAGAAAACGAGCGGGCUUGCCCCCGGCUGACGAGGCUUCGACGCACUCUCACGUGGCGGUGAGCCACACCGUGACGCUCAAGGUGACGAGGCCGCUGCUGGAGAGGCUGUGGGGCGCGGACUUUGACAAGUACAUCAGGUCGAGGCACGACGUCACCACCGCAUCCGCGGCUGGCGCGUCCAAAGACCUCAUCGGCGGUCAUCAGCUGGGCGCGCCGUCGGGCUCGAUGAAGGCGAGCGAUUCGGGAUCCAGCCUCGACAACUGGCCCGCGUCGCCGUCGCCAACGCACAAGACGAUCGCGGACAAGGCCAAGAAGGUCGACGGUGUCGGCGGCAAGGCCGGGGAUCUCAGCAUUCGCAGCGGGAACAUUUUCUCGUCCGUCAAGUCCCAGGGAGCGGUGCACAAGUCGCUCGCGAAGAAGGCUCUGAUGGGGAGCAUCAGCGUGCACGCGGGCAUGUCCGGUUUGGGCGAUUCGGACGCCAUCGCCCGCGCCGCCGCCGAGGAGGAGUCAAAGAAGGCUAGGGGUGCGUCCUCCACGUCGCUCAUGGCGUCGUUCAAGAGCUUCAGCAAGCAAAUGAAGAAAAUGAUGGGGGUCAAGUCGUCCAAGUCGAAGUCGUCGUCCAACGGCGUUCUCAACAGGCGGUCAUCGCUGGAGGGGUUCCUCCCGGCUUCGCCCAAGCACACAAUCGUGGAGGGUGAGUCGUUCAAGGCAAAGGAAGUCUGGGACAAGGCUUCCGACAGCGACAGCGACGCGAGCACUCAAUCGGGCGGCGCAUACCUCGUGAACGACGGUUACGACUCGUUGGAGAACUCCGUGCGCGGCGGGAUGAUUCACAAGAAGAUUCGGCCCACCGGCGGCUUGCUGCAGAGCGCCAGCUCCAAGCUCGCGGAUCACCAAAAAUCCUCCGCAAUGGACAUUCACAAGGCGGAGUCUAAACCUCGCCCCAGCGGUUUGCGCCAAUCGCACUCCGUCGUGGACCUCGAUGGCUUUGGCGUCGACACCCACUCGCGCGGUCCCGCUGUUCAGACGGGAACGUCCCCAAUGCAUCCGUCCAUGUCCUGGGCCCCGAAGCAAGCCCCCGCGUUGGCCCUCUCCCCGGGUUCCGCAACCUCGUCCCACCUGGACUACACGUCGCCCUCGCCCUCGCCUUCGUCCGGCGGACUACGGGGCGCGAUGUCCGCCGCGGCGUUGGGGAUGACGGAGGAGGAGAUGAUGUCGUCCCCGGCGGUUCGCAGGAGCCGGUCGAGGCGGUCCUCGCUCAUCGGGCUCAACGAGGAGGACGCCGGCGAGCGCAUGCUGCGAGGGUUCACGUUCGCGAAGCAGCUGGGCGUCGGGCUCACGGGUUCGGUGUACAAGGCGUGGAGAAAGGUGGACGGCUCGCGGCGAAGCUCGAGGAUGCUGGUCAAGGCGCAGGGCGACGAGGAGAGCGCCGCCAGGUACGCCGCCGUGGCGGUGAAGGUGAUGGACAAGGCUAAGAUUUUGGAGAUUAACGAGACGGCGCACGUGGUUCAGGAGAGCAAGAUCAUGAAGUCGGUGUCCAAGCACCCGUUCAUCGUGUCCAUGCUCGAGUCGUUCCAGACCCCGAGCGCCAUGUUCAUCGUCAUGGAGUACGCGUCGGGGCGGGACAUGUUCUUCAUGAUUCACGAGCGCGGGACGCUGUCGCUGUUUCAGACGAGGGCGUACAUCACCCAGGUGACGCUCGCGCUCGACCACGUGCACUCCAAGGGGUUCAUCUACCGCGACCUCAAGCCGGAGAAUCUGCUGAUCCGCGAGGACGGAUACCUGCGACUCACCGACUUUGGGUUCGCCAAGGCGCUCAAGCCCGGCGAGCGAGCGUACACGGUGUGUGGCACCCCCGACUACCUCGCGCCCGAGACGCUGCGGCAGCAGGGGUGCAACCGGGCGGCGGACUUUUGGGCCAUCGGCGUGCUGCUCUUCGAGAUGAUGACCGGGUACCCGCCGUUCCACGGGCAGACCCACAGCGACCUGUACCGCCGCAUCACCGCCGGUCGCAUGCGCUCGUUCCCGCGCCAGUUUGACGAGGACGCCGCGGAUCUCGUCAAGCGGUUGCUGAAGCAGAGCGAGGGCGAGCGCAUCGGCGUCGGCGCGGAGGGGAUCCAGAAGAUUCGCCGGCACCCCUUCUUCAAGGGCUUCAGCUGGACGAGCGUGCUGGAGCAGACGUUGGACAUGAUCCGGCCGGACGUCGAGCCCGACGCGGACAAGGGACCGGAGGAUGUCAAGACGCCGGUCAAGGUGGAGUGCCUCGAGCAACCGUGCCACCUCUCCCUCGCAGAGCAGGAGCUGUUCAAGGCUUUCUGAGACUAGCCCACUUACGCGCAAAGUUGAGGGGAGGAAAGGCCAUCCCGUGUGCGAAAAUGCACCCUUUGCGAUGGUGGGCCACCAACCUAGCUAGCUAGGAGAUGUAACAUCAGAGUCGAUUCAUUUCACAUUCAAAUCUACUUGUGCGAUAUCCGUCGCCGCCCGUUUCGUCCUCAGUUCCACGAGCUUCGGACGGCGCUCCGCCGAGCCGUCUUGGGCCGCGCGAAGAGCGCCUCGAGCUGACUCUGCAGCUCCGCGAACCAGCUCGCCAGCUCUCGCUCCUGCUGCUCCAACUGCGCGAUCGUCUCCUUCUUUGACGGACCGUCCCCUUCUUCGACGGCGUGCGUGAGCCGCCGGCUGUUCACGGCGAUCCUCGCCAGCCGACUCCUGAGCGCGGCUAUGCCCGACGCGACGUUCACCUUUGACCCGCCAAUCUGCGACCCAGCCGCGAGGUUUUCCGCGCGCGUCAGCUUCUUCUCAGCCUCGGCGGUUCGACGCGCGAGGUUAUCGACGAGGGCCUCGAUCGCGGCGUCGCCCGGCGUCACCCCCGGCGCAUCCCCCGAGGGCCCAGGAUCGUUCGGGUCGGGGUUAGGGUUAGGGUUAGGGUUAGGGUCACCCUUCGGCGCCGAACCCGCGGGCGCGUCCGAAAAGUCCCGGGGGGUCGAAGGCUCCGAGUCGAGGCGGAGCUGACGCGGGGUGGGCAUGGCCGACCGGGGCGGCGGCGGGGGCAUGAGGUCGCGCGACGCCCCGGGGACUCCGCCCCCGAGCCCGCCCCACUCCUUGCGCGCGGACUCGCGCUCCUUUCGCGCCGACUCGAGCGUCUCGCGCGCGAGCCUGAGUUUGGCAUCCGCCUCGGCCCUGAGCGCCUCGAGCUCCUCGCGCUCGCGUUUGCGACGUUCGUCCAUCGCAGCCUCCUUCUCCACGAAACCCUGCGACAGGACGCCGUGAGCGCCGCGAGACUUGGACAUCGAUUCGCCGCUCAACCUCCCGCGUUCGUUCGGUCCUCCAUGCACGUGACUCGAUCCGAGGGUUCCGACGAUGGCCCUCGACUGCGAGGCUCGGAGGAGUUCGCGCUCCAACGCCUCGCGCGCCUCCCGCACCGCGGCCCUGUCGUCCUCGAGCCGCCGCGCCUCGAGCUCGAACCGUUCCUUGGCGGACGUCGCCGCGGUCUCAGCCGCGGCGGCGACGAUUUGAAGCCGCUCCGCCUCGGCGCGGAGUCGCGCGAGCUCGGCUCUCUCGUCGGCGACCCGUCGCGCCCACUCCCUCUCGCGAUUCGCCUGCGUCGAGGCGGCUUUGGCCGCCGCGGCCGCCGCGGCGCGGCUCACCUCCUCCCUGCGCUUCGCUGCGGACUCGGAGGCGGCGGAGGUGGACUCGAGCGACGCGAGGCGCUCCUCGCGGGCGACGACGGACUCGAGCCGGUUCGCGACGUUCGCCUCGCGCUCCUCCACCGCCCUCCACCGCUCCUCCACCGACGAUCGCUCCGUUCGAAGAGCCUCCGCCUCGGCCACGUGCCGCUUACGCCGGCGCUCCAGCUCGGCGAGCGCCUCGCGCGCGUCCGCCUCGGUCUUCUCGCCUCGCGCGCGGGCGACGCCCGCCUCCUCCGUCGCGGCUCGCAGCUCCGCCUCCGCCCGCCGCCUAUCCGCCGUCGCCUCGGCGAGUUUUUCCUCGAGUGCCCGUUCCCGAGCGAGAACCCGGGUCCGCUCCGUCGCCAGCUUGGCCCCUUCCGCCUCGAACCGCGCGGUGGCCUCCUUGAGGGAGAUCGCCUUGGCCUUGGCGUCCUCCUCGGCCUGCGCGACGCGCUGCGCGUCGGCGAGCAUCGCCGCGGCUUGACGCCUGUCGGCGGCGGCUCGCUCCGCGAAAGCCUCGGCGUCGUCCCUGGCAUUCUUAGCAGCAGUCUCGUUACCCUCAAUCGUCGCGAGCCGCGCCUCCAGCUGCGCGUUCAACGCCGCGUGCUCCUCCGCCCGUGCCGACGCGUCCAGCUCCCGUCUCUUCGCGGCGGCGAGCUGCGCGGAGAGUUCCUCGGCCCGCGCCGCGGAACGCUCCUCGUCGAUGGAGACUUGUUUCUCCCGCCUGGCGCAGUCGGUUUCCCUCGGGCCGAGUUCGUCGAGGACGCGCUCAAUCUCAGCCUUUUGGUCCGCGAGGGCGUCCUCGCGUUCCUUCAGCCGCGCGGAGGUUAUCCCGGCGGCGUCGGCGUCUGCGACAGCCUUGGCGAGCCGAGCGUUCGCGUCCGCAACCUUGGCGUCCGCAUCCGCUCUCGCCUUCUCCGCCUCAGCCUCCGCCUCAGCCGCGCGCUUCAGCCUCGCCACGGCCUCCUCGCGCUCCUUCACGGCGGCGGCGCGGUCAGCCUCGAGGGCGACGCGCGUCGCGGCGAGUGUCGCGCGUUCGCGCUCGAUGUCAGCCACGAUCUUGUCGCACGUCGCCUUGGUCUCCCGCGCCACCCGAAUCUCCUCUAACUUAUCCGCGUGCAUCCGCUCGAUAUCAGCCGACGCGGCGGCGCGGCGCUGGUCGCAUUCGCGGUCGCACGCCUCCAGCGUGCGACGCGCGUGCUCGAGGCUGCGCUCAGCCUCCGCCGAUCUGCGCUCGAUGUCAGCCACCUUGCCCAUGCGUUCGGCGAGCUCGGCGCGGCCCUUGGCGAUUUCCUCCUCGACGUCGCGCAACUCUGACGCGGCUUUUUCCCGGCGAGACUCGAGCGAUUCGCGCUCCUCGCCAAUCCUACGCUCGCGCCUGUCCAGCUCGGCGUGCUCGGCGGCAACCUUCGCGGCGUCGACUCGGUGUUCGUCCCUGUGCUUCUCGAGCAACGCGGUGGCGCGCUCCGUCUCCGCCUUGACGCUCGCGAGCUUUUCCUCCUCCAAGCGCACCCGCGCCUCAGCCUUGGCCACCUCCUCGACGGUGUCCCGCGCCUUGCGCAGCCGAGCGUUCGCCUCCUCGCUGUUCAGCCUCGACUCGCGGUCCCGCGACGCGGCGUCCUCCAUCUGCCGACGCAGCUCCUCCCGCGCGGACUCGUUCCCUCGGAGCGCCCGUUCCGCCGCCUCGUGCUUGACCUCCGCCGUCCGUCGCGCCUCCUCGGCGGCGAGGAGCUCAUCCGCGGCUCGAAGCCUGUCGCGCUUUGCCUCCGCCAGCGAGUGCUCCGCGGCGCCCGACUUGGACUGCGCGUCCUCGAGGGUGACGCGUAUGCGCUCGUUCGCCUGCGUUUCCAUGGCGUCGAUCGCGAUCUUCCGCUGCUCGAGCCGGGCCAGACCCUCCCGAGCCUGCUGGAUCUUGUCGGCGGCGGCGAGCGCCUCGCGUCGAGCCUCCUCGCGCUCCGCCGCAAUCUCCCUCGCCGCCUCCGCGCGCAAACUCUCCAUCUGCUUUAUCUUCUCGAGGUCGUGAGCGAUUCGUGCCUCCUUCUCGUUCGCGUCCCGCAUCUUCUCCAAGGCCUCAGCCUCCGUCGAGCGGGCCUGCUCCAGGAGCUUAGCCUCCAGCCGCCGAGCGUUUUCCGCGGCUUCGCGUUCCAUCUUACCAGCCUUGACGGCGUGCUCGCGCUCGAAAUCCGCAAACUUCUUCUCCGCCGCCCUGGUCCGCUCGUCGACUUCGGCGAUCGCCCGGCGGGCCCUCGCGACGGCGGCGUCGGCGGCGGCGUUCUCGGCAUCCUCCCGUUCCCGAGCCCGCUCCCUCGCGUCCCGCUCGAUCUUGGCGACGCGUUCGUCGGCGUCGCCCUCCGCCUUUCGCACGCGCUCCUCGUGGUGCGCCACCGCACGCUCGAUGCGCUCGUCCGCAGCCUUAAUCUCCGCCGUCUUCGCCGCGUGUUCCGCGCGGACGGGCGCGAGCUCGGCAGUCAAGGUGACGAUUUCGUUUUUGUAUCCGCGAAUUUUGUCCUCGAGCUCGGCGCGUUCGCCCUCUCGCGCGAUCAUCGCCGCCUCCGCCGCCUUUACCUUCGCCUCGAGUGCAUCGCACAGGUCCUGCUUGAUGUCGAUCUCGCGUUGUCGCGCGUCGAGCUCGUCGGCGAGCCGCGAGAGCCGCUUCUUUUCCGUCUCGAGGACGAUACCCGCCUUGUGGUUCGCCUCCUCCAGUUGUUUGGACUCGGCCAGACGAAUCUCCGCCGCGGCGGCGGCGGCCUCGGCGGCGGACAUCUCAGCCUCCAGGGACUCCGCGACCCGACGUUGACGCGCGCCCUCGCGGUCCAGCGCCACGCUCCAUCGCUGCAGCUGCGUCUCCUUCUCGAGGACAAACUUUUUCUUCUCCAUCAGCCGCGCGAAGGUCGCGUGCGCGAGGGAGUGGUCGUCCUUGUCGCCAUCCGCCUCGGGCACAACCGCGAGCGCCACUCGAACGACGGCGCCGUCGUCGUCGUCGUAUGAAUCGUUCGAGUCCCGCCGCUUAGACGGCGUGACGACGUCGGAGGGAUCGCCGGGCAGCAUGGCGUGCGCCGCAGCCGCCGCCGCCGCGUCAUCCUCCAGCGAGUAGAUGUCGAUUUCUUCAACCUUCCCGAUCAUCUCCGACACGGCGCGGUCGCUGGCGUAGUUAUUCCUCGCGGGAGCGGCGAUCGCGGGCACGCCGGCGUCGAAGGACGCGAGGAGCGCCUUGCGAGCGGCGGUCGCGGCCGCGAGGUCGCCGCCGGGCGUGGGCGGGGGCGCGAGCGGCGAGUGCGGAACGGACCCGGACUCGCCGGACUCGUCGUCGCCAAACUCUCGCGACAUCUCAGCCUUGGCGGAGAGGAUCCGACCCCUCGAACGCUGCGCGCCGAUGGACGCGCGGUACGACGCCUCGCUGAUCCUGUGCGCGUCCCCGCGGAUCGUCCGCCACGUGUGCGCCAGCUUACGCUCGCGCUCGUCCAGCGCCGCCUCGGACGCCUCAAACGCCCGCCUGGCUCGUUCCAUCGCCGCGAGCUCGACUUUCGCCCUCGCCGUCUGUUCCGUCGCCGACCGCUCCGCAGCCUCGGCCACCUCCACGGUGUCCCGCGCGACGCGCUCGCGUUCCUCCUGCUCCCGCUCCCACUGCUGGUGCAGGGCGGUGACCUCGUCGAGGACCGCCGCCCUGGCGUCGGCGUCGGCGUGUUUGGCGUCGAGCUCCGCGACGGACCUUUCCAAACUACUCUUAACGGCGUCAGCCUCGUCGGCAGCCUCCGCGAGGACCCGUCGUUCCUCCGCGGCGUCCUCGAACGCGCGCUCCACGACGGUGCGCUGCGCGUUCACCCGCGCCGCCUCCUUCUCGAGGUCCGACUGCAGCUCCGCGAGGCGCUCCUUCUCCAAUCGGCACUGCUCGAGAGCCGCCUCCGACGCGGCUCGCGACUCAGCCGCUUUAGCAACCUGCGCGGCGACGUCCAUCGCCGCCUCUUCGACGUCCUUCGAUCGCUUCGCCAGCGCGAGCUCGUCGGCGGUCAUCUCGUCGCGGCGCCGCUUGACCUCCGCCUCGAACUUCGCGUUGGCCUUUGCGUAUUCGUCCUUCAUUCGUUCGCCCUCCCGCCUGGACUUGUCAGCGUCGCGGGACUUCUUGGUGAACUCCUCGAUGGUGGCCUUGGCCCGGGCGGAUUCCUUCUCCGCGGCGUCGCGCACGCGCUUUGCGUCCUCGCGCUCCGCGCGCACGCGCGCCUCCCACUGCUUGAGCGCCUUCUCGCGGUCCUCGCAGCUCUUGGCAGCCUCGUCAAACGUUUUCUUCUUCCAAGCCUCCUGCGCGUUCUCCGCCGCCUUCACCGCCGCGGCUCGCCUGUCCAGCUCCGCCUCCCUCUGCCGUCGCUCGCGAAGCACCGCGUUGGCCUCCUCGAUGUCCUUCUCCGCGCGUCGCAUCGCGUCCUCGACAGCCUCCUCCCGUCGCCCGAGCUCAGCCUUGGAAUCCUCCAGCUUGUUGCGCUCGUCGCGAAGCUCGUCCCGCGCGUAACCGCACUCCGUCUCAAAGUCCGCGACGCGUCGUCGGCACGCGUCGUCAAAGUCCGCCGCCUUUCGUCGCUGCUCGCGUUCCUUCUCCGCCAGCGUCGCCUCCAUCGAAGAACGUUCCCGCUCCCACGCCUUUUUUCGGGCGUCGAGCUCCUCUCGAAACUCUUUGAGCUCAGCCUCGUACGCCGCGCGCCUCUCCGACGCUUCCCGCUCCAACCCCGCGGCCUCCCUGUGCAACUGCUCCAGCCUCACGACGGCAGCCUCGUGCUCGCGCUUCUGCGCGUCGAUUCGUAUCGCCCACUCGCGCGUCUCGCCCUCGAAAUCCGCCUCGGCUCUUUUUCGCAUCGCCUCGGCGUCGCGCAGGUUCGACUCCUGCGCCCUGGCGAGUUGCCGGACGUGCUCCAACUUGUGCGAAAUCUCGUGCUCCUCCCGGCCGUGCGCCUCAAGCGCGUCCUUGCACCGCCGGAGCUUCUCCUCCUCGAUGACGAGCGCGCCGCGAACUUGCUCGACGGCGCCGAUCAAACUUUUUUGCUCCGAAGCGGCGCGAUCCGUCGCCGCGCUCGCCUCCCUCGCGCGUCGCAUAACAUCCUCCACUUUCGCCUCCGCCUCCACCUCCCUCUGCGCCAGCUCCCCCAGUAUCUCUCGCCUUCGUACCUCGAGCGUCUCGAGGUCCUGCUCGAUGGCGUCGCGUUCCGCGGCGAGGGCUUCGAACGCGUUUUUCGCCUCUGCAUCGCGUCGUUCGGCAUCCAUCGUCAUCCGCUCGGCGAGCUCGAGCUUGUCCGCGACGGCAUCCUCCGCCUGCCUCGCGGCGUCCUCCGCGGCCAUCGCGGCGGUUUGGCGCGCCUCCAGUUCGGCCUCGGCGCGCUCGACGUCUCGCAAGCGCCGCUCCUUUUGUCGCAACUCGUCUGAACGCUCCUCCAUUCGCAGCUCUCGCUGUCGGAGAUUUUGUAGCGCCGACGCGACGCGCGCCGCCUCGGCGUCAGCCUUCUCCGCGGCGAUCCGCGCGCGUUCGUUCUCGCUGCGGACCCUCGCCUCGGACGCGGCGAUCUCCGCGUCCAUCGCGGCGCGCGCGGCGGCUCGUUCCCUGCGAAGGUCCUCGAGCUCCAUCCUCGCGGCGAUGAGCGCUUCGGGGGCGUCGCCGCUGCUAAAGCCCGGCGUCGACCGCUGCACAGCUGGCAUCGACGGGACGGCGACGACGUCCGCGGGGGUGGAAUGCGGGCCGCCGACGCGGGGCUCGCUCGCCAAGAGCUUGGUGACGGAGCCCCGGAUGGCGUUCAUCACGUCGUCGUUCAUCCUCCUCGCGGGUGGGUACUCCUCGCGACUGUCGCGGAUCUCGGAGUCCCCCCUCGACGACCGGGGCGCGGGGGAGCGCUGGGGGGAUAAAGGCGGGGACUUCGGGUGAUCCCCGGGGUGCGGAUGCGGUCUCCGGCUACCCUGGGGGGUGUGCGUGGCGAGUUGCUCGAGCUUAGCCCACUGCGUAGGGGAUGCGGGGGAGGGAAGGUGAGGCGGGGGCGUUGUCAUUUGGGCGGAAUAAAUUUCCCAUCGCGAUUAUCCUCCGAGGGGCGAGGGCCGGGGCGGGCGGAUCGCUCACCUGAUCGUCCAGAUCCUCCAGCGCUCUGUUCGAUCCCGGGGUGGUCGGGGCCAUGGCGCCUCCGCGGCCUGACCUCUCCAAGGCCUGUCUCUCUUCGCCGCCUGUGGGUCUGGUUUCCGGCACGCGACAAUCAACGGCGAGAAAAGGUCCGACCGAGCAACAAUGGUCGGUCGCAAAUUUUUCUGUCGACCUUCGACCGUUUCCACCAGAUAGGAGGCUCGGGUACGUUUCCAGGAGUGCUGGCACCGAAAAGACAUCAUCACAUCCCCAUCCCCGGGCUGAUCGACGUCGCGCGCACGAAACCGUCGCGUCGCUCUCAACAAAUCAACUCAAUGUUGUGUAUUUACCGGCUAAAAAAUACCGAGACCGGGGCGUCGAGUGUGCCAACCCGAAGCGUUGGCGACGACGACUCGCCGACGAUGCGCGGCGACAUCCCUAGCACUUACUCACUCGUCACGCGUCCCCUCAACCACCUCCUCACCCUCCUCACCGCUCUUAACCGCCAACUCUUCGCAGCUCGCCGCCCUCCGCGCGUCCAGCUGCACCCUACCCAGCAGCCUGCCCUCCGUCCUGGCCCUAUUCAGCUCCCGCUCGAAGCUCGCGAGCUGCGCCAUGAACCCGUGGUUGGGCGACGCCGCCGGCCUUUUUCGCCCAAUCGUCACGAGCGUCUCCUCGAGCGACAGCCCCUCGGUGGCCAUGACGUAGGCGGCGCACACCGUCGCGCUGCGGCUCUUCCCCGCGAAGCAGUGCACCAGCACCCUGCCCCCGUCCAGCAAACACUUGGCGAUGAACUUGAGGCACCGAUCGAAGUGAACGCUGAGGCGCUCCUCGGGCACGUCCUUGACGUCGACGCACUCGUAUAUAAACGAUUGGGGAAACUUGGGUUCAAAGCCACCCGCGACGGUGAGGAUGUGCGUGAUGCCCAGGCGCUCGAGCACCUCGCGGUUGUGCGCGGCGCCGAUGGAGCCGAGGAAGACGUCGGGGACAACCUCCGACGGCUCGCUGUCGGACUUGACCUUCUUGGCUGCGGGAGACGUUUCGGGGGGGGGGAAACGGAGGGUCAGUCAACUGUGCAAGAGGUUCUCAGGUUGUGGGCUCGAGGGGCGGACGGGCGCGGGCGGGGCGCGGCGAGGGCGGUUACGCUCGGGCGAGCCGCGCGACGGCCGGGGAUGGGAUCGGAUCGGAUCGGCCGCGCGGGAACUCGAUCGAAACGCGCGAUGAGAGGAUGUGGCGCGCGCCGUGCGACGGGCGCGGCGCGCGCGAAAAGCGUCCGCGCCCCAUGUCGAGGCCGCGGGGUGCCAAGGAGCGCGUGAUGAGGGAAAAAAACGGAGGGGCGCGGGCGCUCACCGGUCAGCAGGCACUUGACGAGGCUGAGGAUCUUCCUGACCCGCUCGCCCUGUCCGGCGAUCUCGUUGUGAUCGCUCAUCUCCCACGCGCCGCGCUUCCUGAGCAGCCGGAGCGUGUCGGGAAGCGCCUGCGCGAGGUAGGUUGGCGAAUACGACUCGCAGCCGCUGGGCGCGAGCCCAACCACCUCCGCCGAGGCCAUCCAAGGAAAGGGCGGACCGCGGGGCGUGUCGGCGCGGUGGUUCCCGCCGCGGCCGCCUCCCGUCGCUCGAACUUUCGUUCGCGCGGAAGUGGAACCUUCCUCGACCGCGUUCGCGAUCCCGCGCUCGAUCCGCGCGCGUCUCGAGGCCGCGGAGUCUUCCCUCACGCGUCCCGAAGUUUACUCGGAAGAUGUGCGCCGCUCCUUCACGACCGAAGCGGUUACCUCUCGCCCGCGGCUCGCCGACCGCGACCUUGUCGAACGCGACCUCCGCGACGCAAACUUCGCGUCUCCCUUCCCGGAGACUCAAAAAGCGACGAUGACGUCGACGCUUGCACCCGCCCGCGCCCGACAACUCUGCGCGAGAUCUUCUAUGUCUACUCGGAAGAAGCGGCCAGAGGCGUUUACUGUACAGGUUCGGCGAGUACAGGCUAAAUGGCGGCUGGUUGAUUGCCGGCCGGACCACGCGGCCUGGUUAUAAUUCGGGACCGAUCGAGAGUGUUGCGCAUAGAAAAAUUGUCCCAACACCCUCCACAACAUUUCACCCACUUUCCCGCCAAACUGGGACCCAUUUUCCCAAUUUUCAGUUGCGGGUUGUUAUUAUCGCAGCAAAGAUUGGGCCAAACAGACGCGACCCACCUGCUGGCCCGUUCACGAUGCGCGCAAACGACGAUGAAUUUCAUCACAAACGGCGCGGAAGGGCAAAACCCACGUUCGACCGUCGUCAGUCCCAGUCCCAGUCCCAGUCCGCGUUCCUCCCCUCCCUCCGUCACGACAGCCUCACUCGGGUCAGCUCGAGGAUCCUCCCGCGGUCGUCGACCACGUACUCCUCCCUGAAUUUGAUGCUCAUGAGGAGCAGCUUGAUCCGAAACUCCAUGACCCACACCCCGGGCGCCUUGCGCUCGGGCUCCGUCGCCACCCACGUGUCCCGCCACUUCACGAUGUCCCAGCUCUUCUUCGCGCUGCGCUUCAUGCGAACCGUCAUCUGCGCGAUUGAGUGGUUCAUCUUGUCCGUCGCCGCGCGCCGGCCGUUCCACGUCUUCCCGUCCAUGGUCCUGUACACGAUGUCCGGGUGAAGCAUCUCCGCGAUCUCCGCCUUAUCCGCCCACUUGUCGUCGCACUCCAUCAGCGCGCGCUCCAUCGCGCUCGACAGCGCCCGCGGCGCCGUCGGGACCGGCUCGUCGAAUGUCGGGUCCUCCGCCGUGGGGUCGACGUCGAAAUUUAUCUCGCCCGUCUCCGGGUCUAUCGGCCGCUGCGGCAGCGCCUUGAGCGCCUCGAACCGCUCCGCCAUGAGCUUCUCGUACAACUGUCGCUGCGGGUCCGCCGCCUCGAGCUCGGCGAUUCUCUUGUCCACCUCCUUGACCAUGGCGUUGUCUUCCCACGGGCCCCACCGGUUCGGAGGUGGUUUCACUAGGCGCGAGGCGUUUAGGAACCGUCCCAGCGGGUGUGCCUCCGCUUCCUCCUUGGUGAGCCUGUGGUCGGGGUGCACCGGGGGGAUGGCGGGGUUGUUGACGUCCUUGGACGUGUACAUGUGCCGCGGGACGACGCCCCGGCGAAGGGUGUAGUCGUCGACGACGCCCUCGUUCGACGGCAGCGGCGACGGCUUGGCGAACGGCGCCGCCUUGGCCGUCUUGGUCGGGUGGUAGAAAGCCUCGCCUCGGGUCUGGCGGACGUUCGGCCGCGCGAGCGAGUCCGCGGAAUCGCUCGGCGUGAGCUUGCGAUCGACGGGCGCGUCGACGACGGCGCCGUCGUCGACGCGGGGUUGCGACGCGCACUGGCCCAUGCGGGGUUGGGGUCGGCGGGGGACGCGGCUUCGUUGGUUGGGGGCGCGCGCGCGUGUGACGCGACGGGGUCCCGGGACCGAGCCCGCCUCGCGGAACCACGAACGCUCCGUCGCCCGUUGGCCUCCCGCGCAUCGAAAGCUUCCGUAAGUUCCGGUCCGCUCGCCUCGGGCGUGCCGACCGCUUCGACGUCUUCGGGAGGCGACGGGGCGCGUUCGGCGGCGCCGAUACCACCCCGCUCGCGAGUUCGCAACAACUGAAAGACGAAAAAUCCCAUCGUUAAAAAAUGUCAGUACGCCUGCGGCACCCUGAAACUCUGCGCCACCUCCCUCAGCAGCGGCCCCACCGUCUCCCACCGCCCCUCCACCGCUGACGCCUUGACCAGGUACAGGUACCCCUCGCUCUCCGUGGCCACCGCGUAGUUGACGCGCCUCACGGUGUCCAAGACGUCUCCCCUCGGGCCGACGCAAACCUUGGCGCCCCCCGCGCCCUCCUCUAUGUUCGCCCUGCACACCUCCGUGAAGUACUCGUACGCAAAGUAGGGCUGCGUGGUGCCCUUGGCAGCCCCCGGUCCGUCCGCCACCGACGCGUCCCCCAAGGCAAAGUCCAUCACGCCGCUUCGACCGUUCUCCACGCCGCCGACGACGCCGAAGUUUUGGUUCGCCGCGACGGCGUCGCGCUCGGCGGCGGUGAGCGCCAGGGCGACCCUUCGAGCGUUACUUCGAGCGUUACUCGACGCGUCCUCUCCUCCCUCCCUUGGGGCGUCGUCUCCCCCGUCUCCUCCCUCGGGGGCGUCGUCCCCCCCCGCGGCGGCCGCUUCGGCGAAGUCCCGGUGCAGCGCCAUGGGCUCGCGCCUGACGGACACGGUGUCGAUGUCCUUGAAGUUGCCCACGAGCGCGAGGGUCUCGGACUUGCCGUUGUCCGUCCCCGGGCGAUCGGUGGCGCGGACCCAGCCGGCGGGGUACCUGAUGAAGAACCCAGCCUUGCCCACGAAGGGUGCGAGAUCGACCGGAUCGGCGCGCGCGUUCGGGGCGGCGAUCGUGCUCGGGAGGACGAUCGUGGUGCUGGGGAGGAGCUUUCGGGCGGCGAUGGUCGCGGCGCGCGCGAGGGCGUCGCGCCUCCCGAUGCCGGCGACGUCCGCGCGGGAUGAGGCCGGCGCGGGCUUUCCGGGCAUCCCGGUACGCUGAGCGGACGCGAUCGGGGCCGCGCGGAUCGGUCCUGCCGCGGCGAGGCUCAUGGUUCGGCUGUCGCGCGCCCGGCGGGUGUGGCGAGUUCCACGGGAGAAAUCUCACCUGACUUCACCCGUCGUCGUGGGACCUGACUCGCGCUGCGGGCUCUCAAGGUUUUCCCGCGCAACAUCGACCACACCGCGAGGCGCCAAGACACUCCCGCGACCUCGCCGGCACGAACCGAGCGCGCGCACGCACCGAGAGCGUCGCACACAUGCUCUCCGUCGCGUGAUCGAUGUUAACUGCGAGCACGUCGACUGCCAGGGCGGGCGCAUUCACACAGCGUAGCGUAGCAGCGGGAGAUCGCGCAACAGUAGGCGCCGGGGCGCGCGGGGGCAUGUGGGCGAGGCGCGCCGCGCGCGUCAUGGCGGCGCGCGCGCGCGCGAUCCCCGUCGUCUCGAUUGGGGGUAUCGCCCCGGGAGCCGUUCCGGCGGUCCGGGGCCCGUGGCGCGCGGCGCGCGGCGAGAUCGCCGCGGCGACGCGAGGGUUCAACGGAGACGGCCCCAACGGAGGAGGCCGAACCGGAGACCAACGCGGCGCUUCCGACGCGCGCGGCGCGGGGCGGAGGGACGUGGACCCCCAGGUGCAGUGGUUCGGAGCCGCGGACGCGCCCACGCAGCGGGCACCCGCCGCGAACGUCGGCACGGGCGCCCCGAACCGCGGCGGGCCGGGCGGCACCGGCGCGCCCAAUCCCUUCGUCAGGAGGGACCGCGCGGCUGAGCGGGUCGCAAACGACGGAGACGCGACCCCGGGGCGGAUCGGGGCAAACCCGCGGUCGCCCGUCCCGUCGGAUCCGAACGAACCGGGCGCCGCCCAGUCGAACCCCGUCGCCACGCAGCGCCAGCAGAGGCAGCCCGGGGCGAACGCGGCGACGCCCCGGAGGCCGGCGACGCCCCCGCCGCCGCCGCCGGGGAUGAGGUCGCCGCCUCCCCCGCCGCCGCCUUCUCCGCCUCCCCCUCCGCCGCCUCCUCCUCCACCCCAAACGCGCACCCCGCCCACUCCGGACAGAUCCCCGAUCGCGUUGCGCGACGUCCUCCUCGAGAAGGGCAUCGUGCUCACGUCCUACACCCCCGGGCAGCACCGCAUCGUGUGCCCCAGCUGCGGGGGCGGAUCCACCGCGGAGCGAUCGCUCGCGGUGCACGUCGACGACGACGGCGCCAGCUGUCAGUGGAUGUGCCACCGCGCGACGUGCGAGUGGACCGGGGGGGCGUCCACCGCGGACGCGCGCCCGUCGUUCGGUACGAGGCCGGGCCGAACGAACGUCGACGGCGCGAACGGCGAAAGGUCGUCCGCGGUGUUUGGCUCUGGAUCCGGCGCGAGCGUCGGGACCGGGAUGAGCCGACGACGGGGAUCGGGAGCGGGGGGCGCGCCCAAGCUGCCCGCCCCCGAGUCCCUCGAGCGCGUCGGCCCCGGCGCGCUCACCGAUAACGCGAAGGAGUGGGCGGACUGGCUCGUCUCGCGCGGGAUCUCCCUCGAGGUGGCGGAACGCAACGGGGUAGCCGCGCAGCGGGUCUUCUCGCCCGCGGCUGGCGAGCACGUCAACGCGCUCGUGUUCCCGUACAUGCGCGACGGCGAGCUCGUCAACAUCAAGUACCGCGGCUCGGACAAGUCCUUCUGGCAGAUCAAGGGCGCGGAGAAGAUCAUGUUCGGUCUGGACGACAUCGCGGGGUCAUCCGAGAUCGUCAUCGUGGAAGGGGAGAUGGACAAGCUGGCGCUGGAGCAGGCUGGGAUCAAAAACGUCGUCUCCGUUCCCGACGGCGCUCCCGGCAAGGUUCGCGACGGAGACCUCCCCGCGCCCGAGGAGGACCGCAAGUUCGAGUACCUGUGGAACUGCAGGGCGGCGCUGGACCCGGUGAGCCGCAUCGUCAUCGCGGUGGACAGCGACGGGCCGGGGCUGGCGCUCGCCGAGGAGCUCGCCAGACGGCUGGGCAAGGAGCGGUGCUACCGGGUGACGUGGCCAGAGGGGUGCAAGGACGCCAACGACGUGCUGCAGAAGGAGGGCGACGCCGCGGUGCGCGGGAGCAUCGACAACGCCGAGGGGUUCCCCCUGCGCGGGCUGUUCCGGUUCAGCGACUUCCAGGACGACAUCUCCAACUACUUCGGCGUGAGCGAGGCGAGCGAGAUGAAGGGCGUGAGCACGGGAUGGCGCAGCAUCGACGGGCACUACCGACCGGUCCCCGGCGAGCUCACCGUCGUCACCGGCGUGCCCAACAGCGGCAAGUCCGAGUGGGUCGACGCGCUCAUGUGCAACCUCGCGGUGCAGCACGGGUGGACGUUCGCGCUGUGCUCGCUGGAGAACAAGGUGCACGAGCACGCGCGCAAGCUCGUCGAGAAGUACACCGGCGAACCGUGGUUCGAGGGCAAGUACGGGGGUAAAAAAGCCCGGAUGCGUCCGGAGACGAUGCGCGCGGGGCUGCACUGGCUCGACAACCAGUUCGUGCUGAUCCGCCACGAGGACGACGAGCUCCCCUCCGUGGACUGGAUCAUCGGCCUGGCGCGCGCGGCGGUCAUGCGGCACGGCAUCCGCGGCCUCCUCAUCGACCCCUACAACGAGUUGGACCACAAGCGGCCGCAGGGUCAGACGGAGACGGAGUACGUGAGCCAGAUGCUGACGCGGAUCAAGCGGUUCGCGCAGCACUACGACGUGCACGUGUGGUUCGUGGCGCAUCCCCGGCAGCUGCACAACUGGCGGGGCGAGGCGCCCGGUCUUUACGACAUAUCCGGGUCGGCGCACUUCAUCAACAAGUGCGACAACGGCAUCGUGGUGCACAGGAACAGGGACGAGAAGCUGGGCAGCUUGAGGGAGGUGACGAUCCACGUCGCCAAGGUGCGGAACAAGGUGGCGGGGGCGAUCGGGGACCCGAAGCUGGAGUAUAACCUGACCAACGGGAGGUACGAGGACUUGAAGUGAGCGGACGAUGGAGGACGCUCGCGACGAUGGAGGAGGGCGGACGCGCCCCUCGGCUCGUCUGCGUGGGGGAGAGAAUCGUCAAUCGCGUUAGUACUGGGCAAUCCCGGCGGAAUGGAAAGUUCGUUAUUUCUCAAAAUCGUGUCCGUUAUUUUUCCUAGGUGGACCACUCCCGACCACGUGAUUGAAAUAUCGCCCAUGAUCAGGGGUACUUAAACGCGAAAGGUCGCGCUAGUCCGACGAGAUUUCUCUGAUUUCAAUGCCGAGCUCUGGGUGAUUUUGCAUACGAGACGAGUCGGAAACUUCUAAAAUUUGCCCGAACCCCUUCUUGCUGAUGCGUCUGGGGGAGGAAACGUGAGAGAACUUUCGCUAACAAGUCAGACAGCUUCGGCGUCGACGCGCAUUGUUCGUGGCACAACACCGCUCGACAUGGCUCUCACCAAAGAGAAACUGAUCGGCGACUACGACUGGGGGGCCCUGUGCCUACCCACGGUUCCCUGGGCCAAGUCCACUCGCAAGAUGCCCUUCUUCGCGAGGAACGACGAGACCCCGUUUCUGGUCGCGGCGGUCAUGGGUCUGCAGCACUGCUUCGCGAUGAUUGGAGGUGUGUCUCGAGCGCGCUGACUCGCCCAAAAAUCCUCCCGAUCCGAUCCGGACCUUCGCGUAUCGGAUAUGAUACUAUCGGCCUCGAUAUUUUCGAUCGCGCGCGACGUCCUAUCGACGCGUGAGGUCGCGUAUCGCGCGGGGUCGUCGGUCAACCGGCGCAAUUUUCCCAAUUUUCGGCCCUCAAAAGUCGUUUGUUGGUGUGGGCACGAAACGGUCUUCCGGGCACGUUUCACGCACAAUUAAAAUUCACCUCUGACAAAACCGCGCCUCCCUCGCAGGUCUCAUCACCCCUCCCUUCGUCGUCAUGAGGUUCAGCGUCGCCUUCACAGACGUCAAGCUCCAGCAGUACGCCAUCGCGGCGUCUCUCAUCCUCUCCGGCAUCUUCAGUAUCGUCAACUGCCUCCAGUUUAAGAUCCCGGGCACUCCCUAUGUGCUCGGCACCGGCGUGCUCUCCGUCCUUGGCACCUCGUUCACCUUCCUCCCGGUGUUCGAGAACGGCAUCUCGGCGAUGAGGGCCGACGGCACGGACGCCGAGGACGCGUACGGCAAGAUGCUCGGCACCGUCAUGGUGUGCUCUUUCCUCGAGAUCUUCCUCUCCUUCAUCCCCAAGGACAAGCUCAGGAGGAUGUUCCCUCCGAUUGUCACCGGCGUCGCCGUCAUGUGCAUCGGCAUCGGCCUCACCGGCACCGGCAUGAAGUACUGGGGUGGCGGCACCGUGUGCGCCGAAACGUCCUGGAAGAACCACAAUGAGGCUUACGACCUCGUCGGCUUCAAUUCGAUCACCGAAAACGCAACCGGCGUGGAAUGGAAUAAGAUUCCCCCCAUCCCCGCCGGCACCGUCUGCGGCGGCAAAACCUGCUGCGCAGCCGGUGACGUCGCGCUUCCCUUUGGCUCUCCCGAGCUCGUCGGCCUCGGUUUCUCCGUCUUCGUGAUGCUCGUCCUCGUCGAGCUCUUCGGCUCCCCCAUGAUGAAGAACUGCAACGUCAUCAUCGCCCUCCUCUUCGGCUACUUUGUCGCCGGCUUGAGCGAGAAGUGCGUCGGGUCCACCUGCAGGAAGUUUGUCGUCGACACCAACAUCGAGAAUGCCGAAAGCAUCACCUUCCUCUGGGUCAAGAGCUUCAAGCUCGGCUUCUACGGCCCCGCGGUGUUCCCCUUGCUCAUCGCCUUCCUCGUGACCACUCUCGAGACCAUCGGCGACAUCGGCGCCGUUUACGACGCCUCUGAGGAAUCCGUCGAGUCGGAGGAGUUCGACAAGUCCAUCCAGGGUGGCCUUCUUUCCGACGGCGUCUGCUCCUUCCUCGCCGCUCUUGGUACCGGCAUGCCCAACACCACCUUCUCGCAGAACAACGGCGUCAUCGCGCUCACCAAGUGCGCGUCCAGGAGGGCCGGCGUCGCGUGUGGGUGCUGGCUCAUCUUCUUCGGCGUCCUCGCCAAGGUUUCUGGCAUCAUCUCCUCCAUCCCCGACUGCGUCAUCGGCGGCAUGACGACGUUCUUGUUCGUGAACGUGUUCAUCUCCGGCCUCAAGACCGUGGCCCAGGUCGACCUCACCUCCCGCCGCAACCGCAUGAUCCUCGCCAUUUCCCUCGGCGUGGGCAUCGGCGUCGCCAUCGUGCCCGGCAUCUUCGCCGACAUGCGCGCGUCCUACGGCACCUCCCCCUUCUUCCCGUGCCGCGGCCCCUUCAGGACCGAGGACGAUUGCACCGACGCCGAGAGGGGCGUUCGCGACGGCAUCGUCCAGUUCCUCUCCACCCCCUACUGCGUCGGCACCGUCCUCGCGCUCCUCAUGAACGCCAUCCUUCCCCCUGACAUGGAAAUCCUCCGCAAGGAUGCGCCCAUCAGCGAGAACAAGGCUUAAGCGCAAGCACUCGUUCCCUCGAAUAAGUCGCGCGCAGGGCGCGACGGGACUAGAAAAAUAAGGUCGGACUUCAAGGGAGCAGCGCCUUCUUCGGUGCUGGCUCGGGCAGUUGUGGUAACCUGCUGUAACAAAACCUCCCGCACCCGCGAGAGACCACGAAUUUAUUGAAUGUAAUAAUCAUGUCCCAACCAACUUGCAAUCGCCUACGUCUCAGCUGCUUUACAAACGCCCGUCUCUAACUCGUCCCCGAGAGUAAUACUCCCCCGGGGCCUGCUACGUCGAACGCGAUCACUCCCGACCGCCCGACUCUUCUCUUGUCUCAGAGCGCGUGUGUAUCGACUGCAGGUCUUGCAGCUCACGCCUUCAAGUGGGGAAAACAUUGGUGGAAGUCGUUCUUGGGGUGCUUGUUGUCGGCGUGCUCCUUGAGCUUGACCUCGGCAGUGGUGCAGAUGAACGUCGCCAUGCACACCUUGCACUGGAUGCUCUGCGCGGCGGCGUUCUGCUUGAGCUGGCUGCCUGCGGUGCGGGAAAAGGCGGAAACGAUGGUUAGAAUUGCGGCGGCGAACGCGGAUGCGCGCGGGGUGUAGGUUGGGGGGCUCGCGCACCUUUGCCUUCUUUGGCCGCCUUCUCCUGCGCCUUCUUGCGAGCCAUCGCGGAUUUCUGAGCGUUACCUCCGCCCAUCUUUGCUAGAUCACCUGAGCGUGCUAGUUGCUUGGAUAAUGGGUGGCGGGCUCCGACAAGCGCGUCAAAACGGCGGUGCUCAAUUUCCUAUCAAUGGGACUUUCCAAGUAUUCAAUCGAUCCUCUCACCACGAAACCUGUUGUGAGGAUACCAUAAACUUGGCAAAUUUCCCAUGUUUAUUUGCACUCGUCUCAUUAAAAAUUCUUACCCGACGCGAGGGAGAUGCGAGCCGGCGACGAGCCGACGCGGAUGCGUCGUGACGUGAUGCGGUGCGCGUUCAUAUCACUUCUCGGGUCGAUAGAAAGUUUGUCUAAGGGUGUUUAUUAAGUCUACGUGUGGUGAUAAUCUCAUGCGAUCCAAAGCAAUCCCACGUUUUUCACGCCGCGGUGAUCUCGAACCACUGCCGAAGCAGGUCCGAGAUGACCGACGGCAGCCUGUUGAUGUCCUGCACCAGUGUGUAGUACGGGAACGGAAACGUGUCCAAGUACUUCUGGAACACGGGCUUACCCGAGGCGAACGUCACGCUCUGCAUGUCGAGCACCGAGCUGCUCGGGUUGUCGAGGACGAUGAACGCGACGAGCAACCCGCGGCGCGAUCCCAUCUCCCGCAUCUGCCUCCGCAGCGCCUCCUUCUCGUGGAAGCGACCGUCGGCGAUGAUCAGGCAGAGCUGCUGGAGCUGUUCGGACCCGCCGCGGAUGUUCUCGCGCGCGGCGCCGAGCUGCGCGUCCAGGUACCUGAGCAAGUUGACCAUCGGCGUGUCCGCCAAGGUGUUAUCCUCGGCAAAGGUAAACUGAGAGACGAGAGCGGGGCCGCCCUGGUCCGUGAACGGGGCUCCGAGGGGAUGCAGCGUUCGCACCGCGUCGGUCGCGUUGGCGUUGGGACUCGGGUCAUCCUUGCCGUUUCCUCCCCCGCCCGCGGCUCCGAAGCCGACGACGCCAAUCUCUCCAACCUCGAGCCGAGCCAUGGCCCUGGCCAGCAGGACCAUGGACUCGAGCGCGAGGUGCCCGCACCGGUUCUCAGCCAUCGACUUGGAGUCGUCGAUGGCCAGGACCACCUGGUACUUCCGCUGGGACGGCCUGGAUCGCCUGAGCCAGAUCUUGUCCUUCCUAAAGUCGGACGCGAUGUACGGGAUGAUCUUGCGCAUGUUCAGGCGCUUACCCGUGCGAAAGUCGCCCUGCAGCCGCGACGCCAGCGUGGGCUCGAGGAUCAGCCGGAGCUGUUCGGCGAGUUCACCGGAGAGCGACCCGGUGAGAAGCUCCAGCCUGCGCCAGAGCUCCUGAGCCUUGGCGACGUGCCCCGCGCCGGACGCGGUCCUCUCGCGGUACUCCGCGAGGGACGCGGCCGCGGCGGCUCGCGCGGAUUCAACCUCCUCCGGGGUGAGCUCGUGUUGAACCUCCGUGUACGAGGGUACGCCGUCGUCGCCCGAGUCCUCCAGGGUGGCGUCUUCGAGCAUCUUGAGCGCGACGACAGUCUCCUCGCCGAGCUCCGCGCGUCCACCCGGCACCAACUCCUCGUCUCCGUCAUCACCGUGCCCCAAGCCUUCGUCCUCGUCCCCGUCGAGAGCGCCGGCGUCGCCGCCGGCUCCGCCCGCCUUGGACUUUUUAUCCCUCGGCUUGGGCUUGGACUCGUCCGUGGACGCCCCCUUCCUCCGCGCCCUCGCCGCGCCGCGCUCCUCAGCCGUCUUGCCCUUGUUCGGGUCCUCGACGUCCUCGUCACCCUCCUCUCGCGCGUCGCCUUCGCCGUCGCCCGCUUUAUCCGCGUCGCCAUCCUUACCCUGCCCAUCUCUCGUCCCCUCCGGCGCUUCCAUCUCCGUCGCGUCAUCCACCGCGCGAACCGUGCCGAGAUCCGGGAGUAACUCCUCGGGCUCCUUGGGGGGCUGCUCGACGUCCUCCAUGGGGUCGUCGUCCCCGUCCCCGGCGGCGUUGUUCGCACGGUCGAGGCCCUGCGCGGCGGCCUGGGCGGCCUGCUCCUUGGUGGCGCCCGCGAGCGCCUGCACGCCGGCGUCGGCGUCGCCCUCCCCGGCGCCCUCGUCCUCGCCGCCGCCGCCGCCGACGCCGACGUCGUCGGUCGCGUCACGCUCAAACUCGUACUCGUUGAAACGGCCCGUCGCGUCGGGAUCGAGCUCGCCCGUCCGCGCGUCGCGGUCCACGGACUCGCCGACGACGGACAGGCGCUCGCGCCAGCUCUUCAGCGCGUCGCCCAACGACCUGUGCGGGUUGGUAGCGUCGGGCGCGGACUUACCGUCCGGCUUGGGCGGCGGGGGCGGCGCGCCGCCGCCGGGCGGCUGGGCUCCGGCCGCGACGGGCGCGAUGGCGCCCUCGCCCGCGGCGGAGGCGCUCGCGCCCCCGCCGCCGCCGUCGCCGCCGCCCGCGGGUGUUUCCAGCGCCGUCUGCUGCGCGCCGUCGUCGAACCCGUCGUCGUCGCCCUCUUCGCCGGCUCGGCUGUCGUCGUACCGAGGUUGAGGCGCUCGAGCGGCGGCGUCCGGCUCGGUCUCGUUGACGCCGUCGCCCUCGGCGCCGACGCCCGCGUCGCCGCCAUCCUCGCCGGGCCUGGCCUGGGGCUGGUCGUCGCCGUUUUCGUCGUCGGCACCGCCGCCGGCGCCGGUUCCGUCGGGGCCCGCCUGGACGUCGUCGUCGUCCUCGCCGGCGCCGGGCUCGUCGGGCGCGGCGCCGCCGGCGUUUUCCUCAUCCUCGCCGCCCUCGUCGCCCUCGUCCUCCUCCUUUUCUUCGCCUUCGUCGCCCAGGACUUCUUCGAGGUUACCGCCGUCGCCCUGUUCGUCCAUGUCGGCGUCGGCGCCGUCCCCCUCGCCCUCCUCGCCUGGCUUGUCGUCCUCGGGGAAGUCCACCUUUUCGCUCUCGGGCGCGGCGCCCUCGUCGUCGUCGCCGCCGUCGUUCUCGCCGUCGCCCUCCUCGUUCUCACCGUCGAGGUUGAUGUCGUCCGGGAGCUCCAUCUCCUCGUCGUCGUCCGCCUCGGGCUGGUCGGGACCCUUGGGGGUGAUGCCGGUUUCCUCGAUUUCCUCCUGGUUGACCCCGUCGUUUUCAUCCUUGGGGCCGUCGUCCGCGGUCUCGUCCUCGUCGUCGCCCGCGCCGCCGCCCUCGUCCUCGUUCUUGUCCUUCUUGUCCGCGUCGGGCUCGUCAGGAGCUCCCUCGUCUUUUUUGUCUUUUUUGUCGUCUUUAUCCUGGUCCUCCUCGUCGGCGGCGCGGGUCUCCGUCUCCUGGUUGUCGUCUUUUUGAACCGUGGAUCCCUUGUCGUACUUUUCCUGACCCCGCUCUUUGCCGUCCCCGCCGUCCUCGUCCUCCUCCUUCUCGUCCUCCUCGUCCCACAUCUUCUGGUCGAUAACCUCGGCGUUCUCGUCGUCGGCGUCGCCCAUUUCCUUGUCGAUGUCGUCGCCGUUGUCGUCCUCCUCGUUGUUAUCGUCCUCCUCAUCGUCGCCGUCGGAGAGGUCCUGCGCGUCAGCCUCGAAGUCGUUCUGCAUCUCGAUGCCCUUGGACUUCUCCUUUUGGUCGCCGUCCGGCCCUUUGCCCUCGUCCUCCUCCUGCUUUUCCAUGUCCUCCAUGCCCAUGAUCUGCUCCUCGUCCUCGAUCUCGUCGCUGACGUCCUUCUUUCCCUCGCCGGCGCCCAUGCCGGUGCCGCCCUGAUCGUCCAUCAGCUUACCGCCAUCCUCGCCAUCCUCGCCCCCGUCGCCAUCCUCGCCGCCGUCGCAGAAACCCUCGGCGCACAAACCCACGACGAGGCUGCUUAACACAGCCUCGAGCUUGGCGCUGGAUCGGUGGAAGCGGAGGUACUCGCGCAGCGCUCGACGGUUAGCCUCGCGGAUGAGCGCCAGAAUGGGAGCCAGCUGCGCAACCCGCGCGGCUGCAAUAGAGGCGGCAAUAGAGGCGUCGCGCGAAUCCGCCGGGGCGGCGGCUGCCGCGGCGUCCGCGACGUCCGCGAGGGACCUGGAGACGGCGGCGAGGUGCGACUGGAGCUUUUCCAGGCGCUUCGUGCCCAUCGCUCCGGAAAGGGCCUCCUCGGUGUGGGUCAUCGUGGGUGGCUCGUCGUCCUCGUCGUCCUCGUCGUCGGCGUCCAUAUCGUCUUCUCCCUUGUUAGCCGAGAGUGGACCGUCCGCGGCGGCUUUGACGUUUUGGGCCCACACCAACGCGGCGGACGUGGCCGCCUCGACCGACUCGGACAGCCUCGCCGACGCCUCAGCCACCCUCGACUGAACCUCAGCCGCCGCGGCGAGCUUGGCGUCAACAACCGCUUUUACCGCUCGAGCUCCCAAACCUUCUUCAGAGGACGACUUCGCGGGAGGGAACGCCCCCUCCGCGAACGCGUCCGCGGAUCGGACCGCGUCGAGCAGCAGCGCACGAAGCGGCUCCCACCCGGGGAGCGGCGCGGCUCCCUCGAUGACGGCCGGCGCGGAUUGGACCGCGUCGAUUGAAGCGGCGUACGCGACUUCAAUCUUCGCAGACGCCGCUCGCAACUCGUCAAAGUUACCCGCGAGCGCCUUCGCGACGUUAAUAGCGACGAGCGGCGGCGCGGACCAAGACCCGUCACCGGCGUCGUCAUCGGCACCCUUGGCACCCUCGGCACCCUCGGCACCCUCGUUGUACUCCUCGGCGGACUCCAUGGCGGGGACCAGGAAGGCGUCGAGGCGAUCCCGGGCAGCCGACGCCGCGUCGCCGACGGCGGCGAGCGUCGUCGCCGCCGCCGCCGCCGCCCCGCCGCCGGGCUUGAGGCCCGGCGUGGACUCCGCCGCGCUCACCGUCUUGUGCACGAGCUUCGCGGCGGCGACCGACUGGCAGAUGGCGUCGAGCGCGCUCCUCUGCGACAGGAGCCAGCGCUUGGUGCGCUCCUGCGGGGGCGGCGGCUCGACGCCGCCGAGUGAUUUGAGCGCGACGACGGCGUCGGCCAGCGUCGCAAACCCCCGCUCGACCCUCGCCGCGGCGGCCACGUUCCUUCGCUGGUGCCUGAGGAUGUGGAGCAGGUGCUCCACGCUGCCGCACGCGACGUCCACCUCGCGCGAGCUCAAGUCGGAGUGCGCGGCUCCCCUCACCGUCCUGAGCCGCUGCACGCGGGCCAUGGACCUGUAGUAGUAGGCAUCCGCGGCGUCAAACGCCUCCGCCGCGAUUGGACCGAGGGAGUCCAGGCACGCGGGCCUGGGUAAGGGCGCCUCGCGAAACCACGCGCUCGGCGAGCGCUCCGAGUCCGGCACGUACUUCCUGGCGGAUUGGAUGCCGAAUUUGGGCAGCGCUCGAAGGAGGUCGGUGAGCGCCUUUUUCUUAACCGCCUUCUUCGCCGUCUUGUCGUCGCGAAGCGCGGUUGCGCGCGCGGCUACGGUCGACGCGAGCUCGUCCACGUCGUCCGCGCCGUGCUGACCCGCGAUCGAGCUCGAAUCGAUCGGGGGCGCUCCCGCGAGGGUGGACCCGAGAACCUCGCCGAGCCUCUUGGCCAGCGCGGGCAGGCGCGACUGGUACAAGGCCUCUUGGUCCAGCCGGAGCGGCGCGGCCAUGGCGGAGGCUGGGGAGCCCGGGUGAAACGCGGCGGACGCGAGUUCGAUGGCGCGCGCCGCGUCCGAGGCGUCCACGACGACGGACGAGGUGAGAUCCAGCCAAGAUUGUCUCGCGUCGGCCCUGGCCUCCUCCCUCAUCCGCUCCGCGGCGGACUCCGCCGCAGUCGACGCCCUCCUCGCAGCCUCGGCGAUGGCCCGCUUGCGCGCAGCCUCAGCCUCUCGCUGGUACUCCUUCUCAGCCUCCUCCUCGUCAACCUCGCGAGCGGCGCGUUCCUCGACGGUCUCGUUCUUGUACAGGCCCGCGGAGGAAGCCUUGUGCUUUUCGCGGGCGUCUCUCGCGGCUUUGUUUUUGGCCUCGAUUGCCGCGUUUUUGGCCUCCUUGGCAGUCUGCGCGGCUGCCGCGCUCGCAGCCGCAACCUCCGCGGCGCCCCGCUCCGAGGGCAGGUCGGGGAGCCCGACCUUCCCGUUCGUCGCCUGCAGCACGGGCAGCACGAGCGCGUUGAGGGAGACGUCGAACGCUCGCACAAACUUGUGGAGAGAGCGCUGGUUCGCCUCACCCUGCGUUUUCAUGGCGUGGUACCCGCGGUCCUCCCACUUUGCGAGCUUUGCGUGGUCCCUGAGCUUCUGGGCGCAGGGUGCGCGCGCCGCCUCGACCUGCCUGGCCACGGCGGGGAGGAACUGAACGUAAUACCUCCACGUGUUGUAGAGGACGUUGGACAACGCAGCCUCCCUCGCGCCGUUUCCUCGGGACGUUGAUCGGAUCGAUCUGUGCUCCACGGCCAUGUCGGCGUGGAACUGCCACAAGAGAUCCAGCCUCGCGCGGAACUCGCCGAUGGUGGAGCCCUGGACGUACUCCUCGAGCGCGAGGGUCACCUGUCGGAGGCCCUCCGCCUCUUCCUCGUCGAGCCCGCGGGCGUCGAGCUCGGCGGCGGCGUCCUCUUCGUCGGCGUUUGCAUCCUCCUUUGCUUUUUUCUUCUUUGACGCGGGGGGUCGGAGGAGGCGGUGCAGGGCGAACCACGUGCGGUGCGCCCUCUGCGCGUGGCGCUCCGCCGCCCUCGCGAGCAGCCUCGGCCACGUCCUGAGCUCCCUCUGACGCCAGCGCAGCGCCAGCUUGGCGCACGCGGUGAGUUCCUCCGCGAGUGACACGUGCGACGCGGCGCCCUCCUCCCACGUCUGAGCCCGCGCCAGCAACAGCUCCAAGCCCGUCAGCGCUUGCUUCAGCGGGCUCAGCAGCGGAAGCGCGAGGACGCGAUCGCAAAUCUCCGCGAGCUGCUCCAGCAAAGGGUGCUCGGGCCACUCCUCCAGGAGCGCGGUGAGCCUCCUCCGGACGGCCGCCACGGGCGCGACGACGAGGUACAUCUCGCCCGCGCAACCGCCCUCGUUGAGAUCGGCUCCCAGCGCAUCCGCCGCGGCGUCAGCCGCAGGAUCAUGCGCCUCAGCCUCGGACCCGGCGGCGAGCUCCGUUACAGCCGUUACAGCCGUUAUAUCUUUCGUCUCGACGCUCUUGCCCGCCACGCGGUGGAUCAUGGGCGAUCCAUCCGCGGGUAACGGCGCGCGGGUGACGCACGCGUGCUCGAGCGCCGUCCGGAGCAGGUGACCGACGGAUGACACCUCGUCGACGGCGACGGGCACGUCGACCAGACCCGCGGCGCGCGCAAUCUUGGCGCCGACGUCGUACGACCUGACGAACGUCAUCGCGCGCGCAGCCUCUUCCGGGGUGAGGACGCGGCCGUAACGCGCGGGGGUUGGCGGCGCGCCCGACGCGGCCCACCACCCGCUCGGGUUAUUCGCGGCGGCGGCGGCGGCGGCGGGAUCAUCCGCACGCGGCGGGGGCGGCGGCGGCGGCGGCGGGCCGCGGAGGCCGCCGAGGACCCUGCGGUGCACGGCGACGACCUCCUCAAGUAGGUCGCCCUCGAGGAGACCGGCAAUCUUGGCGGCGGCGAUGGAGGCUUUCUCCUCGUCGGUCCGCUCGUCGUCGUCGUCGUCGUGGUCCGAGUCGGGGUGGGCUCUCGGUUUGCCGUCGAGCUUUGGUUUGCCCUCCUCGCCCUCGUCGUCUCCCAGCUCCAUGACCGCAUCCGGCGCCCUCUGCAGGUCCUCGAACAUCGCGCCGUGGUCGCCGAAAGCGCGCCUGUACGCCUCCUCCUCCGUCUUGUCGUCGUCGCCCUCCAACGUCUCAGCGGCCGUCGGCGGCUUGGUCCUCGAGCGAAACAGCUCCGCCGCCUCGCGCUCAGCCUCAGCCUCGGCGUCCCUGGCGUGAGCCCACAGCGAGGAAAGCGACGCGAAGACGUCGCAGCACCGGCGCCACCCCUCUAUGGACAGGGAACCGGACGUGGACGCCUCCUCGGCGGCAGCCGCCAGCGCGGCUCGCAACGCCUCGACGCGUAACUGCGCCGCCGACCGAGCCGCCGACUGACCCUUCGCAUCCGCGCCCGAACCGGCGCCCCGUCUGGCCUCGGCGUCGCGAGUCCACGCCACGGAUUCGACCACGCUCAGCGCCCGCUGCGUCGCGGGCGACGCGAGCAACGCCGCGGCGCUGCCUCCACCGACGCUCGCGAGCGGCGGGAACGCGAGAAGGUGAGCCGCGGCGGCGGCGGCGGCGGCGGCGGCGAAACCCGGCGUAAUCUUUCCCCUCGCCGCGUUAGCCUUGGCGCCGUCGGACGAGACGUCGGGCGCGGCGGACACGAGCAAGGCGAGGCCACGCCUGAGCUCGAGGGCGGCGAGCUGUAACGGCUCGGUGGCGUCCCGGUACCCCGGGAAGGAGACGUCGAGUCGGCCGCCCCAAGGUCCCGCGGCGUCGAGCCACGCGACAGCCUCGGCUCUCGCCUUUGCAGUCGCUUCAUUUGCGCCGUCGUCAAUCGCCCCGACGUUCGUGGCGGACAGCGCCGCGACGAUGCCGGUGACGCGCUCCACGGACGCCAGCUGGUCCCUGAACCUCGCAGCCUCCGCGAGCAUCGGCGUCCACAGGGGCGGAUCUGGCCUGGGCACGACGUUUCGCGCCAGUCGGGCGGACUCGGCGGCGAGGCUUCGCGCCUCCGACUUUGCGGAUUCGACGGCGGAUUCGGGCGGAGGCGUCGCCCCCGACGCUCGCGUCUGCCACGCCAGACACGCGAGCGUCGGCGCCGUCUCCCUCGAGAGCUUGGCGUCGGCGCGGUCGAGUCUGGCGCGCGUCGCCGCGGCCGGGUCGGGGGUACCCUCCGGAAGGAGCAGGUGGAGACGGAGCAGCCCGAGGAGCGCCCACGCGGCGCCCCGCGCGGCGCGAUCGGCUCGGCGGUUUUCAGCCCACGUCGCGGACGAUUCGACCGACGCAAAGGCGCGGACGGCGGUCGAUUCCGCGAGCUCUCUCGCGCGCGCGGCCCCCGCGAUGACCGCGUCGACGAGCGGACCCACGACGGGUGCCAUGAGCGCCCUCAGCGGCCCGUGAUCUACGGCGGACGCCGCGCGGGAGAGACCGUCGCGGAGAACCGCGGCGGUUUCGACAUUUCGGUUCCGCUCUACGAAACUUUCUUCCGAAUUCGGCGGGGACGUCCAGGAGACGAGGUCGGCGAGGGCGGCUGCGAGCUCGGGCCUCGCGUGCGCGGGCGCGGCGGUGGCGUGCGCCGCGAGCGCCUGCGCGGUGAGCGAACCCAGGGCGGACCACUCCAGGGCGACGCGCGUCCCGUGCGAACCGCCCUCGGGUGUCAGGCGGAGCGCUCGAGCCGCCAGCCUGAGCUGAAGCGCCCUCGCCGGUCUCGACACCACGCCGUCCAUGCCCCCGUGGGUCGCGACGAGGGCGAUGGCGAGGAAGGUUGAGGUGGCGCGCUCGCCGCGGACGGGCCCGCGCGCGGCGUUCCAGGACGCCGCCGCGUGCGUCGACCCGCGAUCGAAAUCUUUCGCGGAGAAACCGUCCGUCUCGGACCGUUUCAAACGAAACUUGGGCUGGAGCGCGGCUGGGAUUUCGUCGAGGACGCCUCCCCACCCCGAGGCGUGCCACGACCUCCACAUCGCGUGCGCGAGGGACGGGAGCGACUCCGCGAGGCGAGCGUCGCCGCCGUCGGCUCUCGUGAGCCAGAGGAGGUGCCGGUGCGCCACGAAAUCGGCGGGAUCUCGGGGCGCGGCGGCGACGCCAAAGGAUAAGCCCCUCGCCGCAGCCGCGAGUUCGUCGGCUGUGAGCGGCGGCGCGUGCGUCGCCUCCUUCGUUUGAGGGGUGGAAUCGACCGUCGCAGCGAGCGAGACGCGAGCGAGACGCGCGGAUACAAUCUCCAGCAGCGUCAUCUGCGACGCGAUCGAGUGCAGCUCCAGCAGCGGGAGAAGCGACCCGUGCGCGACUCGACACUUGGCGAACCUCUGGCUCCAAACCGGAAAGCCGAGCGGCGCGGGGGGUCUCUGACCCCCAGCGCUGUCGAACCCCUCGAACACGUCGGCGGACCUGAGAAGCUCGAAGGAGUUCAGGUCGUACUCGCGCGGGGCGGGAGGCGUGGACGCGUCGGUCCGUUCGACGAACGUAUCUAUCGCCAUGGCGUCGUCGUCGUCGCCCCCGUCCUCGCGUUUGCCGAGGGUUGGCGUUGGAGCAGCCGCCGCCGCCGCCGACGCCAGCUUCGAGCACUCGUCCGCGAUCUGCGCGGGGAUCGUCGCGGCUUCGCUCUCGAGGAACGCGGCCGCGUCCGCGCCGUCCUCUUCGGCGCCACCCCGUACCCCGCCGCCCACGUGCGUCCAUGCGAAGAAGCACAGACCCUCGAGCGCGGCGGAUCUGAGGCCGGCGCCGCCCCCGUUGCCGCCGACGGCGGCGGCGGCGGCGAGCGUCGCGCGCUCCAUCGCGGCGGACGCGGCCCGCGCGGCGUCGACGUCUCCGCGCCCCGCCUCGCGCGCGGCUGCUGCCGCUGCGGCGGCGACGACGUCGCUUCUUCCGGGUCGAAGCGCCGCGCACAGGAACCUCACGCGAUCCUCGGCUCGACGCAAACCCUCCGUCCUCGGGACGAGCGGGUGUCCCCCGAGGCGCCACAGCAGGGCGGGGGGAACGGCGCCGUCGCCGGGUGGGAUGCCCAGCGCGACGUUGACGCGACCGGACGCGUGCUGCCACGCCUCCCACGCGCGCGCGGGCGUCUCCGCGGAGGCGCUCGGGGCGACGGCGACGGGGACGCUGAGGUUCCCGGCGCCGGCGGCGGCGGUUGCCGCGGCGAAGUCGCCCACGGCUUCGCGAAGCAGCGAAUACGCCACCGCGAGUCUCUCCACCGCGGCGGCGUCGGGCGGGGUACCGUCCGGUCCGUGCCUCAGCUUCGACGCGGGAGUGGCGCACGCGAAAGAUUCCAGACGGAGCCUCCAGUCCUGAGCCGCUUUUACCGCUUCCACCGCCUCUGCGACGGCGUCCCAGUCGGCGUCCGCAGCCGGCGCCCUGGCGAGAGCCGCGCAGAGGGCGCACGCGACGGACCGCUCCAGGUUUUCCGCCGAGGAAAGCGCCUGCGCGAGGGCGUCCACGACGGGGUGCACCCUGUCGCCUCGUCCCCUCUCGCCCGGGUUGGCGCGUCGCCACGUGGCGAGCUGCAACAGGCUGCCGGAGUCUGACCCAGCCGAGUAAGUCGCGGCGGAGUGCGGAGCGACGCGCGCGGCGGCGGCGGCUGCACGAAACGAAAGCGCGCGAAGCCCACUCGCGAUUGCCGCCCGGCGCCCUCCUCCUCCGCUCCCGGCUUGGACGAGACCGUCGAGAACGCUGACGGGGUGUCCCGCGAGCGCGUCGGACGCGUCGGCGAGCGCGAUGAGCUCGUUCGAUGCGCCCAAGCUGUUUUCAUCGGGGGGAAGAGGCGCGUUUUCGUCGGGAAGAGUGCGACCCGUCGCGAACCUCCGGGCUAAACGGUGAAGCCACGCGGAGACGUCGUUCAACUCGCGGGGCGCGAGACCCCCCGCGGCGCCGUCUCCAAAGGCGGCGCCCGUGAUCAGCGCGGCGCCCGCGGCGCGCAGCGCCCCGACCAAGUCCAUCGUCGACGCCCCGUCGGAGUCCAACUCGGGUCCCGGACCCUGUUCACCGCGGUCCGCAACCGGCGCCAUCGCCAGUCGCGAUCGGAGCGCGCCAAUCGAAAGCGCCGCAGCCGCGAGCGCCGGCGCCGACCUGUACGCCUCGGAACCGUCCCCGGACCUCUGCAGCUCUAAGCCGUGAAGCGCGGCGGCGGACGAUUCGACGAGAGCGCCCGCGCGGUUGACGCGCGUCACCUCGCAGCCCGCGGCGGAGGCGAGGGCUUUCGCGACGUUUGGCGAAGCCGGCCACCCGAGGGGCUCGGCGAGCACGAGCGCCCCCCCACCGUACGAGGACGAUCGAACGACGCCCGAGGCGGGCUCUCCCUCGGAUCGAAGGGCGUCGAGGUACGGCGCGACCGCGGAUCGGAACGCGGCCGAGGCGGCGCGGCGCGCGGCGACGGAAGCCUCGCCCCUCGAAUAGACGUGAUCCCACGCGGCUGAGAGCGCGGCGCCGGCGGCGGCGCCUCGAGCCAGGAGCUCGCCCGCGAGUGAGGCCCAUCGCGCAGCCUCUCUCGCGGUGUGUGCCGCCGCCGCAGCAGCCGCCGCCGCCGCCGCCGCCUUGACGUCGUCGCCGUCGCUCCCCGGAAAAGUUCCCCGUGGAUCGACGAGCGCGCGGUGCGCGGCGGUCAUGGCGGCGCGGAUGGGACCCGCGGGGACGCCGGCGGCGGCGAGCACCGCGGCUAGGUCGCACUCGACCGUGUGCCGCUCGGGGGGCAUGACCAUGGGCGCGGGCAGUGCCAGAGCACCCUCCGCUGCCGGAGAGGAGGUGGAAGCGUCGGUGUUCUUCUCCGGUGACGCUCGCAACGCCCUGAUCGGCGAGGAAGUCUCCGGCGGCAUGAAAAAAACCUCGACGCCGCGGUUUCGCAUCGCUCGGCUCACCUCACCCCUCCUCGGGUCGAGCGCGAGAAAGAGCCUAAACGCCGGAUGCGCGGUUAUGACCCUCGGCUUACCGUCCCUCAUGCCGCACUCGCUCACCAGGAGCGACCCGCCAAUCUCCAGUAACGGGUUCAGCCUGUCCAGCACAGUCGGCGAGCAUAGGUUCGCAUUGUCGAGCAGGACCCACUCGCCGCGAACCGCAGCUUUGAGUAGCACGCCGUCGACCCACUCGAAGCGUCCCGCGGCGGGGCUCACGCCGCCCCACGCCUCCGGGCCGAGCUCAGCCGCGCGCUCGCGCAGGGAACACGCGAGCGAUUCAUCGACCGCGUCGCCGCCGACGUCGCCGGCGUCCAUGUCGACGUCCAUGUCGACGUCUGAUUUUUUGGCCGACGAUUGGAGGACGCCGAGCGCGUCAAUCGCGGCGAGGAGCGCACGCUUCGCCGCGUCAGCCUCCUCCGCGCCGACACCUUCCGCGGCUGCCUCGCACGCGGCGCGGUACGCGCUCCACGCGCGCCACGCGGUCUCGACGGUAACUGCCGUAACGCUCGAUUGAAGGCGAAGCGCCACCGCCGUCGCCCCUCGGAGCGCGGACGUCGCGUCCUCCUCCAGCGCGGCUCUGUCCCGCGACGGUUCCUUCUGUUCGAAGGAUCCGAGGAGCUCGCUGGUGUCCGUCGCGGCGGUGAGCGCCACCUGUCGCAGGGGCCUGCCAGCGAGCGUGGCGAGCGUCUGCACGAGGCUGGUCUUACCGGACGCGGCGGGCCCGGCGACGAUGGUCAUCCAACCCUCAGCGCAGCAAUGCGCCGCAGCCUCCAGAGCGGGGAGCUGACCACGCAGCAGGCCCAGGGAGUCGUGAUCCCCCGCGCCGACGGAUUUGGCGUCAAAGGAGCCACAGGGGAAACUCGCGUCGCCCACGUGCAGGUUACCGUCGCGCAGGGACACCGCGGGCGGCGGCCUGGCGCGCGGCGAGCGCCCGAACGAUCCGGCAAAGAGCUCGACGCACUUUGCGCGAUCCGCCGCGGUGCGAAGCCUCUGCGAGAAGAGCGUCUCGAAGGUGGCGUCGACCGCGCGGUCAAAGUCCCCGUCGUGCACCCUCGCAGCCUUACCCGCGAUGUCGCACCAUCGAAGCAGGUCGCGCAGGUUAAACUCCCACGGCGCGCCCGCCCUGGCAAACGUGCCGCCAACCUCCUUCGAGGCGUCGGCGAGCGAUCCGAUGAAAUGGACCAUCCGCUCGAUGACGAGCCUAGGCACCGUCGGGUAGAGCGCGGCGGUGAUGUGCACGAGGUCGGACCUCUCCAUGGGUUCCACGUGCACGCGGGUGAACCGGUUCAGGAACGAUUUGGGCAGGCCCUUGCGGCCGCCUCCCUCCUGCACCGGGUUCUGCGCGGCAAACACCCGAAAAGUCGGCGGGCACCGAAACGUCUCUCCGAGCUCGGGCACGAAAACCUCCGCGCGGUGAUCCAACGCCGCGUUCAGACCCUCGAGCACGGGCUGCGGCGCGAGGUUGAGCUCGUCCAGCAGGACCCAGUCGCCGUUCUUGAGCGCCGCGAGGAAGGCGCCGUCGGCCCAUCGAAACUCGCCGGCGGCGCCCCCGUCGGCGGGUAGAUCCGCCCCGAGGAGAUCCAUCAUAUCCGUCUGCUCGCUGAGGUUGAUGCGAACCAGGUUAUGUCCCGCCGCCUUCGCCAGCGCGGACACCAGGCUGGUCUUUCCGACACCGGGGGAACCCUCGAGGAGGAUCGGCUUCGGGAGUUGCAUCGCCCGGAGAAGCCUCGCGGCGUUGCGACGGGUGGACGGGGCGGACAGCUCAAAGCUCAUCGUCUUUGGCGUAGUCGCGGAGCCGCGGGGGAUGGCAAAGGGGGCGAUGCCGAAGAUGCCGUCGCGGUCGAUGAAGGCGCCGUCGCCGGUCGCGGCGGCGAGGUGGUCGCCGCCGGGAUUCGCGGCAGCCUCGAUUGCGGCGUGUGCCUAUCAAGCGCGAGGGGAUCCAGCAAGUUAAGUCGGGAAUCGGGUCGGAUCGGGCGAAGCGAGCUGGCGCGCGGCUGGUUGAUCCCUCUCUCUGCGUCUCCCUCGAAGCGGGUUCCUCUGAAGCUCAGGUCGUAGAUGUCGUUCUCUGAACAUGAUUUGUUUCUGAAACUUACCAGGUUACGAAGAAGCCUCAUCGCUUCGUCGGAACCCGAGAGCAGAGCAGCGGAGAGGGUGGCGUGAAAACCGCCGGGGCAGGGGCAAGACCCAAGAAAAACCGAAAAUUCAGACGGGAAGAAACGCUCACCUCGGGAGGAAGCUCGUCUCUCAGGAACUUCUUGCACUGCUCUGCGAGACCCCUGGCCGUCUCCUCCGGCAGACCCAGGCCCAGGCCCAGGCCGUCGAGGAGCGUGAGAUACGCGCCGUGCGCGAACGCCUCGGCGGGCGCCAACCUGCGGUUGCAACCGCUCGCGGCGGACCCGGCGCCAGUGGCGGCGGCUCUCACAAACUGAGCCCAAGCCACCAAAUCGCGCGUCAGCAGCGCGGCCCGCGCGGCGCCCCGACCCGCGAUCUCUCGGUAAAACUCCCAGAACCUGGCGAGGUGACCCGCGUACGGUUUCAGCUCCGGCUCGGGGAUUCGACGCACGCAAAUCUGUUCCAUUUCCGACGCGUCCCCGGUUGCUCCCACCCAAAUCUCGCAGAAGCGGUUGCGAAGCGCCGGGGAGAGCUCCUUCUUGCCAAAGUCGCCUCCCGGGUUCAUCGUCGCGAGGAGCAGGAAGUUUGGGUGCGCCACGAGCUCCUCAACCUCGCUACCGCCCUUCUCGGGCAGCGUGAGGGUCCUUCCCGGCUCGAGAACCGAGUUAAGACGCUCCAGGACGGAAUCCUCCGCCAACGAGAGCUCGUCCACCAGCAGGAUGUCGCCGUCGCGCAUAGCCUUGAUGAGGGGACCGUCCUCCCACGCGAACGGAGCCGCUCCCUUCUUGUCAACGACCCCAUCUGCGCCUUCUUCCCCGUCCACGUCGUCAGCCUCCGCGCCGGUGGGACGCGUGGGCCUGAACCCGCCGAGAAAGUCACCCGUCUCCGUGUGCUGGUGGCAGUUGAGAAUCCGGAGCUUCUGCCCGCGGAGAAGCGCGAGGAGCUGGCACACCGACGUCUUACCGCAGCCAGUCUCGCCGACCAAAAGAGCGGGCUCCUUGUGGUUCAUGCACGCCUCGACGAGCGAAAACAGCCGUCGCAUCGCCGGGGUCCACGCCAUAGCCUCGGAGAGUUGCGCGGCGUCGGAGGCGUCCUGCUUCGCGGAUCUGGCGUCAGCCGCGGCGACUGCGCUCGAAGCCAUUUUUUCAGCCUCCUCGGCUCUCUUUGCCGCACGAGCCGCGGCCUCAUCGAGCCUCAGCUUGAGGGCGCCCUCCUCCGCGGCGACGUACAUGUCCUCGUCCAGCAGGGGCGGGGUUUUGAGCACCUUGGCGAGCACGGUCUUCAUCGCGUCACGCUCCUCCUCGGACCUGAGCCGCUCCCCCAAGACCCGGAAGCCAUCCGCCGCGAGUUCCUCGUAUCCGUUGCUCUGCCUGUUUGCCCACCUGAACAAAUCGCGCGCGGUGAUGAAGCCGUCCUUGCCAGCGAACGCUCUUGAGGCCUGCCUGCGUCGCUGCAGCUCGCGCAUGACCUCGACGAGCUUCGCGCAGUAGCUCGGCGCAACCGCACAUCGUUUGUUGAGAAUCGUCUUGAGCUCCUCGUCGGGGAUGUCGCCGACGUGGAUCUCCAUGAAACGGUUUCGAAACGCCUUUGACAGAACCUUGCGGCCGCCGUACGUGGCGCCCGGGGGAUUCUGGGUGGCGAAGAGCAUAAAGUGCGGGUGCGGGGUGAUCGUCUCCUGCAGCUCGGGCACGAAAAGCUCGCGAUUAUCGUCCAAGAGUCGGUUAAGCGCCUCGAGGACGUCCGACGGUGCGAGGUUGAGCUCGUCGAGGACGAUCCAGUAGCCCCUUCGCACAGCCUGGACCAGCGCACCCUCCUGAAACGACAGGUUACCUGUUGAGCGGACGAGCGUCAGCGCACGGUGGGACGGAUCGAAGGAACGUAGACGACGACCGGGUCGCGUUCAGCGGAUGAAGAAAAGAAAACGGGUCAUCCGGGAAUGUCCUCCCCGGCUCGGGAAGCGACACUGGCGAGACGCCGGCGGUCGCGAACACUUGCCGAGCCGGGGUGUAUUUGAUUUCGGCUACCUUCCAGCUCGUGUGCGCCCACGGUGUUGGGGUGCAUGAGUAACGAACAGCAGCCUUACGGAGACGGGACGGGCGAAACGACCAACGAACUAGACCGAAAAGGGAAAACAUCAAAGAGACGUCAAGUACACAAUUUUGACUCACCGUUUGCGUCUGUGACGUAAGACCCGAGGUACUCCUGCAGGUCGGUGUGCUCGUGGUUGUUGAUGCGCAUGAACCUGUGCCCCGUCCUUUGCGCGAGGUACUCGACGAGGCUCGUCUUACCGCUCGACGUCGGGCCCUGCAGCAGGAUCGGGUGGCGGCGUAGAAGCGCGGCUCGGGCAAGCGCCGAGAGAUGCGUCUUAACACCCGGAGUCACCACGUAUCUGCCAGACGCCUCGGGAUCCUCGCGCUCCAAAUCCCCUCCCUCGACCCAGUACUGCUCGAUGAGCUCGUGAGUACCGUCGGGAGGCGCGGGAGGCGCCUUGAAUAUGGCCUGUCGUCGUCGGCGGCGGCGUGGAAGUGUGUGAGUCAGCGCGCGCGUUCGAUGAGAGUCGAGUGAGCAGGGAUGGACAAUGCGCAAAAGUUUUUUGAAGUGUGCGACGCCGCUCUUCUUGCGCGUUCAUGGAUCAUCACUUUUCAGUGAUGUCGCGGCAAGAAUAGGUAUGGGCGUCGCUGGAGUUGGGCUCUCCCACCGCAAUCAGGACCGCGACGAGCCCAUGAUAGGGGCCCCACGGGCUGGAGCAGUGGACCGGGCAAAUUACGGGCCGAUGAAACGGCAAAACACGAAAAUGAGGGCGGGUCCCGGCUUCUCACCUUGAGCGGCUGUCCCCUGAGCAAGUGCUUCACCAUGAGCGUCUCCAGCGCCGCCGCCGAGGGCGCCUGCAGUAGAGUCUGAAACGACAUCGCGAACCCGUCGUAAAGCGCCCGUUGCACCCCAUACACCGGCGCCGCGGCUCGGACGUACUCCAUGGCUCGGCUCAGAGUUCGCAGCGAGUACUGCGGCUUCUGAUCCGCAGAGUCGAGAAGCGUCGCAGCCGCGUCCCUCCUCGCGGCGAGGUAAAAAUCGACGAUCGCCUCGAUCGAGCUUCCGGGCACGGUAUCCCGCAGGCCCUGCUUGACGAGCAGCGCGAGAUCCUCUCUGGAUUCGCACUCUCCCGCGUAAAUCUCGGUGAACCUGUGCUUGAGCGCCGCGGGCAGGUCCCUCUUGCCCACAUCCGUCGCCGGGUUCAUGGCGCCAAACAGCCUGAACCGCGGGUGCCUCGGCACCGCCGCGCCGUCGCCGCGCUCCGACAGCACCACACUGCCGUGAGCGGACUCAAGCACGCCGCCCAGACGCUCCAAAGUCUCGGCGGGAGCGAGGUUGAUCUCGUCAAGGAGGAUCCAACGACCCUCCUUGAGCGCGGUGACCAGCGCGCCCUCCACAAACGCAAAGACGGGCCCGCCGCCAGCCUGGCCGCACGCGCGCUCGGCGGUGGAUAGCUCGCGCUCAAACUGUCGCCACUCCGCGAUGAGGUCGUCGGGUAACGCGCGCUUCUGCUUCUGCUUCUUCUUCGCCUCCUCGGUCGGGGUGGACUCCUCCUCCUUGUCCUCCUCAUCGAUCGCGGCGGACUUCUUCCCUCUGGCUUUCUUUUCGCGCUUGCGCUUGGGCGGUUUCUUCUCGUCAGCCUUCUCCGGUUUCUCCUCCCCAGGUUUCUCCUCUUGCUCCUUGUCCGCCGCCUCGGCGGCAGUCUCGGCUCGCUCGGCGGCGAGCUUCGCGACCCUCUCCACGCCCGCGCGCAUCGCGUGCAGCAGGUGCGUCCACUUUUUCUUCUCCCCGUACCGAGUCACCCUGUGCAUAAACUCGGCGUUUGCGGCGCUCGGAAACGUCCUCUCGAAGACGGACCUGAACCUCGGCAGAAGCGGGAGGCAGAGGUGCCUCGCGCCCGCGGGCCUGAACCCGCCGAGGAAAUCCGCCGACUCGGACUGAUUCGACAGGUUCACCACGGUGAGAGGCGCGCCCGUGACCCUCGCGAGCUGUUGCACCAGCGCCGUCUUACCAGUUCCCGUCUCACCCACGAGCAGCACCGGCUCCGUCAUCUGAACCGCCGCGGCGACGCGCUCCAGGAUCCGCAUCGCGUGACCCGUCUUGGCCCACCGCCCGUCCGAACCGUCCGCCGCGGAGACGCCGUCGCCGGCGGGGAGCACCGCCCUGCCCACAGCGACCCCGCCCGAGCCCCGCUGCAUGGCGGGCUUGUGGAGGACGUCGGUGUGCUCCGCGGCGUCGGCGCCGAGGCCCCAGCACCCCGCCAUGGCCUCGAGCACCCGACGCUUGCCAACCCCCGCGGGCAGCAUCCCGCCUAGGACGUCCGCCGCCUCCUCGUACGCGGCGAGCCUCACCUUCGGCGGCAGCGAAUCCGCCCUCGUCUUGCCCGGUCGGAUGAGCGACAGUUCCGUCUUUCGCAUCCGUUCGAGGCGCCUGGCCCAUCGGAGUAAGUCGCGGAGGGUGAACGGUCGACCCGCGUGAACCCUGGGGCCGCCGCCGUCGACGUUCGCGAAGGAAGUCCCCUCGACGCCACCCGCGCCGAAACCCCGAACCAGCCCCCCUUUUUUAUCCGCCCCGUCGCCGUCCACGGCCAUGGCCGCCACGUCCCCGUCCCCGUCCCCGUCCCCGUCCCCGUCCCCGUCCGAAUCCUCGAACCCCGGGAGGUUCGACCUCGAGCGCUUGGUCCCCCCCGGCGCCGCCGCCGCGCCGCCCUGCCCGCACAUCUUCUGCGCGACGUUGAGCGUCUCGAGCAUAGCCGGCGCCAGCGGCUCCAGCCGCGGGUGCACCCCCACGAGCACCUCCAUUGGCUCGUUCCCCGUCGGUGGCUCCACGGCGACGCGCGCCCACAGCCCCGCGAGUGGAUCCGCGCGCGCCCCCGCCGCGGCGGCGCCGCCGCUCCUUCCCCCACCCACGGUGACGGUGCCGAAGAGCUGAAACCCCUCGGCGGCGGGCACGGAUUCGCCUCGCCCGGGUACGUAGAGCCUUCGCUCCUCCAGGAGGGGAACCAGCGCGGCGAGCACCUCGAACGGCGCGAGGUCCACGUCCUCGAUGACGACCCACCGCCCUGACGCCACCGCCUGGGUCAGCGCCCCGGGCUGCCACUUGAACUCGCCCGGCGCUGCUCCGACGACGUACGAACCGAGCAACGACUUGGAAUCCGUCUGCGCGUCCAGGUGGAGGACGACGAAAUCGUCGUUGCCCGUGAGCGACGCCACCUCCUCGAGCACCGCGCUCUUACCCGCGCCCGCGGGGCCUUCCAGGAGCAGGGGCUUGUUCCUGCACAGCGCGAGCGCCACCGCGCGGAGGUUCCGCGCGGCGCUCCCGGUGCGGAUCAUCGUCGUCGUCGCGCCGUUUUUCGCGGACGACACAGCUGUGCGCAUUCGAACCUCGACGCCCCCCACGCGCACGUGUCCCGGCGCGGCGGGUAACCGCUGCAGGUCGUCGAGCAGCGCGUCGUCUUCGUCUUCGUCUUCGUCGUCUUCGUCGACGUCGCGUUCGUUUCGCGUCGUCGCAGAGGAGGGAAGAGGUGGGCCGGGGUUGAGGUAGGCGCCCGCCUUUUCAAUCGCGAUGGAGGCGGACUCCUCUUCCCAACCCUCGUGGUAGGCGUGCGACGUGGAGGCGUCGGGCGCGUGCGCGGACCUGAGCGCGGCGAUCGUCUCGGCGGGAAGACCCACCGCGCGCUCCAGCGCCGCCGAUAUCGUCCAUCGAACCUCGGGGUCGGGGUGUCGGAGCAGGCGCAGCGCGCGGGAGCAAUCCCAGUGCGCGAGGACGCCGGCGCUCGCGGGCGCGUCGGCGGGGCGGACGGCACAGCUGUCGUCUUCGUCGCGCUCGGGCGCGGACGUGACGCGCGCGCCGCUGCCCUCCGCCGCGGGUCCGAGCGCGCGUAGAAGACGCACGCACGAGCGCGCGACGAGCAGCGCGUGCUCGCGGCUCGCUCCCUCGACGUCGUCGCCCACCAUCUCGCCCCCGCCGCCGUCGCCGCCGCCCGAUGAUUCCUCCGUCCCGAGAGCGUCGCAGAGCCGAGAGAACGGCGCGGGCGUGGCGCGAAGGUACCGCAUCGCGACCGGCUUGGCGUGCGGCAGGAGCUCUAGCAGCAUUCCGAGGGCAGCGCACGCCCUCUCGUGCAUCACGUCGGCGCUCCGAGGAUGCACGACCGCAUCGGCGUCGCCGCCCUUCCGCUGCUUCUUCCGAGAUUUCCCAUCGUCCUCGUCUCUCCCCGAGUGUGCCGCCGUGCGCCUGGACGCCAGCCGCGCGUCGAGCGCGUGCGACAGCGCGUGCAGCGCCACGGGCCUCAAACACCCGCCCGCUGGCACCGCGAACCGCGGAUCGAGGAGAAAACUUCCAGCGGCGGCGAGCAUGGCGUCCUCGGACGCGCCCUUGCGCACCCGCCAUCGCCUCGCACCGCCACCGGCGCCACCGCCCGGCACCUCCGUGAAGGACUGUGCCGCCGACGGUGACGACUCCGGCGCGUCGGGGCAGCGCUCCGCUAUGCGCUCCAAUCCACGGCGCAGCACCUCCUUUAAAUCCAUGUUAAUAGAGCGCGGAGUGUCCCCUGACCACCCACACGCCUCGGCGGCCACCUAUCGGCGCGCGCGAGUCUGGCGGCGGCGGGGAUUGCACUUUUCUUCUGAGGUGCCCGAGCCGUUAUUUUCUGGAAGGCAGUGACGAAUCAGUAAUUUACAACACGUGGGGGGCUCCACGGCGACGCGCGCCCACAGACCCGCGAGUGGAUCCGCGCGCGCCCCCGCCGCGUGUGUCUACUCCUGUCUGCUCGGAUCCAUCGCGAACUCCCCGUUCUUCCCGUCGUACGACCAUCCCUCGCUCUCCAUCAUCGUAAAUCCCCGCUGCAUGGCGAUCAGCAGCAUGGACAGCAGCGAAGACACCACGAACGUCACCGCCGCGGGAGUGGCCUUGAUCUUGCUAAACACUUCGACCGGUUGACUCUCCUCCUCCUCCAGACGGAUGUACUGCUCGACGGUCUCUAUGAGCCUGUACGCCCCCCGGAGCUCCUCGGCCUCCUGUUUAUCCCUGUCGUCAGUGCCCGACCGCCCCCAACCGUUGCCCAGGUACGCCAUCUGAGCAACGAUGGCGACGCUCUCCCGCUUGAGCCACGACCGAACCCUGGGCACCAUCUCGUUUAUCGCCGCUGCUUCGUAGACGGUAAGGGACACCAGGAAGGAGACCAUGAUCGCGAGGAAGUAGCAGGAUGCGGCGGUGGCCAAGCGGUGGUUUAUGCGGUUCGCGCCGAAGUAUAGUCCGAGGAUCAUACCGGCUGAGAAGAACGCCGCGAGGAGGAAAAUGACGGAGUAGAGGUUCAUCCUUCGAGCCCAGCUGGAGCCCAUGUGUCUCAUGGAGCGCCUGACCAGCGACCAGCACAGGCAGCUCGCGGGGUCCUUGAGGUCGAUCACCACGUCGAACUCAUCCGUCUUCGCCGCGCGCCGAAGCUCGCGAAGCUCCUCGCUCUCUUUUUCUUCGUCGUCAUCCUCUUUUGCCUUCGUGGCCGGCUGUCCUCCUUGCUGGGGCACCGGGGAGUUUAGGGCAAUAAUAGCGCCGCUGAUGGCCUUCACCGGAGCUAUUUUCCCUUUCUUGGAGUUAGGCUUGGGUUUGGGUGGCAAGAAAUUUAUGAGCGGUUCGCCCGGGAACCUCACCAUCUGGCUGAGCGCUUCCAUGACGUCAUACUGCCUCCUGUAGUGCCAAGCGCACGUCGCAGCAAAACUGAAGUUGGCCAUGAACAUCAUGACGCUGGCUAUAAAGAGGCCGGCGGCCGCAAACUUGCUCAUGUGCGUCCCGCCGAACAUAGGCACCCCACACCACGCGCGCAUUACCGGACCGGUGAGCCCAUAUAGUAUGCUGAUGAGCAUGAUAAAGGGCAUCAGCUCGGAGGGUAACUGCCUGCCUAUAUGGACAUCAACAAGAGCCGCCAUGAGCUCCUUCCCAGACACAGUCUCCGGGGUCUCAUUCAUCCUUUUCUCUGACCGCUCGCCGAUACCCCGGGACCGCAUCCUUAUCGCGCGCGCCGCAUGUGCGCUCCCCACGUUGAUCUCAGUAUGAUUCAAGUCGACAUCAGCCUCCAGACAAGCGUUCUCCAUCUCCAUCUUCAGCAGAUCGAAAUGUUUCUCGUUUUUGGGGUCAUUCCAAGCUCCCAGAAUGAGUGUUCUGUUCAGAUCUUCGGGUGUCAUCGGUUGGUAGAUCUUGCCAAAGGCGUCGGACGUGUACGACGCGGGCAGGAUGCCGUACUUGCAAGAGAUAACGCCGCACUGCACCAAGACCAUCAGAAGAAGUGGCAGCAGCUCCAUCGGCUCAAUAUACUUUCUAGUUUCUCCGAGAUCAGCAAACACCGCAAGCGGGGGGAUGACAAAGAGGACCGGUCCCAACACGAACAUUAAGUUGGCGGACUUGUCUAUCUGCCUGAACGCCUUCCGCAUGCGUUCGCCGAUGAUGGGUAUUGGAGCGAAGAAUCGCGCACCCGCGCAAUACAUGGCCUCCUCUACCGUGUGACCGAACACCAAAGUCUCAACAACCAGAACUGCAAUCCACUGCAACGUAGGGAACGAGAGGGCCUCGUACAAGAACGAGCGAAAGAACUGAGAGUAGUUGAACUUGGAGUUCGGACUGAGGUAGAAUCGGCGACUGUACGCGGACGCCACCCUCAAGCAUCCUUCCUCCUCGGACGCCUCCACGCGGACGUACCUGGCAACGCGCUCAGCCUUCUCCAAGUUUCCCUCCGCAUGCGAGUCUGCACGCGAAUCUUCCGCUUCCGGGACGAAUUGGGCACCCGCGCUCGGGCGAACGACCGAGGAUGAUGACGCACCGAUACCCUCGAAGUUAUCAUCCCCAGCCUCCUUCGCGACGAGCUUCUUCGACGACAGCGAGAGACUGUUUCUCAGACUCCUGGCCCCAAACGCGGCCUUGAACGCGCUCUCCGAAUUCACCAUCCUGAUGAAGGUUCGUUGCUUCACCACGCGAGCGAAGGCGGCGCCGUCCUGGGUUCCGUCGUCGACGAUGCGCUGCGCGGCAACCUUCGAGACCGCACGCUGCCAGAGCUCGCGCGGGGUCAUGUUGGGGUUGGAAUCCUCCAUGGUGGCUGUGGAGAGUGCGCCCACGGGGGAGAUCGUUAGUCUACGAUAAAUUGAAGGUACUGGAGGUCUCUGGGAAAUUCAAGACUGAAUCACUAUAGACUACGAGUCGCUGUCAGAAGAGCUGUCCGAGCGGUCCCUCCUCGACCUCUUGCUCUUCUUGGACUUCUUCUCCUUCUUGCUCUUCUUCUUGGAGUCCUUCUUCUUGGAGUCCUUCUUCUUGGAGUCCUUCUUCGCCUUCUUCGAGGAACGCCCGUCGUCGUCGUCGGCGCGGUGUCGCUUCUCGGGGACGCCCCCCGGGGGUGGCGCGGGGCCCGACACGACAUCCGUCGGAGCCUCAACCGGCCGCCUACCCUCGAGGGACGCGCUCUCCAUCGUCCCAAUCGCGCGUUCCCGCCGAUCGGGGGACCUCUCCCUCCGUCUGGGCGGCGGCGGGGGGUCGUUCUCCUCGUCGCUGUCGUCGAAGAUGGCUUUGAAAAAUUCCAUCGGUCGCUCUGGAACGAUUCCGAGGCUGUCCAGAAAGCUCUCAGCUUCCUCCCGGACGCUGGGCUCGCGAGCGGAGACGGGACCGGGACCGACACCGUCGCCGGCGGCGGAGGGAACCGGCUCGCCCGCGGGGGGCGCGGAGACGGGCCGGGAGCCCCACGCGCCGGUGCUGUAUCGCCGCAGGUCUCCGCCCGGAACAACCGGGGUUUGAAGUGCAGGGUUUAGGGUUUGAACGGACGCGGUAGGCGCCGCGGGCGGAUGGCUCCGCGGCGGCGGCGGGGGCAUGACCGAAGCCGGGACCCGCCGCGGCGGCGGCGGCGGCGGGACCUCCAGGACCCGGUCGUCCCCCCCGGUCGGCGGUAAAAACUUUGGCGCCGCCGCCGUCGCCGCCGCGACAGUCUCCGUGAGCACGAUGCUGUCCGACUUGAAGCUCCUCACCGCGCCGGGCUUUGCUCGUCCCUCGAACGGGUCCCUCACGUCGAACCUCUUGCACAGGAGGCUCUCCGGCGCCCAGUCGCGGCUCACGCGCGAGUUUACGAUUGGCGCUAAUUUCGCGCGUUCCUCCCGUUCCCUCGCCUCUUUUGGAUCCUCCAGAGCUCCGGCGGAUACAAACGAAGAAGCCAUGGUCAGCCCCGGCUUGAGCGCUCGCGAGCCGUGGCCCAUGUCCUGCGUCUCGAGGGUGCUCCCGGACGUGAACAUGCUCCCGAGAUUGGCCUGUAUCCUGCUCCGAUCUGCCGCCGCGAUCCCCUUCACGUUGAUCGUCUCCGGCUGCUUCUCUGGUACCUUAGUCCCGGGGGGAGGCGCCGCGGAUAACGGCCUGGCCAAACCCCCGCCCUUCAUCGUCGCCGGCAGCGGGGUCUCCCCCAGCAUCCUCGCGCGAUCGUCCGCGUCCAGCGGCUUGGGCCUCGCCUCGCCGAGCGCCACGCUCGCCCACUGCGUCACCGCCCCCGUCCCGGCUCCCAACUCUCGACGGCACUCGCCCAGCUUGUACCGGUAGUACCCCUCGUCCGGGCCGCCGAAGAGGAAGCUGAACUUGGGAUCGCCGCGUUGCCUCUCGCGCGCCAUCGCCUCGAACGCGGGUCCGUUCUUGGCGACGAACAUGGCCGUCGUGUCGAUAAAUUUGGCUCGUUCGGCAUCCGACGGGGGCGGCACCGGCGGCGGCGGCGGCGGCGCCCUCGGCGGCGGCUUCGCCAGAGCCCUCGACGCGUCCGCGAAGGGGGGCGGCUCCGUGCCGGGCGGGAACACGUGAAACGCCCGGAACGACUUCGGGACGACCGGCGGCGGGUACCACGUGGCGGGCGCCAGGGUAUCCGCGGAGAGCGAGAAACCCCGAACCGCGCCGACUCCCCCCUCGCCGGAGCGCCGACCGUCCUUCCCUCCCCCUCGCCGCCUCGCAUCCUCCCCCUUCUUUUCCUCCUCAUCCUCUUCAUCCUCCUCCUCGGACAUGAUCUCGUACGUGUGACCGAUCUCGUCGCCGCCCAGCGUCCUGGUUCGGUACACGUCCUCGUCCGGGUCGUCCCCCUCGAACACGCCGACGCCGAAAGCCUCCCCGCGAUUCGGCCGGACGGAUCCGAGACCCCGGGGGUCCGCGUUCCGUCGCACCGCACGAGCCUCCGCCACCUUGCGAAACUCCUCGGCGCCCUCGAAGGGGUCGUACCCGACGCCGUGCAGGUUCGUCUUCGGGUGAAGGACGUAGCGCGGGGUGUCGUCGACGAGCGCGGUUGCGGACUUUCCCCAUCGGCUCCUUCGGCUCCCGCCGUUUUCGUCGUUAACGUCGCCUUGACCGUCGCCGUCGCCGUCGCCUUGACCGUCGCCGCCGUUGCCGUUGCGUGCCCCACCGCGCCCGAUCCCCUUGCCGCGCCUCCAACCCAUCAGCCGCAGGAGCCUCGCGCCCACCGGGUCCGAGGUUGGGACGACCAGAUCGGACGGCACCGGGCCCGGGAUUAUCGCCGGGCCGUAAACCUUGCGCCGACCGCCGUCGCCCGUCGCCUCGCUCGCGGCCAUCGCGCGCUGCGCCCGGAGCUCGGCGGCGGUUCCGAACGUGUCGUAAUCGUCCCGGGCCUCCAGCGCCGUCGCGCGCAUCUCCUCGCGCUCGUCGUCGUCCAUGAAAUCUUCCGCCGUCUGGGUCACCUUGGCGCGGUUGGCGCGCGAUGACGUGAACUGCUGCGGCGUCCAUCCCUCCUUGCUGCCGACGGUGUUGAAGUAUCCGGCGGAGAACCCCCCGGUGAAGGCGCCGUGGAAGCGUCGCCUGCCCUCCGCGUCCGUGGCCUCCUGCUUGUGCACCGGAAGCGCCUUCGUCACCGCGAGAUCCGUCACCUUCUUGCGGUAGCCGCGGGCCUCCUCCUCCUGCUCCAGGGGGGUCCCGACGACGAUGAAAUCCUCCGAGUCCGAGUCCAUGGCGACGUACCGGGAGGCGACACCCCGCCCCCAGUCGCCGUCGCCCGCCGCGCGCCGCCCGCUCUGGGAAGAGGUAAACCUAGAGUUGGGCACCCAGUUCCUUGGCAGCUUGGGCGGCAACUCACAACAGAAGUCCCCGAAUUUCCCGAUUGUCGACCGUGCCAGUUGGCAAAACCGGUUUCGACUCGAUCGCCCCAGGGUCUCCGCCUUCCAGAACCAACGCGCGCCGCCCUUACGUCUCCCCGAUGCAGCAGGCAGCCCUCAGGCGUGCGGCUCGAGCCGCGCUGACCCAGGUGCGUCGACCGCGCGACUCUUAGUGGAGACACCGGCCCGUCUCCUUCCGGCAAGCCAAAAAUCACGAUUGUUAGCCGACGACGUGCCACGGUCCCCAUGACGUUCUGAGCCCAUCGUCCCCUCCCCCUCUCUUUCCCGCAGGUGGGCGCCGCGACCUCACGCCGCGCCGUUCCUUCCAUGGCAUCGUCCGUGUACACCGCGGCGGCGGCUCCCACUGCCCGCACCGCCGUAGCCUCCGUCGCCAAGGCUGCGUCGUCGCUUCCCGCCAACCCCGGAACAUCGCGGGGCUUCGCCGCCUCCGCCGGGACGAUCGCCGAGGCUGCGUCCGCGCUCGAGCAGCAGUACGCCACGCCGCUUCAGGCGCUCCAUUGGCUCAUCGCGGGCGGAACCGUCGGGACGUUCGCGUUCGUUCAGCUCGCCAUGAACCUCCCGAAGGAUCAGGCUGCCGAGAAGGGCCGAUUCAUGAUGCUCCACAAGUCGCUUGGACUGUGCGUGCUGGGGCUGACGAUCCCAAGGCUGGCGCUGCGUCUGACGACCAAGAUCCCCGCCGCGGUGCCCGGCAGCAAAGCGGAGCAGAUCGCCGCGCAGCUCGGGCACCUCGUCAUGUACGGCAUGAUGACGGCGAUGCCCGUGUCGGGGUUCAUAAUGGGAUACUACGGCGGUCGCGGGCUGCCCUUCUUCGGCUACACCAUCCCGGGAGCGUCCAAGAGGGACGGUAAGCUGGCGGGUAGGGCGUUCAAGCUGCACAAACAGCUGGGCUGGUACUACGAGAUGUUCGUCCCACUUCACGUGGGCGCGGUGGGCAUGCACGCGAUCAAGGGCCAGAACAUCAUGCGGCGCAUGGGCGUGACGGCGUUUGGCUGAUGAGAGCGCGACGUUAGACGUUUGAUCGUCAAAAUUUGUAAGUGACCGAGCCGUCGGAGUCACCGUCCGGGUCCUCCUCCUCCUCCUCCUCCUCGAUCAGCGCCCGCUGCUUGGCCAGCACCCGCUCAGCCUCCUCCAUCAUCUUCUUCUGCUCGCCGUCGUCCAUCGCCUGCAGCUUCUUACCUGCGCGAGCCGCCUGCCUCUGCGCCUCCACGAGAACCGUCUCCGCCUCGGCGUCGUCGCCCUUUGAGAUGAAAUCCGCCAUGGCCGUCAUACCAGUCGCCUGCAUAACCUUCGCGAUCUCAGCCUCACGCUCAGCCGCCGCCGGAUUGGCCACCGCCGCCGCCUCCUCCGCGGCCACCUCCUCGAAGUCCAGCGUUGGCUCCACGGCGCUUCCGACGAAGAAGAACACGUUCGCCACCGUCUUGCGUCUCAUGUCGCGGACCAUGUCGACAAAGGCCCUCGCGCCGUCGAUGCGAUACUCCUCCAUCGGGUCCAGCUGGCCGAAAGCUCGGACGUUGACGCUGCUCCGAAGCACCUGCAUCUCCACCAGGUGCCUCUGCCACCGGUCGUCGAUCGCCCUCAGCACCCACACGCGCUCGACAGCCUCCAGAUCGGUGCGAUCGUACCGCUGGUUUAGCCGGGCGAACCUGUCCAGGUAGAGCGCGAUGGCGCUCUCGGAGAGAUACGUUCGCAGCAUCCUCCCCUCCGCGGCGUUCAUGCCCCUCCUGCCGUAGUCCUCCAGCGAUUUCAUGCCUUUGGUGAUCUCCAUGCGCUUCUCGACGCGUGCCGCGAUGCACUCCUCCGCAGCCUCGGGCUCCGUGUCCACCACCCGAGCGGGCUUCGCCGGGGGAUUCAUGUCGACGACGUCCACCCCCCGAAGCGCCGCCGCGACAACCUCCGGCGCCGCCUCCAGGCCCGGGAGCUCCGUCUGGAGCGGCAUGGCGCCCUUGCUCUUGAGCGCAUCGCGGAUUCCGCGAGCGUCCACGCCGGGGAGGAAGUGCGGGAACUCGCUCAUCGUUUGCCCGGACUCGUUCAGCCACUGGUCCCUCCUACCCGCGAAGACAGUGCGGAGGUCGUCGAGGAGGCCCUCGAUGUCCCAGUCGUCGAUCGGCCUCAGGCCGUCAACCUUGGCCCUGUCGCACGCGUCGUCGACGAUCCACUCGAUGUAUCGCAGUAGCCUGGCCCUGAGCGGCUGCUGGCCGUCCUCCAAGACUUUGCGUCGAACGUUGUAUAUGGCGUCCCUCUGGCCGUCGAUGAUUCGAUCCGUCUCGUACGUCGACGUCCUGUGCGUGGCGUGGAAGUCCUCGAUGGACGCCUGGAUCCCCGCGAGCUGCUUAUCGACGACGUCGGAGAAGAGCGGGGUGUCAUCGUCCAUCCCGGACCAGUCCCACACCGACGACGACGCCCAUCCCGGGCAGUACACCGCCAUGAGCUCGUCCUCCAUCGAGAGGCAGAAGAUGGUGGAGCCCGGGUCGCCCUGCCGACCGGCUCGACCGCGGAGCUGGUUGUCCACCCUGCGGCUGUCGUGGAGGGCGGUGCCGAUGACCUGAAGGCCGCCGAGGUCGCGCACGAGCGUCGCCUCGCGCUCGCACUGCGCGGUGCAGUCCUCGAGGAGGCAUACCGCGGCGUGCCUGAGCGCGUUCAUGACGGGGUUCGGGCCGCCAAUCUCCUUCUCCCUCUCAGCCGCCGCCGCCUCCGCAGCCUCCCGCACCGCGCCGCCCCUCAGAAUCUGCUCCGCGUACUCGACAGCCUCCGUCACGAGCGCCACGACGGCGUCGGGAGACACCGGUACGGCGCCGUCCGCCUUGGCGGUGACGUGCGCGAGGCCCACCGCGGCCUGAACCGCAGCCUCCGUCUUUGGGGACAUCCCGACGGUGGCCAUCGGGUUGGGUUCCGACGCGUCGUCAGCCUCGGGGGUGCCCACGCUGAGCUUGGGAAACAGCGCGCGCUCGAGGAAGAGCCUGGCGAGGCCCGGGGGGUUACCGCCGAGCACGAUGUCGGUGCCUCGUCCCGCCAUGUUCGUGGCGAUCGUCACGGCGUGGGCGCGGCCAGCCUGAGCGACAAUCUCCGCCUCCUUCGCCGCGAGCUGCGGGCGGGCGUUGAGGAGCUUGUGGGGCACCCCGUUCACCAGCUUGCCGUCCUGGGACUGCCACCUGUACUCGGCGAGGAGCCGGGAGAGGUACUCGCUGUGCUCCACCGAGGUGGUGCCCACGAGCACCGGCCGUCCCUCCCAGUGGCACGACACGAUGAGGUCCGCCACGGCGUUCCAUCGAGCCGCCGCCGUUCGGAACAUCGCGUGGGGUUUAUCGACCCUCAUGUUCCGCCUGUGCGUGGGCACGGUGACGACCGAGAGUUUGUACGUCGUGUAGAGCUCCUCAGCCUCGGUGGACGCGGUGCCGGUCAUGCCGGAUAGCUUGUCGUAGAGCUUGAACAGGCACUGGUACGAGAUGGACGCGACGGUGGUGUUCUCCCGCUUGAUCUCGACGCCCUCCUUGGCCUCAACCGCCUGGUGGAUGUUAUCGUUCCACCGGCGGUUGGGCUGCACGCGCCCGGUGCCCUCGUCGACGAUCAUCACCUGACCCUCGCGGACGAUGUAAUGGACGUCGCGGAGGUACAGAGACUUGGCCUUGACCGCGAGGAGUAGGUACCGGCCCCACGGGUCGUACGUGUCCCAGAUGUCCGAGACGCCCAGGAGCUGCUCCGCGACCAUCAUCCCCCGCUCCGUUAAAUCCGCCGUCUUUUGCUUGCGGUCCACGACGUAAUCCGAUCCCUCCUUGAGCUGCGCCGCCACCUGCGAGGCGACGGUGUACUUGUUCAUCUCCUCGUCCCCCUCCGUCGCGGGACCCGUGAUGAGCAGCGGGUUGCGCCCCUCGUCGAUGAGGACGGAAUCGACCUCGUCGACGAUGGCGAAGUUGAACCCGCGGCGCAUGACGAGCUCGUGCGCCUCGUUGGCCAUGUUAUCCCGCAGGUAAUCGAAGCCAACCUCGGUGUUGGUGACGUAGGUUAUGUCCGCCUCGUACGCCUCCCUCCGCUCCUCCGCCUCCAUGUCCGUCUGGAUGAUGCCCACGGUGAGCCCGAGCGAUUGGUGCACGCGGCCCAUCCACUCGGCGUCGCGCCUCGCGAGGUAAUCGUUCACGGUGACGACGUGCACCCCCUUACCCGUGAGCGCGUUAAGGUACGCGGGCAGCGUCGCCGUCAGCGUCUUGCCCUCGCCCGUGGCCAUCUCGCAGAUGCACCCGUCGUGCAGCAGCGCGCCGCCGACGAGCUGGACGUCGAAAUGCCUCAUGUUGAGCUCGCGCCUGGCGCACUCGCGGACCACCGCGAAGGCCUCGACGAGCAGAUCGUCCAGGGUCUCGCCCUUCUUGAGCCUAUCGCGGAACUCGUCCGUCUUAGCGGCGAGCUCCGGGCCGGACAGCGCGCGCAUGGCGUCCUCGAGCCUGUUCGCGGGGACGACAACCUGGCGAACCUUCUGAUCGAUGACGCGAUCGGCGCCCUUGGGUAUGGCGUCGGUGAGGUCGCUCGCGAACUUGAUCGGGUUCUUGACGACGUCCCGGACGUUCGGCAGCGGUCUCCGCGCCUUGGCGAAGUCCGGGAGCUCGUCCUGGGUCGGCGCGGAGCCGUCCACCGCGGCUCUAGGGGCGGCGGUCGUCGACGUCCUCGACGAGAUCCGACGAUUGGGCGGUCCGGGUCUUUGCGAACCGCCCACGCGGUGUCGCGAUCCGAGCUCGCCGCGACCGCCGCCCCGAGCCCACGGCGACCUCGCGGUCGCCUGGACUCCCACCGCGGCCGUCGACGCCAUCCUCUUCCAACGCCUCGCGAGCGCGGAGUCUCCGAGUGUGAGGCGUCGAGGUUUUCAAGUUGGUUGAAGAAAAAAAGGCGGUGGCCCGGGUGGUGCUCUAUGGGGAUUUAUAACUCAAGGAUCCUUGAGUCAAAUGUCUGGACCCCACAGCCAAUCAGCUUUCGUUUUUUUGAGAUCUUGACCGCUAUCUUCUCCUUCGCCGAUGGGGCCACUUCGACGCGCACCCCAUCGUCCGACGAUGAGCUCCGCUCUCGCCUCCGCGGCCUUCACGGUCCGCGCGGCCCCCACUCGUGCCACCGCGCGCACCACCGCGCGCGCGUCCCUCGUCGCCAAGGCCCCCGCCGGCCUCAGGGCGACGCUCCCGGCCCGACUGAGCAAAUCCGCCGGCGUCUCCGUGUCCCGCCGCGGCGUCGUGACCAGGGCCGACGGCGCCGCGACCCGCGACGUCUCCGUGAAGACCAACACCGAUAACCUGAUCAUCGACCCCGUGGUCGGCGCCAAGCGCUUCAGCAACUACUUCUGGGCCGGCGUCGUCUCCAUCGGCGCCACCGGCUUCCUCAUCACCGGCGCGUCCUCGUACUUUGAGCACAACCUGCUCUUCUUCCUCGACGCGUCCGAGAUCAAGUUCUUUCCCCAGGGCCUGGUGAUGAGCUUCUACGGCGUCGCGGGCUCCCUCCUCGCCACCUACCUCUGGCUCACCAUCAACUGGGACGUUGGAGCGGGGUACAACGAGUUCAACAAGGACGAGGGCAUCAUGCGCAUCUUCCGCUACGGCUUCCCCGGCAAGAACAGGCGCAUCAACCUCGUGACGCCGCUGCAGGACAUCCAGGCCGUGAGGGUGGAGAUCGCGGACGGCGUCAACCCCAGGCGCGUGGUUUACGUGAGGUGCAAGAACAAGAGCGACAUUCCCCUCACCCGCAUCGGCCAGCCCCUCACCCUGGCGGAGGUUGAGAAGCAGGCGGCGGAUCUCGCCAAGUUUCUCCAGGUUCCCAUCGAGGGCCUGUAAACUUGGGUCGUCUCCGGCUUGGGAGAGGUUGGGAAGAGGCGCGGCGCGGCAUUAUUAAACGCUAUAGCACUAUCAUACAUCGAGAUACAGUAGUUUACACACGCGUGACGACCCGCGCGUCGUCUCGGUCCAACCCCUGAGCCGUCGUGCGCGAGAGUCGUUCGUUCGCCGCGACAAAAGGAGUGCCACGGGGUGGUUUCGCGUCAGUGCGAUUGAUGGCGCAGGCGCAGGCGCUGGCGUGUGCUCGAGGGCUGAGGCACGCGCGGAGUUUCACCGCCGCGCGCGCGCGUCGUGACGCACCCGUCCGUCCGGUCCCCGCCGCGGCGGGCACAGCGCGUCCCUACGGCGCACACGAGGGCCGAGCUCGGCGGAUGGAGUCUGAGCGCGAUGCGACCGGCGCCGUCGCCAAGAAUACCCUUCACGGCGCCAACCACCCCAGCCUAUCGCUCCGCCUCGUCACCCCCGACGGCGACAGACUCGACGCGGGGGUUGACUUCAACCUCCACGCGUGGCCGCCGGUGCCGUGCGCCAAGUACUUCGACGACCGCGCGUGGAGGGCGGUUGAGUCCUUCGCCGCCCGCGUCGUCCUCGGCGAGGCGUGCGUCUCCUCGCUGGCGCCGGGCGAGAUGGAACCCGCGGGGGUGUGCCCGGGCCGGGGCGUGAACCAGGACGGCACGCGCAUCGAGACGCUCCCGAUGCGAACCAAGGGAUCGCGGGGGCGACGGACGAACGUCAGGGUGCACCUCGCCUACUACGGACCGGCGUUCACCGGAUGGGCGUGGACGCCGGAGAAUGACAAGGACUACACCGACUGCCCGCGCUCGGCGGAUGCGACGAGCGCGAGCGCGAGCGCGAACGCGGAGGACGACGCGGAGGACGACGCGGUGGACGCAGCUCGUGGAUCGAGCACGGAGUGGAGGUACGGCGAGCGCUCCGUCAGCGCCUCCAUCCAGCGCGCCCUCCGGCCGUUGUUCUCGAGCGACAAGGAGCGGCUGAUCCACAGCGCGGGGCGCACGGACAAGGGCGUGCACGCCGCCGCGCAGUGCUUCAGCGUGUGGUCCAACGCGAAGGACACGUUCACCCCUCGCAACGUCCGCGACGCGUUGGUAGCGCACCCGGCGCACGCGGCGGGGGCGUGGCGGGUGGUGGGCGAUGUAGAGGAAGUUUCCGAUGCGUUCCACGCGACGUUUUGCGCGACGUGGCGCCGGUACGUCUACAUCUUGCCAAUGCGGUCACUGGGUGACGAGGAGGAAAACGGCUUGUCAAAUGUCGCGGUGGACCCGGCGGCGACGAACGCGAUGCUUAACGCGCUCGAGGGUAAGUCGAUGGACAUGUCCGCGUUCGCCAGGGCCACGCCUCCGGGUAAGGACUCGACGUGCUUCGUGAAGGUUGCUCGAGCGUUUGAGGCGACGGUGCCCGCUUCAAAGGGAGCCGAGCGGGGCGUCGGACGAGGCGCGAGACGCCGGAAGAGUGCAGGGUUUAGUGAGGACGGGGGAUUGGGAGUGGGUGGCGGGGGUGGCGGGGAUGGCGGGCCCCCCAAUAGCACUAUGGAGCGCGUCCUCGUCGUCGAGCUGGUGGCUGAUCGGUUCCUAAGAAAGAUGGUCAGGACGCUCGUCGCGACGGCGGUGCGAGAGGCGGCGACGGGCGCGCGCGGGGACGUGCUGCUCAGGCUCGCCCGGGCGGGGGAGAGGGCCGCCACGGCACCCCCCGCGCCGCCCGAGGGGCUCAUCUUCGCCGGAGUUGGAUACGGAAAUCACCCGGUUUGGGACGUAGGGGGGCGCGACUGAGUCUCGGCAAUGACGGAUCAUCAACACAACACGGCAUCCCUAACACAACACGGCAUCCCUAACACAACACGGCAUCCCUAACACGACACGGCAUCCCUAACACAACGCGGCAUCCCUAAUAACCCCAUACGUCCUUCGCGUGCCGCUCAAGUCGGGGCGGCGAACGGCGGGUCGUCGUCGAGCCCGUCCCAGGAGCGUUUACCGGUGAGAAACUCGAGCGGCGUCCGCGUCAGCGAGGUCAGCGAGUCCAGGAACAGGUUAGACCGCGGCAGCCUGCCGGACAAGAAGUCCUCCUCGAUGACGUCGACGAUGACGAGCACCAUGUACCACGUCCCGACCAGCAGGAGAAUCAACGCGAAGAGGCGCAGCGCCGACACGACGACGGACUCGCCGCCUGAGACCUCCCUUCCGGCGGAUUUCCGACUCGGCGACUCCUCCGCCGGAAACGGACUCCGCCCGGGGACGCCCCCGCCCUCCUCCGCCUCCGACCGGUCCGUGUUGACCGCCGUCUCCCGCGUCGUCGCCCUCACGCGCGUGGACUCGCGCGGGGACUGCGACCGGGUUCGAUCGAACGACGCGCCGUGCCUGAACGACGACUCGUUAGACCCGGGCCCGCUGCCCCCGUGCCUAUUGAGCGACGAAUCGUUGGAUCCCGGGGCUUCGUCUUCUCCGGUUGAGUGUCUCCGAUUGACGGCGCCCGACUCUCUGCCGCGUCUCCGGACACUGUCGUCGGCGCCCACGCCGGGCUCACGCGCCGCAGACGCCGGCUCCCCGCCAACGCCCCCCGACCUGUCCCCGUCGUCGUCCCCGAAGAGGAGGCGGCCCGUACCCGUCGCCUCCGACGACACCUUCCGACCCGAUCGGUGGCGCGCCGACGUUUUGGACGACCCGGCGCUUCGAUGCGACCCGACGUGCCCGGACCCGCCCCUUUUCCCACCGCCGUCCGUCGAGGCGUUGCUAUCGCGGCGCUGCUGCUGCUGCUGCUGCUGCUGCUGCUGCUGCUGCCUGACGACGCCCCCGCCGCUGUGAACGUCUCGAGCCACAGAGCCGCCGAACGAUCCGACGGAUGCCCGGUGAGGUCCGUGCGGAUACUCCCCCCGCCCCGGCGUUCCUCCGUCCAAAUGCACCCCCCCGCCGCCGCCGCCGUCGUUCGGGGUGGCGGCCGCCGUCGCCGGGCUGCUCAUGUUGGACUUGAUCUCCGCCAGCUCGCGCCUGAUGGCCUCGAACUCCUCCUUGACGCUGAACUCCUCGGCGGCGACGUAUCCACCGUCGCGGCCAUCGCCAUCGCCGACGCCUUCUCGAGCGGCGGUCGUUUCAAAGUCGACGGCUCUCGGCGCGCCACCGCCGCUCGACGUCGGCGACGGUCGAUGCAGCGAGCCGCGGACGGGUCCCGCGCUUCCAAACGACGCGCCGGGCGAGAGCCCCCUGAACCCGCGCCUCGACGACGAACCGUCGGCGCCCCUCGGUUUCGGCGUGGUGAAUGCGCCGAUGUUGCGAAAGACCCGCCCCCCCCCGCCGCUGGCGCCCACGAGCAUCGCGCGGUACUCGUCAGCCUCGCGCUCCAGGUCCGAGUCCUCGUAUUCCAUGCCGUCGUCCGAGCCGGGGUCGUACCCGGGCGUCGAGCGCGGCGAGGGUCCCGCGCGACCGCUCGACGACGAGACUCGCGCGGGCGGAGGAUCGAUCUCGAGCUCCUCCAUCGUCUCCGCCUGACGUGCCGCCCGCAUCGCGCCGCGGCCCGGCGUGCCGUCGACGAGGAGCACGGACGCGGGCGCUCGCCAAAGGUCGUCCUCGGAGCUCUCCGAGUCGCUGUAUAUCGGACGAGCGGCGGGGGUUCGACGCUGCGCGGGGGAGGGUGAAGGGUCGCGGCGGGUCAGAUUUUCGGGAUUGGCGGUCAAAAUUGUGCUCUCCACGAUCUGAGACGGGUUCGGGCCGCGCACCGCCUGGCCGAAGGGCGUCGUCGCCCUGCGGGCGCGGGGAGUCGCCAUUCGACCCCGCGUUUACGGCUCGAGCGGGCUCCUGGGCUGACACGGAGGCCACUCGUGUCCUUCGCCCCUGGAGUGAAUUCAACAUUUCGGGCAGGGUUGACAAAAACAGCGAGUCGACCGAACUUUUUGCGUCUUCUUUAGCCCCGCCACCGCCUCUCAGGAGCUAGCUAGCUAUCCAACUCGUCAUCCUCCCCCCUUCGCAUCCACUCCGGCGCGUCUCCCACCCCCGGUAUCACCGUACCUCCCUUGGUCCUGUCGCCCCUCGGCCUGGUUCCCCCCUUCCUGGCCAACUCGCGCUCCACCCAGCCCGGCUCACUACUUUCGCCUCCGUCGGUCUCCACGAACGCCCUUCGCGCAGGGUCCGCCUUGUCGAACCUCGCCCUGGCGGUGCCGGUGACGAAUACCUGGAGGUACGCCGCCGCGCCCAGGAUGAAAACCAGGGCGAACAGCUGAGGAGCGAUGAGCGAGGCGUCCAUCGGGCUCGGCGUGUACGGCGGCGCGGGCGCGGUCGUCUCCACUGCCGACGACGACGACGAUGACGGUGCCGUCAGCGAUGGGGUGCCCUCCCCUCCUCCUCCUCCUCCUCCUGCUGCCGCCGCUGCUCCUCGGAUGCGCCGCGCCGGCAACGCCCGGCCGCUCCUCCUCCGAAACGCGGACGCCGGCGAUGCGACGAGACGGGCGGAGAGGCACGCCGCGACGUGGGUCCCCAUGGAGUGGUCCGCAGCGCGCGCGCCGGUCUGGCAGUUGGGCCAAGUCACCGCACAUUUUGGAUGUGAUAACGUGGCGUCACCAUCAGUUUACAUGCUCGCGGUCGGGGCUCCGUCGCGCGUCCUCGCGCCCCGGCGCGCGCCGCGCGGCGCCGUCCGCCGCGCCGUACCCGCGAAGAAGCCGCCGCUCGUCAUCCGCGCCGCGAGCCACGGCGACGACGCUCCCGCGGAUGCUUCCGCUCGUCGUCCGCGCCUCGUCGACCCAUCGAACGAAUCGAAGAAGCGCGUGACGACGACCGGGGCGAAAAGGGCUGUCGAGACCUGCGUCGCGUGCGGCGGCGUCGGCGUCGUCGAGUGCCGCGCGUGCGGGGGCAAGGGCACCCUCGCCGCGGGGGGCUUCCACGCCAAGAACCACGUGGACAUGGCCAACGUCGUGGGCACCAAUUGGACCGCGCACAGGCGCACCAAGGGAUGGCGGCACUUCGAGUGCAUCGGCAAGUCCCCCGCGGACAAGGCGAACGGCAAACCCCGCGCGUCGGUGCACCUCGCCGCCACGUGCGACAGGGACGUCACCGUGUGGGUCGACGUGAAGGAGCUCAAGGACCGACACCUGUGGAGCGCGGGGUGGAAGCAGCGAGAGGACCUCGACUGGAUCGGGGACCCCGACCAGCCGGGAGGGGCCGUCGCCGUGCCAAAACCAGGCGCCCCGUGCGUAGCGUGCGACGGCGAGGGGCGGGUGCCGUGUCAGCGGAGGGGGUGCGUCAACGGCGCUGAACGGGUGCGAAAACAGAGGGAGGUGAUCGAGCGAACCGAGCGGACGUUCAAGAAGGUCAUCAAGGCGACGCGAGGGGAGGGGACGGAGGGUGAGGCGGGUGAGGCGGCGGCGGAGCUGCGAAGGCGGAUGAAGCGGCAGCUCAAGGACAUGGCCAAGGCCAAGCCCGGCGGGAGGGCGGGCAGGGACCGAGGCGACACCGUUUCGAGGGGCAACAACGGGAACGGGGAGGAGGACUGGGGCGCGUGGGGCCGGAGACGAAGGGACGAGAAGCUGGAUAAGUGGAUGCGAGCGGGCGCCGUCCCAGACGAGGAUUGGCCCGAGGAUGACGAGAAAAAGCCGAGGUCGCGUCGCAGAGAGCGGCGACGGAGGGGGCGCGACGCGGGCUGGGACGAUCAGCAGUGAGCCGGUGACGACACGCGACGCGUCACAUCGAUCGGUAGAGGACAACUCCGGUGCAAUACAAUCAAUCCGUCGAUCUAUCCGUCGAUCACUUCUUCCUGCGCCUGCGGCCGCCGCCGCCUUCAUCCGCUCCGCCCCCCGUGAGUUUGUCAGCCUCCGACCGGUGCUGCGCCUGGAGGGACUUCCAGAACGCGAGAGGAUCGUCGUCGUCGCCUCCCGCGGACACAUCGGGCACCGGCGCGACGCCCGCGAGCGCCUCGAUCUCCGCGAGGGACUUGGGCGCCGACGCGGGCGCGGCGGGAGCCCGCGGCGGCGGCGGCUGCGCCGAUCCUCCGAUGCCGAGGAGGCCCUUCAACGCCGCCGCGCCGUCGUCGCCGGCCGCCGCCCUCGGGACCGGAGGCAUGGACACCGGCGCGGGAACCGGCACCGGGAGGACGGGAGCGGAGCCCCGCCGCGUCGCCCCGCCCCCCGCGCCGGCGAGGGAGUCCCAAAACGCCGCGGCGUCGCCCGGGCCGGGGGGAGGUCCCGGCGAAACCGGACCCUUAAUCGGGGGCGUCACCGGCGCGUCUCGUUUAGUCUUGGGCGCCGGGAUCUUGGGCUUUGGCACAGCCUUAGCCUCGGGCGCGCCACCGACGCGCCGCUCGAGCUGCUCCAGGGACAUCGCGUGAACCGGGGUGGGGUUCGCGUUCGCACCCGUACCUGGUCCGCCGCCGAUGCCGAGGAGGCCCUUGAGCGCCGCGCCGCCGUCGAGGGGGGGGGCUUUGGAUUUGGCGUUGGCGUCCGCCGCAGCGCCGAGCAUCGCCAGCACGUCGGGGACGCCUCCGGGCGCGCCGAGCGUCUUGGGGGCGACGAUCCCGCCGGGACCGCCGCCGCCGCCCACGAGCCCCGGUAAGCCGACCCCGCGGCCGCGGCCCAUGCCGGGCUCGAAGCCCUUGCUGCCCUUUAUGGGGAUCCGGGGACCGGGCGCGGGGGCGGAGGGCGCAGGGAGUCCGCCCUUACCCGGGAGGAGCGCGGCGGCCAUGGCGAGCACGCCCUUGCCGCCGCCCUUGUUCGCCUCGUUCCACGCCUCCUUGAAACCCUUGGGGAGGGUCUUCUUGCCCUUCUUGUCCGCGACGACCUGGUCGGGCGCGGCGGUGCCGAGCUGCGGCAUCGCGGGCGGGUGCGACAGGUUGACGAGCUGCGCAGUGGGCAACAUCGCGCCUCGCUUCUCCGGGAGCACGCCGUGCAAAUCGGUGGCUCCGACGAAGUCGCAGUCGAACAUCACCUCCGCCGCCUCGCCGUGCACCGCGCAGAUGAACCCGCGGGUGCCGAAAGGCGGCGAGCCCGAGUCUCCGACCAUCACCACCCUGUCUCCCAGGUCAAAGUCCCCGCCGGCGUAGAGGUCGAGCACCUCGCCCGCGCGGACCGGCUGCAUCAAAAGCAGAGGGGAGACGCCCUCGAGCGCGACGGGCGGCGGCGGCUUCGCCUUGACGGACGUCGCGAUGAAGACGUUCUUGACAGCCUCCUCGGGGGCGACGCGGGAAAACUUUGACACGAGCGGCCGUUUGGAAGCGGGCUGCGCCUUGAUCCAAGCCUUGCACUGAUUGAGCGCCGGGAGACGCUGGGGCUCCGGGAGGUGCUUGAGCGCGACGUCGAGCUGAAGGCCCUCGAACCCGCCGUCCGGAUCGGACUGCAACGCGGCGAACACCCACGGGUGGGCGCGCUUGUAGUCCUGGAGGAGCUUCACGCACUGCUGCGAAAAUUCCCACCCGUUGCCCUCCUUCAUCGGCCUGGUGUAGUCCGCGACGCAGAGACCCUUGUUGCCGCUCUUGAGGUUCAGUCCGAUGUCGAUCCUGUCGAACCUGCCCGCGUCCUUCGUGGGCGCCACCCACAGCGGCCCGGUGAGGACGGAGAGGGCUCGGGGUGACGUGGACAGCUUCCUCGCGAGCGCCCCGAGGUUCUCCCAGCGACCCCCUUGGUGGCCGUGCAUCAUCCGCCUCGCGAUGCCAGUGUCGGGCGGCACGGGCUCCACGAACACCUCCAGGCCCUUACCCUCCUCCACGCCCGCGACGGUGGCCACGGCGCCGAAGUGAGAUCGGCCGAGGUAGAGCGCGACGUCGCCGACGGUGAACCCUCCGGUGGAUUUAAAAUCAUCCCCGUCGAGCGCGGGUCUCUCCUGCAUCCGCGGCGAAGGGGACGCGUUCGACGCGAGCACGAGCUGCGCGGGGAGGAGCGCGUCCGUCUUGCCGAACCGUUUCUGGAGCGAGCCGUCGGGGUGGCGCACCAGCCCCUCGCACGCUCGGACGUGCAGCGCGACGGACGUCUGCCCGACGUCCACCCCUCGCUGCGUCAUCCUCUCGUGCGCCACCCGCUGCACCUCCGAGCCCCACUCGCUCGAGGAGUGCGAGACGCGGACACCGCGGCCGGUGAUCUUCUCCGACUUGUCCGACACCGCCACGACCAUCGCCUCCUUCAGGUACGGCCAGUCGAUGUGCACGCGGCGGUUGAUCAAGUGCGCGUAGGACGCGGCGCCGUGUGAACCCUCCUCGGCGUCGAGCGUCAGCGCCGGGUCGCCGCCGCGGCCGACGCGGACGAUGAGGGACUCCUUCUUGCUCGCGGAGCCGAAGACGUUGACGCCCGCGUGCUUGAGCUCGCCGCGGAGGGCCAGCGAGUGCAUGGUCGGGAAUCCCGGGGGUCGGUCCACGCCGAGCUUGACGCCCGGCAGGAGCGGGUCGUCGCCGCCGAAGCACUUGCGACUUUCGGGGAACUCGCCGGGCGGCAUGGACUCGAACAUCCUGCUCUUGCUGGGGAAGAGGCCCGCGAACGUCUUGGGCAGGGUGGACUGCACGUCACCGGUGCCCUUGGCGUCGUGCUGGAAGACGACCAGGGGCCCGGGUUCGUUUCGCGCAAUCUGCGCCGCCGUGAGCUUCGAGGGGGGCACGGAGGCGAUGCACUGCUUCACGAGGUGCUCGUCCAGGAACGGCAGGAGGACCACCCCUUCCCAGUCGUUGCGCUUACCCUCAAAGUCCACCUUGAGGUUCUCCGGGAAGAACUCCGCGAGCGGGGAGUGCGGCGCGGUCAUCAGCCAUCGGUAAGGCUCCGGGAGCAGCGCCGAGCUCUGCGGGGGCUGCACCGCGAGCAACUGCUCAAACGGACGAAAGGGAACGCCGUAGUCGAAAUCGCACGUCAGCGCGCCCAUGCCCGACGCCAGGUCCGACGCCAUCGGGGCGUAGUGGAAAGGGUAGUACCAGGUCCAGGAGGCGACUCCGCGGUAGUAGUACUGGAGGACCCAGUUCAGGCCCUCGAAGUACGCCUGCCUGAGCUCGGCCAGGGGCGCGGGUUGGCCAAUCUUGAGCUCGAGCUUUUCGCGAUAGUACAUCUCCUUCCACGCCUCGAUGCCGCCGCCGCCCUCUUCGAACACCGCGCGUUUCGCCGCGGACAUCAUGGUCGGGUCCGCGGAGAUGCCCUCGGGUUCGGACGCGGGCGAGUCGGUACCGGCGGCGGGGUCCGAGCCAAGUACUUGGGAGUCCUGCCCCGAUCGCAUGAGCGCCGCCAUGGCGGCGGUGAACUUAUCGUUCACGCUCAUCUCGUCCUUACCGGCGGGCUUCUUACCGCCGCGUUUGCUUUCGAACUUGGCGCGCUUAGCCUCCUGGCGCUCCACGUCGGCGGCGCGCUCGGCGAGAACGUCAGCCUCGAGAGCGCCCAUCACCUCCAGGAUUCGCUCCAGCCUGCGGGGCACGAAGGUCCCCCCGCCCCGAUCGCCGGUGAUGUACCCGCCGAGCGAGGGGAGCAGGUCGCGGUACGUCUUGAACAGCGUGUUCAGCGCCCCCUCCGCGAUGUCCAGCGUGGGCAGCGGGGGCAGGAAAUCGUUCCCCACGAGCAUGCACAGCAGCACGAAAUCGUCCACGAUUCUCUCGCAGUCGUACUCGAACGGCAGGGCGUCUUUGACGACCCGAAACUCCUGGUCCAGGUACUCCCUCAGCAACCCCACGUGCAGCAGGAGGAAUCCGUCGUCGGUGGGGUUCUGCAGCACCUCGCGACUGGGUUGGCCGCGUUCGCCGCCGCCGAACUUGACAACCUCGCGGAGCAGGCAAAAGUGCGGCUCGUGGGUGACGAGCGCGAGCAUGAUGAGGUCGGCGUCGAGGCCGUACAGGCAGUGGGUCUGGUUCGGGUCCCACCCGGGUUCGCCCCUCGCCCAGCGGAUGUGCUCCAUGAUCUUGUGCUCGCCCUCGCCCCUGACCUCGUGGCCGGAGAGGAUGACGGUGGCCUUCUGCCACAGCGGAUCCUCCGUCUGCUUCUUCUGGACGUAGAACCGCAGGUGCUCGGAGAGGCGGGCCAUGAACGGGGUGCCGGGGGUGAUGCAGUUGGAGUCGAACGGCUCGCCUUUGGGCUCGGGUUCGCCCUUCGCGAGCGCCUCGGCGCGCAUCUUCUCAGCCUCCCUCGCGCUCUUGAAGCGGCGGGAACGCUGCUGGUUCAUCUUGGCGCGCGGGGCGACGCCGUCGAUCGCCAUGUAGAGCAGGCGCCUGGGGCGGACCAUGCGGAAGAUGUGAUCCAGGUACGCGAACACCUUGGACAUCUGCGAGCGGACGAGGCGGGUCGGAUCACGGUCAGCGUUCGGCGUGGGCGGGAAAGGGCGGGAAAGGAAAGGCGGCACGCGGAGGGAACGAUUCGGGGCGAUCGUCGCGCACCAUCUCAUCCUCGGUCAUGCGCGUGUUGGCGUCGGUCCCCGCGCCGUGCGAGCAGUUGUGGAUCACUCCGUUCAUGUCCAAGUACAGGUUAUCGAUGAUCGGAACGGUCCCGGCGUCGCACGUGUGGUUGAGCAUCGGGUAGCGCUCGGACAGCCAUCGGUAGAACUUGGGGACUCCCAUCUGUGCCGAUUCAGCCGCGCUUUUUCCUCCUCGGGCGUGUGGCUCUGUGGACUGCCGUCCGCGUGUUCAGACCCCGAUCGGCGCGCGAUCGAAGGGUGUCACGCACUAGGUGGAUCACGCCCGCACUGAUGGGUGCGCGCGUCGCUCCAAAUAGCGCGUUGCUUACUGGCGCCCCGGCGAUCUCCAAGACGAGGUUUUGCGAUCAAGUCUGGCGAGGUUGUUGACGCAGCAGCGGCCCGAUCAUCGGGGCGCGGUCCGUUCGGUGGAAAUUGUCCCGUGACCUGACCCUCCCGCGGUGCCCCACAGCCUGGCGCGCGGUGACCGUAGUGCGGCGAGGAGGGAUUCUAACGACGCGGAAGAUGACCGGCUCCACGAUCCAGGCGGCGAGAAGCUCGAGCGGCGGCGCGUUCAGGCGCGGGGGCGGAUUCCGAGGGGCGCCGAUCGCGUUCGCGGUGUUGAUCCUCGCCAGUCUCGUGAGAUCGGCCGAUGCGCUGAAGGUGACCAUCGGCGGCCACGACAAGGAGUGCUUCAACCUGCACGCUGAUCGCUCGGGCGACACUUUCGUCGGGUCCUUCAACGUCGUGGAGGACGGUACGGCCUCGGACGUCUUCGACAUGAUCGUGAAGGACGAGGACAGGUCGAUCGUGUACAGCUUCAAGCACAGCAGCGAGCACAAGUUCGAGUUCAACACCAACCGCGAUGGCGCGCACGAGUUCUGCUUCACCAACAACAAGGGGCACCCGCACACGCUGUACUGGGACGUCAACGUGGGGCAUCACUGGGCACACGACGCCGCCACCGACGCCCACGUCGACGAGCUGCAGAUGUCCUUGGACUCGAUGAGGGAGAUGUACUACAAGCUCCGAUCGGAGGUCAUCUACCAGAAGCACAGGGAGGCGGCGCACAGGCGGACGGCGGAUACCAUCACCGGGCGGGUGAUGGGUUUCAGCGUUUUGAACACAGCCGUGCUCAUCGGGGUGGCGCUGUUCCAGGCGUACUACGUCAAGCAGCUCUUCGAGUCGAAGAGGCGAGGGUCCAUGUCGACCAUGCGAAGCGUGUGAAAGUUUGGGUUCGACCGCGGGUGAUGUCGCCUCGCGUCGUCAGUCAAUCGUCUUUACUCAUCACGAAGCGCGGCUACCUCGACCGUCCCGUCUCGUCCGACCGUCCCGUCUCGUCCGACCGUCCCGUCUCGUCUCGACGCCUGAAAAGCCGCUUCUUACUUACUUAGCGCGCGGGCACCGAGGCGCCCUUCUUUGCGGACUGUUUGGAAAGGUACGUUUCGAGGUCCUUCGCCUGCUCGACGCCAAACUCCACGCACCGUCCCAGCGCGACACCCGCGGUGUAGUUACCGCCCAGGAACAGCCCGUCGCACCCCGCCUUUGCCAAGCCCGCCUUGGCCUCCGCCAGCACGUCCAGGUGCCCGAGGUUGAACUGGGGGAUGGCCUUCUCCCACACCUUGACGCCCACAACCUUGGGCAGAGGGGUGCCGGGCUUGAGGAUCGUCUUGAGCGCGUCCUCGUGCACCGCCUUGACGAGCUCCUCGUCGGACAGCUGCGUGAUGCCGGUGUCCCUCGCGCCGCCGAUGUAGUUGAGUAUCAUGAACUCACCCUCCGGCUGGCGCUUAUCGUCCUUGAACAGGUAGGACGAGUAGAUGGUGCCGAGCGUGCGGAUGCCCUGCGACCGCGGGUGAAGCUGCCCAAACCCGGUGAGACCGCCUCCGGGAAGCGCGGAGGUUCCGUCCAAACGGAAGGAAUCCUCGGGGUAGGAGACGGUCACGGACGCGACGGGCGGAUAGUAGAACUUUCGGAGCGCGGCGGCGGCGUCGGGCGCCAUGUCCUGCACGGUAUCGGCGGUGACGUAAGCCGGCGCGGUCAUCACCACGGUGGCUGUGGUGAUUUGCUUUUCCCCGUCGGGGGUGUCGUAGGUGAUGGCGAACGAACCGUCGUCCCGCUUGGCGAUCUUCGUCACCUUCCACUCGAGCUUGACCUUCUCCGAGCCGAGCGCCUUGGCGAGGCCCUCGGGGAACGUCUUCAGCCCCCCGCGGAAGGAUCCCACCGUCUGGCCCUCCACCUUUGGCAGUCGCGGAUCUCGAGGCCCCCGGGCUUUCUUGGCGUCGUAUGCCUCCUUCUGCGCCUUGAGGGCGCCGAAGACGAGGGAGCCGCCGAGGGGUUCCAGGCGCUGGACCCUGCCGGUGGCCGCGACGGACGAGAGCGCCGCGGGGUCGCCCGCGUAGACGCCGGAGCAGAAGGGCUCGAUGAGCCUCUCGAAAGCCUCCGUGCCGAGGUUUCGCGAGACGAAUUCCUUGACGGAUUCCUCCUUGCCCGGGGGCGGGGGCCGGAUGCCGAUCGCGCCGAGGCCCGCGCGGAUCUUGCCCGGCCAGGUGAGGAAGGUGCCGAGGACCGCGGUGGGAAUGUCCUUGGGGAGCGCCCGGAGCUCCUUGUCCCAGAGGACGUAGCGGUCCGAGUUGGGAUCGGCGAGGAGGAUGUCGUCCCUCAUGCCCGCGUCGCACGCCACGGUGAGGAUCGCGUCGCCGGGCUGGUAAGAGUUGGGACCCUCCUCCCAGAUGUACCCGUUCUCGUUCUUCGUGGUGAUGUUACCUCCCACGCGGUCCCUGGCCUCGGUGACCAGCAUUCGAACGCCGGGCGAGGACCUGCCGAGCGUGAACGCGGUGGACAGGCCGGACACGCCCGCGCCUAUUACCACGGCGUCGUAAUCGGAGUCGGCCGCGACGCGGACGACCAGCCCGCGCGCGGCGGGACGGGCGGCGCGCCUUCCUGGAGAGGUGCGCUUGACGUUGAAGCGGCCACCGGUUGUGGUGGCGACCGCUGAGGCCGAGAGGGUGACGGAGAGCGCCAUCGUGGGGAGCGCGCGCGGCAGUGGCGAAGGUGGCGCUCAAAGGUUGGAUAACUGUGGGAGAUCUCCAAGAUUUGCGCUGCUGGCACCACCGGAUCAGCCGUGUCCCACCUGCCUUCCGAGAAAUCCGGUACGAAGUGUACGAAGGAACAGUUGUUUUCCAUGUCGAAAAAUUCACAACUGGACUAACUGGACGACACACGUUGUUAACAACAAACACGACAUUUACCGCAUAUUUCGUAUUUCGUAUUUCUCCUAUGUUCGCUAAAAUAGACGAUACCAUCACGUUCUCCACGGCCACGCGCGCGCGGCGUGCCACGUCGAGCGCAAGGGGCAGUUCAUGCCUACGAAAUCGCCAGACCCAAUCUCAUGCACCUCUCCUCGCCGGCACGCCGCCUUGGCCACGAACUCCAGGCCCGGGGGAGGAAACAUGCUGACUCCUUUGCUCAGCAGGCACACAGCCUCGGCGUAUAUCCAAAACGCCACCCUGUGAGGCGUGCACGCGUGCUGAAGGAGGCGCCAAAUCCCACUGCGCUCGUUUCUCGCGUGCGGGGCUGAUUGGUCGCGUCGAGCAUCGAGCUUGGCGAAAAAGUAGUCUCCAAAUUUUGGGUGUCCUUUCACGGAAACCAUGAGUUGAAAGUCCUCCUCUGGAUCCGUCGCCGUCAAUUGCCAUUCUCCUUGCAUAUCCAUAAACGGCGAUACGUGCAAGCUUUUCGGCGCUCUCGUGCCCCCCGGAAGGAAGUUGAACCGAACACGCUCGCCCCACGGCGUGUUAGUCACCUCCGCAACGCAGGUCUUCAGUUCAAACUUUCGUGACUUGCCAGCGGCAUCGUGCAUCCGCUCCUCGCCGGCGUCUGUUCCAAGACAAUAACUAUAGUACACGCUGAUGGGAUUCUGCACGUAUCCAUAUGCCCAGGGUAACGUGAACAGUCGGACUGGCCCGUCGUGUCCAGUGCGCUCGCGAACUUCGUCGGCUGAAAGGUGGUCGCCAGCUUGGCCACUCCGAGUAAACCAAGAAGGAGGCGAGUCAAGAUCUAUCACCGCGAAACGCAUCGGGUAUGCGAACACACGCUUUAACGGCUUACUGCGCGUGUGCACCACGCGGCCGACGUAGAACGUGGCACCGACGCACGACUCUCCAAACCACAUAAUCGGGUCGAGUAACGAAAGCAUCGUUCCCACGGCGCCGCGAAACGUGUGCCAAGUGAUGCAACCGAGAAGCAGGAUAACCUGCGCGAUUUCCUGCAUCAUCUUGCCCUCGGUGUUAGGGUUCACUCUGUAUCGCUCGUUCAAGGAAUGCCGGCCUUGCUGACCAAGUGUCGUGCCCUAAUCCUCUGAUUCGACCGCGACGGUGAACGUAAGCAUGUCCCACCUGCUGUAUGCGGGCAGCGAGGCCUCCCGUCUUCGGGACUGUGAGGCUUGUUCCGUGCACGCCGAAACUUUUGUUGCAGCGGUGUCACCUGUCACCUGUCUACCUGUCAGCCUGUCACCUGCUGUGCGAACGAAUCGAGGCAAAACCAACGAACGGAGGACCGAGGCGAGCAAGAACAACGCGCGGGCCGGCCCUCCUCGCCUCCGGGAGCGCACACGCGCCCCCGACGAUGCCACUCCUCGAGCUGAUACACCCCGUGGACGGCGUGGACGCGUGGUGCCGGUCGCAUCCGCGUCGGUUCGCGUACGCCUUCCUCGCCGACGACGCCGCCUCCGAGAGGACGAGGCUGAGGGUGGAGGACCUGAGGACCGCCGCGGUGGAAGCGAGGGACGCGCUCGCCGCCUGGGCGAGGGACCGGCGCGAACCGAGGGUCGUCAUGCUCGUCUAUCCACCCGGCCUCGACUUUCUCCCGGCGAUGCUCGGCGCGAUGGCCGCGAAAGUCGUGCCCGUGCCGGCCUACCCCCCCGACCCGAGCGCUCCGCCCUCAAAGUUCCGGGCGCAGGUCAGGGCCCUGGAGGAGAUCGCGGAGCGCGCGGGGGCGACUCUCGCGCUCACCACGCGCGCGUACGACGCCGCGCGGCGAUGCGCGGCGGCGCGCCUCGGCGUGCGCGACUUGGCCGAAGCGCUGCGGCGAGGACGACUCAGGGCGGGGAACGACGCGGGAGGCGGCCCGAAAAGUCGAACAACUCUCGAGUGGACCUCGUUAAGCGCGCUCGCGACCGGAUCCAAUCGAAAAUGUCGACUCAGCGACGACGACGAAGGCGGCGCGAGAUGCGCCGAGAGAUGCUCCUCGAAGCAGCUGCGCGUGGACGGCGGCGCGGCGGACGACUCGGGCGUGGCUUUCGUUCAGUUCACCUCCGGCAGCACCAGCCGGCCUCGGGGGGUAGCGAUCGGCCACCGACAACUCUCUCACAACUGCGCUCUCAUACGUCAACAGUUUGGCGUAAAAGUCGACGACGCGAACGUGUCGUGGCUGCCGCAGUACCACGACAUGGGCCUGGUCGGCGGGUAUCUGGUGCCGCUGACGAUACCGCCGGAGCCAGGGGCCAAACCCGCCGAGGUGACCUCCGCGUUUCUGUCACCCGCCGCUUUCAUCAAGGACCCAAUCGUCUGGGCGCUCGCCAUGUCAAAGUACGGCGCGACGAUGACGCAGGCGCCGGACUUUGCGUACAGGCUGUGCGCGGAACGGUUCGCGUUAGAACGGUCCGCGUCGUCGUCGCCCAGGCCGGGCGAGCUGAACCUGAGUAAGCUGCGGCGAUGCCUCAACGCGAGCGAGCGGAUCGACGCCGACACCGCGAUGAUUUUUUCCAGAGCCUUUGAGGAUUUUGGCUUUGACGUUCGCGCCAUGAGCGCCGGGUACGGCCUGGCCGAGAGCGUCGUGUACGUGUGCGACGGCGGGUGCUCGCACGAGACGGUCAGCGCGAGGCGUUUGGAGUGUGAUCUGAUCGCCGAGUGCGUGAGGUUCGACUCGAGGGGUUUAAAAAGUUUUAAAAGUUUUGACCCGGACGACGCGCGAAGGGUCGCGAGCUGCGGGGCGCCGCGCGGGGACGUUAAGGUUCUCGUCGUUGACCCUCAAACGCGGUUGACGCUGCAGGACGGGCGCGUCGGGGAGGUGUGGAUCGCCUCGCCGUCCGUCGCGCGCGGGUACUGGAACGAGACGAGUCCGCGGGAUGAUGACUCGCCGAACGGUCCGCCGCGGGCGCAUUACUCAUCACCCUUUGGCGCGACGCUCGCCGCUCGGUCGACGCUGUUCCGGCGCGGAUUCGCCGCCGAACACGAGAAGGAACGGUACCUUCGCACCGGAGACCUCGCGUACAUGCGCCGCGGGGAGCUUUACGUGGUGGGCAGGCUCAAGGACCUGAUCGUCAUCGGCGGCAGGAACAUCGCCCCGGAGGACGUGGAGCGAACCGUGCGCGAGACGCGCUGGUCGCAUCGAGGGCGCGGGGUGCUCAGGGCUCGGAUCCUUCGUCCCGGAUCGAUCGCCGCGUUCGCCUUGGACGUACACGACGAGGCGGGGAACGGCUGUAACGGCUGUAACGGCUGUAACGGCCACGUGGUCCGCGAGUCCCUCGCGGUCGUAGCGGAGGUUCGCGACGGCGUCGAGCUCGCGCCCGCGGAUCUCGGCGUGAUCGUCGACGGAAUCAUUCGGGCAGUUGCAAAGGCGCACGGCGUUACGAUGCCCCGAUGCCACGUGGCGCUGCUGAGAAAGAACGCCGCGCCCAGGACCACGAGCGGAAAGAUCAGGCGCGGGGAGUGCGCGAGGAGGUUCGUCGCGCGCGAGCUGGACCUCCACCCGGGUAUGGGAGCGAGCAGGCUCGGGUCGUCGGUGCCGCCACCGUUCCCCGAGGGCUCGGCGGGUUUGGCCCAGACGCUGGCGACUCGCGGCGCCGCGGCGCUCGCGGAGAGCAUGGAGUCCGCGCUCCUCGCGCACUGCCGCGAGACGUUGGCGUGCCCGAACCUGUCCGAGCGGUGCGGGCUGGUGGCGCGCGGCGGCAUGGAUUCGUUCGCCGCGCUCCGGCUUUUGCGGAGGAUCGAACACGACAUCGGCGCGGCGCUUCCCGCCGACGCGGUCCUCCGCGAGGGAUCCACGGUUCGAUCGAUCGUUCGAGCGGUGUUGCCGCACGUGCGCGCCGCUGGAACCGCAGCCUCCGGGUCCUCUGGGUCCUCCGUAUCAUCCGUAUCCUCUGGGUCCUCUAGGUCCUCCGGGUCCUCUGGGGCCACCCCCGCCCCCGCCGUCGCCGUCGCCGAGCUGCCCGCGUCCAUGCGACCGGACGCGAUCUCCGGCGUCACGCUCGUUUUGUGCGCGAUCGCGGUGGCGGUGACGCUCCGGGCACUGGAGACGACGCCGGCGGUUCCGAGCGGUCACCGCGGUUUCCGAACCGGUUGGCUCUCGGACGACGUCGCCAUGGACGGAGCGCACGCGCGGCUGAUCGAGUGGCCGCGAUCGGUGCUCCCCGCGCAGCUCGCGUCCGCGGCGGCGUGUUGGACGGCGAGGAACGUUUUAGCGGGUGACCGCGUGCUCGGCGUACGGACUUUGGACGUCAUCCUCGCGACGUGCAACGCGGUCGUCGUCCACGGCGUCGUCGGGUUUCUUCACGUCCUCGCGUGCAUCGUCCUCCAUCACGCGGCGUACAAGGCCGUCGCGUCGUCCCCAAAGGGAUCGACCCGGACGCGGCGGGUCUGCGCGUGGACGUCGUGCCUCUGCGUGUUACUCGCGUGCGAUUGGGCCGAGUCCGCGAGUUCUUCACGCCCCGGGUCGGAGGAGGAGCGCGACGACUGGCGCGCGUUCGCCGCCCGCGGUUGGUACGGCCGGGGAUCGUUCACGCAUUGGAAGGCGUUGCGACUCACCGCGCUGCGCAUCGCGUCGCACGGUUUGGCCCAGGCGGAGCUCAACGAAUCGCCGAACCUUCUCGACUUGAUCGGGUACGCGAUGUACCCUCCGUUGUACCAGUGCGGCCCGAUGCUGCCGUACGAGUCCUUCCGACGCUGGCGGCGACGGCGAAUGAGCGGAGACGAAGAACGAAAACGGACGAAAACGAACGACGCCGGCGACGCACGCGCCGGGCACAGGGCCCGGGCGGCACGAUUCGCGUACGCGAUGGCGCAGGUGGCGUUGUGGUGCGUCGUCGCCGAGACGUUCAUGCAGGUUGGGUACAGGCCGUCGCUCGUGCUCGCUGGGGCCCCAACCGAUUUUCUCAACGUAUUGGCGCACGUCUUCGUCUUCCUCACGAUGACGUGGGCCACCAGCCACGUCGUCUUCGGCGCGCCGUGGGCCGUCGCCUGUUUCGUCGACGGCGUCGCGUCCACGCCUCACGACACCCCGGUGUUCUGGACGGAAUCCUCCGCGUCGUUUCGAAGGCACUGGUCCUCGUUUCACGCGUCGCUGCACCGGUUCUAUCUCGUCCGGGUCUUUGAGCCGCUCGGCUCUGGACACCUCGGCGCGCUCGCCACCGUCGCGCUCAGCGUGCUCAUGCACGGAACGAGACCGCACUGGAUCGCGUGGGGGAUCAUGAACUUCGUCGGGCUGACCGCGGAGAGGAUGUGGAGCGACGCGUUGCGCCGCGGCGAGGCGAGCACGGCUGCGCGGGGACGACAGCUGUGCGGGUGGGUUUUUUUUCGGGUCGUCGCCGCAGCCGCAAACCGGACCGUCGCGGUGACCUCGGCGCUCGUCGCCACGGCGCUGUCCGCGCGGCGUAUGGUGGCGGUGGUGUGCGCGGUGUUCGCGGGGUCCUUGGCGGGGGAGGUUUGGGGAGACGGGAUAGCGGAAGCGGGGGCGUUGGCCGCGCGAGUAGAGAGCCUCUUCUCGUAAAAUGCCAUGCCAGUGCAGCCUUGCACCGAAAGUCUUUCGAUGUCGUCCACGUGUUCAGCGAACCGGGAUCAGCACUCAUUUCGGCGCGCGCGAUGGAGGUUGACGAGCCGUCGGACGGUCCUUCCGGCAGGACCGAGGCGGCCGCCGCUCGCGGCGAGGAGCACAGCGGCACGAGCAGGCGGUGGAACGACCCAUCGCUGCGGGACAGGUUCGCGCGGGAGUUUGGCGGACCGCAGAACCUGGACGGAGGGAUGCGCUGGUGGCUCUCGGACGGCUCCGACGAGGACGGGAGCGACGGGGAUGGCGACGACGACAGCGAGUGGGAGACGGACGACGAGCAGAGGGACGAUGCGGGGGCGCCGGCGAAACCUGCGGACGGCGCGCCCGCGGGGGGAGAGGGCACCUCGGGCGCGCCGGGAGGUUCUCGCAGGAGGGGCGCCGGCAAAUCGAAGAAAUCGGCGCGGGCGAAGGACAAGGAGGACGAGGACAUGUUCUACGAGGAGGGGCUCGACGACAAGGACCAGGCGUUCGUGGAUAAGCUACGCGGGGGCAGGCAGAGCGACGCGGUGCUUUCCUGCCCCGCUUGCUUCGAGACGGUCACGCUGGAUUGCCAGAGGCACUACAAGUGGGAGCAUCAGUACCGCGCGAUGUUCGUGCGCAACGUGAGGGUGGACACGAAGUCGCACCUCAAGCCGCAGGACACGCCCUUGCAGCCGGGAGAGGACGACGACGGGCCGUACAACGAGGCAUUCUGCGCGCAGUGCGGGGAGCUGGUGGGGGUCAGGGACAGGGAGGAGGUUUACCACUUCUUUAACACGUUGGCGAGCGCUUGUUGAAGUCGGAGCUCUGCUAGCGGCACUCAUACGUUGAGAGAAGUUGUGGUUGAAUUUCGGCUCGCGUCUACUGCGUCUUCUUCUCCUCCGCACUCUUCGCGCCGUCAUCCUUGGGUUCGCCCCUGAGAUGCGACAGGAAGUUAUCCCACGUCGCAGUCUGCCAAUCCUUCGUGGUCCACACGGUCACGGCGGAGGGAUAGUACACCAAGACGUCGGUGAAGGGAUCCGUCACCAGCUUGAUCAACCAAACCAUGCUGAUCCGGAACCCGUACUGCAUCCACAGCAGCCCGGUGUGCCCGAGGACGAAGAAGAGGGUGACGCCGAGCCACGACCUCGCAAUCGACGCGAGCGCCAGGAAGAACCCGACGUCGUUCGACAGGCGCAGCAGCGAGAUGAGCGGCGCGAGGGUGUAUCCGGCGACGACGAAGCACUUGGACCUGGUGUUGAAGCCGAGCAGGAGCUCCUCCUCGUCGUGGCACGGGGGCUCGAAGAUGGCGUGGCCGCUCUGCCUCAGGAACAGCGAGAACAGACCGGUGGCCAUCGUGGCGGUGCAGUUGCUCCAUAUGGUGUAGUAGUUGAUGAUGAAUAUCGUGGACGAGAUGAGGUGCAUGAACUGGUUGACGGUGUUGCUGUGGGACGCGGCGUGGUCGUCCUCCUUGCGCCGCAUCACCUCCUCGUAAAACUCCUGGAGCGUCUCGGGCGGGACAGCCUUCGGCGCCCUAGGUCCGUGCUGCUCGGGAAGACAGAGCACCUCCGCGAGGAGCCCCUCGCGCACCGUCUUCAUCACGGUGUUGUACGCCAUCUCCUUGCCCAUCGCGGCGCUGAUGGAUUGCGCGGUUAUGGGCUUGUCGGGGGUGCCGAGGUACCACCACCCGUCGUCGCGCAUCCGCUUCGCCGCGUUGACGAGCUUCUUCUUGAGCAGCUCGAAAUCGUUCUCGACGAAAUCGAGGGAUACGAGGAGCCGACCGGUGCCCACCCACGAGAGCGCGAUGCCCUCGUCGCGGAGGUAGUACUGGAACAUCCAGUGGUACCGACCGGGCUGGUUGAAGAUCACGGUCCACACGGUGGUGAGGUUGUGCACCGACAGCGGCAGGUUCUCCGCCUUCAUCUCGUCGUUCACGUCCUUGAUCCAGUGCUCGAACUGCUUACCGAUCUUCUCGUACACCUGCUCAGCCUCUGGGGUGGUGACCCACCGGAGGAACUCGUUCAUCGCGCCCAUCGUCAGCGGAUGAGCCGCAAACGUCCCGAUGACGUAGGACACCCGAAGGGGCCGCUCCGGGUCGAACCUGCGCAUGAGCUCCCUCUUGCCGCACACCACGCCGCAGGGCAUGCCGCCGCCCAGGGUCUUACCGUAGACGACCAUGUCCGCGUGAACGCCGUAGUACUGCUGCGCGCCGCCGGGUGCCAUGCGGAAACCGGUGUACACCUCGUCAAACAUGAGGGGCACCUCGCACUCGGUGCACACUUUCCGCAGCUCCUUGAGCCAAACCGCGUAGUGGUCCAGCGUAGCCGAAUCGGCAGCCUUGCGGAUCGCCGCGGUCAUCAGCACCAGGUCGUUCGGGGGCGGGGAGUUCGGGUUGAAGCCCUGGAGCGGGUUGACGAUGACGCAGGCGAUUUCAUCUUUUCUGGCUCGAAUCGCGUUGAGCGACGCUGGGGACAUAUCCUUGAGCGGUAGAACGUCGGUGAUCUUACGCUCGUUGCCCGGUCCGGGCUGCACGCCGUCCCACCAGCCGUGGUAGGCACCGGCGAAGGUGACCACGAGCUUGCGGCGCGUGUUGAACGCGGCGAGUCGGACCGCGCACAUGAUGGCCUCGGUGCCCGACAUGUGGAAGGACACCUCGUCGAGCUUGGACACCGCCUUGAUCAUCGCGAGGUUCUCGCCGACGAUGGGGUGGAGCGGGCCGAGCACCGGGCCCAGGUCCUUGGUCCGUCGCCAUCCCGCCUCCAUCCACCGCUUGUAGUUGUCGUAGCCGCACACGUUGACGCCGUAGGACCCGGAGACGUCCAGGCUUCGGUUGCCGUCGAGGUCCACAAUGUGCGGUCCCUCGGACGAGAGCGCCAGGGUCGCCACGUUGAGCCGCUCGCGCACCAGCUUCUGGAAGGGGAAGGGCACGCGGUUGGUGUCGGUGAAACGCAGGUCCGAUAUGCCGUCGAGGACGGUCUCGCUCGCCUUCUGCGACGCCGCGAACUGCUCGUCGAAGGACCUGGCGAGGUUGUCCAUGCCCGCGCGUCGCUUCUUCGCGAUCUCUUCGGGCGCGCCGUCCGCGCAGAAGAACUUGUCGUCGUCAAGCGAGAAGGAGCGAAGGAUGCCGGACGCGAAGCGCGCUCCGAAGGGGGUCGGGGAGGUGGCCUGCGAUUGGGCGAUGAGCGCGGGGAGGGUCACGCGGAGUCAGCGAGGCGUCCGGUUGAUGAGAUCGUCGGGAAGAAAAAGGAGGAGAGGCGAGAUCGGGGUGCCGCGCGAUCUGACGCGGUGCGGGACCCAUCGGAGGGCGCGCACCAGGAGCGUGAUGAAGAUCUUGUAUCCCCUGUAGGCAGCGUACGCGAGGAGCGCCGCCCACACGAGGAGCAGCGCGAAGGACUGGAUGAUGGUCAUGGCGACCGGCCGCGGACCCUCGAACCUGACGCGCGCGCGACCAGAGUGGUAGGGAACGUGAUAGUGGCUGGCGAGUGGCGACGUUUCGACGUGCUUCCCGCGCGACACUCUUUUUCGGUUUUUGAAACUCGAAAUCGGGGUGACAUCCGCCUAAUGCCAAUUGACGAUUUUCGUCAACAACAUUUGCAUAGGCGAAGGAUUUUUUUUUGGCCGACGCUUCGUCUGCUUUUCGGUCCGUCUCCUCGCAAAGGAAUAUUCCAACGAAGGCGUGAAGGAAGCGGGAUAUUCGACCGAAGUCUUCGGCCGCAUCGCAGUUCGAUGGCGCCGCGAUCUCGGGCGCGUCGGGCGCGCGGUGCGACAGAUGCCGACACCGACGAUGGUUUGGCAUCCCCCUCGGGCCGCAUCACCGACAAGGGCACGCUGCUGCUCAUGAUGCCCUCCAUCACCGACGUCAACGGCGCGGGAGGCGUAGCGGCAAGGUGGCACGAAUAUACCCGCGAGCUGACGAACGAGGGCUGGACCGUGGAGCUGUGGACGGUGGACGCCGAGGAUCCCGAUCGCGCCAUUCCGAGGUACCACCUGCCCAACUUCCCGUCCACUCUGACGGACUCCCCGGGCGUGGGUUUCUGUCACAAGAUAUGGCGCAGGCUCAACCGGCGGGACCCGGUGGUGGCGUGCGUCGUGAUGACGGAUCUGUUUUCGAACGUGCCCAUCGCGAUGAUGUGCGCGGGCACGGGCACGCCCCUGGUGUACUCCAUUCACACCGACAUCGCCCAACUCGACGGCAUCAACAUGGCGCCGUGGUCGGCCGCCAUCCUGCAGUCGACGACGUCCGCGCUGGCGCACGCCACGGUCACGACGUCGCCGUCGUUCAAGCGGCUGAUGGAAUCGCGAGGCAUCCGGCGCAUAAAGGACCACUACCGGCCGCUCCCGGUGUCCGGCGUCGUGGCCACGGCGGACGCGCUGUCCGACGCGGAGGUGGCCGCGGUGCGUAACGAGCUCACCGCCGGCCACCCAACGCGCCCCGUCAUGACCUACGUCGGCAGGUGGUCCGCGGAGAAGCGCAUGCACCUCCUGAAGCAGUGCCGACCGAGGGGCGUCACCUUGGCCUUCGUGGGCGACGGUCCGAUGCGGGACGUCGUGAUGGACUGGCACGACCCGCCGCGGUGCGUGGUGCUCCCCGGCAUGCGGCCGAGGACGGAGCUGGCGGGGGUGUACAGGGCCACGGAUUGGGUGUGCAGCGCGAGUGCGUUUGAAACCUUCGGCAACGUUCCCUACGAGGCUGCGCACUGCGGCACCCCCGCGCUGUUACAGGACGCGCAGGGUUUCAAAGAUCAAAUCGACGCGAACGAGUCGCGCGGCGCGCUGCUCGAGUUCGACGCGGAAGAUGGGGAACAGCUGUGCGCCGCGGCGAUGGGCAGAACCUCGCGGCUGCUCAACGCGCCGCACGUCGUGAGGUCCGAGGCGAGGAGGAUGGCGAACAGAGGCACGUGCAUACACGCGGUGGUGUCGGAGGUUGUGACCAAAUGGAGCGCCGGGCCGGUUCGUAAGCGGCGUUGGAUCUACCUCGCGUGCGCCAUAUGGUCGUCGCUGGUGCUCGCGUCCAUCCUGCAGGUGAUGAGCUUCUUCAUGCGGCUCGGCGUGGCGAUCGGCGUCGACUUCACCACCGGCAUGAAGAACCAGCGGAUGAGCAAACAAAGGUGGGCGCUGAGGAAGACGCCGACGUCCACCGUGGAACUCGCCAGGAUGCGAUCGCUCGUGCACGCGGACGCCUUGGGCACCAAGCAGAAAGGGAUCCCCAUGGGAGACGACGAGGAGGAGAGCGGGCGACGGUCACCGGACGAGAACGUCGCUCCGAACGGGUUCGUGGGCGGCGGCGAGCAGAGAAGCCGCGCGAACCGAAAAUUUCGGAGAGGGUCGCCGCCCAAGGUUACCUUUGCGCCAAACACGCCGGAGCCGACGCCGAUGUGGAGGCGAUCCAGCCUCGACGGGCCGUCGCAUCGGGCUUCUGUGCGGCCGGUGUUCCCGGUGAGGGUGUUCCUCGCCGGCUUUUGACGCGCGUCGUUGGAAUAGAGAGGGUCAGCAUUUUCCUUAAUAAAGAUUCCAAACCGUAAGUAAUGUUAGGAUCAAGGGGUGUUCUCGCCGUGGAAACCAAACCGUCACUCGGUUUCCCAAAACGGUCACUCCCACCCCGCGCGCCGGCCCGGGCGUUCACGAGGCGAAGCGACUAGCGAUAGGAUGAGGUCGGCAGUCUACGCCAAAGACCUCGUCGACGACGAUUACGGCGACGACAGCUACGGCGAGAUGCAGCGCGCGACCCCGCCAGAACUCGCCGAUGCGCAUCGGCGGGUUCCCGAAGCGGCACCGCCCGACGCCAUGUUUCACUCCAAGCGAACGUCAACGCUCCGUGCAGUCACGAACGCGUGGUGGUCGCACAUGAAGUACAUUCUUCCGUUCUCCAUCGGCGUCAUCAUGGUAAUCUACUCGCUCAUGUACUACGCCCACGCCAAGUGCACCGCGUCGCUCACGCGCGAGGCUUUCGAGCUGGGCGGCCAGUCCGAGAUCACCCGCCGUUGGAUGCGAUGCUUCACUCCCAACUUCAGCGACGACGAGUUCCGGCCGCUAAACUCCUUCGGCGACUUCAGCGUGUACGUCAUACGCUACACGAAGAUGUGGAGCGUCUUCAGCGCCGAUAACAACUUCUUCGUGCACAUGUUCGCGUGGAAUCUGCUGGCGCGGAACCGCACCUGGAAGACCAGACUCUACUUUGUCUGGUUCGCCAUCUUCUAUGUCACCCCACUCAUCGACUACCAGGUCACCGGGUACAGGCACAUGACGUCUUGGUACGUCCAGAUCGGUUGUCAGGUGUUUGGGUGGAUUACGUGCCUGGCGGCGAAAGAGACGCGGGACAUGCCAACCAUGUCAUGGUGGUUCGUGUACCACGGCAUGGCCGGCAUCACCUACAUCUUUGCGCUGAGGAACCUGGCAAUUGGCGACGACGACAGCUACUCGCUAAAGCUAAAGCUACUAGUGCGGUUCGUGUUCGAUCCGCUGAUGUGGGAGGCGAUGAAGACCGCCCAAAGGCACGUGGCGAUGAUGAAUCCCAGCCCCGGCCCGGGUUUGAAUACCGCGGGCAUCAUGGCGCCCAUAGUCUCCCAGGCUGUCUACUCGCGGCUCCUCCUCUUUCUCCUCACCAACGACGGCAAGGUGUCCGUCAUUACCCUUCAGCUCAUCAUCUCCCUCAACGAGCUCAUGAUGAAGCUCACGCUCAAACACAGGGACGGAUUCUUCACGCGCACCGUCAUGGGCACCAUGGCGGGUGACGCGCUUCUAUCGUCUAGUAAGAUGGACGAGUUGCACGCGGUUUCGUGCCUCGCAGACGUCUUCUGCGAACUCGGAGCCAUCGCUUUCAUCACCCCGCUGAUGGUCGUAUUUAACCUGCCGUCCACCGGCGACUUACCCGACGGCAAGACGCGGACGUCCAACUACGACGAUAUGGCAUGGAUCUGCUUCCAGCUCGCGGCGAUGGAGAUCGGCAUGAGCUUCGUGAACACCUUUGCGCAAUAUCGGUUUCACUCAAUCGACAUCGGUCGCGUGUUUAAAAAAUCGGAGGCGGCGUACCGAAGGGAGGUGAAGCUCUCGAGGCCCAACGGCAGGGGCGGGCGCACCUAUCUGUCGUACAAGUUCCUCGUUUACACCGUCAUGGCGGUGUUCUUUGCCACGUGCGCGCUGAAUACAGUGAUGGGGACCAUGUGGACGCUGCGAAUGUGUCCGAGGGUGCGAAAGGACGGCCACGUGUACUUCCGGGCGUGCCUGCCAACCGAGGAGAAGCACCUCCCAGGUGGGAGCAGCGUUAAAGGACCUGGCAUCCUCGCCUAUAACUUCGACUGGCCGCCGUGGAAGUCACCGUACGCGGUCGACACCAGCAACCAGACGUACACCUACGAGCAAUUUCGCUCAGAACUCUGAUGUUUUUGUAAAGUCAUCUGACUUCAUGUUUCGUCGGUUGUCGUGAAAAUUACCUUCAUUAUGGGCUACAGCUCAGCGAUUGUCUCUCCUCGCGCAGCCACCGCCUGGUACUUGUUGAGGAUCCACUGCCUGAGCAGUCUCAUUUGCGUCUUUCUCGCCUCGACCACCGGCUCCGGGUCCAGGUCGUUGCUCCACAUGAAGUCCAGGUGGUGCGCUCCGCCCGGGAGCAUCAUGGCUACGAGCGACGGCGAGAGGCUCUCCUGCACCCCCAACCCGGCCCACGGGUCAAGGUACCCGUUGGUCCACACCACGUUACUGGCCCACGAUAGCCUUCUACCGCCGAAGACGGUGGUGGCCCACAGCGUCUUGGGUCUCACGCCCCAGCGUCGUUCGCACUCCAGCACGGCGUCCGUCUCGUUCCACGGCUGCGGGAAGAACAUGUCCCUGACGCCGUCCCUGGACAUCGGCAUGAACAUCUCGGUGCAGUACUGGUAGUCCCACAGUUCCCCGUCCUCGUCCGAGUCGUCGUUGCUGCCGUGCCGGGUGUCGAAGCACUCUUGGGUCUUGGAGUAGUUGUAAUACACGCCGACGGCGUCAGCCAGCGCUGAUAAUAACGCGUCGCCCCCUUUGUUUAGCAGCUUCGGGUCCGCCAUGGCGCCGCCGCACGCGACUCGAAAGGGAUACGGGGGCAGCGUCCCGUCCCCGUUGAGGAUGUAAGAGCUCGCGUAUGGGAAGUUACCCAUGGCGAGGUAAUCGAAGGCACCCUGCGCCCACAGCGCCACGUCCAGCACGUCCGUCGGGGAGCCCAGCGGGGUGUCGUCGCAGAGUCGCAUCGGCGCCUUGAUCGAUUUCGGAUCGGUUUCCGAUCGGCGAAGGAGCUCGGCGAAGGCGGCUCGGACGUUGGGAGCGCACGCGGGUGGCGACCCGCCCGCGGCCGUGGCGUCCAUCGUGACCCCGUCCGCGAAGGCGCCCGGGUCGACGGGUGGGUCCUCGCCCACGAAGGACCACACGGGAGCCGACCCGGCCACCGCGCCGUCCACGACGUUGGCGUACUUGAGUCUCAUCCACGUGGCGAGCAUGCCGCCGUACGAGCCGCCGAAUGCAAACACCGGGGCGUCCGGCGCGCGAAUCUCAGCCUUGAGCUCGCGGAUGAGGGUGGCGUAGUCCGCCAUGGCCUGUUCGGAAGUGAGGUAGGGGUACUGGCCCUUCUUCUUGAGGUGGCCCGGGAUGAUGCCGCCCAGGUUGGACGCGUCGAGGGCGUUCCCAUCCUCCUCCUUGGGCUUGGGCUUGGACUCUCCGUAGUACCUGUGCUCGGCGAACACGAGAACGGCGCCGAAGCUCUCGGCGUGCUCCCACAUGAGACCCGUGGCGUUGAGGUAUAGCUCGACGUUGGCCUCGUUGCCGGUGUAGAAGAAGAUGGGCGGUCCCGACUUGGUGAAACCCGCGUCGAGGUCGUCGAGCGGUGAAGAUUCACCAUCCGCGCCGAGCGAGGCGACCCCUCGGAGUCGGGGCUGGGCUUUGGCCGACCCGUGGCGCCUCUUCGCCGCCGCGAGCGCGUCUCGCUUCUUCUCCCAGAAGUGCGGGCAGAAGAAGUACCUCUGGCGAUAGGUCUGCGUCGGCGCCGCCCAGGAGAAGUGAUCGAGCGGCGCGUCGCGGUAGCGCUCCUGGCACGCCUCCAGCGGAGUCCACCCCGGAGAAAACCCGCCAACCUUUCGAAGGUUCUCCGAGGUGGGCACGUAGGUUCUGGCGGGGUGCCUGGGCCUCUUCGCGGCGCGAGCCGCGCUGGCUGGACCCGCGAGGAGUACGAGCGCGAAAGCGAGCAGCAGCCGGACCCUCAUGGUGAUCGACCACCGCGUGUGAACGCGGAUCUCGAAACGCGCGUUUCCUAACAACGAAUUUGGAAUAAAGUCGGGCGUGCCCACGUCAGCUGAUCUGCUGAUAGCAGUGAGAUGCGCUGCUCGCCAACGGUGGGCACACAAUCGAGAGGGAGAAGGCACGUCAUGGAGCGCAGGUCCGCGCGAGCGGCGGCGAGGGCUGGGAACGGCGAUGCGACGCACCCGCGGAGUAAACCUAAAGCGUCGAGGUCGUCCAAAGUCAAGGGCGGCGUCGCCGGGUGGGUCUCCGCGGCGCGACCCAAGACGCUGACCGCGGCGACGGUGCCCUUCCUGGUGGGGUCGGCGCUGGCGACCACCGGCGGCGGCGAGGCGCGGUGGAUGGAGGCUACCUGCGCGCUGGUCGGAUACUUCCUCAUACAGAUAGGGACCAAUCUCGUGAACGACGCGUGCGACUUCGUGCGAGGCGCGGACACCGAGGUGAGCGACGCCCCGUCCAACCCCGCGUCGCCCAACCUCGAACCGUCGUCCCACGUUUUCCCGAACAACCACGUUUUCCCGAAGCACCCAAUCGCGAUCCACAGACAUCUCCCGCCGCCCCGACUGAUUCCUCCUCCUCUCCUCCCCCGACCCGACGCAGGAUCGCGCGGGACCGACGCGCGUGACCCAAUCCGGCGUCUUCUCCCCCCGCGCCGUCCACAUCGCCGGCGUGACGUGCUUCGCCCUCGCGGCGUUUGCGAUGUGUCCCGCGGUGGCGCUCAGGGGGGCGCCGAUGGCCCGACUCGUCGUCGCGGCGUGCGGCGCGGGGUACGCGUACACCGGCGGCCCGCUCCCGCUCGGGUACCACGGCCUGGGCGACGUGACCGUGAUCGCGUUCUUCGGGUUCGUGGCCACGUACGGCAUGGCGAGGGUGCACCAUGACGGGACAUCGGCGGAUGGAUCGGGCGGCUCAUCGUGGGAGCGAAACUGGCCGCUCAUCGUCGCAUCCGCGCAGGUCGGAAGCCUGGCGGCGUCGCUGCUCGCGGUGAAUAACCUGAGGGACGCGCGCACCGACGCCAGGUGCGGUAAGAACACGCUGUGCGUGCUGCUGGGCGAGGGGUUCGGGCGGUGGGAGAUCACGUUUCUGGUGUUUGCGCCGUUUUUGCUCCAGCCGUACUGGGCGUGGGAGGGCGCGAGGAGGCUCGGGGUUACGAUGUUCCCGUCCGUCGCGUCGGCGCUGCCCGCGGCGACGGCGCCGCUCGCCGCGUGGGUGGCGAGGGAGACGUGGAGGUUGGAGGUGGGCGACGCGGGGUUCAACGGGACGCUCUCGGCGGCGGCGGCGUUGCACCUCCUGUUCGGAUCAGCGCUGGCGCUGGGUCUCGCGCUCGACGGGGUGGCGUGGCGGGAUUAGUUGCGAGUGCGCCCGAGCCCGGCGGAUGAAAAGAGGCGUACCGUAUCAAUCUGAGCAACGCGUCCAUUUACAAGUCAGUCGUUUCUACGCUGAUUCGUCCGCCUUCUUCUCUUCCUCCGCCUCCCUCGGCGGCGCCUCCUCGUCCGAGCGCUCAACCUCAUUCGGGUCGGGCUCCUCGGGCUCGGCGGGUUCAUCGAGCUCGGCGGGUUCAUCGGGCUCGAUAUUUUCCUCGCCUUCCUCGGGCUCGUCCACCUCGAUCCGUCCCUCCUCGGCCAACACCGCGCUGCUUCCGUACCUGCUGCCGUGCCUCGGCGUGUCCAUCGGGGUGUUUGCCGCCGAGCUCCUGGGCGUCGUGCCCCGCACCGUCCGUUCGUACUCCUGCACGAGCUGGUGCGGCUCGGGUCGGAAUAGCCGCCGCAACGUCCUGUAGAGGAGGUCCGGGAGCAGCCCGAUGACCACGAUGAGCGGCGUCGCCAUCCAGAACUUUGGGGUGGGCGCGAUGGUGGGUAUGAAUAUCUUGUACGAGUACGUGGACAGGUACGGGUCGGUGUUGCUGAGGAUGCAGUUGGCGAUGUACCAGAACGCGAUGGAUCCCCAAAUGCAUACGUGCUGGAUCCACGUCCAAAAGUUGAUCAUCUGAGCCAUCUGCAGGUUGAUGGUGAUGACGAUGCCCGUGUACAGGGACGUGCCAACCUCCCACAGGCCAAACACGUGGCCCUUGGGGUGGUCCGCCUCGCCGCCGUGCACCGCGUAGAACACCACAAAGAACGUCACCAUGCCGAUGUAAACGCCGUUCAGCGCCCAACCCAACUGCACCCUGCGCUCGAAGCACGCGUUCUGCUGGCCCUGCCUGUACAGCUGAGGGAACUGCAGGCACGAUCGCUGAUUCACGUCCUGGUCCAAGAUACCCAGCGCGAUGACCGGGAACGCGACGAAGAAGAUGUUAAACGCGGACAUGAGCCAGUCAUUGUACACAACCUGUCCGGAAGCCGCGGCGUGGAGGUUGUACAUGAACAGAGUCAGGCCAAAGGCCAGGUUCUUGUAGAAGAAGUACGUCACCAUCUUGCUGAUCCGCUUAUAGUUGUACCUCCCGUGCACCAGCAGGAGCCGCUCCAGGAACCUGAACUGCGCGAACGCAAAGUCCGAGGCCAUGACCGCCUGCAUCCCCUCCUGACCCGAGAUGCCGACGCCGAUGUGCGCUGACUGGAUCAUGCCCACGUCGUUGGCGCCGUCGCCGAUGGCCAGCGUGAUCUUACCGCUGUCUUUGACCAGCUUGGUCACGAGCGCCUUCUGCAGCGGGGACACGCGGCAGCACACGACGGACGUGCACCCGCUGCCGAGCUGCAGGAAUCUUGGCGCCAGAUCCUGCUCCAGGGCGAAUGACAGAGAACGGCCGUCGAUGACCAGGCAGGUUUCCAUCCCCUUCUUCGCGGUCGCAGCCUCCUUCUCGAUGCCCUCCUCGAUAAGGGCCGCCACCUGCACCUUACCCUGCUCGUUGAACUGGGCGCGGGUGAUCUCCCUGUCGUGCUCCUGCUUCACCAGCUCCUCGAUGUUCACGAUGUGAACGUCCAUGUCGUCCCGGAUCAGAGCGCACGCCUGCGCGAUGUUAAUCGCCGUGUCCUGCUUGUCGCCGGUGAGCACCCACACCGCGAUGCCUCCGCGCAUCAUCUGCUCGAUCGUGCCCGGCACUCCGUCCUGGAGCUUGUCCUCGAUGGCCGUGGCGCCAACGAGGAAGAGGUCCUUCUCGAUGAUCUCCGCCGCCGCCUGAAGUUUCUCGUCUCGCUUCUCCAGGCUCUGCGCAGCCUCAGUGUACGUGACAUUCCACGCGUCGUACUCCGACUGGGAAAUCUCCCUGACGGACAGGCACAACGUUCGUAGGCCGCACUUGGCGUACUCGUCCAUGUGCUGCUGGGUCACGUCGGUGUACUUUUGGUUCCCGUGGGAGAGCCGAUCGUAGAUGACGGAAUCGGCUCCCUUGCAGUAGAGCAUGAUCUUGUCCUCGGGGGUGCGAACGAUGACGCUCAUGCGCUUGCGCGUGGAGUUGAACUCGAGCACGUUGAGCAGCUCGUAGUGGACCGUGCUCAUCUCGCCGCUGCUGGGAAAAGAGGGUUCCUCGAGCUCCAUGCCGCUGGUGGUGCGGCUCUUGAAAAAAAAACCAAACCGUUUCGCGGCGACGACGAAAGCGCUCUCGUCGGGGGACUCCGCCUGGUAGCAUAUGGUCUCCCUCGUGGCCUCGCCCUCGGGUAUGACGGUGUGACACACGCCAAGGAUGCGGAAGAAGUCCCGGAUGUGUUCGGCGUCCGGCAGGGACCGCCACUUGUCGCCCUCGAGCCUCGCGUCCUUGAAGUUGAAACCCGGCUCAAUCGGCUUUGUGGGCUUGGUGAGAAUGGGUCGGCCCUGUCGCUUCGCGAUGGACCGCUCGAUCUCCGUAACGCCCUCGCCGUAGCUAACGCCCGCGAUGGAGCACUUGAAGAACUCCAUGCUGUUGCACGUGAGCGUCCCGGUCUUGUCCGAGAGCACCGUGUGAACCAUGCCGAGCUCCUCGUUGAGAUUGCUGGUCCGCGCUCGCAUCGGCGUGUCCGUCUCCUCGUGGUACAUCUGCCGGUCGCUGUUCAAAAACACCAUCGCCUGGCACACCUUGACGAACUCGAGCGAGACGUACAGGGAGAUGGGUAUGAGGUAGCCGUACAGGACGUACGAGGUGAGGAACGCGACGACGCCCACCUUGGGGGCGUUCUUUGGGUCAAACACCAUAUCCGUAUCGCUGGUGUCCAUGUACCAGUGCUUGGGGGACACGUUCUUGAUCCACGAGCCGCAGAUGAUGCCCGUGAUGGUUCCCAUGAGGCACAGCAAACCGAGCAUGGAUAUGACGAUCUUGUCCAUCCCUUUUUCGAUGGUGGACCGCUUCGACGGAGCCGCGCUGCUGUUCAUCUGCGAAAAGUGAGACGAAAGGUCAGUGACGAAAACACGGCAACGAGAGCGGGGAAAGGGGAUGGGAACCAGGAAGCACUUGCCAUAAUUUUGGUGUCAUGCCCCGUGUAAAUGGCCAGACCGAUGACCCACUCGGUGUUCCUGAGCGAGCUGCCUCGGAGGAGGAUGUUGGACGGAACCAGAGAGAUCUUCUCGCUCCCCGUUCGAUCCUCGGCGGCGGCGGCGAGGUUGCGGCUGCUCCCGUGGACGGAAACCUCCCUCGUCCUCGACGGGACGUCCAGGUUCCCCGUGAACGUGUACAGCGAGUUAUUCGGGUGUUCGCACUCCACGUAAGCGUCGCGUCCGUCGCCGCACAGCUCGCGCAUCUUCGUUGGGCCGGUGCCCACGCCUCCCAUGCCCUCGACGCCCCUCUUGAUCUUCAGGUUGGUCUCGCCGUCCAAGUUUUUGGUCUCGACGUAGCACACACUGUCGUCCAGGCUGGACGCGAGGAGCACCAGAUCGCACGGGAACGCCUGGUCCCGCACGACCCGCACCAAAUCCCCCGUCUUCACCUCCCGCCACUCGCACUGCACCAGCGAGGUGCCGUUGAAACGCUCCGUCAGCGACGUGUUCUGCUCGUGGUCCUGCUUGUGCCUGGCGUAAUCCUCCACAGCCUCCUUCGCCAUGGACAGCCCGACGACCAGCACGAGCGGCGACCAGAUGGUGUACGGCUUGAUCGGGGAGAUGGCUUCGAAGAGCGAGAUGAUCGCGACGGAGAGGAAGUAAAGGUUGGCGAUCCGCCGGAACUGUUCGUACAGGCCCUUUGGGAAGAAGGUGAUGGGCGAGUACUUGCCGGUGGAGAUGGCGUUGCCCUUGAACCGGAACCCCGCGUUGGGGCCGUGCGCGCUGGCAUCCGCGGUGACGUAAACCACCCGAGACUCCGAGUGCUUGGCGUGCCCGAAGCGGAACGAGUCCAUCCGGGACGGCAUCUCUUCGUCGUCCCCCGCGUCCUCGCCCGCGUUAUUCUUGUUGGAACCCGCCCGCUGCGGCCUCGCGGGCGCGACCCGCCGGUGCAGGACACGCGCGUACCCUACGGCGGCCGCCCAACCGACCGCGAACGGCCCGGACUUUCGAGGCGCGGAUCCCUCGAUCGGUGUUUCGCUCACGCCGACGACACGCCCGCGCGGGGGCUGCGCACGCCCUAGUGCCGAUCUCGUAAUCGGGUCUCGUUAUGUCUCGCCGCUUGCGAAGCGCGUGGUCCGGCAGCCCUCAGCUCGACAAUCAAGGACCAAUCAAUCGCACUCACUGGCUGAUUCAAAAAACGCGGGACAGCCCCGGCGACAAUCACACGUCGGCGAUCGCCAUGUUCGCCGGGGAGGAGGAGGCCCUCAUGGCCGACCCGAACGGGCUCAGCGAUUAUGAGCUCGAACGCAUCGAGCGCAUCCGCCGUAACCGCGAGAUCAUGAAGCGCCUCGGCUUGGGCGACCACGACAUCGUCUCCGCGGCGAGGCAACGAUGCGGCGUGGAGGAGGGCAAGGAGAACGCAUCUGGACCGACCGAGAACAAGAAGCGCAAGGCUCCAGCCGCGAAGAAGAAGCACGAGAUUCCCGCGGAGGAGCGCGCCACGCGUCGCUCGCGUCGCAUCGCCACCAAGGACGCCGAACACGCGGGCCUCGGCGACGACCACGAGGAGACCGAGACGUACAUCGUGGGAAGGGGCGAAUACGCGGUGGAGGUUGACGGCGCGCACGAGGCGGAGGCGGAGGCGUACCGGCUGAGAAACGCGGGGAUCCAGGAGCGGGUCAGCGUGGUGGGCACCGCGAGCUAUCAGCACACGCUGAUGAGGGUGAGGACCAUGUCGGAGCCCGCGCUGGGAAACAGGGUCAAGGCCAUCGAGCGAGCAAAGGGGAAACACGCCGUCGUCAAGAUGAAACUUUUCGCCAGGGUUCUGUUCCUGGAGGGAUACGAGGAGCUGAGCACGCUGGCGACGGAGAGUCUGGAGAGGCUCGUCGCCGAGCUGGGGGACCCGGACGUCGAUGGCGAGGACGGGGACGCGGAGUGAGCGCGAGAGCGUGGGUGGAAGGUACGAUGGUACCUUUAAGGUAUAAUUAAGCACAUCGACAAUAAAAAAUAGCAGCGAGCGUAAAAGUUACAGCGUCCCCGCUCGUCACUCCUCCUUGAGCGGGUUUCCCUCGGCGUCGACGCAGGUCCACCCCGCCUUCUUCACGUCGGGAACAGACGCGGGGUUACCCACGAUCGCGAGCGCGGGGGUCUUGCCCACCAGGUACUUCUCCGCGCACUCGCGCAUCCUGCCCGGCGUGCAGUCCAGGAGCCUGUCCCUGAAGAGCUGCCUGCUCUCGUCGUCCAUCAGGUUGGUGAAGAGCGAGGCACCGCGGGACUGGGGCGCGAGCGGCGCGUCGAUCGCCUUGAACGCCUUGAGCCACGCCUCCUCCAGGAUCUCCUGUGUGAGGUUACCCUCCUUCGCCGCCCACGUCGCAGCCUUCUCGAAGGUUUCCACCGUGGCGGUGGUGUUGGGGUCGCGGUAGGAGGAGAGCACGAAGACUCCCUCGACGGGAGCCGCGGACGCUCCGCCACCGUACGCGCCGCCCUUCUCCCUGAUCUCCCUGUGGAGGAACGAGGUGGACAUGGCCUGGCCGAGCAGGAAGAGCGGCGCGGAGUCCGGGUGGGAGUAAGGCACGGUCAAGUAAGACGCGGCGCAGUAGUUGGUCUGCGUGGGCGUCGCCACGAAAGUCUUGGACGGCGCGACCGCAAACGACGCCAGCGACUGAGCGAGCGUGAGCUCGUCGCCGACCGCGUCGGCCCCGCGCAGCGGGAGCGCGUCGAUGAACGCCUCCAUCUGCUUCACCGCGGGAUCGCAAGCCUCGGGCUUGGCGCUGAUCCUGCACCGCAUCACCCGGUUUCUCGCGAGCGCGAAAGCGGCGAUUUCGGCGAGGGCGGCGGACACCUCCUCGACGCCAGCCUCCUUUUCCCUCGCCAGCCUCUGGAGCAACGCGACGUGGGGCAAGCCCGCGGUGCGAUAGUCCAGCGCGGCGACCGGGUCGAUGGAGGCGUUCGCGAGGCCCUUGGCGUAGGAGAGUCCGUUCUGCGAGACGCCCGCGCCCGCGCUCGCGGCGCGGCGAGAGAGGAGGAGGCCGAGCCUGGCGUCCUCGCCAGCCCACUUGGCGCCUGUCGCGACGUCAGCCAUGAGUUGGAACAUGGCCGGAACGUUACGGUCGAGCGCGCUGCCGCUGAGUGAGACGUACACGCGGGGCGGGGCGGACGCGUCGAGGGACUGCUGCACGUUGACGCCAGCGCCGAUGCCGCCCGUCUUGAGCUUCUCCUCCUGCGCCAGAGCCUUGUAGUCCAUCGUCUUCGUGCCGAGCUCGGUGAUGAAAUCGGCGAAGAGGUCGAGGUAGGGCACGAGCCUGUCGGGCAGAUCGGAGACGUCCAGGAGCAGGUUGGCGAACGUGAUCCCGUUCGUGGGCUGCGCGUCGAUCUGCAGGUCAAACCCGCCGGACGUCUUGGUGAUUAAGCUGUUCCAGUGCUUGAUCUCGCGCGGCACCGCCUCGCUCACCUUGAGAGUGGGGAGUAUAUCCGCGUUCUGGUCGCCGUCCUGGCUCGCGCGCAGCGCCACCGCCUCCUUGACGAUGGUGUCCUUCUGUUCCUCGGUGAGGGACUUUUCGAUCUCGGCCACCUUCUUCUUCUCCGCCUCCUCCAGCUUGGCGUCGUAGUCCUUGUCGGCGACGCCCACCACCGUGACCCUGUGGGAGUUGUCGAGGAAUCUGCGCUGGAUGAGCUUCUGCCAGUACUUGGAGUCGGCGUCGAUCGCAGCCUGGAGUUUGGCGGCCAGCACCGGGAUCUUGAGGGGCUUCAUGCCGUCGCCGCCGUGCACCCACGUCCCCAUCGCCCCGAAAGCCACUCCCAGGCCAAAGUUGGUGCUCACCUUCGCGGCGCCGAGCUCAACCUGGUGCAUGACCGCGUCGACGCGCUCCUUGGGGAAGCCCUCCUUCGCGAUCCUCUCCAGCGUGCCCUGGAUCUUGGCCUCCACCUCGGUCACGUCCGCCUCGGCCACGCCCUUCAGACCCACCGCGAACGACGUCUCCCUCCUGGACGACGAGUAUCCCGUCCCCGGGGCGAAUCCCGAGCCCAGCCCCGACUCGAGCAAAGUCUCGUGGAAGUACGCCUGCGGUCCGUUGAGCAAGAGGUCGGACGCGACGGUGAGCGCGAAGUUCUCGAGCUCCGCCUCCUUCUCCUUGAUCUGGUUGACCAUGAGGUAAGCCACCGAGACGACGCUCUGCUUGUUCGGAUCCGGAACGACGGGAUCCGCCGGGACUGGUACCUCCACCUUCACCGGCGCCGUGAGCCUCCGCUCGUCCGCGACGUCCAGCGCGCUGACGUCGAUGCGGUCGAACUUACCGAGCGCGAGCUCCUGGGACUUGGCGAGGGUCCGCUCCAGCGGGAGGUCCCCGUAGGUGAACACCCUCGCGUUGCUGGGGUGGUAGUGCGUGGCGUGGAACCUGGUGAGGUCCUCGUGGGUCAGGGUCGGGAUGGACACCGGAUCGCCGCCGCUGUUGUGGUGGUAGGUGCUCGUGGGGAACAGCGUCGCGCCCAGGGCGCGAUUGAAUCGCGCCGCCUGGCUGCCCAUAGCGCCCUUCAUCUCGUUGAAGACCACGCCCUUGAGCUCGAGCUGCGAGUUCUUAUCCUCCAUGUCCUUGAACUCGAGGCGGUGUCCCUCCUGGAGGAAAUCCUCCCUGGAGAGCUUGGGGAAGAAGGCGGCGUCGAGGUAGACGCCCAGCAGGUUGUAGUAAUCCGUCUCGUUCAUCGUGGAGAAUGGGUAGCAGGUGAAGUCCGCGGCGGUCAUGGCGUUCAUGAACGUGCUCAGCGACCGACGGAGCAUGUUGAAGAACGGAUCGCGGAUGGGGUACCGAUCGCUGCCGCAGAGCGCGGUGUGCUCGAGGAUGUGCGCCACGCCCGUGUCGUCCGUGGGGGUGGUGCGGAACGCGACGUUAAACACGUUGUUCGGGUCGUCCGCGCCGCAGUGCAUCCACCGCGCGCCCGUCUUGAGAUGCACGAGCUCGACGCACGCGACGUUGUACUCGGGGACCUCGUUCACGGCGAGCACCUCGAAGGCGCCGUCCGCGAGCUUGGCGCCGGGCUUGAGCGCGGCGAUCGCGGCGACGGCGGGAGCCAUCGCGGCGGUGUCAGGCGCGGGCGCGGCCUCCACGGCGCGAGCCUGCUGGUUCCCGAGAUUGCCCAUCUGCGCGGUGGUGACCCCGGCGACGCCACCGAUGAGGAUCGGCCUGCGACCGAUUCCGUUGGACUUUCCCGACGCGAGCGCCCUCACGGUGUUGCCUCGCUGGAAUCGAGGGGAGAUGCGGGAGGCGAGUGUCGAUGCGGCGCAGACGAGAGUCCUCGAGGCGAUCAUCGUGAUCCGCGCCCCGUGUUGUGGCGGGCGCGGCGUCGAACGGCACCGCUUCGGAUCUCGAUCUUGCCUGCCAGCUGGCGACUCUUGACGCGAGACGUGGACGCGCGAAAACAUCGAACUGAAUCGGGCCGGGCGCCCUCAUACGAAAAAGUGCCGAGAGGCGGGCGCCGGCACUGCGGCUGGCGCGGCUAACGAUGCUGACCGCUCACACGGUGCAUCAGGCGAGGGAGACGACGAUGCUGCGACGGCUGUGCAGCAGGGCCAACCCGAGCCGCGCGCGAUGGUACCCGACGACGGUGCCCUCGGGGUGGGCUCCGGCGAUUGCCAACGCGCUCGUGAAUGCCGGGCUCGGCGUCAACCCCCGCGGAGGAGCGACGCGCGUCGCCGCCGCGACCGGUCGAGCGCCUCUCGUCGCGGCGUGCACCAGCGGACGCGACCCCGCGUUCACCCCGAGCGCCGGCCCGCUCGCGCCGGCGUUCGCGCGAACCCUCUCCGGCUGGACCCCCGCGAGCGGCGGGGGAAGGGCAUCCCCGACCGCCGCCGCCGCCGCGAAGGGCCAAUCCAAAUCCCACGGAGCGGAGAUUGACGUCCGCGAGGUGCUCAAGGGACUCCCGUCCAUCUGCCCCGGCUGCGGCGUUGGGCUUCAGUGCGAGGACAAGAACGGGCCCGGUUACUUCGUCGUGCCCAAGCGCCUGCUCGAGCCCGAACGCGACGCCGACGACGAAGGGGGAAGAUUCGUCGACGACCCGAGAGCCGCAGCCGCCGCGGAUCACAUGCUCAACUUCGACGACGACGAGGACGACGACGACCUGGAAGACCAGGACGGGUUGGACGGGAUGGAUUCGUUCGCCGUGGAGGGCCUCGGCGACGACGACCUGGAUGCUGACGAGGACGACGACGACCUACCGGACUUUGACGGCGGCGAUUUCGACGGCGACGACCAAACGGAAACGGGGGAUCCUACUCCGUCCGAAGCGGAUGCGCUCGCCGCCCUGGACGCCCUCUUCGACGGCGACGACGACGACGGGGCGGACGUCGACGGCGACGACUGGGAGUCCAUCGCGGCGAGGAAGCGCGCGGAGCGCGAGGCGAGGCGUCGCGAAUCCCCCGAGACGGUGGUGUGCGCUCGAUGCUACUCGCUGCGAAACUACGGCAAGGUGAAGAACGAGGCUGCGGAGAUUUUGAUGCCGUCGUUUGACUUUGGCCGCGUCGUGGGGGACAGGUUGUCUCGGCUGGGUCCCGGCGGAGCCGUCGUGUUGUGCCUCGUGGAUCUCGUCGACUUCGACGGUUCGUUUCCCGUGGACGCGGUGGAUAUCUUAUCGCCUUACGUCGCGAACGAGUCGGUGGAUGUGCUGCUGGUGGGCACCAAGGUGGACUUACUCCCCACGCAGUGCACGCGAGCGAGGGUGACCAGCUUCGUGCGCAGGCGCGCUAAAGACCUGGGCCUGCGACGCGCGAGCGGCGUGCAUCUGGUGUCGGCGCACAGCGGCAUGGGCGUCAACAUCCUCUCGGAACAGCUGGAGACGCUCCUGGACGAGGGGAGGGAGGUUUGGGUCGUCGGCGCUCAAAACGCGGGCAAGUCGAGCCUCAUCAACCGGCUCAGCAAAAAGUACGGGGGUCCCGGGCCCGAGGACGGCGGACCCCUCGCGUCGCACCUCCCGGGAACCACGCUCGGCGUCGUCAAGCUCCCGGGUCUGCUGCCCAACGGCUCGGACGUCUACGACACUCCCGGUCUGUUGCAGCCGUUUCAGGUCUCCGGUCGGCUCACCGCCGAGGAGGCGCGAGCAGUGCUGCCCCGCAAGAGACUCGCCCCGCGAACGUACCGAGCGGAGAUUGGAAGCUCCGUUCACAUCGGCGGGUUAGCGCGCAUCGACGUCGUGGACGGCCCGCAGCGCACCUUAUACCUCACCGUGUGGGCGUCGCACGACGUGCCCACGCACUACAUGGUUAAGGGUGAGGGCGGCAAGGCUGACGCUUUUUACGAGAAGCACGCCGGGGGCAAGCUGUCGCCGCCCGUCGGCGAGAACCGUGUGGCGCAGCUCGGCGAGUGGGGGUGCAGGACGGUGACCGUGUACGGGGAGUCGUGGCAGAGGAGCGACAGGGACAUCAGCAUCGGCGGUUUGGGCUGGGUCGGCGUCGGCGUGAGCGGGAACGCGUCCUUCCGGGUGUGGACGCACGAGGGGGUUCAGGUUGAGACGCGCGAGGCUCUGGUGCCGGACAUGAGCCGGGACCUGUGCAGGCCGGGGUUCAGCGACGAGCAGCAGCCGGGCGGUGGCGGGGACAGGGCGAGACCGAGCAAGAGGAUCAUGCGGAAAGGGGGAUACCGCGCGCCGAAGAAGAGCGAACGCAAGUUCAAGUUGUAAGAACAGUGCUCGUUCGACUUUUAGUGCUAAGUUAACCUCUAUCUCCACGCCUCGGCGCCCACCUCGUCCGAAGAGAGCAUCUCCACCGCCUUCAGGAGCUCCAACGGCGCGACCGCGAUCGUCUCUCGCGCAUCCUCCGUGCCCCGCGCGAACUCCAUCUCCUGCCUCGCCGCCGCCACGUCCUCCGGGUCGCACAGGAGCAGACCCGGGGCUUGAGUCAAGGCUCUGCCACCAAGUUCGGGAGCGAUUCGCUUGAGCUCCACCACCCUGCGGACCACGUCGUUCGCCUCCCACAACAGCAGCUCCGGCUCCUUGGUCAGCACCCUCGGGACGUCCAGCCCGCUCGUCUCCGUGUCGAACACCUUAGCCAGCGCCCGCACCCUGCUCUCUAGCAGCGGCGCGUUGCGAUAAGGGCUGUCGCGUCCCGCCGAGGUGAGCGCUGCUCGACAGUGAGGCGUGCUGCCGAAGAGGUGCCAAAAGUGAACGACAGCCUUGUCCUCCUGCGGCACACCCUCGAUACCGUCGCCGGAUGAGCCGAUCCUGGACGCGUCGCGAACCCGACGCGGCCCGGCGGGCGCCCAGCGAGGGCACGCUGCCGAGCAAGCGCUCAUCGCGUGUGACGGGAGCCGAGAAAUGAAAUCGCCAGGUACACGUGCGGCCAGUUUCCGUCGGUCGUUUCUCGAGCGCGAAGAUAAAGCGGGAUGACGCGCUCCGGGCCACCACUCUGGGAAGGGAACGGUGGGCCCUUCGAACCCGAUCCAACCCGCUUCGUGCUCGACCACACGCGCGCACGAUGUCCGCGCUCAUCAUCGCCGCCGCGCGUCGCUCGUCCGGGGCGUUCUCGCGCGCGCUCGCCGCGUCGCCACGGGCGGUGACCCACGGCGCCUCGGCAACCCCGAGGGAGCCGGCGUGGACCCGUCGCUCGUCCUCCUCCGCGACGUCGUCGUCCGCGGCGCAGUCGGAGGCGAUGGCGGCGUUUAGGGAGAGGCUCGCCGAAGGUCCCGACUUCGGGGACUUCGUCCGGGGAGAUGAGCUUCCGGGCACCGCGUACUCGCUCGCCGCGCCCAAAAACCUGCGCGACAAGUCCGUGCGCAAGCCCCCGUGGAUGAAGCGGACGAUCCCGGGCGGCGACAGGUACACCGAGAUCAAGGCCAAGCUGCGGGAGCUCAAGCUGAGCACGGUGUGCGAGGAGGCGAGGUGCCCCAACCUGGGCGAGUGCUGGGGCGGCGGCGACGGCCACACCGCCACAGCCACCAUCAUGAUCAUGGGCGACACGUGCACCCGCGCGUGUCGCUUCUGCGCGGUGAAAACCUCCAAGACGCCGCCGCCGCUCGACCCGGAGGAACCAGCGAACGUCGCCAAGGCCAUCGCCGCGUGGGGUUUGGACUACGUCGUGCUCACCAGCGUGGACAGGGACGAGCUGCCCGAUCAGGGCGCCGGUCACGUCGCCGAGACCAUCCGCCGCCUGAAGUCAUCCGCGCCGAAUCUUUUGGUCGAGGCGCUCACGCCGGAUUUCAGGGGCGAGGCGGAGCUGGUGAGGGAGGUGGCGGCGUCGGGCCUGGACGUGUUCGCGCACAACGUGGAGACGGUGCCGGAGCUGCAGGCGGAGGUCAGGGACCGACGCGCGAAUUGGGAUCAGAGCGUCGGGGUGCUGCGGGACGCGAAGCGGUUUGUGCCGAGUUUGAUCACGAAGACCUCGCUCAUGUUGGGCCUGGGCGAGACCAGGCCGCAGGUUGUGAACGCGCUCAAGCUGCUGCGCGAGGCUGGGGUGGACGUGGUGACGUUCGGGCAGUACAUGCGACCGACGAAGAGGCACCUCGCGGUGAAGGAGUACCUCACCCCCGAGGCUUUCGAGGCGUAUAAAAAAAUUGCGGAGGAUAUGGGCUUUUUGUACGUGGCGUCGGGGCCCAUGGUCAGGUCCAGCUACCGCGCGGGCGAGUACUUCCUGGAGAACGUGCUCAAGCAGAGGAAGGCGGAGGCGGCCAAGGCGACGGCGUGAUGGACGGCUGGGGGUGUGAUGACAUUCAUUGAAAUUGCAAUCCAAUUUGCAAACAAGCACGCGCAGGUCAACGCUUCGCUCACGGUGAGUCCACGGCGACCCAAGCGACGCGCUUCCCGGUCGGAGAGAUCCGUCCCACCCUCGACUUGGCGCGCCUCAGUCGCGCCUCGUCCGAGUUUUUCCCGGCCAUGUUGGGCGCCGGCGUGACGAGCGCAAAGUUUGGCCGUCGCCUCAUCCUCCGCAUCUGCCGCGAAAGCUCGUCGUCCGAGUCGGCGCCCGGCGUUUCGGGAGGGAUCCCCGUCCGGGGAAACCCCACGAUCCUCGGGGCGACGACGUUCCAGUCGAGGCCGUCUAGGUUGGGCGCGUCGUCGCUCGCGGGUGAGCUCCCGGCGCUGUCCGCCUCGAGGGACCCGGAUUCGUCCACCGCCGCCUUCAGCCGUUUGGUCAGGUUCCCAAUCUUCCUCUCCUUCUCCUUGAGCGUCAUGCGCAGGUACCGCAGCUCCCUCGCCUGAAACCCGACGGUUCGAUCGAGGUCCGCGACAGCCUUGGCGUCGGAUGACCCGCCCAUCGUCGUCAAAAGAGCCUGGUCGUUCUCCGGGGACGCGUUCGCAGAGUCCAGGUUCGCCGCGCCCUUAGCCGGGGUGGCGCCGGGGCUGAAUAAGGAGGGACGCUUCUUCUUUCCUUUCCCUUGUGGGGUGAGCAGGUCCCGCACCCGCGCCACCGCGGCCCUGGUGCGCAAACUCACGUCCACCGCGAGGUCGAUGGGCGAGCUCUUUUGAGCGGGUUGGUCCGCCGCCUCGCGGGCGUCGCCGCCGAACGGGCUCCGCCGUCUCCGCCGCUUGCGCUCCUCGAGCUCCUUCAACGCGUCGUCGCGUUCCGUCACGAGCCGCUCGAGCUCCUCGGCGAUGGGCACGGCGAGCGCGUGGCCGGAGUUCUCGAGCGCCAGGAGCAGCUCGCGGAGCCGUUCCAUCCGCCGGACGUCCGCGUCCUUGCGUCGAAGCCGGCGCCACCGCCGCGAGAGCAGAUCUUUCAGCGCGGAGAGGAUGAACGGCGCCGCGAUGGACGCCGCGGUGUGGCCAAAGCUGGCGAACUUACCCCCUCGCGCGCGGUCGUCGCCGCCGCGAUGACUGUAGCGUCCCUCGUGCUUGCGUCGGAUCGCCGAGCGCGGGGGCUCGGAGGUGGAGGAGGACGUCGGGGUCUCGUCCUCCGACGCGAGCACCUGGACCGAUCUUCGCGUCACGGUCAUCUCCUCCGUCUCCGUCGCGGCACCGUCGGCGGGGAGAGGGAGCGCCGUCGAGUUCGUGACACCCUCCAUGACGGCGGACGCGGGCGACACCGCGACCGCGCGGCCGAACAUGGCGGGAGUCCUCUGCGCCGCCUCGCGCCCGCGCGCCUUCCUCGCGGCGCGACUCUCGGGGGGUCUCUCGCGAUGCGUCUCCGAGCGGGUGUAGGCGACGUACGACGAGAGGACGCCGCCCGCGCCGAGGCCAAAGAACUUACCCGCGGACGAGCCCGCGAACCAUGACGUCAUCCUCGAGACGCGCGAUGCUCCGAGGCCCGGGGGAACCCAGCGCGCGUCGCGUCGAAUGUGUUCCGCGACGGAUGCGACAGCUGUGUUCCCGUGUUCAAAAGCCCUCAAACGGUCGAAUGCAGAAUGAGAGCACACAACAGACACAUGCAAAUAGUCAGGGACAAAUUUAUGUUUCAAGACUAGAUUCGAUGUUUAUACUUCAUCGUAUGAUAGGAUAUGAACAUCAGCGCUAAUUGGUAUUACGAAUAACGCUUUUCCAUUCAACCGACCGCUCACUUAACUCACUUAAUCAGCAGCUCCACAGCGACCGCGAUGGCAGCCACCUGCAGGCCCACGAGCGUGGUCCAUAUGUGUUUGGCCCACAUGUUGCUGUACCUGUUUUGCGGGUCACCAGAGGCGUAGCCCUUCGCCCACUCCUGCCUCGCCUUGAUGUACCCGCAACCGAAAAGCCACACCGAGAGCGGGUACCGGAUGCCGCCGAUGAGGGAGCUCGCGAGGAUGGUCGGGAAGGUCUCGAGAGCCUGCUGAUGGCCUCGUUGGAUGCAGUUGAACGUGACGCUUUUCUUGUCCUUGCCCGUGGCGUACAUGGCGGGGAGAUCCACCUUGUACUCCUUGCGAGCGGCGCUGACCUUGAAUGACAAGGUCACGAGCGCGAGCGAGGCUCCGAUGACGUUCACCAGGAUGACGGCACCGUAUCCCUUGGGGAUGGCGGACGAUAUCGCGGAUCCGCCCCAGAUGUGGUCGUGGAAGUCGGGGAUGAACUCCGCAGUCUUCUGGCACGCGUACGUCUCAGCCUGCGCGACGAGUGGGAUCGGGGGAUUUAAUUUUAACUCUAAAUCGUCGAUCGCGCGAGAGGAGGGAGGCGAGAUCGAACGGGACGUACCAGGAGGACGCCCGCGGUCUGGGCCAUGAACUUGGCGGUGGCUAACCACAUUCCCAUGUUAUCGAGUCUCUGUCGGUGUCUGGCUCGCUGUUUCCUGCAACGGUGAGAGUGGGUGCCGUCGGCGCAAAUUAUCGACGAAAAAGCGCAAUGACCGCAGAAAUCUUCGGCAGGGCAGGAUCUGGCUUCCCGCCACGUCGGCCUUCGAAGGGCCAAUCCGUAUGCGUGAUCAGUCUCGGGCCCGUUGAGGAAUCUGGUUUGCUUGAGAUACGCACUUUUCGAAGCUCGGCGCGCUGGCCGAUGGGGAGGGGCGCGGAGGCGGGCAAAGCGGACGACUCCGUCGACACCGGAGACACCGCCGCGCCCAAGAUGACCGAAGAGAGGAGCGACGCGCCGUCCGCGUCGGUAACGACCGAGACGAACGGCGGAAGGCCUCCCUCGGGCGCGGGCGCUUCCACCUCCUUCCAAAACGGCAGCAGACCGGGGUUGGUGAGGCGCCUGGCGAGGUCCAUCCCCAUGGUCGGGGACCUGUUCCUUCCCUCGGACGGCAGAUUUGGCGACGGCGCGUUCGAUAUGAGGAUACGCGCAGCGCGGGGCCGCGCCUCCCCCGUGGACGCGGGCGCGGAGAAGGACGCAGGCACGGAAAAGGGAACAUUUCGCGAGCGGGUCAGCUCGUUCAGCAGCCUGCUGAACGUCCAGAAGGUGUCGCAAAAGGUGAGCGACACUUUGGAGCAGCAAAUCGGAAGGUUCGGACCCGCGGGGAUCGAGAUUUACAGGUUCGCGUGGCAGAGGUUCAACCGGCGCGUCGCGUUCCACAUCGCAUUCUACUCGGUGCUCGGCAGCGUGCUGUUUGUGCUUUGGGCGCUCGCCGCGUGGCAGCUUUGGCUCGUCAUGGGACUGUGGGCGUUCCGAAGGUUCAUCCUGGUGCUCGGGGUCGUCGUGCUGCUCGCCAUGCUCCCGCCGAGCUUCCCCAACGCGGCGGCGCACGGCCUGAGCCUGGCGCUCGUCGCCGCGGAGCUCUGCCUGCUGGGCGUGAACCUCGUGUUGUUCGGGCUGGUGCACCUCGCGGUGCUCCUGAACAAGUACAUCCUCCCGCACUGGUUCCACCGCGGUUUGACCGUGGUGAACGAAAUCAGCAGCGGGGUGAUCGACCACGACGGGCGCGCGCGGUCGGUGAUGACCCAGGAGCGGAACAAGCUCCUGGCGCGGCUGUUCCACUGCAAGUCGUACAGGGAGUGGCUGGGCGUCGCGUCGCAGUUGGAUAAGCUUCCCGCGAACCUGGGCGAGGGCGGGGACGAGUGGAGGAGGGACGAGUCGCGAUCGUCGGAUGCGUACGACGCGGCGCUGUGCAAGAUCUACCUCACGGUGAUGAGGCAGGCGAGGGCGGGCGGCGACGCGGCUGCGCUGGGCCUUGCGCUGAGGACGGUGCUGCACCGCAACUUCGGGGGCAUGAACCGGCUGCUCCGGCUGAGGCACGCGAGGACGGGGACCAAGCUGGUGGCGGAGGAGUUCACGCAGGAGCUGUGCAGGAGCGUGAGGUUCCUGGGGACCUGCGGGACGCCCGAGUACGACUCCGCGGUUAGCGCGUUUGGGGCGCGGGAUUCCUCCAGGAACGGCGGGGGUGAGUUGCUGCGGCUGGCGACUGGGCCGGUCACGGGAUCGAUGACGCGGCUGGACUCGCCCAGGGGGGACCCGCCCGGGUCCAUCGCGAGGGGCCCGAGUCCGCCGCCGGGCUUACCCCCCAAGUCGAGCGGCGACAGGAUAGAUUCGCCCCGCGGCGGCGGCGGCGGCGGUUUUGACACGAGGGUCCCGGAGACGCUCCGCCUGAUAUCCGAGGCGCACAGGAGCCUGGGCCGGACCGCGCUGUGCCUCAGCGGCGGCGGUGCGCUCGCGAUGUAUCACUUCGGCGUCAUCAAGGUUCUGCUGGAGGAGGGGCUGUUACCCCAGGUUGUGUCGGGGACGUCUGGCGGUUCCAUCGUCGCCGCGUUCAUCUCCAUGUUCCCGGAGGAGGAGCUCCUCAAGACGAUCAAGCCGGACUUGAGCAACAGGCACGACGUGCGCUGGUUCCCGCCCGUGUGGAAGAUGAUUCUGCACUUCGUCCAGCACUCGGUGUUGAUGUCCGGCGACGAGUUUGCGCGAACCACGGAGGCGUACUUUGGCGACGUGACCUUCGCGGAGGCGUUCGCAAUCAGCAAGCGGGCUGUGUCGAUUCAAAUCUCCGUCGGAUCGGGUCACGGGUUCGUCCUGAACCACUUCACGUCGCCGCAAGUCGUGAUACGCACCGCGGUGAAUGCGUCGUGCGCGUUGCCCGGUUUGAUGCCUCCGUCCGAGCUGUUGGCCAAGGACGAGGCCACCGGCGAGUUGAUCCCGUUCCAUCCCGCGGGGGUGACCUCCUUCGACGGCACCAUCACCGCGGACAUACCCGCCGCGAGGCUCACCGAGCUGUUCAACUGCAACAACUUCAUCGUGUCGCAGGUAAACCCGCACAUCAACUUCGUGCUCCACCUCGCGGACGACGGGGGCGGCGGGAGGAGGUUUCGGCACAUGGGCCGGUCGGGAGAGAGGCGCGCCGCGGUGAUCAAGCUGCUCCGCGUUGCAAACUUCCUCCUGCUCAACAUCAAGUACGGCAUGCAGAAGCUCCUGGAGGUUGACCUGCUGAAUCUGCGCAUGGUGCGGACGCUUCAGGGCAUACUGGUCCAGGACUUCCGUGGGCACGUCACCAUCUUACCCGAGCUCAAGUUUUCCGACUACCUCCGGAUCCUCCACCAGCCGUCCGAGGCUGACAUGGCGCACUUCAUCAGCAACGGGGAACGCGCCACGUGGCCGCACGUCGAGGCCAUCAGGCUCAAGGUGGCCGGGGAGAUCGCCCUGCAGGAGGCCGCGGCCGCGCUCAGGGCGAGGCUGGCUCGACAGAACCAGACCAGGCACAGCGCCGGCGACGCGUGGGCGAGGACGCCGCGGUGGUCGCAGGACGGCGGGGGCGGCGGCGGCGGCGGGGGUUCCCCGGCGAACGGCGCGGGGCAUCACGGGAGGAAGAGCUCGAUGGACGCGGCCGCGGCGGAGCACCUCGGCGCGGGGCUCAGCUGCGCGGUGACGCAGGAGGAUUUCCACUGAGAGAGAAGCACGGCGGUGCUGCUGCGCGAGAAAAAAAUAAUGAUUAGACUCCAGUCGCGGAUUGGUCUCACAUCUCGCACUCUGAUCGUUAGGUCGCUGGUUCGACUCCGGCUUGGAACCGCACGAAAUUUCCGGGUCCUGUCCCCUCGGAAACGGGAGCCGCAAAGUUUGUGGCUCUCUUUGACGCGUUCGAUCCGAGGUGGCCGCCUCGCACAGAGGAGCGCGUCGAGUGUCGAGUGAACCUUGUCUCGAUGUCCGCGACGCCGAUGGUCUCAUGGGCCACGACCGUGCGCCCGAGCGCGGUCCGCAAGUCCGCGCCCGCGCCCCGCGCGCGAACGAUCCGCGCGCUCCCCGGCGGCACCCCCAGAGGGGGGGGAAACGCCGCUUCCAGCCGGUCGCGUCGGUGCCUCCGCGUCUCCGUCUCCACCGCCGAGGAGAACGUCGCCACGAGCAGCACACGCAUGGCCACCGUCGAGGAGAACAAGGGCGUCGUGUACCCCAGCAACCUGCGGUGCGCGCUGCAGGUGAACGUGCCAACCCCGGAGGUGGACGACGCGGCGUACUCGCUGUCUAAUUACAUGAGGCUCCCUGUCGAUCAGUACGUCGGGAUCGAGCUGCCCAUGGGCGCGGAGAUGAAGCGCGUGCCGGGCGACCGCACCUUGUUCCAGCUGGAGAUUCCCGGGUUGAAGUUUCUCAGCCUGGAGGUCAAGCCGGUGGUGCGGGUCAGGGUGCGGCUCAUCGGCGACGGCGAGGAGGUUGCCACGUGGACGGGGCAGAGCGGGCACCCGGGCGGAAAGACCCCGGAGUGGCGCGCGGACGAGUCAGCGAGGCUCGCGGAGCUCGCCAUCAAGGCGGAGUGCGUUGACGACGACGACGAGCCCGAGGAGUGCCCCGCGCCCCCGCCGGCGCCCACGCCGAUGGGCCGGCCGGAGCGGGAGGAUGUGGUCCUCCACGGCCCGUGCGUCCUCAUCGAGGCCAUCUCGUGCCGGGUGGAGGGGAAGACGGUGGAGGAGCUCGGCGUGAACGACCUGUUCGUGUUCCGCGGGACGACGUGCUUCAGGUGGAGGUCCCGCGGCGACGGUACCGACGCGGGCCCGGUGCCCAGCCGGACGGGACCUGGCGGAGAGGAUGAGGCGGGAACCGGCUGGGCGUCGGCGCCGGUGGUGGGGGCCAAGAAGCUGAAGGACGGACAGUCGUGCAUCGUGGGAUGGGCGGACAUCGGCGUGGGAGUAGAUCCCCCGGGGCCGUUCGCGCUUCUGCCGCAGAGCUUCGCGGAGAAGGUUGGAGACGCGGUGAUGCGCACCACGCUCAAGGCGCUGCAGAGCGUGUUUUUGAACGGGUUGGCCAAGGAUUACUCCAAGUGGGCAACCGACGAGAAGUACCGCGCCGCGAGGGAAGUGGCGGCCGCGGCCGCUGCAGAGGAGGCUGGGUUGUGAUUGUUUGUCGCAAGACUUUAUUCUUUGAUUGAUUCAAGGCGUAUGCGUAUUACAAAGGUGUUUUCGUCAUCGUCUUCGGUGGAGUUUUCGCCAGACAGAGAAAGUCACCGGGCACACGAACAAAAACUGUGAGCCGGCGCACUGUCUGAGCGAUUUAAAUCACGCACGCGUCCGAAUGCUAGGCAUUUAGGGCAAUUAGUUGCCACCGCGGAGGCGGAGCACAAGGUGGAGGGUGGACUCCUUCUGGAUGUUGUAGUCCGCGAGAGUGCGGCCAUCCUCGAGCUGCUUGCCAGCGAAGAUCAGGCGCUGCUGGUCAGGGGGGAUGCCCUCCUUGUCCUGGAUCUUGGCCUUGACGUUGUCGAUGGUGUCGGAAGACUCGACCUCGAGGGUGAUGGUCUUGCCGGUGAGAGUCUUGACGAAGAUCUGCAUACCACCGCGGAGGCGGAGCACAAGGUGGAGGGUGGACUCCUUCUGGAUGUUGUAGUCCGCGAGAGUGCGGCCAUCCUCGAGCUGCUUGCCAGCGAAGAUCAGGCGCUGCUGGUCAGGGGGGAUGCCCUCCUUGUCCUGGAUCUUGGCCUUGACGUUGUCGAUGGUGUCGGAAGACUCGACCUCGAGGGUGAUGGUCUUGCCGGUGAGAGUCUUGACGAAGAUCUGCAUACCACCGCGGAGGCGGAGCACAAGGUGGAGGGUGGACUCCUUCUGGAUGUUGUAGUCCGCGAGAGUGCGGCCAUCCUCGAGCUGCUUGCCAGCGAAGAUCAGGCGCUGCUGGUCAGGGGGGAUGCCCUCCUUGUCCUGGAUCUUGGCCUUGACGUUGUCGAUGGUGUCGGAAGACUCGACCUCGAGGGUGAUGGUCUUGCCGGUGAGAGUCUUGACGAAGAUCUGCAUACCACCGCGGAGGCGGAGCACAAGGUGGAGGGUGGACUCCUUCUGGAUGUUGUAGUCCGCGAGAGUGCGGCCGUCCUCGAGCUGCUUGCCAGCGAAGAUCAGGCGCUGCUGGUCAGGGGGGAUGCCCUCCUUGUCCUGGAUCUUGGCCUUGACGUUGUCGAUGGUGUCGGAAGACUCGACCUCGAGGGUGAUGGUCUUGCCGGUGAGAGUCUUGACGAAGAUCUGCAUACCACCGCGGAGGCGGAGCACAAGGUGGAGGGUGGACUCCUUCUGGAUGUUGUAGUCCGCGAGAGUGCGGCCGUCCUCGAGCUGCUUGCCAGCGAAGAUCAGGCGCUGCUGGUCAGGGGGGAUGCCUGAAGGAAAGAGGGGGGAGAGGUCAGCGUCGGGUCACCUCGUUUGGAUCCAAAUUCAAAGUAAAAAACGGGCACCCCCGUCAACGGGUCAAGAUCGGGUGAGAUCUGGGCGAGAGCGUGCGAGAUCGAGCGAGACUGGCGCGGGGAAUUGAACGAUGAGAGCCAAACGAACGACAUCGAUUGUUGUCGACGCGAGGUCGGGUCUUCGCGAUUUCACGGGCGCCCGGCGCACGCGUCGCAUUCAAGCGCGCGUUCAAAAUAAGCCACGUGGGGCCGAUUAUCGAACCGGUGACUCACCCUCCUUGUCCUGGAUCUUGGCCUUGACGUUGUCGAUGGUGUCGGAAGACUCCACCUCGAGGGUGAUGGUCUUGCCGGUGACUGCACAGAGGUAUCGGAAGAGGGGGUAGAUCGGUCAGGUCGCGUUCGACGCGAUCAGGAGGGCCCGUCGCCGGGUCUUGUCAACGAAUCCGAGGGUCGCUUUUGUCCUCGUUUUUGCCGCGAGAUCUGGCGGCCCGGGGUCGCGCAGCUACGCGCGCGGCGAGGACUAAACCGGGCGCGAGGGGGGUCGGGGGAGAUGGAGGCGGGUCGACUUACGAGUCUUGACGAAAAUUUGCAUGGCUCUUGUUUCGAUGUGUGUGUCGCGCGAGGCGGUUGUGGCCGCAUGAAGCCCGCGUCUUCAAACUUCUCCGCCCCUCGGACUCGCAAAUUUUGAUCUGAUUGGCGGGACGGGCGCGGGAACCACGGAUUCAACUCGAGAUUUUCUGCUGGGAAUUUUUCGAAGGGUCGCGCCCAAACCCAAACGCCCAAAUCGCGAACCCAGGCUGGCGCCGUGAUGAGGAUAAAAUCGCAGAUGCGGGUGCGUCAGCACCGGGCGAGCGGAGCCACAGAGCGGGUUUUGCAGUCUUGCUGUUGUUUGGUUAUCUGCGACACUCGCGCGCGGCACCAUGGCGGCCAUGGGCAGCGGCCAGAGCGGCGCCGAGAUUUACACGUACGAGGCGCCAUGGCUCGUGUACGCGAUGAAUUGGAGUGUGAGUGCCCGUCGAUGACUCUGCUCCGUCCCGCCGCGUUCCUCCCCGCCCGGGCCGAUCCCUCGCCUGCACCCAAUCUGACCCGGCAAGAUCCGCUGCUGACGCGACUUUGAGGACGCGCCCGGCAGUCGACCGACGCGCCCCGCCCCGCGACGUGACCCGCUGACGCUUCACUCGAUAUAAACCUCCCCCUCCCCGCGCGCGCAUUCAACAGGUGAGGCAGGACAAGAGGUUCCGCCUCGCGCUCGGGUCGUUCGUGGAGGAGUACAGCAACAAGGUUGAGAUCAUCACGCUGGACGAGCAGCGACGGGAGUUUCCGGCGGAGCCGACGCACAGGUUCGACCACCCGUACCCGUGCACGAAGAUCAUGUUCGUCCCAGACGCCGAGGGAACCAGCGAGGACUUACUGGCCACGAGCGGCGACUAUCUGCGGGUUUGGCGCAUAGGCGACGACGGCGUGCACCUGCGGAGCCUCCUGAACAACAACAAGAACAGCGACUUUUGCGCGCCGCUCACGUCGUUCGACUGGAGCACCACCAACCUGGCGAGGGUGGGCACCAGCAGUUUGGACACCACGUGCACCAUCUGGGACCUGGAGAAGGAGACGGUUGACUCGCAGCUCAUCGCGCACGACAAGGAGGUGUACGACAUCGCGUGGGGCGGGCCGGAGGUUUUCGCGAGCGUCUCCGCCGACGGGAGCGUCAGGGUGUUCGACCUGCGGGAUAAGGACCACAGCACGAUCGUCUACGAGUCCCCGACGCCGGACACGCCGCUGCUGAGGUUGGGUUGGAACAAGCAGAACCCGAGGUACAUGGCGACGAUGGAGAUGGACAGCGCCAAGGUUGUGGUGCUGGACAUUCGCGUGCCCGCGCUGCCGGUGGCGGAGCUGAAGAAGCACAGAGCCGCGGUGAACACGCUGGCGUGGGCGCCGCACAGCUCGAGGAACAUAUGCACCGCCGGGGACGACGCGCAGGCGCUCAUUUGGGACCUGUCGUCGGUGGCGCAGCCCGGGGAGGACGGGAUGGAUCCGAUGCUGGCGUACAACGCGGGGGCGGAGAUCAGUCAGCUGCAGUGGAGCGCGACGCAAACCGACUGGAUAGCCAUCGCAUUCGGCAAAAACCUGCAGGUGCUUCACGUGUGACGCCCGCGGGGAGAACGUGGCGAUCGUAGUCCUAGUUCGGUUUUGAAUUCAACGUUCAUUUAGCACUCACUUCGGGAGUCUUGAAGAUCACCGAGAGCAGCAUUCGUAGGCGCUCGCGCCCGAUCUUGUUUAUAUGGGCCCACGAUCGUACUUUUUUCUCAUCAUAAAAAGAUCCGCGCGGUGAAAGCGCCCGCCGCUGGCAGCAUGAUGACAGAGAUUGAGUUGAACAGUCCCGGGGUUAGGGGCGAGCCCGGAACCGAUGAAGAGAAAGUUCAGAUCGUAGAUCGCGGCGCGUGUAGAUGCUCCAACAUGUGCUGGUCCACUCGUGACGGAAUUGGGAAGGCUCUCGUGGACGCAGCUUGCAAGGCCGCGGUGUAUCAGACGGGUAUGAAGCCGUUCGCUAACCCCAAGGCCCAGGUUGGUCCCCUAUCCGCGGAGCUCGUGGAGAAGCUCGAGCAGGGCGUCAAACCCGACACCAUCCUCAGCAAUCUGUCCGCGAACAUCAACGAGUGGACGGCAGGGAAGCGCGGAAUGUUCACCCUCAACUUUUGGCAGGAGGAUUCGAUCGCCUCCCUUCAGGCGGACGUCGCGCGAGGCGACGGUUGGGCCGCCGCCGACGUCAGCAGGGCGGCGCGAACCCUUCUUUUGGCGUACGACAAGCGCGGGCUCGCGCACUGCGAGGAAGCCUUCGCGAGUCCGGAGGAGCUUUUGGCGCACAAGGAAGGAUGCGCGUUUCGACCAGUGGAGUGCCAAAACCACGGAUGCGUGCAGGUUGUCGGCGCCAACUCCGCGGGGGCGCACGACGCGUCGUGCCCCCACAAGCUGCUCGUGUGUCCCCAGGGAUGCGGCGCGGACGUCAAACGCGCGGCGCUGAGGGAUCACAUGGCGACCGAGUGCGACAUGAAACCCGCCGUCUGCCCGUACAAGGAGCUCGGGUGCGAUGGAUCCGUUACCGCCGGGAGCGUCGAUGCGCAUUGCAGGGAAUGCGCCGGGACGCACCUCAAGCUCGUGGUGGACUGGGUGGGCCGGCUCUCCACGGAGGCGGUCGCGACGGAGGCGCGGGUCCGGGACAUCAAGCUGCUCCUUCAGGGCGUCGUGCCGAAGGUCGAGGAGACCGCCGCCGAGGUUGUCGCCGGCGGUGAGGCCCGAGGCAAACUCGCCGGGGAGGUGCGGGAGCUUCGCGCGAGUUUGAACGGGAUGGCGAAGGCGGUGACCGCGCUGGAGGGGGAGAUGAAGACGCAAAAGUCGGACAUGAAGCUCGCGAUCAAGACGAUGGACAGGCUGGCGCGGGCGCAGGAGGACAUGGUGAAGCGGGUUCCCAUGCUGAGCGGCAAGAGUUGACUACUUUGUUACACAGACGUAAUGAUUUUCACAUACAUCUGGUCGCGCGCGCACCCAUGGAGGCCCUCGGCGUGGGCUUGGGGUUGCGGGUCCAAACCCGGGCGAGGCCGCGUCCUCGUCGUGUCGUCGUUCGUGUCACGGCGAGCGGCAACGCGGGGGGCGGAUCUAAGAGGAAGGGUAAGAAGCAGGGGGGCGCGUUCUCCACCGUCGAGGCGGCGGUGUCAUUCCUCGCGCAGCUGCUGAGCGCGGGCGACAUGUUCGGGACGACGGGGUCGUCGUUCAAGGACGACGCGCGUUUCGACCGGACGGACGACGGCGCGGACAAGAAGGUGGAGCUGCGCGGGUGGAAGUGGAUCAAAAUAUCGGGCAAGGCGAGGACGUCGACGCGCGUCGCGACGGUGGGCGAAGCGCCGCUGGACGUUUAUCUGCAGCUCCCGCCCGAGGAGUACUCGCUCCUGGAUCCGCAGUUCGUGAAGAGGGAGAGCCCGAGCACGUUCCGGUUCACCGUGCCCAUGCGUGAGGUCAUCAAGAAGGACAAGUCGUACGGGGGACCGGGGGAGAUCCUCAAGGAGCUCACGCCCACGAUCCUGUUCACCACCGAGGUUGACACGGCGAGGCAAAGAGUUCAACUCAAGGGAGACGGCGCCGCCCUCGGACAGGCGGACCUCGACACGAGGUUCGACCUCGAGUUGAAAAACGUGCUGACGUGGGAGGCGAUGUACGAGAGCGCGCCAGAAGCGGACGAUGACGCGGGACGGAUAGGUGUCGUGGUGAUGGAUGACGACGAGGAUGAGGAUGAGGAUGAGGAUGAGUCCAGGCGGAGCUCGUCUGGACUGAAGGGAAAGGAGAUCAUAGUGGCUGAGUACACGGACUUGGACGCGAAGGACCGCGGCGCCGCGGACAUGCGACGACGUGCGCCCUGUCCGCCGGGUUGGGAGCUUCGAUGCGACACGAGGCUGAGCAUGAGAGUGCAGGUGCCCAGACCUCUGUCGGUGGCUCCCUCAUUUCUCCUCGGGGGCGCCUUCUCCAUCAUCGCGUCGGCGGUGAUGGCCGCCAUUCUGCCCAAGUUUGCGGAGUUCGUAGCCGCUGACUACGCCAGGUGGGCCAGGGGCGAGGACAGGAGCGCGCCCGUGGGCAGCUUCGGGGAGGAGAAGAAGGGUGAGGAGGAUGACGCCGGCGACGGCGUUGUCCAGUUUUGAGAUUUAACUUUCCAGUCGUCUCAUCAGGUCGUCACGUCAUACAACACAUGCGGUGUCUCGCGGCGCGGUGCUCGGCUCUCGCGGCUGGGGUGUGCCUCUCGGCGCGUCGAGGCGGCGUUGCCCGACGCGCCCGACCGGCGGUGUCCGCCAGAUCCGCUGCGGCCUCGGCGCGUGAGAGCCCCGAGAAGGUGGAGCGGGAGAUGCGUGCGUGCUACGAGGUGGUCGAGCGCAUGGGCAGGGGCGCCGUCUACCUAGGCUCCGCGCGCGUCCCCGAGGACCACCCGCACUUUCAGCACGCGAAGGAGCUCGCCAGGGAUGUGGCGUUGGCGCACGACUGCACGACGUGGUCAGGCCUGGGAGCGGGUAUGAUGGAGGCUGUGACGCAGGGCGGCAUGGCGGCGGGCAAGCCCGUGGCGGGGUUCAUGAUCCUCCUGGAGGCCGGCGGGCAGCGGCAGGCCAGUCGCAAGCAUCCCUACCUCCCCGACGAGAACUACCUGACCACGUCGUUCUUCUCGGCGAGGAAGCACGGUCUCGUGGACGCGGGCGUGAGGAACACGCCGGACGAUCGCACGGCGUUCUUCGCGCUCCCGGGGGGCGUGGGCACCCUGGACGAGAUAUUCGAGGUGCUCGCGCUGCUGCAGCUCAGACGCAUCGGCAGCGCGCACCCGGUGCCGUUCGUGGUGAUGAACUACGACGGGUGCUACGACGGCCUGUUGCAAUUCUUGGAGCGCGACAUGGUUCGGUACGGAAGCCUGAGGGAACACGAGCUGGAGCCGCACUGGCGCGCGUGUCGCACCAACGAGGAGGCGCUCGCGUACCUUCACGAGUUCUACUCGGCGCAACGAACGUGAUGAAGUACUGAGGAGUACUCGGGGUGCACUAAUAAGAUAUCUACUACUGAGAGUUUUAGCUAACGUUAACAUCAUCCGUGAUCCAUCAUCGCGUCCGUCGCGUUCAUCACGACACCGCCCGUCAAUCGCUCCUCACGUCGGGGAGGCAAACACCGGUCGACCCGACGCCCGCAGCCCGUCCCAGUACGCCGACCCCGUCUCCGCCCACCUCGACGUUAGAUCCUCCGGAGUCGCCGGACACAGCCCCCAGUCCCCCCUCGCGAUCUCGUUCAUCAGCUGCGUCCUCGACCACUUCGCGUGGCCCUCAAACACGUGCACGCGGGGAACGAAGAAUCCAUCGGCGUUGAAAGCGGCGUCCUCCUCCUCCGACUCGGCGAGCGCCGCCGCCGCCGCCUCGCCCGCGAUCUCGUCCACGUACUCAUCCGAGUCGGUCGCCGUCGGGUGGUACGCGAACGCCCUCGCGCGUGAACCCGGGUGACACGUUCGGUCCAGCGGAACCUCGCAUAGGGCGUCGCCCGUCGGGGAGAGCGCGUUUGCGCCAGUCGGGGAGACGAAAAGUAUUAUCCUUCUUCUCGGGUGCACGGGGCCGCCGACGUACGUCCGGGUGAGAGACUCUAAGAAGUCGGAGUCGUGGUUGAGAGACUCUAAGAAGUCGGAGUCGUCAUCAGAGUCGUCAUCGGAGGCGGCGGAGGCGGCGCGCUCGUCGUGCCUCUCUCGGCACCGCCGCCACGUGCGUUGUAUCACGAGCGCAGCGUUCUCAGCCGUCGGCGCGGAGCUCGACGAUGAGGAGGACCCGGCGACCAGCCUCCUCCGCAUGCGCGGGCGAGAGUCGCCCGCGUCGUCGCCCUCGUCGUCGCCCUCGUCGUCGUCCGAUGAUUCGUCGUCGUCGUCGUCGUCGUCGUCGUCGUCGUCGGGCGGCGCGUCCUCGUCGUCGCUCCCCGCGCCCGACCUCUUGGCGCGCGUCACGUUCACGCCAAUCAGCACGUCGCCGUUCUCCGAAUCCGGCCUAGCCUCCACGCGUGUAAGGAGGUACACCGACUUGACCCAGUGCCGGUGCUUGUGCUCGAUGAUCCACCUCAACCAAUUCGGCGCGCUCGCGAGGGUGGCCGCAUCCGGCAGCGCUCUUUCCCUCGAAACGAGAAACGUCCCGGGGUGGAGCAGGGCGGCGAGCGCCGCGCCGCCGGUGCCCCUGACCAGCUCAAGGAGGGACCCCGGGGUGGGAGGCUCGGUUGUGUACCUGCUUCUGCACACGAGGCACGACAGCGCCACAGCUGGCGACUCCCCCUUGGAAGCGACGCUCAGCAUCUGUUGCGACUGCCACCUCAGCAGGCAGCUGCGAUGCACGAACGCCGAGCUGCCCCUGCACUCGCAGGGCUUCACGAGCGGCUCGUCGCCCUCAUCGAAGCAAUAUCGGCACGCCUCCCCCUUGGAAGCGACGCUCAGCAUCUGUUGCGACUGCUACCUCAGCAGGCAGCUGCGAUGCACGAACGCCGAGCUGCAGGGCUUCACGAGCGGCUCGUCGCCCUCAUUGUAUGGCGAGUGUAAAGCGCCGGUUCGUGGUUCUCUCGGAAGCGCAACUCGCGGGAAAUUCGGCGAGUUAAUGACCCCGAGAGGGAACAGACCCCAACCGUCGUAUGGGCAAAUACCCUCUCGGUAGGAACUUUCGUCGAAAAAUCCAGCAAGAUGUUAAAAAAAUCUGAUUGGUUGCUUGCGUCACGCUGACGAUGGCCCUCACUCUACGCCACUCUGACCCGCGCUGUUGCGCGGUGAACGUGCCGGCUCCUUCAGACGGUGCGGGGUUCAACUCCCCCAGCAUCGUAUCGACGAUUCGAUCUUUCGACCGGGCGCGAAAGCCCCCCAACCCUGACGCGGCGCGGCGACCAUGGAAGUCGACUCGACCCUCCCCGGCGGUGCGAUAAAGGUGGAGUGGCCCAGGAGCGGAGAGGGCAACGUGCUCCGGCUCGAGGAGGCGUACCAGGGGCGCGCGAUGUUCGUGAAAGUGAAGUGCCUCGUCGGAGACGCUCCGUCCGAGCUCUCGCACCACCCCGAGCUGCGCCUCCGCUUCCCGCCGAGGCCCGGCAACGGCGCCCCUCUUAUCGCGAACGGGGUGAGCAUUCAGGUGAGAAAGUUCCUCUGGGAUAACAAACUGGGGGAAAAAGUAACUUUUCCCGCGCGCCCCAACCUCGCCCGCGCCGUAUCGCGGCGCGCGGGGUUCGUAUCGUCGCCGACCCUUCGCUCGUCUUCUCGCCGCCGCGCGCUAACUUCCACUCCCGCCCGAUCUUUGCGCAGGCGCGCGAUGACGUGGAGGUUCUCCUGAAGAGGGACAGGGCGGGCUGCUACGUCUCCAUGGACGAGUUGGUUCUGUUCGAGUCGAUACGUUUUGAGAUUUCGUGCGAGAAGGAGCGUUGGGCCACCGGCAGGGUGGUGCGCAACGACGCCGAGGGCGAUUUCGUCGCCGACGACGGGGCGUGGUCCCUCGAGCUGAACCCCUCGGGUUCCGCGUUGGGUUCCACCGCCGCGCAAUGGGGUCGCGCCUGCGUCGACCUCGACGCGUCGCCCGGAGCCGCCGAAGAUGCAUUCGCGAUGAGAUCCCAAACGAUCCACUCGGGUCUCUCCUCGGCGCUCGGCGCGGGUGCACACGACGGGGGAUGCGCACUGGGUCUGGAGCUGUGCCUGGUGGGGACGUGCGACGGGAGGCACACGUGCAUGACUCGGGAGAGCGCGCUGCAGUGGUGGAAGGUGACGAGCCCGCGAUCCUUCGUCCAGCGGCCCAGCCUCGACGCCAUCGUGGAGCUGCACGACUGGCCCGAGACUGGCAGCGACGACGAGGACGGAAGCGGGGAGUCUGCGCCCAGCGACGUGGACGACAUCGACAUUCACGCCACGUCCGACAUCGACCCAAACCGUGCAUCGACUCAAACGUGCUCCCCUUCGAACGGCAACGGCGUCGGUGUCCUCGACGCAAACGGCGAACCAACCGACGCGUUUGACGGCGCGAGGGCUCCACUUCGAACGGCGCCGUGGAGUCUGGUGCCGUGGAAAGGGGAGAUGAGCCUCUUCGACCGCGCGGAGCUGCUGCGGAACGUUCGCAAGAAGUACGAGGAUCUCAUGCACGAGUACCACUCCACGAACACGGAGGACAAGACGGGCGCUUCGAACGAUCUGUUCACCGGCGAGCUCACCUGGUUCAGCGCCGGGAUCAGGAUCGGCGUCGGGCUCGGGUUGGGGGUCUGCCUGGGCCUGGGUCUCGGGCUCGGAGUGCUGGUUAACGGGUACAAGGUGAGCCGGGACCGUCUGAGCAACAUGAAACAGGCGCUGAGGCUGGGGUACAGGAGGUGAGAUACGACGAAACAAAUCACACGACCGGAGGAACACGCUUGUUUUCGCGGACUGCGGAGCGGAGGGGAAGUCGCAGACUGCCCCGCGGGGACGUGACGCCAACACGUCUUUCGCCCCACCUGGCUCUGAUGAGAAAUAGUUCGAUACGUAAUGACGAUGAAGUUUUCCGCUUCUUGAAUGUGAUGAUUUUGUAUGCGACUUCAGGGCCUAGUACCCUGAAACAACCCCCUAAAACCCCCUAACACUUAGUUUGAACCCAGCUGCAUGAGGAGCUGCAUCAGCCACUUCUGCGUCGCCACAUCGUCCUUGAGACAGGCGGUGAAGUUCGGGUCCCGCAGCUGAUCCGGGAAGCACUGGCGGAGGCACUCCCGCGCCCGCGGGUUGUCAGACAGUCGCAAGUAGCACCUGAUGAUGUGCUUCAGGAGCCUCACCGACGGCUGUUCCGCGAGCAUGGUGACCAUCCCGCCCAGCACAGUGCCCACGGCGUAGCAUCGUUCGGCGGUGGCGCAUAUGUAGUUCAAUCCGACCUCAUCGCUCAGAAUCUUCUGCACGAUGAACGUGGCGACCGUCUUGGACAGCUCGCUCCCGAGCUCCAUGGUCCUCAGGCACAGCGGGAUGAUCUCCGUGGAGAGCAAAAAGUUGAUCACGUCGGUGUCGUCAACCUUGACCAGCGCGCCUAUGACGCCCAGGGACGUGAGCCGGAGGUACUCGAACGGCCUCGUUUUGCUCACCGUGUUCAGGAAAGGGUACAGGAACAGGGGGAUGUGCGCGUUGAGAAAGAACGCGCGGGUGUCUGGGUGCGACGCGACGCACUGCAGGAGCGCGAGCGCGUUGCACACCCUGUUGGACGCGUGGUUCGUGAGCGACGGCGGCGAGAGCAGGGGAUAGAUGGACACGAUCUCCUGGACCAGCGCGGGGAUGACGCCGAAGGAGUGCCACAAGAUGGGCGCCAAGUCCGUGAACAUGUCCCUCUUCUUGCUCAGGUCCAGCAGCGCAUUCUCGCGCGUCUCCGGAUCUUGGAGCGCCGCGACGAGAGCCUCCAUGGACAUCGUGCCCGCACCGUUUCGCGCCCCGCGGCCGCCCUUCGCUCUCUACCGAAGCGGCGCUCGCCCUCUACUAAGUGUGCGUCCUCUCGUCGUGCGCUCGAAACUUCCGCCGAAGGAUCCCGUCUCCGCGGAUCGCGCCUCGACCGAUUCGCGCCCGCGCGCCCCGGGGCAACUGGCCGCAGCCGCUCCUCGGACCUCUCCGCGCGGCGCGCGCGCGCGUGAUCGGCCGGCGUGGGGCUCAGGCGCGCGGGUCGACGCGACUUGAACGGUACCUGGGAUACCUCUCGUGCGACCGGGUGACCUUGGUGACCUCGCCACCGGAGCGCCGCGCCGCUCAAUCGUCUGUGCGCGAGGGUCGCAGCGAUUAUUUACCCAUAACUUUUAUCAGCGCGAGUGCAAACCUCUCUUUGCACUUGACUCGGGCUGUGGGCGGGGGGGGCUUGGGGCGGGAGAAAAAAAACAUACCUUGAGGUACCUUCGUACCUUCGUGUGAUCGAAAAUAGAACGAACGAUCUCACGAACAAAAAACCCGAACUAAAUUUGAACAAUUUCGGAAUCGAAGAGGAGAACGUGUUUUUCAUUGGUCCGAGGAUCCCGUGGACAAAUGGAAAGGCGUGCUGAUGAGAGACGAAUUCAACCCAAACUUUUCUGAACGGGUGGGGGUUAGGAGUCCCUUCCUACGAGUCCCUUCCUAAAUCUGUCCACGGUAGGAAGUCUGGCAGCACACGGGGGCUCCUACGAAAUCAACUGAGAAAUCACCCGAAAUUUCAUUGAGCACGUGUUGAUGAGCAAAAAAAACGUGGGGCAAAUAGAUCAACCUUCCUCGGUCUAAAAUGGACUCUCAAAAAUCUCUAAUAUUCACCAGCGCACGAGUAGAACGAUAGAAUAGACGACGCAUAACGACGGAAUUGUAGCAGUUCGCGUGCCGCGACUUCCCACACGCGCAUCAGGCCGAAAAGCGGGAAUAUCUGAGCCCAGGGACCUUUCCGGCGCUGCUUACGCGUGCGUUUCGCCGGACCGGGAACGAUCGGGCGCGCGAAGAAUUGUGUGACCGUGUCGCACCGCGGCAAUUUACGUAAGGGGGUCAUGGACCCGCCGAGCUCGGGGGCGGCGGUCGGACUGACGUCGAACCCGACGCAAGGAACGUGCCAUAAGUGCGCGGCACCGCUUGGCAGGGGUAACCGCGCGACCGCUAGAUGUCCGAGGUGCGGCCUGACGUACCACACCACCGACUGCGGCCAGCGCUACGCAAACACGGGGCUCGACAAGAAAGUGAGCCUGGAAGAUUGCCCGAAGGUGAGGAGCACCCCCGAGAGAUUUUUCCAUCCUCACCCCUGGUCCCCCUUCCUCCAUCUCGACACAUCCCUUCUCCUGACACUUCUCCUCCGCCGCGUUCGCCUCGCAGUGCACCAAGCUGUGCCUCUGCGCGAACGGUCCCGUGUUGUGCCACGCCGGCAGGCUCAAGUUCAGAAGGAAGGCUGGGAACGUCGACGUCGGCAGGGGCGUGGGUACGGCUGCGGGUACCGCCGCCGCCGCCGCGAAAGGGCCCAGCGGGUCGGGUCUGGGCUCCCCCGUCCUCGGCACGGGUGACGCGGGCAUGAACACGGCGGGACUCAGGGCCCUCGGAGGGAUCGGGGGACUCGGCGUGCUCGCCAACCUCGGAGGGAACGGAGGAAUGAACACCGCGGGCUUGGGGCUCAAUCCAUCCAUGUACAGGCUCGGUCAGCAGCAGCAGCAGCAGCAGCAACAACAGCAGCAGCAGCAACAACAACAACAGUUGGACAACUCGGUGAUGACGAUCCUGCUGUCGCUCAACGCUCAGCUCCAGGCGGAGAACGCCAGCCUCAGGCAGACACUCGAGGAACUGACCUUGAAAGUCGGGACGCAGAUCGUGGUGUGCAAACAGUGUCACACCCCCGCGCGCCUCGCCGACCUCUUGAGCGCCACGAUGGGCGGUGGACAACAAACCGCGCAGAUGGACGCGUUGCGACGAGCCAGUCUGCAGCAAGCGCAGCUCGCGGCGGCGAUGUCCGGCGGGAGUUUCGCGGGAGUGGGCGGUUCGUCCGGAGCCGGUUUGAGCGCUCAAAGUUGGCUGGGCGCGGGGCUGCUGGGCGCGGGCAAUGGACUGCCGGGCGUCGCGGGGCUCGCGGGGGGCGUGAGGGCAGGCGACGGCGGCGUGAUGGGCGGGAGGUUCGGUGCCGGUCACGCGAUCAACGAUCCGAAGGCUUCGCUCGGCGGGCUCUCCAGGCUGGAGGCUCUUUCCAAAAUUCAGGCGCAGGCCAACUCCGCGCAGAACAGAGCAAGACCCGGCGACGUCAACGGUUUGAAACGGCCGGCUGAGGGUGAAGCGGGGCCCGCAGGAGAAGAGACUGUCGGUACGCAAGAAUUACCAGAGAUGAAGAAGUUGAGGGAAUCCGGGCCGGAUGAACAGCCCGCGGAGGACUCGAUCUUACCGUUGGGGCGGGACGUGUAGUCGAGUUGAGUGCUUUGGUGUUGUCAUAUUUAUUUGAUCAUUUGCGGUGGUCCGGUGGGUUAAAUGCGCGCUCGUCAGCUUUCGACCACAAGAAGGCGGAGCAGAACAACCAAUCCGGGGAAACCACGUGCCUGCCGUUCUCCUUUGCCCACUGGCACUUCCCCGUACCCCAGGUCUUCGCCACCACGUGUGAUGUGUUUGGACCAGGUUGCGUCUCGCACCUGGCGCCAAACUGCUCCGCUAGUCGCCACAUCUUUUGCUCGUGCGGAGGGGCGUCCAGCGGGAACACGCCGGAGAAGACCAGCCCGGUUCCCGCGAGAACCUUUUUCUUCUCGAGCGCGAGUAUCUCCGGGACGGUCACUGGAACCUGGGGAUCCCUGCGGCCGGGAGUCGUCUCCAGCUCGGUUGACUCCGGCUUCUCCCGCGCCUCAUUGUCCGUGUCUUCUGACUCCGAAUCCAAACCCCGGGCGAGCUCCGCCAUCGCGGCAUCCUUCGCCUUUUUGUUCGCGAGCGCGAGGUGCCCGGCCCUCUCGGCGAAGAAGUCCUGGUGCACCCGCCGCAAAACCUCAAACGCAGCGGCGAGCGUGCUCCGAUCUGCAAUCUCGUCAACCUUCUUCUCCAGCAGGGACGCCCCAUUCCGCCAAACCCCGAACUGCUUCAGCGCCGACGGGAAGUAGAGGUACCGAUCGAUCUCGAUGAGGUUUUCCUCGUGAUCCGGCCACACUCCGACGUGAUCAUCGAGCACCACGGCGAUGGAAUCAAGGCCGGAGAGCUCGCCGUCCAGUCGCUUCUUGUCGGCGGGCUGCAACUCGCCAAACUCGUCCAUCUGUCCGAGCCCAAUCACGGAUCCUUUGAUGUGCUGCCUGCCGGGGUCGAUCAGCUGUCGCAUCUCGUCGGCGUACGACUGGGUGCCCAUGGUGAUGACAUGGACCUCAAACAUGGACGCAACCUGCCGCAGGAAUUUCUUAACCCCGGGCCUCAGCUUCGUCCAAAUCUGAAGCCUCUCCACAAAGUGCAGGGUCCUACCCUCCGGGCCCAGUCCCUUCUCGUGAUCAAGCCUGAACUUGAGCAAACUCCUCUCCGGCUCUUCGUCCAUCUCCGUGGACAUGCAAGAGUUGAGAAGCGUGUGAUCCAGGUCCAGGACGAGCGCGAGCUUCCGACGCUCGAGCAGCUUGAGCACGGCGCGACUCGCCCUCGUCGCGGGCGGUCCCGUCGCGUGCGCCCGAACCACGCGAGGUUCCCCCCACCCGGGGUUCACCCUCCGGGACGCUCGCGUCACCCCAGCCUCACCAGGCGCGGUUCCCUUCGUCUCCCCGCCGCCGAUCCCGACGUCGUCCGAGAAGACCCGGUGCGCGGCCUCCUGCAGGCUCGGUCGAGCGCUCAGCACCGGGGACACAAUCGGCUCGUCAUCCGACGACUCACCGAGGCCGUCCGACUCCCCGAGGCCGUCCGACUCCCCGAGGCCGUCCGACUCCCCGAGGCCGGACGACUCCCCGAGGCCGGACGACCCCUCCGGCGUUGGAGGGUCCGCCCCGGCGCCCCCCUCGUUCCCCUCGUUCCCCUCGGACCACCGCCGCGAGGUGGGGAUGUCGUCGUCGCGCACCUCGCCCUCCUCCUCGCUGCUCGACUCGAUGACGUCCACGGCGGCGCUCACCGCGCGCGCGUGCGCCGCCCCCACCUCCGCGUCGGGGCUCGCCGCUCGUUUCGCCCUCCCCACGCCGCGCCGCGAUGUGCGACGCGUCUUCUUUCGCUUCCUCCGCGGGGUUCCUUCCUUGGCCCCCGUCCCAUCGCCGUUCGCGGCCCCGUUUUCACUCGCCCGGCGCGUCGCGAAGUGCGCGCCGUGAGACCCGUAUCCACCAGCCGGGGCGUGCCCCUCCAUCCCACCGGGCGGUGCGGGUAGAGGCGUAAACACGCCCCUGCCCGACGUGGACGCGCCCCCGGCGCCCCCCGCUCGCGGCGGCGGGAGGGGCGCCACCGCCGCCGGUCCGUCCCUGCCCGACGCAGAUGCGCCGCCUGCGGCCCCCGCCCGCGGCGGCGGGAGAGGCAGAACACCGAACGGCUUGGCCGUGACGGACGAAGGAGGAGGAGGAAGAGGGUUUACACCCGUCCCUCCCUCUCCUCUGGCGUUGGGCCGCAUCCCUCCGCCCGGCUGUGCUAAAAAGUGAGCGAGUGUGCCAAGCCUCUUCAGUGUUUUGAGAGCGUCUGUGUCGACGGCACCCUCCUCUUCAAUCGUCACAGACCGUCUAUCUAUCUAUACGCCGGGCGCGCUUCACAACUUCAUGCGCUUCUUACGCCCCCCGCCGCCCCCCUCGCCGUCCUCCUCCUCACCGGCGCGCUUGCCGCCGCCGCCCCCCUCGCCGCCGCCCUUCCCUUCUCCGAAGGCGACGUCAACCUUGUCGCCGUACUUCUCCUUCAUCAUCUUGUGCAGGCUGCCGAGCUCGGAGUUUAUCUUCUGGUCCCUCUCCCUCUCCAGCGCCUUGAGAUCCGGUUUACCCCCCUUCGCGCCGGGACCCGCCCUGCCCGCUUUGCCCCCGGGUUUAGGGCCCUUGGUAUCCGCGCCGCCGUCGGCGGCGUCCUCCGCCUCUUUUUUCUUUCGCCCGUCAGCCUCGUCGUCGCUCUCGUAAGCGUUGGCGCCGUAAUCCCCAAAACCACCGGCGUAACACUCGCCGUACCCGUCGUCCGCGGCGAGCGACAUCUCCGCGCGGCGCUCCAGCUCAGCUUUCGCCGCCGCGGCGUCCAUCGGCUUGUCGCCGCUUGGACGGAGCUUGACCUUCUCCUUGGUUAGGAUUCCCCUCUCCUUCUCCCUCGCCGCCUCCGCCGCCUCCUCUCGCUCCUGAAGCUUGACCGAGUGCGCGGAGAUUGCGAGCGCGAAGUCGGGAAUCGUCUGAAGGUACUCGCUCGCCGCGUUGGGAUCCCAUCGCUCCGCGCCCUCCCGCGUCACCGUCCCCGCGGCGACGUAUCUGGCGUAGUAUUCCUUCCACGGGUCGAUGGACCGAAAGUCCGGCGCAGGCGGCGCGGGCAGGGGACCGGCGAGGCCGUAGACGUCCUCGAUCACGGGUCCGUCCGCUUUCUUGGCCUCCUCUUUCUUGUACGUCUUUCUCCCGGAGAAACCGUCGUGCGUGGGCUCGUCCUCCCCGAAGAUGGACGCCUUAUUCUUGUCGCCUUCUUGAGCCAAACUUGUCACCGUCGGCUCGUAAUCCUUCCCGGCGUCUCCGAAGAUGUCCUCGUCCGAGUCCGGUUCAGUCGCGAGUUUCCGGGCGCGUUCCUCCUCCUCCGCGAGCUCCCUCGCACGGGCAGCCGCGGCGGCGGCUUCCGCCUCCCUCGCCGCUUUUUUCUUCGAUUUCUUAUCCUUGCCCUUCGAGUUCUCGUCUGGGAUCGGCCACGUCCCGGCGUCCACGUGCUUCUUAAAAAUCUUUGCGACGUCUAGCAGCAACUCCUUGUCCUUUUCGGAUACGAACUGGUAGUCGGGUCCGAACAUCCUGUGGCUGGGCGGCUCCGACAUCGGCCGCAUCACGGUCGUGACCGUGUCGGUCGGAUCGUCGAGGUCGAACCUAAACGCCAGCCUGCCCGACGCGAACUUCUCGUUUGGAACAAUCGGGCCGAGAUCCUUGGGUGGGGGCACGUACGGCGGGCGCACAGCCUCCGACUCGGGCUUCAAAAACGCCUCCGGGGGUUUGUCCGGGUCGUCCAGGUUGAACCUAUACGCCAGUCUGCCCGACGCAAAGUCCGGAUGGACGUCCUUCGGGUCGGGUACCUUGCUCGACUCGAUGACCCAGUCGUACAGGUUCCGCGCCAUGUCGCUGUGGAAAACGAGCUCCCUUCCGUCCUCGUCGAAUCUUCGCCCGUCGUCCUCGGGCUUCGGCGGCUCCGAUUUCUUCUCCCCGGGAAUCUUCUCCUCCCCCGAUACCUUAUCUUCCGGUUUCUCCCUCUCGGCGUGCGCGUCGUCCUUCUCCUUCUCUUUCAUCUCGGCGCGGACCUUGCGAAGAAGCGCAAAAUCCAAUCCCUUGACGAGGUGCGUGUGCUCCAUGUCGCCUCCCAGGUACUUAGACUCCUCGAUGGACAGCUGGCGGAGCUCGUCCUGUGCACCGGGCGGCGCGUAACCCGGAACCUUCCCCGGGACCGCCCCGGGGAAGAGCGCCUGAUCGCCCACGUAGUCCGGGUUGGCCUCCUCGCGCCUCUCCUUGGCUCGGUCGCGAUACGUCGGGCCCUCGGGCUCGUCCUCGACGGGCUUCGGGCGGGGUUUGGGCUUGAACUUUGGCUUGGGUCUCUGGAACUCGCCGCGGUUCCCACCCCUGCCGCCGCCGCCGACGGCCCUCGGCGUCAUCAGAAGCUGCGCGGGUUGAAAGGGUCGGUGUUGUCAGAUCUCGGAGCAUAGAUUUGUCAAAAAGCAGAAUCGUCAGUCGUUGCGCCUUCGGAGGGGCACGCACCUUUCGAAAGUCGGCAUUCGACUUUGGCUUGGGCUUUUCGGGCACCGGAUUGGCAUAAUCCGGCGCCAGCGGAUUGGACACAUCGUCCGCCCCCAUCGCGCCCCGCCUGAGGUCUCGACGCCUUCGACCGCAACUGUGCAGAACCCUCGGGAUUUUUGGGCUCGUGCUCUUCACAAAAAAGUUUUUAGCCUGAGAGUGGGCAUUUGCCAUGAUGGGUCCGGUCCGGUCGAGCGAAAUUAAACCGUCGAUCUUUGAGUUAAAAAUGUACCGCGCAGUUUAGUCCGAGGCCUGAUGGCCGACGGCUGAGAAAAUCGGACGCAACGGCGGGAGUCGGCGCCGUCUUUCGCCAACGCAUUUCAACCAUCACAGCAGUAGUAGUCGUUUGCGUGACGCAUUCGAACACGCUUGCUAGUUUUCACCACACCGUCGAGAGAACGCUCCGAGGCUGCCCCAGCCCGGCAAAGUCCGAGAGCUAAGCCCGAAGAGCGCGCAACUCGCGUCACCAAGCGACCGCCGCCACAACAAUGCAGAAGGUUGCCAAGAAAUCGAAGAAGGUGGAGGAGCCCGCGGACAUGCAGGAGCCCGGCAAGCGCAAGCGCAAGGAGGUCGAGUCCACCAAGGCCAUCGCUAAGGCGGGCAAGGCCUCCAAGCAGUCCAAGAAGAAGGACGAGGAGGACGCCGCGGUCGCCGCCGCGAAGAAGAAGAAGAAAAAGCCGGUCGACUCCGAUUCCGACAGCUCCGACACUGACUCGGACUCGGACUCGGACUCCUCCUCCAGCUCCUCCUCCAGCUCCUCGGACUCGGACUCCGACGAGCAGAUGGCGCCCGAGACCCCCAAGGUUUCCAACGAUGACGCUAAGGAAGCCUCCGACGGCGACGCCUCCGUCGACGAGAAUCACGUCAGCAACUUCAACCUCUCCAAGGAGGUGUGCGCCAGGCUCGAGACCAAGGGAAUCACCUCCCUGUACAGUAUCCAGGCGCAGUGCUUCCAGCCCAUUUUGGACGGUAAGGACCUGGUCGGCCGCGCGCGCACGGGCUGCGGCAAGACCCUCGCCUUUGUCCUUCCCAUCGUCGAGGUCAUCAACCGCGAGAAUCCAAUGCCCGCGUCCGGCCGCAGGGUGCAGGGCCGUCGGCCGGUGGUGGCGCUCCUCGCGCCCACCCGCGAGCUUGCCAAGCAGGUGCACUCCGACUUCCAGCACAUCGGUCAGGCGUUCGGCCUCACCUCCAUCUGCGUCUAUGGCGGUGCCCCCUACGGCGAGCAGGAGCGCGCGCUGAGGCAGGGCUGCGACAUCGUCAUCGGCACCCCUGGCCGCGUCAAGGACCACCUCGACCGCAAGACGCUCUCCUUCGAGAAGCUCAGGUUCAGGGUGCUCGACGAGGCUGACGAGAUGCUCAACAUGGGAUUCGUCGAGGACAUCGAGACCAUCCUGAACCACGCCAAGGACAACGCCAACCUCCAGACCGUGCUCUUCUCCGCCACGCUGCCCAAGUGGGUCGCGGACAUCUCCAAGAGGUUCCUCGUCCCGGGGUACACCACCAUCGACUUGGUGGGCGACGAGAAGCAGAAGGCAUCCGGUUCCGUGCAACACAUGCUCAUCAACUGUCAAUGGAGCGAACGGACCGACCUGGUGUGCGAUCUCAUCCGCGCCAAGGUCCCGGGCGAUGGCCGCGUCAUCGUCUUCUGCGACACCAAGCGCGACUGCGGCGAGCUCCAGGAGGCGCUCCAAAAGGAGCUCGAGAAGGGCGCGAAGGCUCUCCACGGCGACGUGAACCAGUCCCAGCGCGAGGUUGUGCUCGACGGAUUCAGGAAGAACAAGUUUCAGACCCUCGUGGCGACGGAUGUGGCGGCGCGCGGCCUCGACAUCUCUGGUGUGGAGCUCGUGGUGCAGUGCGAGCCCCCCAAGGAGGCCGAGACGUACAUCCACCGCUCCGGCCGCACCGGACGCGGCGGCGCCACCGGCAUCUGCGUUACCUUGUGCACCCCGCGCAACGAGUGGGCCAUCCCCAACAUCGAGCGCAAGGGCGGGUUCAAGUUUGUCCGCAUCGGUCCCCCGCAGCCCGCCGAGAUGGUGGCGGCCGCGGCCAAGAUUGUCAUCCAGCAGGUGCGCGCUGUGCACAAGGGUGCGGCUAAGAUGUUCAUGGACGCCGCGCGCGAGCUCCUCGCCGAAGGUGCGGGCGAGCACGAUGAGGGCGCCGACCCGACGGAAAUGCUCGCCGCCGCACUCGCCAAACUCGCGGGUCACGGCGAGCUCCGCCAGAGGUCGCUGCUCACCUCCCACACCGGUCAGACCACCCUGCUGUUCACCGCCGGAAACAACACCGAGAUUCGCACGCCGACAUACGUGUGGAACUUUCUCAAACAACGCAUGGACGAGAAGGACAUCCAGCUCCGCAGGCUCACCCUCCAGGCGGACUCCAAGGGGGCAGUUUUUGACGUGCCGUCCGAGCUUCAGGAGAAGUUCCUGGCGCUCAGCGACACCAAGGGGCCCACGCCCAUCACCAUCUCGGUUUGCGAGGAGCUCCCGGAGCUGGUGAUGAAACCGCAACAGUCCGGCGGUUACGGCGGCGGUCGCGGCGGCGGCGGUCGUGGCGGCUUUCAGGGACGCGGGGGUGGACGCGGGGGUUUCAGUCCCGGUGGCCGCGGAGGCCGGGGAGGCGGUGGGCGCUUCGGAGGUGGAGGUCGCGGCGGCGGGCGCGGAAGGGGCAGGUUCUAGAAAAAGUCCCCGUCCCCACACCAAGAGUUAUUGGGAUGUCGCGCGACGCAGCAGCUAUUCUUUACGAUUCUUUCGUUUUAUAUCAAACCUACUUUACUUUUUCGGCAUGUCCUUGUAGAAAUCGUCCAAGGAGGUAUCGUAGCGGCUCAUCACAAUCUCCGAGCGGACCUUGCGGGUGGUGUCCGUGGCGACGCCGACGAGAAUGAGCAGCGACGUGCCGGCGAAUCCUCGGAAGGUGGUCAGGCCGGUGAUGCCCUCCACCGCCGUGGGAGCGAGCGCGAGGAAACCGAGGAAGACGCUUCCCAGGAUCGAGAGGCGCUCGAGGACCCUGGUGAUGUACCCGCUGGUGGCGGCGCCAGGGCGGACGCCCGGGAUGCUCGCGCCCUGCCUCUUGAGCUGGUCCGCCACAUCCUUGGGCUCCAGCUGGAGGAAAGUGUAGAAGUAGUUGAAGAAGCAGAUGAGAGCGAUGUUGACCGGAACGUAGGCCACGCCGCCGGGGUACACAGCCUUGGCGGCUCCGAUGAUCACCGGAUUGGGCGCGAACCUGGCGAGCGUCGCCGGGAGCGCCAGGAGCGAGGAUGCAAAGAUGAUGGGCAUGACGCCCGCCGAGUUCACCUUAAAGGGGAGGUAGGAGCUCUUCGCCAGACCCCCUGCCUGGAACCUGGUGCUAUAGUUCAUCGGGAUCUUCCUCUCAGCCUCCUGCACGUAGACGAUGCCGAGGGUGGUGAGGAAGAAGGCGCCAAAGAACACGGGAAGCACCGUGGCGGCAUCGCCCUUCUCGGAAGCCUGAGACAGUGUCUGGCCAAACGAGCUGGGAAGCGAAGAAAUGAUGUUAGUGAAGAUGAGCAGCGACGUGCCGUUGCCCAGCUUGAGCUCGGUGAGAACCUCGCCGAUGUACAGGAGGAUCAUGGCGCCUGCGGUGAGCACCGCGGACGACUCAACCAGCCAUCCGAGGUUGAAGUCCUCAACGAAGGGGCGCACGUACAGGCACUGACCCACCGCCUGCACGACGGCGAAGCCGAGGGCACCGUAGCGCUGGUACUGCUGAAACUUUCGACGGCCAGCCUCGCCCUCCUCCUUUUGGAGCUUCUUCAGGCUCGGGAACACCGAGGUGAGGAGCUGCGGGGCAAGCGGGAUGCGGAGUCAGUGAGUGGCGAUUAGGAGGCAAUGCGAAGCCGGGGGAAAAACGACGUUCCUCGCAGCACGCGUGGCUCAGUUUCCGUUGUUCUUUUCAUGGCGCUAGCGGUAUUUUCCGCCGAACCUCAAUCGAACGAGACCAUUAGGUCAUGUCACCGCCAGUGCUUUGCGAAAGACGAAAGUGGGAAAAACGAAACCUGUUCCGAGCUCGUGGGGUAUCACGCACCUGAAAGAUGAUGGAAGAGUUGAUGUACGGGACGAUGCCGAGGGAAAAGAUGCCGAGCUUAGAGAUGCUGCCGCCCGUGAGGGUGUCCACGUAGCCGAGCACGUUCCCGCCACCCUGCAGGGAUUCUGCGAAGGCGUCGCGGUCAACUCCGGAGAUAGGGAUGUAAGUUCCCACGCGGCUGAGGAUGAGGAGGAGGAGCACGGUGCCGAUCUUGCCGGGGAGUUUGCUGUUCAUGAAGUCGUUCAUGAAGUCGCCGCCACCGCCCGCGCCGGUGUUCAUGGCCUUGACGCUGCGGCCUCCGCGAGCGAGCGCCAUGACGGACCCGGAACCCUCGAGACGCCGUUCGCUCUCGUUCCAGUCGUUGUCCCCAACCUCCCAGCCCUUCGCCCUGCCCAAACCCAGGGGGUCCCAGACGCCGUCGGCGCCGAGCCCGGGCAUCGUCGCCACUCCGAUGUUCGCGACCGCGCGCGUCCUGAUCUCCGCGCCACGCGCCGCCGCCGCGGGCCUGACGAUCGGCCUCGCCGACACUGACCCAUACCCUAUCCAGUUACCCUCGCGACCCCUCCGCACCCUCAUCGCCUUGGGGAGCGCCGCGCGCGAUCCUAGCGACGUUGCCGCGAUCGCCGCCAUCGUUGAUAUCCCUUUUGACUCUACGCAGUCGCGCGAAGCGCACUCGCGUCUCUCUCGAAGUGGGGUGGAGUUGGGAAGGGUGACGGGGAAGACCACGUCGUCAACCGGAUUACCGGAGCGUGAGGUUUUCACAGAUCUUGGCAGUUGGAAGAACUGAUGACAGGCAACCAGUAUCAGGAAUGCAAUAUCAGUUUUCCAUUAAGAAAAUUUAGUCAACACAUAUUUCCAGUUGCAAAAUAAUGGGAAAUUAUCACAAAUCGUACAAGCAAGGUAAUCGCAAGAGCGUGGGUAAAAUUAAAAAGGCGAACUGCCGGCGCGAGAUCGGCCCCCUCAACUGCCAUAGGGCCUCGAGGCAGGGUCCGAGCCAGGAGUCGCAAUGACCUCAGGAAGUAAAGUCCUUCCGAGCUACCGGGAGGUCUUCUCCGUGCUCGAGGGCUUGGGGUCGCUCGCCACUUCGCCCGAGGAGGUCGAGAAGCUGCUCGGCGACUGCUCGGAUUUUCUGAAGGGAUGCUUGGACUCGUUCAAGCCCCCGUCGUCGGCGUCCAAGGCUGCGGUGGAGAGCGGGACGGUGAGCGGCUACGGCGAUCAGCCUCUCAACCUGAACGAAUCGAUCCGCAAGGUGACGGUGGAGGCGUCGACCAGGCUGGCGCUGGACGAGGUGCAGACCUACGCGCUCCUGCGGCGCUGCUUGGAUGAGGACAAGUCUCCGCUGCCCACCGCCUGCGACGACGACCUCGUGGUCCGCCUCACCCGCUACUACUUCGCCGAGCGACUCCAGCUGAUGAAAUGCAUCCAGGCACUUCUGGAGCGAGGCACGGACGCCGAACACGACGACGACGACGACGAGGUCACGCCCGCGCUCGCCCACGCGCGCGCGUGCCUUCGAGACCUGCUGGCCGGGGGCCUGGAGGAGAAGCUGACUGGCGCGCUCUGCUCGCACAUGCGCGGGUCCACCCCUACGCGACCGGCUGAGUACUCGAAGGACAGGAGACGCAACGCCCAGCUCGCCAAGAUGUGGGCGACGCAGGCGCUCGAGGAGACGCAGGUGAUGCUCGACUGCGCGUUCUACAUGUACUACAGCCCGGGCGUGAGGUGCUCGGCGAGUGGGUUCACGCGACUCGCCGUCGCGUUUGAGGAGGGCGCGAUGGGACGGGCGCCCGCGUCGGCCGCGGAGCUGGUGAACAACGCUUGGGUGGACGGUGAACGAGGGGAGGAAUACGCCAGGGAGACGGUGAACAGGUUCUCGGACUCGUUCAGGGCGAUGUGCUCGGUGAUACUCAUAGAGACGAUGGACCUGGAGGACGUGGUGCAGUCGCUGAACGCCGCGGACGGCGGCGACACGCACGCCAUGUUGAACGUCGAUGCGAUGAAAGACGUGGCGAAGGCGCUCGGUAAGUGGCCCUCGGACGCGACGCACGGCCCGGUACUCCUGGCGUGGGCAACUCUGCUGUCCCUGGCUCCCUCGGCUGCCUCUGGCCUGACGCCGCCGCCCGAGGCUGACCCGGCGAAGAUGUCGGCGCGGGCGGCGGGCGGAGACGCCGGUUUCGAUUCGCUGCUGUCCCUGCUCCGAACGGACUACAUCAAGGGGAUCGGACACGCGUGCAAAUCUGUGCUCAAGAAUCUCUUCACCGCGUCGCUGGCCGCUUUCGACGUGCUGCCCGUGCAGAGGCUGAAGCCCGGCGAGCUCGACACGCUGCUGGAUAUCCUCGUCGAGCUGGUCGAGGGCCAACCGAUCCUCUGCGAGCAGUUCUGGGGCGGCUCGCACGGGGACGGCCAGGAGGCGCCGCUGAUGAACCUGCUCGUCGGAUGCAGGGAACGGCACCCGGCGGACGGCGUGCCCUUGCUCAGGGCUCUCUCGGCGCUUGCAUCCGGCUCCGACGCCGCGGCGUGCGCUCUCGCGUUUCUGUCCAGGUCGCCGACGGUGGCGCUGCCCACCUCGGGGCCGGGCGCGGACAUGGCGGGAUCCAUCGUGCCCGUCGGGCGAGACGGCAAACCCACGCGCAAGUGGAAGCUCGCGAUGGAGCGAUGGGAGGGCGAGUACGCCGACUACGAGCAGAGGCGGGACAUGGGCUGGGGCGGCGACGCUCCUCCCGCACCGCCGCUACCGGCGGGCCCGGUGCGAUCGACGGUGGCGCUGGCCAGUGCGUACCUCCCGGGCGCGGCCAUCCCCGCGGGCGCGAGAGGCGUCGCGAUCGAUCGCAUGGGCUCCGCGCGGGACGCCGCGGACGAGGAGGAGGGUGAUGGUGCUGGUGAGGAUGACGAGGAGGAGGAUGACGAGAACGCGGUUAUGGCCACGGCGGGUCCAGCCACCUCGGGGCCGGGUGCCGACAUCGUCACCUGGGACGCGCCCGCGGAUGGUUUCGCGAUUACGAUCGCCCGCCUCUGUGUCUUGUCGACCGCCGGCGCGGCGAAGGAGGCGGACGCGAGAGAACUCGACGCCAUCCUGAGCUUCAUCGCCAAGGUGCUCAAGUCGGCUCCGUCGUUUGCCGCCAAAUUUGCGGCGGUGGACGUGUCCGAUGGCGUGCCGCGGGGGACACCGACCACCAUACUCGCCGCGCUCACCGCGGUAAUCGCCGCUGCCGUGACGCCGGGCAGGGCGUGGUCCACGUUACCGUGCACACCGGGCGGAAACAACCACCCGGGGCUCGAGAGGACCGCGCUCGCUCUCGACGCCGCCGCGCCGCUCGCGUCCGCCGCGCCCGGCGCCGCGUUGGCUCAGCUCACGGCGACGCCCCUUCUUCACGCGGACACGGGCGCGCCCCGGGGCCCGCUGGCCUCGAUGCGCGCCCCCGGACCCGCCGUCGGCCUGGCGAUGUUCGAACGAUCGGUCCUUCCCGCCGAGUGCACCACCGGGGAGUACCCGGUGACCCUCGCGCUACUCGGUCUCACGGCGAAGCUUCUCUGGGCCGGCGCUGGCGCGGCGCCGGCGAUGACCCCGAUCCUGCAGCACGUCUUCCAGGAGGUGCUCGUGCAGCACGGCACGUGGCGGUACCGUCGCAGAUCGGACCGGUGGGCGAUCCACGCGGCGCUGGUGCGCGUCAUCGCCGCCGCGCUCGCGCCUCGGCCGGGUCCCGCCAACGCCUCGCGCCGAGCCGCCGUCGCGGGUUUCGUCUCCUCGGACGCGGCUGCCGCGGAGGCGACGCUGGCGCCGCUGACGAUGGACGCGGAGGCACUCCGACGCAUGCACGACGUACGCGCGGCGGAGGUUGCCGCCGCCGAGGACGCCGUGGCUGCCACGCUCGGUAUGCUUCCCGCGCUGAUGUCCGCGUUUGCGGAGGUUGCCAAGGAGAAAAACUCCCCGUCGCCGCUGGAGUCCGGACCCUUGGCCCACGCGCUGCUCGUGGAGGGCCCCGGGGGAGGUUCCCCGCUCGCGGCGGCCGUGGCUUCCUACGCGGCGUACCCGUUCGACGCCGUUUUCCGCCCGCUCGCGCUCCCCGCGCUUGCCGCGCUGUGCGCCGCCGCGCCCGCCGAUCCACCGCUGGCCUGCGCCCUCCCGUCGCUCACUGCGGCGUCGGACGUCCCGUCGGCGUUUGACUCGCCGUACAAGCACAAGGGCGACGCGGAUGUGGCGGCCGCUGCGAAGCUGGACGUGCGCGCGGCGAUCGUGAACGCGCUUAAACCCGCGGCGGCCCGCGGGGACCCCAAGGGAUUUCGCGCAGCCGCCGCGCUGGUGACCGCCGCCGCCGCGCGUCAACCCAUGCUCGCCGAGUCGAUGCUGAUUCCCGCCAAGCUCGGCGCCGUGAAGCCGGACGAGGAAGACGCCAGCACGCUCGAUUCGCUGUACGAGUGCCUAGGAGAGGCGAAAACCAUGCGGGCGAACGAUCCGCGUUCGUUGGCGUCCGCACUCAAGUCCCUGUUCUCCGUGUGGAACGGCAACCGCCUUCUCGGCGGCGCCGUCGCGGCGCUGCGUUCGGAUAGCUCCUUCGUGUCCCGUCUCGAGGAUUGCCUGCCCGUCUCCGCGGAAGUAGACGGGGACGACGGGUGCGACGACGAGACCGAGGCGUACCGCUUCUCCGUCGAGGCUUACGCGAUGUCCAUGAUAGCCUCCGAGCUCGCCGCCUCGGAGAGGGACUCUGACACGGCGAGAUCCGUGCGGGCGUGGUGCGACGCGAGCGGCGGCGAGAGCACGUUGCUCCGCUGGCUCCGUCGGUGGAUGACGAUAAGACACGACCCAGGGACAUUCUCCAGGGCCAGGUCGCACGCGCAGGCCGUCGUGCUGCUCGCGGCGGCUGAGACGGAGCGCGAGGGCGCCGCGGAUUUGCCGGAUGCGUCUCUCAGGGACGGCGCCGCCGAGGCUGCCCGGGCGCUCCUGUCCCACGCGGCUGCGCAGCAUCUCCUCAUCGGGGGGCAAGCGACCCGCGCCGCCGUCCUGGACGCGGUCGCCGCGGGGGCUGUCGCGAGCGCGGCUGGGCGGGAGGGGAUACGCGCGCCCGGGGAUCCCGUGGGUCGGCUUCUCGACGCGGCGAGGUCUCUGCGGCUGGAGCGCGCGGUUCUCGCGCCCCCGACCCCAAAUUGCUUCGACCCGGAGAUGGGCGGCGACUUCCUCUACGACACCUCGUGGAUCGAGGUCGCGACAGGGCACGCGCGCGUCGCCGACGACGACGGGGCGGGGCACGAGGUCGCGUUCGGGUCGGGCGGCGGCGGAGCCGAGGGGAACCCGAGCUCGCUCGCUCGCGCCGGCGGAGCCGCGGCGGAGGCGCUCAGGGCGGCUGGGCGCGCCGCCGCCCGCGGGAGCUCGCAGCUGUCGGCGCUCGACGCGUGCCUGGAGUUUUUCAACGCGGCCGCGGGUGUCCUACCCCCGGUGACGCACCCGGAGGAUGACGGGUUUGGAUCGAUUCCGGACGCGGGGCUGAGCGACGAGGGCGCGCUGUCGUCGUGGCCCGCCAAGGAGCGCCGCGUCGCCGUGCGGUUGGCGCUCGAAGCGCUCGAGGCGGCGAUGGUGGCGGCGAACGAGGAGGGCGCGGACCACGCCAAGGCGCUCGCCGUCGAGCUCGCCGAGAUGCUCGCGGUCCUCGUCAGGCUGUGGGGGCGCGCGAUCGAGUCGCCGGCGGCGGUUUCGCCGUCAAAGGCUGUCGGGUUUGGCAGCCAGCUGAACCUGCCGGCGGGAUCGACGGGAUCGGACGACGGCGAGCUCAACGCAUUCACCGUCGCCUCGGACGUCGCGCGGGUCACGGUCGAGGUGCUCUCCAGGAGGGGCGACGUCGUGGACGGCGACACGGUGGAGAUCACCAGGGCGCUGCUCACCGCCGUGCUCGCGUCCAUUCGCGCGUGGCGCGACGGAGCGAGCGAAGGCAACCUCCGGGUCUCCGGAAGUUUGCCGGGAAGUUCGCCGCUUCGCGAGGGUAAUCGCCUGGGCCAGAUCCUCUGGCCGCUCGUGCCCAUGCUGUGCGGCGCCGCGUCCGCGCCGAACGGGGGUACCGACUCGGUGCUCGCGCUGUCCGUCCUGCGCGAGCUCACCGACGGUUUGAUGUCGACGCCCGCGCUGGUGGCGGCGAUGCAGAGCCGGGCGCCGCUGCCGCCGCUCGAGCCGCCGCGACCGCCCGUGAGCCCCUCUCCGCUCGCUCGAAGCAACGGGAUGGACUCCUCGGGCCAGGCAUCGAUCAUCGCGGUCCCGUUCAAGUACCUAGGCGACGCGCCGACGAUGGCUCUGCGCCCGUUCCUCGAGCUCAACGCGACCAUCGACGGCGCCGACGGGAAGGAAAACUUGCAGCGGGCAAACGUCGGACCCAAGAUUGGCGCCGAGGGGUCCGUCGACGAGGGGGUGUUCGGCGGCGUGGAGGUACCCGCGGCGCUGAGACUGUGCCUGGUGCUCGGGAGGUCCGCGGAAGGUGCGGAAUCCCUCCACAGGCUCGGUCUGAUUGGUCAACUCACCAAACUGUGCAAGUCCCUGAGCGGCUCGACGUACCACCCGGCGCCCGCGCAUCAACCGUCGCCGCGUCGCGUUCGCGGCAGGGCGGGUUUCGCGCCAGACGAGGCCGAUGAACUCGCGGAGGAACAUCCCCGCGUGGAUCCCGCGGCGCUGUACUGCCUCGCGCUACGCGUCGCCGCCACCCACGCCGACGCCGUCGGGUCAAAGCCGGAGGUUCACGAAGGUCUCGUCGCAAUGGCCGUCGAGCUGGCGGACCGGUUCGCCGCCGCUCUGGCCCCGGCGGAGCUCACCGUCGCGGCGCUCGCCGAGGCCGAGGCGACCGCCACGCUGCUCCACUCCCUCGCGGCUGCGGCGAACGGGCCGUGGCAGCUAAAGACUCCCUCCCACCAGGUUCGCAUGCGAGCAUCCGCCGUGGACUUUCUGCGAUGGAUCGCGUCGCCGCCGCCGCCGAGGCGGGGCGUCGCCUGCGCGCCGCGGGGGAGCGCCCAGGCAUCCGCCGCCCGCCGCCCGCCGCUCGUCGGCGCGUCGACGGGAUGGUUCCACUCGUGCGCGCUGGGAAGCGUCCCGCCGGUGGCCGCCACGCCCGCCGCAGCCAUCGCCGCGGCGGUUGCGGCUAACGACCGAUCAACCCCCGCGGGCAACGCGCACUCCGAGAACGUCGCCGGUCGACUCUACGCGACCGCCGCGAGGUGCGCCGCGUUCCUGGCGUCGUUCCCGCGCGCCAACCCGGCGGCGGCGCUGGGUAGUGAGACGCUGGACAGUCUGAGCGGGCAGGCGGUGGCGCUCGGCGAGGAGAUGGCUUCGCGGAGGGAGGCGAGCGCGACGUCCUCGGCGGGCGUCGCGCUGUGCGAUGCUUUGACCAUGACGGCCAAGUCGUUGCUCGAGUUCGCGUCGGCGCUGGAGAGGCUCGAGGCGGGGGAGCCGAACUUGCCCGAUCCACCGGCGCUGCGUCUGCACUCGUCGUACUCGCUGGUAUCGCAGAUGUCCUGGAGGGAAUCGACCAUCCUCGGGGACCCAAAGUAGCAACCCAUAGAGUCAGUCGUUUUUGAUAUUAUAGUCAACUUUUUAAAAGCCAUCACCCAAAAUCGCCCAUCCACAAGAGAGAGAGUCACGAGGGGCUCGGCGAGGUUGAGAAAGGUUCCGCACCAUGGUGUUUGCCGACAAGGGGGCCUUCGGGGCUGACGGCGACGGGGACAAGCUCAAGAAGAAUCGCUUCCUGAGCACCACGAAGGAGGUUGAGGAUUUGAACCAGUACUGGUAUAGCAACCGGACCAUCUCGGCCAUGGCGCGGGACGUGGAGGACGUCUGCGCCGCGCCGGAGACCCGCGCGGCGUUCCUCUCCACCCCGAGUGUGUACUUCUCCCUCAGUAAAGAAGUCCGCGCCAGGUCGUGGUGCUUCGACCUCGACACGCAGUGGCAGAAGGAGCCCGGGUACGUGUGCUACGACUUCAACAAGCCGAUCGAUUUCGAGGGUGCCGAAGAGCUCAAGGGCACGUUCGACAUGGUGAUCAUCGACCCGCCGUUCAUCACCCGUGAGGUUUGGGAAAAGUAUACGGAGACGGCCAGGUGGCUGUUGAAGCCCGGCGGACACGUGAUGGCGAGCACAAUCCAGGAGAACGCGCCGUUCAUGAAGGAGCUACUCGGGGUGGACCCUCAGGUGUUCAUGCCGUCGAUACCCACGCUCGUGUACCAGUACUACCUGUACGCGUCGUACGAGUCGAAACACCUCAAGGAUAAGAACCCGGAGAUACCCGACUACGACUGAGGGGACGCGAGCGCGACGAUCUAAGAUUAGCAUUAAGUAAGUGAUGGCGGUGUAGUAUUUCAAAGGUGAACUGAUCUGCGCGGAGCAACCCCGGGUUGCUAGCAGCCUACCCGGUUCUGUGCGCCUGCUUCGACUUGGGCGGCCGGUUGGCCUUCUCCUCGACCCCGCUGGUGCCGAACCUGCCCCUGAGCUUCGCGAGCACGUCCUCCAUGCCCACGCCCUGCAGAUUGAGCAGGACCAUGGAGUGGUAAAGAACGUCGGCCAUCUCACUCGCCGCGCGCUCCUUGCCCUCGUCGUUUUCGAGCGUCUCGCAGAGCUCGCCAGCCUCCUCCCGAAUCUUCUUGCACAGCAGCUCGGGGUUGUCGAGCAGCUUGCGGGUCCACGACGGCUUGUCACCCUCCUUCACCGCCUCGGUCCUGCGCUUCUGGAUGGUCUCCUCGAGCUCGUACAGGGUGGUGAGCGCCUCCUCCUGGCCGUGCUUGCCGCCGCCCUCCACCGCGGCGGCUCCGUCGUCGCCGUCAACCUGGCUGUAGUAGCACGUGUGCGCGCCGGUGUGGCACGUGGGGCCGUCGGGGACGCCGAGGUAGAUGAGGGAGUCCUUGUCGCAGUCGAGGUGGAUGGACUUCACGGAGAUGAAGUUGCCGGAGGUCUCCCCCUUGGUCCACUGCGCCUGCCGCGAUCGCGAGAAAAAUGUGGCCUGGCGCUUGGUGAUCGUGCUGCGCACGGCGGUGCGAUCGGCGAAUCCCUGCAUGAGGAUCGCGCCGGUGUCUACAUCCUGGGCAAUGGCGACGACGAGGCCCUUGUCGUCGUACUUCAGGCCGUCGAGGAACUUCUCGAUCUGCUCGGGCUCAGCCGCUGCGGCCAUCACAUUUCCCGAGAAGCCGCCGACUCGCGGCGCGGCGCGAAGGGCCGGGCGGGUGACGGCGUUGGGCCUGAUGAGGCGGGCGCUCUGCUCCGAGGCGGAUGCGCGGACGCGAAUGGGCGCGCGCGCGGAGGCGUAGGCGAUCUGAGCGGCCAUCUCGGGGUGUCGCUCGGUAUGGCGAGGGCCGCGAUCGGGAUAAAUAGGAAGUCGCUUUUCGAUCGCACGAGCACAUUCAGAGCAAACGAGAGGAAGGAAAAAGAUUCCAACUGCCAGUUAAAGAUCUUAACGCCAAUUGCGAUUUUCUAACUAUACCUUCAUACAACGUAUCCGCCUGCUUCACAGUCAGCGAAUGUUUUUUCCUGACGACCGUUGAGAGCUUUUUUGAAUGUCACCCCAGCCUUGGUGUCGAUGAGAGCAGAGAGCGCGCGCGGAGCCACAAGGACGAGCGCCGCGGCAUCCUUCGCAUAUCUGUCGAGGACGCGCGCUCACCAUGUCGCUCUCCGGCGCCGUGUGCAGCGUCAUGCUGUACAGCAACCUGGCGUGGUCCGUCGACAACCAGGUCACGCUCGAGUUCUCCACCCCCCACGGCGUCGCCCCGAACGGCGUGCUGCUGUGCGCCACCGCGACGGGCCACAGGUUCGACCGCUCGUCGUUCACGGUGAACGCGCUCGAGGAGGGCGGCUCGCAGUUCGUGUCCGGCAACGCGCAGACGGUGACCAGCAGCGCGGCCACCGACCUGCGCGCCUUUGGUGGCGCGACCUCAUGGAACCAUCGCGCCGUGGAGACGGGCGUCGCCGCUGACGUCCUCGGCACCGACGCCUACUACGCCUCCACCUACAUGAGGCGACGAUACGACACCCUCGCCGUGGAUUCCACCGGCGCCAGCCUCGCCGGCGUGUUCCAGGACCCGGUGUGGUCCACGACGGAUGCGACGCGCAAGAACGACACCGAUUUUUACAUCGCCAAGCUCUCCGACGCGACGCUCACCGACACCGAGCGGCAGACGCACGCGGCGACGCUCGCGGAGCUAAACCGGCCGACGGGCAACUGCGCGUUGCUCUCCGGCAGCUGGGCCAAGGACACGAGGUACGAGCUCAAGUUCACGGCGCCCAACCCGGCUCAAUCCACGGGCGCGACGGAGCUCGGAUGGUGGAUGGCGCCGGUGACGUACGCAAAAACGUCCUCCACCGCACCCGCGGGCGCCGGGGGCAUGGAACCGUCGAACCGGGUGCUUUACACCGUGCGCGGGGAUAAGAAUGGCGUCGUGUGCGGUGCACGCGCCACGGUCAAAAACGUCCUCCACGACGCGUGCGCCGCGCUCGCCCUCUCCGGCGCGAACGCUUCGGUGGCCGCCGCAUCCGUUCCAGCCGCGUGCGCCGACUCGCUCCGGUGGACGUCGAGGGCGGAGGCGACGAACGGGCUGGGGUGCGGCGCGAGCGCGCAGGCGGCGUGCGGCGCGUGCGCGGCGAACGCGGUGGCGUCGUACAGGUACUCUGGGCACUGCGUGAGCUGCGAGAACGGCGCGGCGGCGACAGUCUCGGACGGCGGCGUCAACAGGAACUCGUGCGCCUGCGCCGCGGGCAGGACCACGCUCAAGGCUGGCGGCAGCGCGUGCGGUCCCAAGAUGGGACCCGCGGGAACGUCCACGUCGGCGGCGGCGCUCGCGGCUGAGCUGUGCGCGUCUUUCACCGGGGUCAAGACUGGUUUGUCCGGCGGUCCCUCGGCGGGGAAGACGACGGGCGUGGGCGGGGGCGUCGCGGCGGGUGCGCACGCGAUCGCCACCGCGCACGUGGACGCGUUCCUAGCCGCGGCGGGCUCGCUGGUGGACGCGGCGGACGUCGCGGCUGCGAACGUCACCUACCGCUCGACGCUCAUGUUUGACGAGCGAGCGCCGGAUGACCCGACUCGGAGACGCGGUCUCGCGGGUCGGUGCGCCGAGUGCGGGGCGGACGGGACGUUCGUGGACAACUACGGGCGCGUCGGGUCGGUCAAGGAUGUCCAAUUCGACGCGGUGCACGCGCUGAGGCUGAUCGGGUACGUGCUGCACCUGAAGGGGUACGACUGCGACGCGCUCUACAACCCGGAUGAUAAGUUUGUCGGGAUAUACGGCGCCUACGAGGCGGCGCCGGUGUGUGGCGUGGCGACGCCCGCGUGACGGCGGAGUCAGACUAACGUAGCGGUGUGUUGUAUCACGAAGAAAUCAUCGAGUCACACUCAAAGGCACCUCAGGGUGGUGACCCUGGUGCCCAACUCGCUGAAUAUGUCUACGCUUCCGCCCGUCCCUCCCACGGCGGUCAAACUCCUUUGAGGCUGCAGGUCCAGCGUGAACACGCUCUUCGGAGUGCACGGCUGCCUCGAUAUCUGCUCCCCCGCGAGGUUCCACCUGUACACCGCGGGUUCCGCCCCUGCCGCCAUGACGUGCUGGCCCGUCAGUCUCAGCGCCUGCGGCGGCGCAGCGGUUGGCACCCUCGAAGCGCAAGCCCCCGCCGCAAACGACCACAUGGUGAUGCAACCGCCGCCGCAUCCCAUCGCCGCCCAGUUUUCAGCCUUGUCCAGCGCGACGCACCCGACCCACGCGCCGCUCCCGUGCCCUCCGCUUUUCCCCUCCUUGGCGCGCCACACGUCGAUGACGUGGGAGCACGUCUCGGACCUCAGGUCGUGGAUCCUCGCCGUCCCAUCCUCGGACCCGGUCACCGCCUGGUUCGCGCCUACACGCGCCGCGACGCAGUGCAGCAGGUCGUUGUGCCCCCGCAGACGCAUCGCGGGCGCGUCGCGACCUUCGCCGAGGUCCCAACCGUAGCACACGCCAUCUCCCGCGGCGGACAGGAGCGUCCCUCGGGUGGGAUCGACCGCGAGCGCCGUCGUCUCCGGGACGGGUCCUAACGCGCCCCUCGCCUUGCUCUCCUGGGGGUUCUUGAACUCUCCCGCUGGGGUCACCGCCACUGUCCUCUCCGACCGAGUCGCUUUCGCGUUCGCGGCCGCGAUGAGGUCUGAGGCUCGCCACAGCACGCUCCGCCCGUCCUCCCCCGCGGAGCAGAGCAUCUCCGAUCCUUGCAGAGUGAACGCAAUCACCGAGUACACAGCUCCGCGAUGCGCGUCGGGGACUACGAGCGAGGGGCGGGGCGAUGGGUCUGGGCUCGAUGUGCCCCCUCCGCUGCCCCUCUGCUCGCGCAGGACGUCAUCCAAGUUGAACACGGAGAGAGAGCCACUGCUGCUUCCGCACGCCAGGUAGUUUUCUCCGAAAAACACGGAGGCAUAAACAGUCCUCGUUGCCCUGGCUGCCUCCUCCCUGACAACCGCGGAAUACUCCGCGGUGGUGGUGUCGUACGCGGAGGUGCAAUCGAAUAAAGCGACGGACAUUGUAUCGACGUCCGGUGCACCCGGCUGCGUCCCCUCCUCUGUCUGGGUCCUCAGCACGCGUACGAGGUGAUUCAAUAGGUUUAGCAGCAGCACAGCUGUCAGGCACACGCUGCACAGCAAAACGAACGCAGAUUUUCAAAAGGAGCGGCAUAGUAGCAGGCGCGAGGCGCCGACGGAGGGCCACCGUGCGCGCGCAGGGCCACGUGUGCGCAGGGCCGAGACGUGUGGGGUCAUGAGUGCGAUAAUCAUCACGACGGGUUUCGAUGCGAACGACAAGGUGAGCGAUCCGCCCGGCAACAACAACUUGGAGGGGUGCCCGAUUUGCCGCGCGAGGAGACGACGUUCGGCACGCCCAACGGCCGGUCCACCCAUGUUUCCCGCCGUUCCACCCCCUCGAAGCACCCCUGACCCCACCUCCAAUUCAUUCCUUUCCAUCGCAGCGCGAGAUCAAGGCGCUCAUCGACAAGCUUGGCGCGACCUUCGGAGAUCCGGACUUCACCGCGACGAGCCCGUUCGACUACUGCGUCACGAAGACCACCAACUCGCCGAAAUACGAUCUCGCGGUGAAGCUGUUCAAGCCCGUGGUCACCUUUGCAUGGCUUCGUGACAGCGCCGAGGCCGGCGAGCUCCUGCCUGUGGAGGAAGUCGGCCACAUACCCAAGGCUUUCCUCGGACUGUGCGUGUGUGUCACGGGAUAUACACAAGAUGAGCGCACCGAGCUCGAGGCGCUGGUGACCAAGAACGGGGGCCUGUACAUGUCCGACCUGGUCAAGGGCAAGUGCACGCAUCUGGUGGCGUCCGGUACGACGAGCGGGAAGUACACGCACGCGAAAAAGUGGGACGGCAUCAAGAUUGUGAGCAGGGAGUGGGUGACAGAGAGCGCGACGGGGGGCGUGAAGGCGAACGAGGCGCGUUUCCCGGUUGAGGGGACCCCGGAGGCGGCUGCUGCCGCGUCGAGGGCGAACAUCGACGCGGACGAGGCUGCGGACGCGGCGGUGGCGUGGGACUCGUGUUACUUGAUGGGGUGCACGGUGUACCUGCACGAGCUGGGCAACCCGAAGGAAUCGGCGGAGUGGGCUCGGGCCAUGCAAGCAGUGCGACACGGCUCGGCGUUUACCACUUCCAACGCGAGCAAGGCGACGCACGUGGUCGUCAGCGUCAGCGCGGCGGCGGGAAGCCUCAGGGACAUACGCGAUCAACGGGAUAAGACGGUGCUCAGCACCUGGCUGGACGCGUCCAAGGCGCUGGGGGCGCCGGCGCCGGUUGAGGAACACGCCGCGCCGUCGGCUCUGUUUGCGACGCGGCGGGAGCCACCGGCGAAAAAAGGUGGCGGGAUAAACCGGGUGGAUAGCAUGAUCCUCAGCCAGGAGGCGGCGUCGACGCACGACAAGGGGAAAACGAGCAAGGCGACCGCGUCGAAGGCGACGGAAGCGGCGGACAGACGGCGGCGCAGGCGAAGCGGACCGGCGUCGCCCAACCCGCUGACGCGCCAAGCGCUCGCCGCGGAGGCUGCGAAAGCGGCGGCGGCGGAGGAAGACGCCGCCGCGAACAGAGUCGACCUCGCCGAUCAGAACAUGCCGCCUCGGUAUCAUCAGCCACUGUCUCCCGCGGCGGCCAGGGUGACGGCCGCGACGACCGAUCCGGGCUGCUCGUUCGACCCGGGGACGGCGACGGAUCUUCCCGCGACGGCAGUCGCCAUCCAGGAGACCAACGGACUCGGGGUUGACGGGGAUGACUACUCCACCGUGUUCAAGGGUAUGCGCAUCACGUUGAGUCCGCUGCUGAGCAGGGAAGAGGAGGAAGCCGCGAGCGAAAUCGUGACCAGGGGCUCGGGAAUCGUGACGAAGAAGAAGGCGGCGUCGUCCGCGUACAUUGUCUGUCCAGCUGCUCCGACCAGGGAGGAACGAGCCAUCUUGAACUCUGCGCCCGAAUCCGAGAGGAGGCGGCACGUCACCUGCCACUGGCUGGAGAUAUCCUGCGAGCUCGGAUAUGUCGUUCCUCUCGACAGUAACCGCGGCGGCAACCCCGCCUGUCGACCGCUGCCCUGCGACGCGCCGUUCGACUCCAUGCAUGGACUCAGGAUCAGCACCUCCCUCUAUGACGAGGACGUCAAGUCGUCGGUGAACAUGCUGUGCCACCUGCUGGGCGCAAAGUACACAGAGAGGCUUGGCAGGAACAAGAACACCCACCUCGUGGUCCCCUACGCAGAGGGAAAGAAGUACGAGGCGGCAGUCGGAUGGGGACUGCACGCCGUGACCGUGGAGUGGCUCCACGCGUGCAUCGAGGCGGGACGCAAGGUUGAAGAGCGAGAUUUCAAGCCCCCGCCGCCGCCGUCGGAUGACGAUCGAAACGGGGACGACGGUCGGGCGGGGGCGUUCACGACGGAUGGCGGCGACACGCAAGAGGCACCGCCACCACCGGUUGCCACGAACGCUAAGGGGUCCGAUCGCCGUCGCUCCGCGGGUAUCGACAUUGGGGGAGGAAACGUGUGCGGUGGGUCGCAGCGCGGCGCUCUCAACCUCGUCGGGAGUGCGGUCCAACGCGACACCUCGCGCGCGGCGCAAACAUCUCAGCGCGCUCCCCCGUCGACGAGGAGGUCCACGCGGCCCGUGUCCAAGACGCCGGCGCAGCCCAAGCCAAAGGCUGGCGCGAGGUCCACGCCGAGGCGGGGCGAGUCCAUCGCCGCGCCGACGACCGCCGCUCCGGCACCCGCGACGGGCGUGAAACGGCACCUCGGUUCCGAUCGAAGCCCGGUUUCCGUCGGCGUCGACUUGGAGCCGGAGCCUCCCGCGCCUCCGCCCCCACGGGUGACCACCGGCGGCAGGGCCGCGCACCCGGCGGACGGGAGUCAGAUGGUGGCCAACCUCAUCGACGACGUCGCCGCGGGUAUGUUCGACGGGGGCGAGUCGCAACUGGACGACGGCUUUGACGGAUUUCGGGUUCCCGAUCCGGUGCAGACGGAGGCGGCGGUCGCCGCGGUGCGAGACGGCAUGACCUCACCCGGAGGCGCCGGUCGUGGAAAGCGUCGAAGGGGUCCCGGGGAUACGACGCCGAGCGGGAUGGUCGGGGGAAUCGGCGGCGGCGUGGGGGAGUCGCAGAUGAUGGAAUCGCAGCAGAUGAUGGAGUCGCAGCAGAUGGUUGGGUACGCCGACGACGGUCCUCCCCGCGGCCGCUCGCAUACAUUCGGCGGGGGUCGGGGCGGGGCGAGCGGAUUGGUGAACUCCCUCCUCGGUGCCGCGGGUAGAGGCGCGGGGAGCGCAACUCCAAGUGCGACGGCUUCAGGCUUACAGGCGGAAGACUGGGUGUGAGCAGACGAGAGAUAGUGCUAGGCCAUCUGGCCAGGGAUUUUAACGCGACGGAGACACGUUGAAAGAAUUUGUUGUUGGAUACACGACGCUACUUGUCUAUACACCGUUCAAUGUGGUAGCUGCCCAACUUGCAGCUGCCACCCCCUCAUGGCAGGACGUCAUCAGCUCUCCUAAUAGCAUAUCGAGAACUCUGGUCGGAUUUUCGCGCCAGCAGCUCACCAACCUUUGAUCCAGACGACGUUCUCGCCACGAGACACCCACUAAACCAACACCAGCACCCAGUGCAGCAGAUUUAAGCGGCGGUGACGACCUCCUUCUCGGAAAUGCGCUCGUAGAGCUCGCGCACCUUGAGGCCGCAGAGGGUCUGGAAGAGGCCGGUGCCGUUGUUGGAGCCGGGGCCGUUCUGGUACUUGAGCAUCUGCUGGGUGAUCUCACCGUAGAACUUGGUGGAGGUGUUGGAGAGGUGGGACUCGACGUAGAUGAGCUCCUCGAGCUUGUCGAACUGGCCGUCCAUCUCGAGGACGGAGACCUCCUCGCCGAAGAAGGUGUCGGGGCCGUAGAAGAACUUGAUGCCAGGGUAAGAGCAGGUGAGCUUGCGGCCGCAGGGGAUCCAAGAAAUGGUGGAGCCCUCGUCGAAGAGGUAGGGGGCGUCGAAGUUCUCGACACCCUCCUUCAUGAUCAUGCGAACGCGGAGGAUCUUGCCCUCGUUGUCGUCGGGGAUGAGCUGGGUGGGGAGCACCUGGAUCACGAUGUCGGCAUACUGCUUCUGGGGGUCGACGAACUCGUCGAAAUCGGGCUUGCGCGCCUCGAUGGAAGCCUUGAUGGACUCGAGGGAGUGACCACGCUCGGCCAUGUCACGCUGGAUCUUCCAGGCGAACUUGACGUCGUCGGAGAUGUCGAGGUAGAUCUUGAAAUCGAACAUGUCGCGGACGCGCUCGUCGGCGAAGGGGUGGAGACCCUCGAGGAUAAGGAUGGAGGGGGACUCGAUCUUCUCGGCGGGGUCGAACACGCCGGUGACGUGGUUGUAGAUGGGCUUGUCGACCGCCUUGCCCUCCAUGAGAGCCUUGGUCUGCUCGUACAUGAGGUCUGUAGGGGGGGGACGGGGAGGGGGGCCUGGUCAGUUGAGGAAUUUUGACAAGGCGGAAUUUGCGAUCGAGAAUAUCCCAAGGGGCGAGAGGUCUGGCGCGAGCUAGAGGGCGCCGGGUGAGCCUCGGGAUCGCCAUGAAGCGGCACGGAGUGUCGUCCGACGUCACGUCAACGCCGAUGACGGUCGAAACGAUCCGACCCGACGGCAAUGAAGAGCCCGUUCCCGAGGCGAACCACCGGCUCGGCGAGGGCAGGGAGCCCGAGCCCCUGGCCAAGUGGAUAAGCCCUAGGGGAAUUGCGCGCAUCGCGGAAAAAUGAGGCCCACCCCGGUGGCGCGGGCGUCGCCCCAUGCGGUACGCGACGAUCCCGGCACGCAUCUCGGGGGGGAUUUGAAUGACACAACAUGUUGGGAAGGUGCUUAGGUGAACUCACCGAAGUUCUGCUCCUUGAGGUUGAGGGCAGUAAGGCCGGACUCCUUGCGACCAUUGCGGUCGUUCAGGUGGUAGUCAUCGAGGCACAGCACGGUGGUGGAGUCGGAGAUGAGCGUGUUGGAGUCGGGGUUGCCGCCCUCGGGGGGGGUGGCCUUGCCGCCGAAGAGGGAGGUCAUGCGGCGCAUGAAAGUGGACUUGCCGCAGCCAGAGUCAGCGGCGAGACCGAUGAGGACGGGACCGUCACGCUCAGCCUUGACGGUAACGUUGCGCUUGGCAGCGCGAACGACGGACUUCCCGGAGACGCGGGAACCCUGGAACUUGCGGGCCGCAAGGGGCUGCGCGCACGCGGCGGACAUGGUCAUGGAGGCCAUCUUUAGGUUUUGUGUGCGUGGAAAUAGAACGACGCGACGACGUGAAGUGACCGACUGGGCGGUCCGGAACCCGCUAUCCACCACAAAUCCGAUCGCUUCCGGUGCAGUUUUAUCCCGGAACCCAAUCGGAGGUGGAGAUAAAGCGUUGAUGCCAGCUUGGACGGAUGGUUGAGGGUCGUGAUUGGCGGGCAUCCCCCAUCGGCGAAUGCUACAUCGGUCCUGAACCGUGAAACCACGGUCUAUUUUCGCCGAUCCCCAAAAUCUCGCCGAGACAGCCAAGCAAGGUGGAUUUUUUGUGCCAACAACGCAUCUGACACGGCAGCCAGGCUCAUCAAGGCGGCAAUGCGAGCGCGAGACAACUUUUCGAGUCAGAGAAAUGAAAAUUUGGUCUAUGAAAAUUUGGUCCUGCUAGAGUCUACCAACCUGCCGAGGAACCCGGCUAGGUCUUGUUCGACAACCUGUGAUGAAAGGAUUUACGUCUUGUUUGAUCAAUAUGUAACAAAGCAGGCUGUCUCGCUUACGCGAGCUCAUCCUGCAUGAGCAGCGCCACAGACGCGAGCGUCCACUUCACCGGAGGCUGAUCCUCGGGAUGCUUCAGCGUGAAUGUGGACACCUGCGCGGAGUACACGUUGGCGCGCUGCAUGUUCAUGUACACAGGGCACAUGUAGUAUCCAUUCGUGUCGUACUUGUCCGCAGUGACCGGGAUAACCUUGAUCACCGGGAGCAGGCAACGGAGCUCCUUGGGUUUGGAGUCCAUCACCAUGCCGAGGUCCUGGUCCCAGCGAGCGCCCUCCAUGGUCAGGCCGUGGAUGUACGUGCCCUCGUCAGAGUACUCCUCGAUGUCGCCCGGUUGCAUCCUAGUCACUUCGGUGCGGAACUUCAUGACGUCGAGUGGCAGCUGAUUUGCGCGGGCGUACACCUGCUGGACGGCGGUGAUGAACGCCUUGGCGUUGAAAAGGCCGGGCAGCCAAACAGUCUUGGGAUGCUCAACUGAGCGCGCCGUCCACUUGUCCAGCUGCGCGUGACGCUCCUGCACGUCCUUGAACCAUCGAGACAAGGAGUACACUUCCUGAAUGCGGCUGGACAUCUGCUUCAUCCAGCUCGGCGGUACGCUGUUUCGGAAGAUGCCAUUCUGAACCUCCUCCAUCGCCGGAGACAUGUUCAGCGCACCGUCAAGACCGAGAGUCAGCUCCUCCAGCGAGCGCUUGAUGAAGUUGAGAAGGUCAGUCAUGCGGGUCGCCUCCUGCAGCGCGCACACGACGUAAGGAUUCUUAUCGACGAUGCGGCUCUCAAUGUCGAUGAGGUUGAAGGGCUCAGGGCAGAAGUCGUACAUGUUGUUGACUCCGCUACGAACGAUGGAAUCCAUGUCAACUGCGCCGCCGCCGCCGCCGCCGCCGCCACCCUGCACGUCGUCGAUGGUCUUGAACAGAAUCUCUCCCUCGGAUGUAAGGAGCGAAAGCUGCGCGUUGAAGUGCAGACCGUAGAUGGACGGGGUCUCCUGCGGAAGCUUAGUCUCCACCACGUUCUGAAGCUCCUCAUAGCUGAUGGGGUUCGGGGCGAUGAGGCCGGGAGCCAGCUGCUUAGUCGGGGCCUCGCCAUCCGCACUCGGAAGAAGAUCCGGGGUGACGAGCACGUCAAGAUAGGAGAUGCAGAGUCGCCUGUCCAUCGCGUCAGUGAUGUGUCCACCAUAGAACACCUCGCCGAACAUGUACCGGAGAUCCUCCCAGGGGACGUUGUCGUUGCCCUCGAGGUAGUUGAACAACACCUCAGUGCAGUUGACGAGGUCGCCCAUGUUGAAGGAGUAGCCGCGGCAGUAACCGAGACCGGAUCCAAGGCCAAUGCCGAUACCUACGCCGAAUUUCUUGCGGCCGAGGAGGAGCGAGUGGUAGAAGCACAGCGCAAAGAGAACAGCAGUGUGAACCGUCUUCUUCUCGUCGGUGGUGGAUCGAUCAAGCACGUCCUGGCUGAACGGCGCGAGGGCACGACGCAUGUUGGACUUCAGAUCCGAGGGAGGCUCAUUGGAUAUCUUGAUGCACGUCUGUAGGAUGGACUCGGGCACAAUCUUGGCGAAGGGUGCGCCGUUGAUGGGCUCCGCACUGAAAAAGCAGCGGAAAUCCCUGUGCGCAGAUUCUGCAGCAAUUUCCAACUUGCGCUCGAGAGACGGAAUCCAACCCUGCAUGAGGUGGACGUUGUCCAAGAAGACCCAACCACCCUCCUGGGUGUAUUUGUCCAGCACAGCCUCGGCGACGGGCUCCUGACCCUGUCCCAUUGAAAUGAUGGUUAGCUUUCCAUUCUCCGACGACUUGCCCAUCUCAUUCGCCAGCUUCUCGAUGUCUUUGGACGGAGAGUAACCAGGGAACAGGACAAAGAAAAUCGGCGUGGACGGUCCAGACUCCUCGAACAUCUUACGCGCGUCGAACGCCUCCUGGUUGACGUACUCCGAGCCCAUGGUCUUUUCGACGAAGAGCGAAAGGGCGGAGGUGAUGCGGUCGGGGCGAACGGCGCGGAUGAGCAGCAGCUUCUGGAACUCGGUGAGCUUCUUGUUCCACUCUCCGGGCAGCGGCUCCGUCUCGGCGAGCUCGUGCAUGCCCCACUCCGCCCAUUCCUCGUUUCGCUUCUCCAUGUCGCGAGCGAUGCCCUUAAAUGCCGCGAGCUUCUCCUCCACGCCGCACAGUCCCGCCCACUGUGCAUCAGUCAUCCAAACUGCCAGGUCAUCAGGGCAAGGCGUACCCCUCAUGGACUUCAGUCCCUUCAGGAGGGCGUUGUACUCAUCGCUCUCGAGGAGUCCGUCUUUGACCAUGAUGGAGAAUGUCAGAAGCGUGGAGACGAUCAGCUUGUCCUUGUCAAAGAGACCCCGGCGCGUGUAGUUAUACACGGUGUACGUGGUCGUCUCGAGGAGUGCGUUGAGGCGCUUGGCCAUGGCCUCCUCUGUCGGCUCCUCAGACGUCUCAGACUUCCUGGGAUCUCCGCCCUUCACCGACGGGAUGAGCGACUUGAGCAAGUCCAUGUUCCAGUCGAACUUGCCCAUGACUCGCUUGGCGACGGUGCGGAACGAUAACUUGACCGCACGCUUCUUCCCGCCGGGGGCAAGAUCGAUACCGCGAGAGAACACCGUCACAAAUGCGUUCAAGGAGAAGGCGUAGAAGGCGUGAACCUUGUUGAGGGAGUUCAACAUGAAGAAGAGCAAUGCUCCACGGGCCGCGGCGACGCGGUACCUCUCACGCGAGGUGUUGAUCUUUUCCUCUGUCUCCUUGGACUCCUCCACCUUGAGAACAAUCUCAUCUGCGACACGCUUAGCCUCCUCCAAGGACUCAAUGAGUUCAACAUCCUCCGUGAGGUCGCCCUCAGCAUUCGCGAGCUUGAACAAGAGCGUGUCCUCCAACUCCUUGAGCUUAAUAGUGAACUCGUUGUUCUGAAUGAUGAGAGCCGUCUUGGUCUCUUCCAGAUCUGGACGCUCCUUGUUCACCACAAGCGCGAGGAGCUGAUCCUCAAGACCAUCCUGGGUCACCGUGAAGUUGAUGAGCGUCGUCUCAGCCUGAAUCUCGGGGGGGUAAUGAGGGUUGGACAUCUUGGUGUGAAGGAACAACUUGAAGUUAGGGUUAUACUCCACAUCCUUGUCACCCAUCUUUACGAAAAGAGCUCGGCCUUUCUUGUACGUGGAGCGGGUCACUGUUGGCAUGAGCACUGCGUCAAUGCUCUCACCCAUGUUCUCAAUGAGAACGGAAUGGCCAGCCUCGAUCGCCUUCUCCAUGAUGUCGACAGUCUUCGCCGCGCCCAUGCGAACAACCUGAAGGUUGUUCUUGGAUUCACGCUCCUUGAUCCAGGCGAUACCCUGAAGCUGCGGGUCGCACAUAAGGGGCCAGCGCUCGGAGUUGCACGUGAUGGUGCCGUUCUCGACAGAGGUGCGGUCAGAAGGGAGACCCUCGCUGACCCAGCCGGCAAUCGUAGCCGGAUCAACAAGAACCUUAAGGACGUCGAUUCCCUCGGUCAUCGGGAUGUUGUUCUCCAUCAGUCUCUUCUCGAACGCAGUGUUCAGCUCCGUGCGGAAUUUUGCCGUAAACGGUCCAUUGUAUGUGACAAAUGAUGCCGCAUAGAGGCAGUCUCCCACAAGCAAACCGUUGUCGAUCUUUAGCUGAGCGACGUCGUUUUUCCAUUGCUCUCCGGAUGCAGCGAGCGCAUUCACGAGACGCGUGGCCAGGCCGAGCUUGAUCUCGAGCCUCUCCUUUUCAUUGAUGGCGGCAUUCUUGUCCGCCUCAGCCUCGUUGAACUGGCGUUCAAGGUCGGCAACAAGGGCGUUGAGUCCAGCGACCUUGUCCUGCACCGCCUGGAGAGUCGCGUUCGCCUCGUCGAGCUGAGCAUUCGCAUCGGCAAGCUCUUUACGUUUGGGCUCGAUCAUCGUGAUCACAUCGUAGUAUUUAAUGAUGUUGAUGGCAAACUCGCACAAACCGGCGGCGGCACGAGAUUUGUUGUAAAUCGUGUCCCUGUUGAAGUGCGGGAGCUCAAGGUACGGGCGGCACGCGUCCACAUUUUUCUUGGGAACCUUGCCAGCGUCAAUCUGAUCCUUGAAACCCUUGAGGGUCUCCAUGAAUCGCUCAACAUUGUUCAUCAUCUUGGUUGCCGCGUUCCAUGACUUAUCCCUCGGGUUGUUCUGGAGAAGAAUGACAACGACGGCAGUGAUGUCGUCGACACCAGCAGGGGGCUUCUUCAGAGACUUUGCCUCGCCGAGAUCCUUCUUGUUGAGGGUAUCGAGCGCUGCGAGCGCAGCAUCGACCAGCGGCUCCGCCGCAUCAAGAUCAGCCUGCACGGAUACCUGCUUGGCCAACACCUGCUCUUGGAUAACCGAACACUUUUCAGCCUCAACCUGAGCCGCCUCGUUCUCAACGUUCGCCUUGUCCUUCUCAACCUGGACCUGAGCCGCGAACGUCUCAGAGGACGCAACCUUAUCCGCAACUUCAACCGCCUUGAUCUUGGCUUGUUCGACGAGGAUGUCGACAUCCUUUUGGGUCUUCAUCAGCUUCUCGAGACCGUUCUCAAGCCUGUCAAUCUGUCCCUCAGUCACUUCGCGCUUGGAAGCAAGGAGGUUCUUGUACAGCUUGAUCAGCUCGAGGAAUGUCUUGGGCGUGGUGUAAUUGUACCUGCGCUCAGAUUCCUUGAACUUUUCGCUCAUCUUGCCCACGAGGUUGAAGCUGAAAGGCAUGAACUCCAUGACAGCCAUGGCGAUCUCGUCGGUGCCCAGAUCGAGCUCGCCGAGGAAGCGCUUGGAUACACCAAGCAGUGCCUGUUCCGGCCAAGGCUGGAACCAGUCGAUGACGGUGGAGUUGAUCAUAGCCAAGAAGCGCUGCGCGCGGAUGCGGAAUUGUUCGCCGACAGGCGAGCAAGUGAACACCAUGUGCAGGUUUUCGCGAGUUUUCUGGAUGAAGAAAUCCCAGCAGGUGUCACGGUUGUCUGCGUUCAGACCCGCCGCUUUCACCUCGCCGCGCAUCGAGUUGAUGAUCUCAUCCUUGUCCUCCAAUGGGAACAAAUCAGGAAUCUCACCCGACGAUAAUAAAUCGUUGAUGAGCACCAAAAACUUUUCAUCGGUGAUCUGCGAGUCUGUGAAAAGGAAGAGGAUUCCCUCACCCUUGAGGCCGGCACGCUUGUACAUCUUCUGAAGAUCUUCCUUGAGGGAGUUGACAUUGUAGGAUCCAGAAAUAACGAUCAUGUACGUCGUCAUGCCGCACAGGUGAGCAGCGAGCUUCGAGAGGGACUGCUUACCCGAACCUCCGACGCCGACCAGAAGCGCGUGGCCACCGGGGUUGGAGAUGAUGCGGCUGAUACGGCAGAUGUGCUUCAUGGCAUCCUCGAACAACACGAGAUCCAUCACAGCGUUAGUUUCGUUGUAUUCUGCGAGCGUGUCCUCUAGGAUUUUCUGCAGCUUGGAGUACUCCGCGAUGUCAUUGUAGAUUUUCUCCUCGACCCCGCCAGCAAAGUGGCAGAAGAUGAGAGGUUUGGCCUUUUCACGAGCAUAGAAGUCGUCGAUGCCUGGGAUCUUGAAAAAUUUGUUGGCAAUUUGGACAACGUUCCUGUUGUAUGUCUCAAGGUCCUUGGCGCUGACGAGACGAUCGGCGUAUACACGCUCUGACUCGUGCAACCACAGCUUGGACAGCUUCGCAACGUUGUUGAAGUUGUCAGGGGUGGAGAAGAGGAGACCCUGGAACACGUUCGUGAGGUGGCGGACGGUGAACUCGUAGUGGAAGUUGAUGGCAGUCUUGCGGAAGCUCUGCACAACCUUCUCGUGGUUUGCCAGCGAAGCCUGGAUCAGUUUCAUGCCAAGCUCCUGGCAAUCCGCAUUGAAAUGCUUCAGGUGACCGUUGAGGAACGUGCCGUAGAUCUUCAUCAGCGAAUCCUGGCCAGGGAAGUCUACUGCUAAGGUCAUGAACAGGCGCUGCAGGCGCGGGUUGAUGACGAAAGCACCGGCAGUGGGGUUCAUGCACGCCACGUACUGGGUGUUGUGGAUCACCUUCGGAGAGAGCUUCGCGCGAUCGAACCAGUGUCCCCAGCCGAGAUGUUGGCGAAUGUGGGAGAUGGGCAUCGCGGUGUCGUAAGGGUCCAGCUUUGGCAUGUUGAGAUCAUCAACAAAGUAGAUGAGCUUGUUGUUCCCGGGGGGCCCGUAGUUGACACCCGCCUUCUUCUCCAGCUGGGACUCAAGGAUCUUCUGGAAUGAGAUGACAUCGGUGAAGUAGUUGAAGUUUAUGUUCAGGCUCAUGUUGCCCUCCGGCAGCGAAGCAAGCUUGCCCUUUACCAACUGAGUCUUGCCGGUACCGGCAGGGCCAACAAACAUGAUGGGCGCUCGUAGCUCAAGCAUCAUGUCGAGGAAAUAAGUGAACGAGGAUGUCUCUGCUGUGGGUACAAAGACAGAUGUCAUUGGGGUGAGCUUAGAGUCAUAUGCCACGUCCGAUACCAGGUCAGCCCACGGGGCGAAUGCUCCCGUCUUUGCGUUGAUGUAGUAGUCGAACACCGAGCCCUUGUUGGGGAACUUUAUCGUGGUCCAUUUCUUUUUCCACCUGUCGUUAGAGUCAAACCCGCAUGUGUGUGUUCCAGUUAGAAAUCGAGAGGGAGGGAGGGGGAGAGAGGGGGAGAGAGGGGGAGAGAGGGGGAGAGAGAAGAGACGUAAACCUACCACUUGUCGAAGUUCCGCCUGUAAUCGAUACCAUCUUUGGGUGCGAGGCCUCCGCCAAACGCCCACACACAGGCAAGCACGAAGUAAGUCUCGAAAGCCUCCUGGGUAGCCUUUGAGUUCAGAUUCUCCGGUUUAAGCAUCCCUUCGAGAAUAUUGACCAACGUAGUGCAGAAGUUCAUAGUCUCCAAGGGCGUGAUGUGCUGGAAGGACUUCUUCAUCUCGAAAAUGGUGUCCGGCAGAUACUUGUCCACGAGCUCAGUGAGCCAUUGCGCAGGCUGGUUCGGGUCCUUGAACUUCGCCUUCACAGCGUAAUCAGGGACAACCCGCUUCAUCCAGGAGGUAAUCAUGUUCUUCCACUGCACCUUCUCGGAUAUGUAAAGAAUACCAGCGCGAGUAGCCGUCGCCGGCGUCGCAAACUUCAAGUUGCGAAUCUCGAAGAUGAGCUUCAUGUGCGGCAAGAGACGGAUUCGCUCGUUUGAGGGCAGCGUGAGCAGGCGGUUAUCGUCCAUCACGGAGUUCAUGGACUCGAUCCAGUUCGCGUCGAGAUCACCGUCAAGGAUGAUCCACUUGGGGUCCUCGUCGGGGAUGGUAGCAAGCUCACGCAUGUAGUAUGACAUCAUGCCAUCCUUCCACUCACGGGUGGAGAGGUUCACGUAACCGUAGAACUCCUGGGUGGAGAUGGACUUGGGGUUGAUGUCGCGAAUGACAACCUUCUUCUUGUUGUUCGGGCGGAGAUAAUCGUUUACGAUUUCCUUCUCUGGCACGUUUACGCCCUUCUGCAUGGCCUUCGCGAGGACGCGGUACGCCUCGGUGCGUCCACCUCCCGUCACACCCAUCAAGAAGAUACAGUGGCGAAUCGCCAUGAGCUCGCUUAACUGGACCACACGAAGGAUGAAAUCAUCCUCAACGGUGAGGCCCAUCUCAGCGGUGGUCUCUUCGAUGACCUUCUCAAACUUCAUGUCGCGCUUACGAGGGGGGUCGACGCCGAGGAACAAAUCGUUCAGCAGACCCAUGAAGAUGACCAUAUCUGCCGCGAGGAUCUUGGGAAUGUUGAAAUCGCGCAGGGCACGGAACAGGACAUCUGACUCGUCCUGACCUUCCUCCGCACGGAGGAGAGAGCCGGCAACGACGAGCACGGACUUGAUGGCACGGAGACCCCAAUCGUAGUGGGUCUGCGGUGAAAGCAUGUCCUCCAGAAGGUAGUAGAGCGACGCAAACUUCUUUGCGAGCAUCUUUGCCUCAACGAAACCCUCAGCCAUGAGCAUGUUCUCCAUAAUGAGCUGGCGGUCCGGCACCAUCACGGUGAUUGGCCGGAACAGGGCCUUGAGAGACUCAGGGAGCUCAGCCCGACCGAUGUAACCCGGGUUCAUGGUGAUGAACCCCGAGCAGCCUUCCUCAAGAGGCAUCUCGACGCCAUCCGCGGCGAUGAACUUGUAGUUCUGGAUCGCAUCGUGCUUCACGCCUUCCUUGUCGACGAACUCAAGACCACGGCCGGGCAUGUUAGCCUUGCGCUUCUGCGCAUCCGUGACACACUUGUACUGGACAGAACACACCGAAAGCACCUCAGGAACAAGUCGGUUAAACUCAUCGAAGCAGCCCCAAGAGCCGGAAGCGGCCAAGCCCUUGAAGAUAUCGCCCAUGGUGCGGUAGUCCAUCUCCGGUGAGCAGUUGAACACGUACAUCGAUUUUCCAAGCUGCGCGGAGAGAUCCUUUGAUGUCUCCGUCUUGCCGGUACCGGCUGGGCCAGCGGGUGCGGUGCCCAUGGACAACCAGCACGCCUGCGUAGCAGUGAUAUAAAUGCGAUCAGUAAGCGGCGUGAUGACCAGACGACCACCGUUUCCGAGGUACUCGUAACCGUAAGGGAACGAGGCAUCACAGAUCUUGAUAACGGAAUCGUCAAUAUCCGCAUCCCAGUAGGUGCGCAGCUGUGACAUCCACUUGAAGCACUUCUUGCUGGUCUCACCAUUCUCGAUGAUACCGAUGACCAUGUCACGAGAGUGGGCAUCAAUCGUAAUCAUGUUCAUGAUUUUCUGUCGAGAUGGUUUGUCGAGGUCGCGACGUGUGGUGGCAAUGAGAUCAGUGAUCUGCUGAACCUGCUGCUCGUUGUACUUUUUCAUGGCACCGGCGUCGCCUGCAGCAAUCUUGUCGAAAGCCUCCUCGACUUCCGAGCACCAAUAGAUCUGGUUAACCACCAAACCAAGCUGAGAGGACCAGUCGAAGCACCACUCGUGUCGAGGCUUCGGGUUGUUGUACGCCUGCAUCGCAUCGAAGCAGUGAAGCUUGAGCUCGCUCCUCAUCUUGUCAAUGAUCAGGUUCAUGUACUCUUCAACCUUGCCGUCGAGGCCCAUCUCGCUCUUGAAGGGGAUCGUCUCCUUGCCGACGCAGGAUAUAAUAGCCUUCGCCUUUGGACGCCUGCCCGCUCCGGGGUUUUCUGUGUCCAAGGUAAGUUUCUCGAUGGCCUGGAAACAUUUGUUCAUGUGGACCAUAACCUUGACCGGGUUGUUUCCGUUUGAGAGGAUAUCGAGGAGGUCAGCAGUGGACACGAAGUAGAAGCGCGGGAAUGCACGUCGCUUGGACUCCAUGUAGUCGGCAAGAGCCUUCUCGCACUUUUCGAGCUCGCCCUGCUGAUUCUCGAGCUCCUUGUAGAGCCCGUCCUUGCAGGCAGAAUUGACGACGUUCUUGGUAGCGCACGCCUCCUUGAGGAUGCUCUUGAUCACCGAGUCGAUCUUCUUGAAUCGAGCCGCCGCCUCGGGGAGCUCUUUCUUGACCUCGUCGGAGUAGAUGAAGAGCGAUUCGAGGUAGGCCCACGUGCGCUGGAUCUCGGACAUGAUGUUGUUCACGUCUGCGACCAUCAUCAGCUUCUUGUUCCAGCCGGUAAUGGGUUCCUCGAAAGUCUUCAUGUACUUGUUGGCCAUCAUGCCCUGGACCAUGACCUGGUUGUCCUCGAGCCCCUCGAAGUCCUCCUCGCCGAGCUUGAUGGUGUUGAUAUCGGUAUCCUUGUGCUUGAUCUGCACCCACUCCACCUUGGCCCAAACCUGGUCGAGCUUCUUGAGGGACACCUCCAUCUUGGCCUCCUUGUUGGCGCAAUCGACAAUUUCGCCAACCUCGUCUGCGAAUUUGUGCAGCUCCAGUGCUAGCAGGUUGUCGAGGCUGAAGUUCUCGUCGAUGGUGAACUCCGUGCCGGUCACCUUCAUGAGAGACGACCAAUGUCGGUCGCGCAUGUCCGGAGAGCGCAGAUCGGCAACCAGCGGCACGGAGGUGAGGAAGUUCUUGACGGAUUCGUCCAGGCCCUUGUAGCAAUCGGCGUCGCGGAUCUUCUUUGGCAGCGUCUUGGAAUCCUUCUGGAAUGCCUUGGUCUGAUCUUCCAUCUCCUCGGUGUUGAUGUCGUCCCAGAGGUUUGCGCGCCACUUUGUGAACUGCACCUCCACGAGAGAAGAGAAGUCCCACACAUCCUUCGCGUUGCGAAGAUCCUCGUGGCACUCAGCUACACACGCAGUCAGUUCCUCGACAGCCUCCGGGAACUCAAACAUGUUGGCUAGGUGAGUGAGCUCCUUCACGCUUUCAUCGAGGCCGACCAGCUUGGUACGAGCCGCAUCGAGCAACGGAUAGGCACCCUUGAAACCAGUCUCAUAUUUGAAUAUGGGACUCUCGAGGAACUCUUUGCGGUAGGCAGCCGCGUUGUCGGUGCCAUCCUUGAUCUUCUUCCUGAUGCCCUCAGAGCGGGCCUCUUGGACAGGGUUGACAGCCUCCCUGACUUCAGGAGUGAGAUUUGCGAUCGCCUCCCACUGCAAUCUAGCCUCCUCUAGGCGCUUGUCAUUGGCUGUCGUGGGUAUCUUGGCCUUGUUGAGCAUGAACAGGGUCUCAUGAAUGCAGUCGAGCUCGAGGUCGAUGGCUUCUUUGCGCGUCCUGGCGUCGAACAAGGCCCCCAUGACCUUCAUGAGGACAUCGAACGAUUCUUUCAACUUCUCGGAGUCAUCGGCCAUGCCAAAUGCACCCUCUGUCAUGUUGAAGAAUUUCUCCAACUUAUCGAGCUGUUUGGACACACCAUUCUUCAUGCAGCUAGUAAAAGAGAAGUUGUCCGACAAGUCAGGAUCAAGUGUCGCCACGACGUCGAAUCGGUUGCCACCCGUGGACGAAACGGUCAAAAGCUUUCCCGCGUGCACCGUCGCCAGAGCGCCAGUGGGCUCGCAUACGGAAGGGUCGGCGCGGUACAUCAGCUUCCAAACGCGCUUGUUGCAAUCGAAGAUGAAUGCGUCGUUGAUGGGGUUCUCGUUCACUCCUCCAUACAGCAUCAGGGAAGAGUCGCUGACAGAUUCCAUCAUGGCAAACGCACGUGCAUCCGGGAUGCCAGAUCCCUGAAGAGGAAUCAACUCCGCAACCAUCACGUCUCCUUCGGGCUUGAGCAUCACGAAGUCGUCAAGAACCACCUCCUUGUCUUCUUCCUCGUCCUUGUAAAUACCACCAAAGAUGUAGACAACAUCACCGACGGUGCAAAUUGCAGCACCCUUGCGCGGAAGAAACAUGUCUCCCUCAAUUGGGACCUCGUUCCACCUUAGUCUACCGGCGUUCAGGUCAACGGUGAGGAAGUCCUCAAGGCUAACUUUCCCGUCCUCGCCUUCUGUUUCACCGCCAAAGAUCACAACCUUGCUCUGACCCAUCAUGGCAACGGCGGGAGCUGAGCGCACAACUGGCUGUGUGGCGCCCGCGGCUUCAGGUGAAAGCGGUCGCACUGGAGUGCUUGGAGCAGGCGUGCUGACACUCCCUGCUCCUUCAUCUCCGGCACCUUCACCUUUGCUGGAAGCAGCUCCAUCGCCAUCGGCGGAUUUCGCCUCGUCGCCAUCAGCGGCAGGCUCAGCAUCGCCAUCAGCAGGAGUUGCCUCUUCAGCAGGAGGCUCAGCCUCGCCAUCAGCAGCAGGCUCCCCGCUCGCCACAGGCGCGGGUGGCUCCUCGCCGUCAGCAGGCGCGGGUGGCUCGCCGUCAGCAGGCGCUGGAGGCUCGGAUUCUUCAACUACAUCGGCGAGCUCGGGUUCCUCAGCAGGGGCAGGAGAUUCCAUCGGCAGGAAAACCUCUGAUUUUGCAGACGCCUCUGAUUCGCGAAUUUCGCCCUGUUGCGGCGAGCCUUCAGCCGAAGAUCCGGAAUCCUUCGCAUGGCGUGGGCGCAAAGGCACGUAGCCUUUGAUCCCGUCGAUGAUUUUCCAUGACCCCGACACGCCGUCCGGGUCAGCCGUGAAGGUGGCCAGGUCUCCAAGCUCUUCACCCUUGGCACCGAGAGUGGUACCGCCGAAAACGACCAUCUUACCGCCACCGGCCGAAUCUUGACCCUGGACCUUGCGCGGCUCGGGUUGGCCAUUGACAGGAGCCGUGCCCCAGGUCCACCCAUCUUGCUUCGUCCUGAGUACGCUGACCCCGUUCUCGUCGCCACCAUACAAGCACACCUGCUGAGGUCCGACCGAUGUGAGCGCACCGUGCUUGCGCUUGAGCGGCGCGGGACCCGACGUGCGCUGAUACGUCCAAGGGUCUCCGAAGUUCAUGUAGAAGGGGGAACCGCGGAUGGGGAUAAUCUCCUGUGGCUCGCCAAGGUCAUCGUAGCCUACAUCGAUGCGAUAGCGUCCCGGCGUGGGGACCGUGUAGAACACUUCGUGCGUGCCGUUGUCGUAGUCGACGAGGCGUACCGAACCCUGGGGUGCCUUGGGAUCAUCAGCGUUGGUGACCUCGACGAUGAACUCGUCGUCACCGGAGGUACGCUUUGAGUUGCAGGUGUCCUUGGCACAGAUGAAGAACGGAAUCUCAACCCCAUAUACGCCAGUGACAUCCGAGUUGACACCGGGUCCGUACGCGAUGCAGUUCGCGGCGGAUGUGUUGGCAAAGUACCUAAACUUCAACUUGUUCACAGUCCAGCCUUCAUCGUUGAUGUUGACCCGCAAAUUGACCUCGAGUGCGCCGAAAUCUUCAAAGUUGGGCGUCUGGCAAGUGAGAGUAUGCUCGUCGACGAAUUUGCCUUGCGCAAUCUUUUCGUUCUUGCCACUGCUGAAGGACACUUCGAUCUUGUCCGACUCCUUGAACUGCAGACCGUGGAUGACAAUCUCGGAUUCGCCAAACACGGGGCCAAUGUCUGGAACAACCUUGGAGCAAGCAUAGGGCGGACCAAUGAUGGGCGAAACGUUCAACGUCCAGGUGUCUCCCAGCCACCGGUUGCUCCAACCUCCAAACAGAAUCACCUUGCAUGUCUUAGGGUCGUAAGCCAUCGCGGUGUCCUCGCGCACCACAGGUGGGCUACCAAUCGCUUUUGGUGUGUUCCAAACCAAGGUGCCGCAGUCCAUCACGUCAACGUGGUUCAUGUACUCGUUCUGGCCUUUCUUUCCAGUGAGGCAGAACAUCUUAUACUUUGGCACAGACUCAAUGGCGCUCAGCUGAUGGUUCGAAAUCUCCAUCGUGUAAGGCGAAGGAGCCGACGUGCCUUCCUCCACCCACGUCAUCGUGUCGAGGUCGAGGAAGUGGGUGUCGUUGAACAUGGCCAUGUUAUCGCGGCCACCGAGGACCACAAACUUGUUUGGGAACCAGGAAGCGCCGUGAUCGAAACGCGGGCUCGGGCCGUUGCCGUUCAGCACGGGUUUGGACCAAGUCGCGGGCUUGGGGGUAUCUACGUCAUCGGGGGUUUCCAUCUCCUCGAAAAACGUGCCAAAGUCUAGCACGAAGAGCUCGUUCGAGGACUUCCCGUGGCCGCUGUAUCCGCCAAACACGAACAUCUGGUUCCCAACAAUCGUCGCGGUGUGGUGCGCCCUGGGGGAGGGCCUGUCCUCGGCUCCCCCGCCGCACUUCAGCUCGUGCCACACGUUCUUCUUCGUGUCGUAAAUCCACACAUCGUCGUAUCUGGCACGAUGGUUCAGACCUCCGAAGACGACGAGGAAGUGCUUCACCACGACGCAACUGUGCCUCGAGCGCGGCGGCAGGCUUUCACCCUCAACCUCGGACCAGACCAGGAGCUCCGAAUUGGUCAGGUCCAGCGUGUGCAUCGCACCAAAGACGCAAGGUUUGCCUGUGAGGGAUGGGAAUAGAAUCGACGGUCAGUGAGGUACGGUGUGGUGGGAGAGCCAAGAUUUGCCGUGGGUCCAUCGGCGCCGGCGAACGGCCCGGUGGGUGCGCGCGAACAGUGCGUGCCGCUCUCUGGAGCGCAGCGCGAACCGCUACGGCUUACACGAUACAGCAGGGCUCAGAUCGGACACUUACCAUCCUUACGCCCGGUACCUCCGAGCAGGUAAGCCUUUGUGUCCACCACCGUCAAUGUGUGCCCGGAGCGAGCCUCGGGCGACUCCCCCUUCAGGGGAGCCUCCUCCCACGUCACAGACUGCAGAUGGUUGGGUAGGAGAGGGUUUCGGGUCAGUACUAGUGUCCAUCGGGGUCCGCGACCCGAGCACGUGGUCCACAAGGCCGUCGAUCGGCUCGGGUCGGCAACCCAGCGGCCGGAAAGCAGCGUGGUUCUCCAAACGGAUCCUGUCGGAUGCUGUCCUCACUCGAAAAAUGGGGGGAGAUCGGGUGGCGCGGGUCGGGCCAUACACCGGCCAGGGACGCACCAUGGGUCCUGCUCAAGCGCCUUCCCCGGACAGGCGUUGCGGCAGUCUCUUCGCGAAUCAAGUUGGCGUGCGUCUCCUUCCGUCGCGCGCCAACCUUCGGGCGUGGUGCGCCGGCUUGACACCUCUAAACAACAGAAAGCUGGCGAGUCUACGGAUACCCGAUUUGGCUUCCGUCCGGCAGCAGACUGGCUGGCAGAGCAGGGAGCUAGCUGCCUUCCGUCUUCAGUUGCAACGUUUCGCGCCAGACCAGACCGGCAACUGACAGACGGGGCAGACCCGUGAUAUUGGCCUUGGAGGAAACCGAUGCGCAAAUCACGAUGACGUCCACUACAGCGCCUGAAGAGUCUCUCGAGUUCGCGGACAGGUACCCCGCGAGCGAGACACUCCUGGGCUUCCACGACUAUGAGGCAUUUUCUAAACUGCGGAUGCCCGACUCGUGGGUGCCUGGUGAGCAAGCUGGACCGUCUGAAUCGAAGGAUUCCAUACACAUGUGCGGGUGGUUGGAUAAGUAUUACGCCGACGAUCGCGGUACUAAGACUUGGAGGCCACGGUGGGUGUAUCUGCUGGAAGAUAGGCUCUGCUACGGCAGUGCAACGAGCACGGACAAUGUCCCUCCACAGGUCAAGUACAUCAUGCUCGAUCGGUUACCUGCUAGACCGGGAGGAAAGCUGGCCAUCUCUCGGUUGAAGGUGUCGCCUCAGGGCUUGAAUGGUCAGCCAGGUGUUGACUGCGCGUUUCACCUGGUGUGCGAUAAUCGCACGCACACAUUCGCGGGGAAAACGCCCGAGGUUGCGUUGCGCUGGACAGAGAAGUUGGAGGAACUGGCCAUGAAACGAUUUAGCGCAACCAACACCUCGAUGCCCUUCGAGUCAACUUAGCUAGCUAGACUUCACCUAAAUCUCCCCCACAUUAGAUUAUGCAAAUGACGGCUAGCCUUCUAUGGAACUCAAAGGACGAUAUCGACCUUCUCUCCAUCGGUACAACGCGUGGAUAUUAGAUGGAGCUCCCCAUUGGAGCGUCCGUUUCUGUCCUGGUCGCUGUGCACCAUGUGUUUAGCGCCGCUGAAGUCGACAAAUAUUCGAUCAUCACCAUCAACUUCUUUUGGAGGAAUGACACCCCAUUUGCCAUCGCCCCAUGGCGUCACCAACGCACCUUUCUCCCCGGGUGCGAAACCUUUGAUACCGGCCCACGUUCCAGGCUCACCGCUGACAGACAUACGUUCGAGAAUCUGUCGAGCCAGCUCAGAUUCCUCCAUCAAGGCGUCCCCUUCUUUAGAAUUUUUUGGUCGGGCGAGACAAGGUUUUGCGAAUGCCAUCCCCUCUCCCCAGUUCCACUUCGAUAUCGCGUCGCGCUCUCCCUUCAGAUACUGCUCGAUUAGGGUGACCAUCCUUUGCGGCUUCUCCGGGUGAUAAUUCACGUGCACGCUGAUGGGUCGAAGGGAACGACCGGAUGCCCCGUCGUACAGCUCAGGAUCGUACCUCAUGUAUCGAAACAGGUACUUGGUGUUCUGGAAACAUGCGUAGUUCAUAACGCGCUGGGACACACCGGCCGGUACCGAUCUCCUAUUCCCCGCGUUGGGCGCCUCCGACGUCCACAUCCACACCUGCUCCUCAUUGUACGCCGUCUGGUCCCACGUAUUGCGCUCCGUCGCCAUGCGUUCUGCCAACCGCGAUACCAUUCGCAGGGACUCUUUCGUGGCGGCGAGGUAGAACAACCCACUGUUACGAGCUGCGAGGCGACGCAUGGGAGUCCCUCCAGCCCCUGCGUACGCAAAGCCGUAAGCGGACACGUCGUCCCAACCAUCCGUCAUCCCUUCCACAUCCGAGUCGCCGUAAAUGGCUGGCGCAUCCACGUGGACCCUGUCAGGAUCGGACUCGAUCGUGGGCACUACAAGCCGCGAUCCUCCAAAGGGAUUACGCAUCCACACUACGUCAACGUCCGAGAGUAAAACCGAAACACCCACGCUCAGAAACUCAUGCAAAACUCUGAAUUUGAGUCCGGAAGUUGCAUGGUUGUCGGUUGCGCCGGUCAAGGACUUCAACUCUCGAUGAUAAUAAGGCGCACCGCGUUCCUUGCACCAAUCUGCUGUUUUCUGAUCGAGAGCGACCACGAUUGUAUUGGUAAUGUUGGCUGCAGCGACCCCAUCCAAAAACAAACCAAGCAUAUACAGGAUAUUCGAGUUCGACACAGCUGCGAGCACCUGACGCUUGACAGCCACGCGACCAACUAUCUUGCAAAGCUGUGAGAGGUCACCAUCGCAGUUCACCGGGAAGUCACCAUCAGGGGCGGCGAUGUAGCGUAAAGCGCGGGGAUCAGGUCCCACUCGAUCGUGCAUGUCAACCGCAGCGCAAUUACCGUCAUCGUCUUCCGCACCGAUAGGUCCGUCACGCAGCACAACCGAGCGCGCCGCGUCAAAGGUUUCCGACGACAAAAUUUUGUUUGGGUCCUCGGCUCUGGUGCCAAAACUGAACAUGCUUUUCUCGUCUCCGUGCCAAGAUUUAACCGGGAACCCCUCCGCGGCUUCCACAACCGCUGCACCACUUUUAUGAUGCCUGAAACAUUUUGGUGGUAGCAACCUGAACGUGGCACCUGAGCGUUGCCUCGCGUCGUGCGCCGGCAUGAGCAGUUCGUCUGUGAGUGCAACGUCGGCAUCGACAUCGUCCCGAUGCUCUCCGAGCCACACCGCCAGCCUGAUCGAUUCUCCGGUCGCACGUAAGAGCACAAGCGAGGAGAGAAUAUUAGGCACUGCCAUAGAUUGACUGUACGCAGACCAGCCCAUGGCGGGGUCGCUCAUACCCACCACGUCACCAAACAUCCCCUCUCGGUAUGUCACACCCUCCACGUCAGCCCCGCGCAGCCCCGGGAUGUUUAUCAGCGGGUUUGGACCGCGGAGCUCGACGCCGCGGCCAACGAGAAGGACAUCAGACCCGAUACUGAGAAUAGCCGCCGCCGCGACAUAUUCGGGGCGUCCACACGGCCCGUCGCAAUCCGGCUGGAUGUAAGGAACAUUUUCCUUUGCGGCUGUGGCAGCCGCAUCGUCGUCACUAGCAACGAAGAGGACAGCCCUGGCGCCGGUCUUAUCAGCAGCGGCGAGUGCCAGGGCGAUCGUAUCCUGAUGCUUCUCGCCUCCAAACACCAGCAUCACCGCACGCUCGAUGCCAUCGCUAGGAAGUAAGACAUUGAGGACGUCGCACAGGCCCGGUAUCGUCUCCCGCUUGUUGCAUCCUGAGCCUGCCUUUCGGUAGAGCGGUUCGAUCGGAUUCACGACGCGGUCUCCGCUGUCGGCAUCGCGAUCUGCGGGGAAGCACUCCGCAUCGGCCUCACCGUUCUUCUCCGCAUUCUUUCCCCGCUCGCGUGUGCCCCAGUCCCGGGGUAUCCAAACACCGCCUCGACUCGCCUCGUUCCGUCGCGAGACACGAGGCAACUCCUCCCGCACCGUCACAUCGCGCAGCUCGACGGACGAAGGCUCGGGAGGUUUGAGCGAGCGCAGCGUAGAAUUUAGCUCUUCUUCAUUUCCGUAGUUGUCAUCGUCGUGUGUAUUGUCGCUGAAAUCGACCUCGAACCCGCCCUCAUCGUCGGGCAGCGCACUUCUCCUCGGUGCAGCGCCCCUCAACCCGGCAUCGCGAUUAUCGACGCGAUCGACGAGCCUGUCCACUAGCGCGCGCUGCUUCUUGUAAUGCUGCACCAGAAGACUGUGGACGAUCCAUACGACGAACCCUAAGAUCAGCAAAAACCUAACUAAGGCGCGCAGGCGACUCCGCCCCCUUUGCCUCUGCAUCGGGGUGAGCUAGUGUUGAGUGGUCGUGGUCUCCUUCCGUGGAGCCUUACAAGUACUUGUAUAUUUUUUCGGUGCGCACGCAGCGUCGUUUCAUUUUUCGGGGCACCAUGGCUGGUCCCCGCCGUAACAGGUCCGCGGAUGUUCAGGUGGACGAUGUCCCUAAGAAUCAUCGCAAAGUAUCGGACGAUGAUGCGGCUGACGAUGCGGAGGACCCGGCCGAAGAAGCGGAGGUAGCGGAAGAGGAAGAAGAAGAGGAGGAAGAGGAUGAAGACCCGAUCGAGUUGCUUAAAGCGCAGGGGGUGAGUGAAGAUGUAGCUAAACGGAUGCUCGAGAAAGCUGAUGGCGACCUCGAUGCAGCCGUAAUGCUUAUCGUGGAGCACCAAGAGCUUGAGAAGGAGGAGAAAGAUCUAGCUAAAGUGAUGGAGGAGUCGCUGCAAGAGGCUGAGGCCGAAUCCCAAAAACGUCGGGACCUCGACGAGGAGCGAAAGCGCUCAGCCCCUGCAGAGUUCUUCCAGGGUUGUUCCUUCCUGGAACAUCUCGGCGAAGAUGUGGCGGCUGCACUGUUCUCUUCGGAUGCGAAGGAGGACGUCAUCGCCAUACUUGAUUUGGAGAGAAAGUGCAGACAGUGGUACAGGGCACGAGGUGGGGAUGUCGCGGAAUAUUUUUCCCGGAUAGCUGUCAAGGCAGUUGCGAAUGUCGAGUAUGAAGGCAAAGGCGGAGACGAGAGUGGAGAGCAAGACAACAUCAAAGCCUCGAGCAUGGAAACUGUUCAUAGCCUGCUGGUUGCACAUCUAUCGGACCUGCAAGAUGCGGUGUUGUCCCUUCCCACAAUCCCCGGCACAAUUCCUGCCAUAUUCGCGCCGAUCGACGUGGAAAGCAAAAUCGAAACAGUGGAUCUCACGUGAGGUCAUCGUACUACCGAUCGUAGACUGAUACUUGUUAGAACGAUAGUCGCUAAAAUCUCACAACCUAGUGGAUAUCAUCAUUGCAUCUUCGCCUUCGCUGCGACGCCGUUGAUAGAAAGGCAGUGAGUGUACAAGUCUGCGAGACCAAGGAAUACCUGAAUCAACACAAUUUGAGUGCCCAUCAGUGCGUAUCUGCUGAUACUCAUGCCGAUAUCUUGCCAGCUGCCCUCCGUGGUGACCUGAUAGAAGAAACGCGCCGCCAUUAGAUCGGAUAGCACGACAAACACCAGGUAUACAGGAAAUGCCGGCACUCUCUGAAGCUUCAGAAGAGCUAAGAAUGCGACAGCGACAGUUAUCAUCGGAAUCAGUACCUUGAGCAUCAAGAGGCCACCCAUUAAAAAAGGGUUGAAGCGGGUGGUAAACCUAUACACGCUGCUGAUCUCGAAUGAUGCGACGCUAGCGAUGUUACCAGUCCCAAAGAAAGCUGCGUUGAUGAGAACGAGAAAUAUAGCAGCGUGCCUUAUGUCCCCUGGUUCCAAUUUGCGCAGAUGCGACACAGACAUGAACGUUAGUUCGCCUUUCUUUCCUCUGUAAUCUAUCUGAUUCAUUGCAUACAGCUUUUGCAUGCAUCGCUCUAAGCACAGCCAGGCGAGCGUUGCGACCCCAAGCACGGCAUAGAACAAACUCUCAUACGAGAUAGAAAACAAUGCGUACACCGCUGCUGCUGCGAGAUACACCGACGUGAAUCGUGGCAAGGUUCUCGCUGGAGAGAAGAAGGGAAGAGGUGCAGCCACGAUGGCAACACACCAAGCGGCAGCAUGGAGGAGCCCGGGAAUUUCAACCUUUGCUGCUUGAAGUUCAUCCACUUUCCAGACGACAACACCAGCGGCGCACAACACAAAUAGUUGAACGAGGAGCAACCUAUUUCCUGGGCGCCCCUUCUUCGGAUUUGAGUCUUCCGGGUCAUCGCCAAAAAUAUCAGCAGGCCGGAUGAUGAACUGGAUAAUCAACGCCAUGGCCGUGGUGCACACAACACCAGCGAUCACGAGAUUUGAGUCAGCAUUUAGCUCAAUAGGAAAUGUAGUGAAGGGAGCGAGUGCUGCGAAAGCCAGGGCAGCAAUCGCAGACGCAGCUGAAGCACUCAUCACCACAUGUCGUUGAUCUCGAGAAAUUUCGGGCAUCCAACUUCUCGCCCCUACCCAUCCUGAAAGCAGCAAUAGAACGCCAGAAGCGGCAACAAACAUCCAAGAGAACACGAUUCGCUCGUGAAAACCGCGACACAAAAGCUGCGUCGCCGCGACAGCGACAGCGAUAGUAGCGAACGCUCGAGAAGCCUGAUACAAACCCAUUCUUGUAUGUGCACUCGUCUUCAGAGAAAUUUUUGAGAACACCGCCGAUGAAUACCACACGAAGUACAAAGGCAGAUUGAAGUAGGCAUAGUACGUCACUGGCGAUCUCCUCAACGCCAAUACAACGCAAACUACGCCCGCCGCUGCGAAAGCGACCAUCGAAUGUACUUUGUCCGCGUCGAUACCAUUGCCUUGAUCCCGUGCAGUUGUAUCCAGUUGCUCAAGAACUAGCUUGGACCCGAGGAAAACUAUCCACGCCAAGAAACAAGCAGUGAUGGUUCCCAUCAGCAGCCAGCGAUCGUACAGGUGGAGGUAUGUAAUGCCGUCGAGGCAUUCACGAGCCAGUCUCUGUGCCAUAUCAAUCGCAUCGUUGUGAUGCCCGCUUUGGCGCGCUGACACAGCAUCACUUAGUCUGUCCUUGGCGAGUGCCAGAGGUUUGUAUGCUUGCAACCCACUUGGCGAGAGGUACGCGGUUAGUGAGGACUCAGCAGUAAUGGCUGACUUCCUCCGAUACACCGACAAAAGCUGUGCAGCAUUCGAGACGGCAGCGCCCGAGCGCAAAUCCGAACGCCUUGGGCUCAAGUACGACACGGGGAGCACGCCCGAAUUAUGUAUGGGUGGAGGGAUGCCGAGCAAGGAUGCACCCAAAGAGGCCACGUCGGCUUGUUCAAUGUCGCACCGCUCCUCAUCUUUGAGACCCCACUCUGCCUCCGGGGUCGGCGCAUCCUUUCCCCGUGGCACACACGCAAUAUCAACAGGGGUUCUGGAAGCCGUGGACGCGAUACCCGCGCCCCAGGCGACGAAGGGGGUUUCUGUGCAUCCGGGGUCCCCGUCGCCGUGCGCACCCCUGUUGCUCAUGCCAUGGUCAGCUGUGAACAGGAACGCCGUACCCCCAUCCUCCGGGCCGAACCGCUCCUCGAACGCUGCGGCGAGUCUUCGAACACCUGCGUCAACAACCCUGAUGUUUUCGGCGUACCCUUCUCCGCUUGGCUUGUGUGCGUGCCCCGCGCUGUCCAGCCCGAGGAGGUGCAGCAGAAACACCACCUUGUCGCCCUCUAGUGCACUUCGCUCCGUCUCCAAAGUAGCACCCGCCCGCUGCUCAUCUUCCGUGAUAUUACCAACGAGCACUUCGAUGGCCCGAUCGAACACCCACUCGUCGAGGGCGGCGUGAUUGCUCGAGGCAGCGAAGUCCUCGAGCUCCUCCGCGUACAUUCGGCUGCGCACGUGCGGGAUACCUUUCGAGAAGAGGGGCACGACCGAUGGAGCUCCUAUUGCCCACGCCGCCAAUGACUGGUUGAGGAGAUGGUCGAACUCCACCGCAUUCGCCUGCCACCCCUUUGUUAUAGCGCUGGGAUCCUCCCAAAAACCAGCGAGUAGUGCGACGUGCCCGGGUCGAGACUCCGUCGGGGGCCUCGCGUGGCUGACGCCCCAGCGUCCACUCUCGCGUGCAAUCGCGUGGAGGAACGGAGCCCUUGGAACCUUCUCGCCCCUCGGGGCUCCGGUUUCCCUGCCGUCACGACCUUCCAAUUCAAAUAGCCGAUCGGCGCGGAGUCCAUCUGCGACAAUAACCACUAAGCGCGACGCCGGGCCCGCGAAGGCGGCCGUCACAGGUUCGAUGCCAUGCACAAGAGGACUCGUAAAAUGAACAUCGAACAACGCAUAGACGAGCAACGCGUGCAGCACGAUACCGAAUGCGACGAGACGGUUCUGCCCCGAGGAUAUCAUCCUCGUAUCACUCACCCGUGGAACUACUUUGUACUUUUACGACUAUCGAACCCGCGCGUCACACCAUCGCGGGCGCGUCACACAAGCGUCACGACACGCGAUCUGAUUUUGCAGAGCAGGGGGUUUCAAAAACGAAUAUUUGGUUACAAGUCCUCAUCGUCGUCAUCCUCAUCGUCAUCGUCAACGGAACCCUUUUUGCGCUUGCUCCCCGCCUCUUCUUCAUCGUCAUCAUCAUCUUCGUCUUCAUCGUCUUCGUAAUCGAUAGAAGAGGCCGUCAAAUCAUCCGCGGUGACCACAACGCCUCCGCGCGUGUCCUCGGCCUCCGGGUUAACGUUGCCGUCAAAAUUUUCGUCAGCCGUGUCCUCCUCCUCGUCCUCCUCGUCGCCCUCCUCGACCGCAUCAGGAUCCUCCUGUGGGCCGGCGAUUCCCGGAACCGUCUUAUCUCCACCAAAGAGCGCUGCCUCCUCUUCUUCCUCCUCGGCAGCGAUCAUGUCUUCGGUGCGCUCGCCCAACCCUCGCAGGCCACUGCCAGUAUCCAGGGCCUGCGCAGCCCCACCGUCAGACAUGCCGCGAAUGUCCUCCUCGUCGUCCUCCACGGGUAUCUGAUUCGCAGCGUUUUUCUCAUCGGCGGCGGCAGCCGCCGCGGCCUUGGCUGCCGCGAGGACCCUUUGCAUCCUGUUCCCCUUCUUCGUGGUUUUCUGCUCGGUUUCUGCCAUCUUCUCGUCCACCCAGUCACUGAUUGCCUGCACGCGGAGUCUCUCCUCCUCUUCCUCGUCCACGUCAGAAACCUCGAAAAACUUGUCCAGAGGGCGACCUGCGUCCAUGUUCGCGUAAGGCACGGUCUCACCGCUGUAGAUGUUGAUGGGGGGUCCGUCCUCGUGCGGGUGUGUUUUUAUGAGGUGCCCAACGUUCGGUGACAAGAUAUCGAGCUCGAUGGGAAACCUGAAUCGCCACCACCUCUCGUGCACCGCCUUGACCUUGACCUUGACCUUGGUACCCAUGGUCAGCGUGUCCACUAAGUCGGGCCAAUCGUCCUCGGAGAUGGGGAUCAGACCAUCCGUCUCGCAUCCGCAGUCAACCAGCGCACCGUGGUACAGCUCGAGCGACACAAUCUUCCCUUCCAGCUCCUCACCGAUGGUCAGGUCGUGGAGCUGCUUGCGGGAGAGAUCGCCGGUGUGUCUGACCGCAUCCCUGAGGAUGCCAUCAGAGUCAAUCUCCUCAGCGACCGCGAGGGAAUCGGCGUUUGAUGGCAUGGCGAUAUCUAACCUGUCGCGCGAUCCCAAGAUGGUCUCAUCACUCACGCCGACAAACUUGAGUGCCCCUCCGUCAACUGCGGAUGCAAUCUCAUGAUCCGGGAGAGCCUCCCAGCCGCCGGUUUCGAGCCAUUCGAUGGAUUCCUCGAACGCGGUUGGAGGUCCAACUUUCUUGACGAUUGACCAAGAGCCCGCCUUUGAGUGCGCAUAAGGGUUGAUCAGGAACGGCUGCUCAGGUGAGCCAUCCUGCGGAAUGCGCGCAAUCGCCUCGUCGUCAAGACCUUCCUCCGUGUCCUUCUCGAGCUUCGCCUCCGCCGCCUCCUUGGCCAUGACGUCGGGCAAUGCAUCCAUGGCAAUGUAAAGCGGAUCCUUGAGUGUCAGCUUUUUCUGCUCAUCGGAGGAAAGCUUACCAUCCUCCUUCCACGGUGCUGCCACAUUCACGGGCUCGUCAUCCCUUCCGUCGAAGAGGCCAGGUUUCUCCGUCCCAAGCCUCACGAUUAGCGCCUCCAUCCUGUCCAGCUUUGCCUGGCACUCGAUGUCAUAUUUUGCCUUGUCGGCGAGGGAUAGGUUAUGGUAGUGAUCCAGCGCAUCGGCGAACCACUUCUGAACAGCCUUGGUGGUCAGGCCCGAACGGCGGGCAAUAUCGCGCACGUCUUCGGCAUCCGGGGGGUAGGUCUUCAGCUGGGAGAGGCGCAGCCACCAGAUCGAUUGGCACACGUAAAGUGGACGACCGGAAAGGCCGAACUCGACGACUUUCUGAUUGCCGUACGACAUGAGCCUAGCGUCGGGGUCAUCGUCACCGACGUCGACGUCAUCGCCCUCCGCAGCCGCCUCGGCCUCGGCGGCGAGCCUGUCGAUGUCGCCGAAGUUGGCGUCGAACCCUGCGUCGUCAUCGUCAUCCUCGCCUCCCAGCGCUCGCACCAUGCUGAUGCCACGGUAUGUACGAGGGAAGCGGACGAAUCCACGAGUCGAAGCUCCGGGCCGCGCCGGGCGCUCAGUCCCGAUUGGCGCCCCGCCGCCGACACCGACCAAACAAACCCUUACCCUAUUCCUGCUAAUUCGACGUGUCGCCAGCGCUGACGGCCGGUACGUUGAUUGAACCGCCGCGGGCGCUGAGGCCGCACGGCCAGCACAAGCGAGCACGUCCAUCUUUCGACCUCCUUGCGCGACGGAGUGGCGGCAGAGCGCGCCGGACGUGGCCGUCAAAGCCUGUGCUUUGCUUUUUCGCUUUUUCCAAACGGUCGGUCGCAACUUUUUUGGGACUUUUUUGGAGGGCGAGCCCAGCGCCCAGCCAGUCAGCAGUCACAGGUGGCCACAGGUCGGAGGACUCCGUCAGUCCGUCAAAAGAACUGUCCUUUCCUCAAGAUAUUUUCGUGUGUCAUCUUCACCACUCCGAUCUACGCGUCUGCGCGCCAGGCUCGACCACCAUCAUGGCGCUCGCCGUCGCGAACAUCUCGGCAUUCUGCCAGCUGCGUCCGUUGACAAGAGGCAUCGUCCCACGCAGAGCCGGCGCUUCCCACUCCAGGGGCGCUCCCGUCCGCUUCGCGAAGAAAGGGCCCCUCUUCGGCAAGGAGACGAGCCCGCCCCUGCCUCCGUCGUUCGACGAGGACGAGGCCGACGAGGACGAUUCAUACUCGUGCGCAAUCGCGUACGCGGAGGUGGACAACGAUGCGCACCCCACGUCAACACUGCUGAAAGUCGACGUCUCCGCGGUGCCCGGCGUGAUGCGCAUCCUCUCGUGGCUCCUUAACGGCCUGGACCUUGAGCUCAACGACGCAGAGUGGGUCAUUGACGAGGACGUGGACGACGAUGGGAGUAACAACGACAUCGUGCACAUCAAGAUGUUCGUAACUGAGGGUAUCGGGAAGGGUAGGUCGAAGGUCAAGGAUCCCAAGGCUGUUGAGGAGCGCGUCACGGAGUACCUCAGGUUCUGCACGCAGGCGGAGAGCAAGAAGGUGGGCGUGGUUGAGCACAGCGGAAUCAGAAUAGACAACGCAACCGACCCGGAAAGGACCCUGCUGACUGUGAGAGUCAACGAGACCGGCGCCAAGAGCCUCCUCUCAGUCGCAUCCACAAUCACCGGCCUCGGGCUCAGGAUGAACCGCGCCAAGCUCGGCGUCUCGAAACCCUCCGGCGCUUCGACGUGGGAGAUGAAGCUGACUGAUUUCGAGUCGAGGAACAAGCUGACAUCCGCACAGGUCCAAGGCUUGCUGUACACCUUAGCGCUGGUGUUCAACACGCAGGGAUUCAGCGGUGCGGACUAUCUCGUGGAAAAGAUGACCGCAGACGAGGGAGAGUUCGCAGCGUGAGAGCCGUCCUAGUGUUGUAACCAUUUCUCUCCUGUAGUAUGGCACCCGCUCAGUCUGGACUGCCUUCAGUUCGAUCUGCGACGGACCCGAGGGGCAUCUAUUUUCCUUCGUCAAGACAGUGCACACCCACGCGGUGCUCAACCCCUUCGCUCGAGGGUAUGCCGUCGGGUACACCGUUUGCGACUCGCGAACGUUGACGGAACCAGGGGCACCUCGCAUCUAAGAGCGUAAGAUGUCGAGCCCGACCGCGUCGGGAGUGUUCACGCACGUCUGGCGUGAGAUCGUCAAGCACGGUCCGAUGGCUUUCAAGAUGGGUUGCCUGGUGAACGUGAUCCACAACUACGGUGUGCACGUCACCAUGUGCCUGGGGCCGAGUAUGCUGCCGACGUUCAAUAGAUCAGGAGACUUCGUGCUGGUGGAGCAGUUGUCGGUGAUGACUGACAACAUCAGGCGCGGGGAUAUCGUCAUAGCAAAAUCGCCGACGAAUCCGAGGCACACGGUGUGCAAGCGGGUCCUUGGCAGAGGAGGGGAUGUCAUUGCCGUGCCGAAAGCUGGCAGCUUCGGUGGCACACAACGGGUCGAGGUUCCCCCUGGACACAUAUGGCUUCAAGGGGAUAACAAAGACAACUCGACAGACUCACGCGACUACGGACCUGUUCCCUUUGGCAUGCUUCGAGGCAAGGUUUUCUUGAAGGUCUGGCCGUUGAGCGAGCUGGGCUACGUGGCUCGUGAGGAAUGGCGGUCCGUCCUCACAGAGUAAAACGAUUGUCUAACUACUAGCUACUACAGGUAGAGGUUGUUGUAGAUUAAACAGUAAGAUUAGUACCUUCGGCGUCUCAAUCAACCACUGCAAACCUUCUCUCGAUGGUGUCGAGUGAAAAAUCAUUCUCCUUCCCCGAUCCGAGGGGCCUGAUUGUUGGUUUUGGAGUUGUGCUAUCCACAUCGAUGUUUUCGCUGAAAGACGGACUAGAUAACCCCAUAUUUCCCAUCGUUGCAAUACUGGAUGGCGGGAGCAUCGUGUUCGACGACCUCAAACGCAUCGCGUCGCGCGCAGCUUCUUGCUUUGCCUGUGCCAUGGCCUGAUGAAGCCGAGCUGACUCCUGUGUCUCACGCUCGAGGGCUUCCCGGAAUUCCUGCAACUGCUGCAUAGAGUUUGUGUAGGCGGUGUAGAGAUUGAAACUUUCUUGCUUGAGGCGUUCAAGCUGUGUCCUUGUGACUUCGUGGGCCGCUGCCUCUUCCGCCACCUUGUCGUUCAGCAACGCUUUCAGCUCGGCCGCCUCCUCCUUCGAGACCAGCAAGGCUUCCAUCUUGGCUUUGCCGUCCUUCUCCGCGGCUGAUACCUCCAUCUUAGCCACACUAAUCUCUCGCUGCAGAUCUACGCACUGCGCAUUGACAGCACUCAGCUCAGCUCGAGCAACGGACACUUCCCUCGUGGUUUGCACGAGUUUGGAUUUGGUGGAGCUCAGAUCCAUCUGAAGGUUUGCGCACGUUUCCUUUUGCUUCUCAAGCGCAUCCCGAACGGUGUCGAGCUUUCCGUUUAACUCUUUCACGGUAGCUGAAGAUGUUUUGGCCGCUUCCUUGGCUUUCUUGCGCUCCUCAACCAAAGCGGCUCUUGUUUCCUCGUGAGUCGCAUGGCUCACCGCCAGCUCUUGCCUGAGGGAACUGACCAGGGCGGCGGAUUCCUUUUCCGCAGCCAACAUCUCAACCUUGUACGCAGCGUGCUCAUUUUUGGCGGCAGCAGCGGUAGCCUCGGCGCUCUCGAUGCGCUUACGCAGGUCGCAAACCUCAGAGUUGGCAGCCUUCAGCGACGAACGGAGCUGUUGGUUUUCAUCGUCGAGCGAGUCGACUUUCUGGGAGAAGUUGAGGUGGAGGGCCUUGACUGCCUCAAGGGAUGCGUUGAUCGUGGCGCACACGUCCGUGUACUGAGAGUUCAUCGACUCGUCCAUCCCCAUACCCCUAUCCUGAGCUUGUGCUUGUGGUUGGCACACACACAGGUGAACAGAGGAUCGAACUUCUUUCUGUGGGGUAACGGUCACAGUUCAGAAAUUUGACCUGUGUGGUGACACAUUCAACCAGUCACAAAAAUGAAUCAAAUGAAAAAUAUCACGUACAUAUUCAUGACAUACACAAAUGGACGGUGUGGUUUGACAGAAUAUAUGGGGUAAGAUUUUUUUAUGGCUGCUGAGGACAUCGAAACGAAAACAGUUCGCGGGAGCGCCUGUCCUUCGACGUCCUGGACGGCGGCUUACAACAGUUCACCGCGCGUAGCCGGCGCAAGCAGACGUCGAGCCGAAACUCUCGACAAUCAUAAUCCUUGUCGGGACGUCUUAAGGGUUUGGGCCGGUCUGCGCACACCGGCUUGAGCUCCGCGAGUGAAGGCGUAGCACCGAUGGCGGCUCCCCGCCGCACCCCCGGUGACGGCCACCGCUCGCCAUACGGGAUGGACGGCGAGGUUAGUGGCGGUCAGCUGCUGAAGAACCUCGUCACGCCUAUCCGAUGGGGUAUCGGCGGCAUCACGAAGACGGUGCGUGACUCAUUUCGAGCAACUGCCGCCCCGAUCGGGCGCUCGCUGCACGCUCGUUUUUGAAAAACUCGUCGCAAACAUCUGACUUUGGUGACCUCUCUCUCUGCAGGUUCGUGGAUUACUAGGAUCGCCUGUUGAGGACGCUGAGAACGCUCAGAACGCGAACGCGACGUUGCGACAGCACACGACUGCUCAGGUAAGCUUCAAACGCCAGCCACGCGACCGCUGCCCCUCGAAUAUUUUAACCCUAAGCUUUCGCGCGUCAAAUCUGAACGCCCUUCCCAUUCCGCGAUCUCAUAGCCUGCGCAGGCGACGGGUGAAAGAGAACAGCGAGCGGGAUCGCAAAGCGGUCUGCUUGAUGAGCUGAGACGGCGCCAAGGUCAAAGCGGCCUGACUCGUGAGGAGGCGAACGCGGUCAUUAGCCUUCUUCAGAGGGGGGACGAGAAAGCCCACGAGGGGGCUGGCGCCGAUCUGAAUCGUGCUGCGACUGGACUGCCUCAGGCUGCAGGAGCAGCCGAUCCCGCAGCGACUUCAUCGGGAGCAGCUGCUGAUGAAACUCCAUUCACCGGCAUUCGUCAGUACCUGCAACAGACGAACGCCGAGCGCAAGCGGGCGCUGCUCUCCCUGCCAAACGCACGUGGCGUGUCCAAGACUUCAACAAUGGGCUGGGGUGGCAGUCGCGGCGGCAUCGCUGAUGCGUCCCAGGCAGACGGCGCAUCCAUGUACGAAGCUCGUCAACAGUCCCAGAGGACCUCGCUGCUCGCUGCAUCGAUUGGGGGCGCUGGCUUCCGAAGGCCCGCUGGGUUUGGCAGUGCUCGACGAGGUGCUGGCGGACUUGGGGCCUCGGGCUCGCCGCCGACGGCAAGCGGGGCAGGAAUGGACUGGGGUUAUCAAUCCAUGAUGUCCGCCGGCUCUAAACGAAGCAGAGACGCAGCUGAAUUUGACGCGCACGAGCGAGAACGAGGGCGCUCUACCAUGCCGCGACUCUCUGGACCUCCCACUUCCAUGCCGCCUCCAGCAUUCCACGCACACGGGGAAACGCCUGGAUUCAUUAUGGGCCCCAAAGCGACACCAGCUGGGCCUUCGCCUGUAGCAAAGGAGCCAGCGACGGCGGCGGUGACCACGGAUACAGCACGACGGAUUUUGCAGACUUUAGACAGGCUCGCCGGACAAAAGACCAGCCCAGAGACGCGAGGUACCGCUGCUUCGCCGCUGCCCAAGCCGUUGAACCUCUCCUCGAGUCUCAACAGGGCAGCCGCACCCACCUCAGCGCUGCACGGGUUCAGAGGUAUCCAGCGCGCCACGCCCGCUAAGUCGUUCGACGACGCAGAUAAACGCUCGCCAGCGCCCUCAAUUGCAUCUCACUCCAAGUCAAAGAUGCGUGCCGUUCCAAGUGCUCCAAGACCUUCCCCGCUUCAGUUCAAGCCAGACGUGCUCUCUGCGAAAGACACAGGCACAGCAUCGGCUUCAACUGCGAUGGAGGAUAAUAAAACGGCGAACGCGCCUGUGUUUUCCACGUAUCAGAGUCCUUUCAGUGACCGUGCACCGCUGCAAAAGAGUGCACCUCCGCUGUUUGCGACUGGAACACCUGAUACACAGGCAGCGCAGCCUGUCACCAUGGAACCAAGGGCGGAAGAAGAAGCUCUUCCCACAUUCACUUUUGGAGAACCUAGUCCAGUGGCAGCUCCUGCGACAACGUUUAACCCGUCUGCAAAGAUCGAUUCGGAGCUUCCAUCGUACGCAUUUGGAGGCGAUGAACACAAUGUCUUGCCGGUCAACGAUCUGCCAAUAUAUUCUUUCUGUGAUGGCGAUGACGGGGGAAUUGAUGUUGUGAAAUUCGGUUCAGCUGCUGGGCACGAUAACGAGAAUGUCGACAAAAGCUUCACCUUUGGUGAGAGUUCUUCUAACUCUGCCGCCGUGCCAGCAGCACACAAGUCGGGGGUGUUUACUUUUGGAGCAGAGGCAAGGACCGCGGCAGCGCAGAACCUUGGAGCCUCCAUGUCCACUCCUGCCACCUUCGAAGCAAACGAUGCCGACAAGCGCGCGGAAGCCAAGCCGGCUAAGGAAGACGCGCCGAAAAAGGUCAACCUCUGGAGCUCUGACUUCCUUAAACAGAACCAAGAGCACCAGAAGAAGGUGCAGGACGCCAUUGAUGAGGAGGAAAAGAAAGCGAGCGCGCCUGCGCCAUCGCCUCUGACAGGUUCUGCUUCGCCGUCUCCGUUCUCUUUCGGAACGUCGGGUUCGGUGCCUAGCACUGCGGCCUCAUCUGGAUCCGCGUUUACAUUUGGCACCAAUCCAUCUGCAGCUCCUGUUGCCGCUCCAUCGUUUGGGUUUAGUAAUGGAUCUUCACGAGAUGGAUCUGAAAAGUCAAAGGAUGACAUUCCAGCGUCCACUGCUGCUCCAUUCACCUUCGGUGUUUCUGCCAUAGCAACCGAUGCCGACAAGCGCGCGGAAGCCAAGCCGGCCAAGGAAGACGCGCCGAAAAAGGUCAACCUCUGGAGCUCUGACUUCCUUAAACAGAACCAAGAGCACCAGAAGAAGGUGCAGGACGCCAUUGAUGAGGAGGAAAAGAAAGCGAGCGCGCCUGCGCCAUCGCCUCUGACAGGUUCUGCUUCGCCGUCUCCGUUCUCUUUCGGAACGUCAGGCGCGACUUCAACAACGGACGCUGCGGCAAAACCCGCCGCCAUUCCGGCUCCUUUCACAUUCGGUGCCCCGUCGACGACCCCAUCCACUCUGAAUGCGACUGCUGCUCCCUUCACUUUUGGUGUGAAGUCUACGCCAGCAUCUGAGGCUGCAACGAUGGAACCUGCAGUCACCAAGGAGAUGGCGAAACCUGAGGUUUCGUUCGGCACCUCGUUCCCCACCCAAAUAACUUCUCUGAAGGACACGAGCUCAUCAAAACCCGAUGCUCCGACGUCUACCGGUGCUGCGUUCACUUUUGGCGCAGCAACUGAUUCUGCUCCCAAAAAAUCUGGCUCCGGAUUGUUUGGGGCAGUUACUGCGCCGAACACUGUGGAUUCUGGAUCGCUCGCGGCUUCAGAUGCACCUGCCUCCUCGGCGGCGCCUUUCACAUUCGGGAAACCGGCGCCAGCCCCUGGUUCAACUUCGCUCACGGGUUCAGAGCCGAAGGAUGCCCCAUCACCAUCUGGUGGAGCUGCAUUCACUUUCGGGGCUCCUUCAUCUACAGCACCGUCAUCUACGCCUGCUUUAACUUUUGGUGGUGGGGCGUCUUCAGUGCCCGCUUUCGGUGCCGGAGCUUCGUCAUCUGCACCCGCCUUCGGUAUUGGCGCUUCGGCACCUGCAUCCACUCCUGCGUUUGGAGCUGACGCUACAUCUGCACCCGCCUUCGGUAUUGGCGCUUCUGCACCUGCAUCCACUCCUGCGUUUGGAGCUGACGCUACAUCGAUACCCGCCUUCGGUAUUGGCGCUUCUGCACCUGCAUCCACUCCUGCGUUUGGUGCUGGGGCUACAUCUGCACCCGCCUUCGGUAUUGGCGCUUCGGCAUCUGCAUCCACUCCUGCGUUUGGAGCUGGGGCUACAUCUGCACCUGCCUUCGGUAUUGGCGCUUCUGCACCUGCAUCCACUCCUGCGUUUGGAGCUGGGGCUACAUCGAUACCCGCCUUCGGUAUUGGCGCUUCUGCACCUGCAUCCACUCCUGCGUUUGGAGCUGACGCUACAUCGAUACCCGCCUUCGGUACCGGGACUUCCUCUUCGGCGCCUGCGUUUGGGGCGAGUGCAUCUUCCACCCCUGCAUUCGGCAGCAGCACGCCUCUUCCGACGUUUGGAGGGGAUGCUUCGAAGGCAGCGCCUGUCUUGUCAAGCGCUGGUUUUGGUGCGGCUGCGGCAGCUCCAGCCUCUACUGGAUUUGGAGGUUUUGGCGCGUCUAGCUCACAGGCGGCACCUGCAUCUGCGGCGGGCGCGUUCACUUUCGGUGCGAGUGCUUCAACUGCUGCGUCUUCCAGUCCCGCUUCGACGCCGUUUGGAACUCCGGCUCCGACCACUGGCUUUGGAGGAGGCUCAACCCCGAGCUUUGGUGCCGCAGCGGCGAACCCGUUUGGAGGGGGCGGUGACACUUUAAAUAGCGGCCCGGCCUCCAGCGCGUUUGGCGGUUUCGGCGGAAAUGCGCCAAGCACGACUUUCGGAGCCAGCGGCGACGGGUCCGGCUUCGGAGGUUCGGGAGCUCCACCUCCCCUGAAUACGCCGAGCCUGUUUGUUGGCGGAAGUGCGGGUCCUGCACCUGCUGCGGGUGGUGGAUUCGGCGCGGCGCCCUUUGGAGGUGCCACUGGGGCUCUGCCCGUCGCCUUCGGAGCUGCGCCUGGCGCGGGCGGCUUCGGUGCUCCGGGUGUUGGCGGGAUGCCGAUGGGAGGUGGGGGGAUGAGCAUGGGCGCCGGCUCAGCAGGUGCUCCACCCGGAGGGCGGAAGAAACGGGUCGCCAGGAGACCGCCGAAGAGAAACUAGCACGCAAGAUUAACUUUUAGCACAAACGCCGCCACAUCGAUCCGCAUAGUACCCUCGUACGAAGGUAACACACAGUUAACAUUAUUAUCCCAAGGGGUACGCGCGCAUGGACUGCACGCUUUAUCCACCGCUGCGGCGAGCACAGCGACAUUUUUUGGCCACGUAAGGUCGACGUCGCAGGCAUCAUACGGUGUCGGUCCGAUAAGCAAAGCGGUGUUCGUGCUGCUAAAAGCACGACAGAGAUGCGGAGCGCUCGUCGAGCUCUCGGAAGAGACUCACUGGCUUCGAGGGUGUGGCGAUUCAGAGGCAUAAUCGCUGUGAUCUCCCCCGUGUUUCUACUGGUUCUGGCGAUCGUACUGUUGAUGCCCUCAACACCCAGCGAACACCUACCGUUCUCUCAUGAUCACCUGUCCGCCAGUAGCUCUGGUAUCCCGGAACGGCGUAGUCCCGUGGACAGUCUCGCUAGAACGAUUCCUGUUCGCGCGGACGACUUCACCGAGAAGGGUGAGAUCGACGGUGAAGGUUACAGAUUUGCGGUCGUGAUCGAUGCCGGAUCGACUGGUUCACGCGUCCACGUGUUUAGAUUCGAAGUUGGCGCUCGUGGCGAGCUCGUCCUCAUCGAUGAUACAUUCGAACAGCUCAAGCCGGGCCUCAGCUCGUUUGCGAAGGAGCCUGAAAAGGGAGCAGCGAGCCUCAAGCCCCUACUUGCCACCGCCCUGGAGACAGUCCCAGCAGCACAGCGUGCCAGCACAUCGGUGGAAGUACGAGCCACAGCUGGACUUCGCAUGCUGCCUGGCAGCGAGGCUGAUAAUCUCCUUGAAGCGGUUCUAAUUUCACUCGACGAGUAUCCGUUUGCUUUCGAUAAGGAUUCCGUCAGCAUACUGGAUGGCGCCGAGGAGGGAGCGUUCCAGUGGUUGACUAUGAACUAUCUCCUUGGCAACCUCAGAGGAGGCAUCGAAAAUACAGUGGCCACUGUCGAUCUUGGUGGUGGCAGCGUGCAGCUCGCCUACGCUGCAGAGCCGGUACACGCUCAGAAUGCGCCACCAGGGUACUUCAAAGAAAUGAAGAGUGGCAGCAACACAUAUAGUGUCUAUGUUUACAGCCACCUCGGAUACGGCCUUAUGGCAGCGCGCGCCGCCGUGCUUGGCAAAGCGGAAGGAAAGGCGAGCCCGUGCGUUCCCGCGGGACAUGACGGCGAGUACAUCUAUGGGGGCAAGACGCAUCGUGUUAAGGGUGGCAAAGCGGCCGACGCACUUGCAUGCAAGUCUGUUGUGGAUGAGGUCCUUGCACCUGAGAAAGAUUGUGGCGCGCACGCGCAGAAGGACUGCAGCUUCAACGGUGUUUGGGACGGAUCCCGUGGUGCUGGAGCGAGUACAUUCUACCUAUCCUCCUAUCUCUUCGAUCGCGUCAGUCAGGCUGGUCUUGUAGACCCAGGAAAACCAAGCGGAGAUACCACACCAAAGAAGAUACUUGCCGCUGCGAAAAAGGCAUGCUCUCUCUCCCCCGAGCAGGUGCUUCAAGAAUUCAAGGGCGUGGAAGAGAAAGAUGCGCCGUAUUACUGUCAUGAUUUGUCGUACGCUCACUCCCUCCUCACCGUGGGUUAUAAGCUUGCAGAAUCUGGGCAGGUAACUUUGGUAAAGCAGGUAACAUACAAGGAUCAAAGGGUGGAAGCCGCAUGGCCCCUUGGUGCAGCGCUCAACAGCUUAUCUUCGGCGUGAGCGAUUAGAUGCGCAAUAUGAUUUUACUUUAUAAGUGUUAUAGCCUAGGUAUGGUGAACUAAAAACAACGUACAAAUACAGCUGCGUGACUUAAAUUCGUCUCCCCUCUCAACCUCCCUGCCCAAUGUCGCCGCGGCGAACAAAGUUGACAAUAGUCAAGUCGUCAUCGGUGAGAGUCUUUCCACUGAUGAAGUUUGGUGUGUUCCUUCCUCCCAACAUGAUGUCGGCCUCGUCCAAAGCAGCGUUUGGAGGAAACAUACUUCCCCUUGCGGGCUCGCGGAAAGACACGAUGGCCUCGCUCAACAUCAUUCCGUUUGCCUCGCCAGUUCCGGUAUUUGUGAGACCGGCGUACCCCGUGGGCCCCGGGGAGGAGGAGAGAGGAAUCUGGUCUGCAAGGUCACUGUCCAGAAGACCAGGCAGACCGAUUGUGCUCUCUUCCAUCGCCUCGUGUCGCGUCUUCUUAGCCGCGGCCUGUGUCCUCUGGGUUUCGCUUCUGCGUUUGUUAUCAGCAGCGGGGCUGUCCCUCGUAGCGGUCUUUGGAGCCGUGUCCUUCUUGCCAGUUGGAAUAGGUUGGGUGGCAUCCUUCAGCAGAGAGGCUGGGAGUUCAAUUGGCGGAGGAAUGUUCACGGGGGAAAUCCUCGCGGGUGCCGGGGGUAGCGAGCCACCAGCCUUAGAGAUCUGCUUUCGAAGCGCAGUGUUCUCCUCAUACAGGUUAUCGACGUGCUUCUGAACCUUCUCCAGCUCUGCGCGCAAGGUCGCGCUCUCGCGGACAAGUUCCUGGGCUUUGCUGGACAGCAGCUCGCUCUCCUCUUUUUUCCUCUGCUUCGAUCUCCUCGCGGACUCGCGAUUUGCUUCUUUCCUUCUCUGAGUUUUUAUGUCACGAUCCUUCAUGGCGACGCUCAUCUCCUGGGAGGCACCGCCGCUCUGCACAGCCGCGUUUGAGCCCUCCCCGAAGGAAGGGUACCAGUACGGCUGGUUCGAUGACACUCCGGCAUACGCAAGCUGCUGCUGGUAAGCUUGGGCGCCGUACCCGGUGUCAGCGUACUGCUGCUGCGUGUUCGCAUCCUGAUAGUAGUAUCCCUGCGCGCGAGAAAGUGGAAUAUUGCGUGAGUGAGUGAUGUGAGUGGGUGCAGCGAGCUGCGACCCGGAAGAGCAGAAGAAAUGACAGCGACUUGUCAAAAACACGUGGGAGACGAGGGGGAAAGGGGAGCUCACCUGUUGUGCGUAUCCACCGACACCCUGCUGAGCGUAAGUAUUACCAGAGGCACCCGCGCCGCCGUUGUAUCUGUCGUCCACUCCCGUCGCGGUCUGUCGCUGCUGCUCGUGUUUUGGCAUCCUCGCGGAUAGAUUUUGGUUUUGCUGCUGCUUCCGUUGCAUGUCGCGCUGAAACGACGUCACUUCGCUGGCGAACUCCGCGCGAACUGAGCACUCGAGGUUACGCGGCGCUACUCGACCUUACUUUAUGCGUUCUCUCCCGUUCGUCGCUCGCAGUCGCCGAACUCCGAACGCGUUCUCACUCGCGAGAGAUGAAGAUAGAACGCGCGCCUGAAUCACUUCCCGCGAAGACGCGUUCGUAAAAGACGAUGUUCUAUCCUGCUCGAGCUGCUCGAUGGGACUCCGCGGGCGCGAAAACGGCCUCGGUCGCACUAAGCGGGUUCGUGUGCGCACAGACGCGGUCUUUCGUGGUCUUCCUUAGCACCUUACGCGCGCAGGGGUCUGCGCAAUUGGCGCGCUCAGGCUCCCCGUUUUCGACGGUUCAAGGAACAGAAAAAAUCUAAGACGAAGUUUUAUCCCAGCUGAUAACGAGUGCCACUCGUUGCGCAGGAUCGAGAUACACGCGAGCCAAUCAUAGGAGCCAGUCAGCAUCCAGUCAGCCAAUCGCUUGGCUGGAGAGGAAGAUAUUUUACCUUCGUGACAAAAAAGUUCCUGGAAAAUAUGGUUUGACGUCAAAAUCUGGACACAGAAGAUCAGUCAGAACGCGUGGCCAAAAAUCCGGUUUGGCUGGGGCAAAACUCUCAAACUGGUGCUCAUAAUACGAAGGUGAGCCCAAAAUUUUGCAUCUCAAAUUUUGGCUCGUCGGCGAUUCUCAACACCCAGUUGAAAAAAAGGCCGCGGCUUUCACGGCCCGGGUUUGUCGCCUGGGGAAAAAGAGCACCAAUCCUCGGCAGUGUGCGUCGCGCGUGCGUGCGGAACGAGACAGAGGCCUCGAGCCUUGUAUGCGAAUUGCCCAGAGACGGCAGUCGCAACAUCACAGUAACGCAAACGAGUCGCACCGAAGCGCCCUCGAGGGCAGCGCCGACGCCGAGCUCCUUCGGCACCCGGCAAGGCCAGGAAAUACCCGCGGCGCGUUGGACGACGGCGAGUCACCCGACACGCGACGAGUCAAAAUGGUUCGCAGGACCGCGAUUUGUGCCAUCGCUGCGAUCGUUGUUCUCGCCACGGUCACGACGGUGAGCGGCCAGACCGUAGAUGCCUGCCAGACGCGUUCGACACCCAUCGGCGUGUCCAUCACGGAGACGACUGCGGAUGGGGAGUCGAACACCUUCCUCGGCUUGCUCGCGUUCUUCGGCGGUGCCGUCGGCGAGAGCGAAACUGCUCCGAUGCAUCUUGCGGUAGCUUCAGAUAAGUACGGGUGCAAACCGAUAGCACAGACUACGGACAAGGCGGUGCUCGUUUGGAGAGGGGGCUGCACGUUUGGCGAGAAGGCUGCCGCGGUGGAAGCGGCUGGUGGGGCUGCGAUGAUCGUUGUCACUGACGAAGCCGAGCUCACGCCGAUGUCUUGCGUCGGCAACUCGACCGUCUCCAUCCCCGUCAUGCAGGUUCUCGCGCAGGAUGGUGAUCAACUGAAAUCCGGCGCAGCCAAAGGGGCGAGCGUCACCUUCAAAGAGCUCAAGCUCAAGGGAUCCGUGGAUCUGGUCGCAUCGUUUGCGCUGCUAGCGAUGGCGUCACUGACCAUCGUGUUUGGUGCCAUAUGGUCUCUUUCGGAUCAAGGAUUUCUGUUUAAACCAAAGUCAGACGAUGAUGCAAGUCAAGGCAGUGGCGGCGGACGCGAAGGUUCCGGAGGUGGGAUCGAGGGACUUGAGAUCACCGAGAUGAGCGCGGCAUACUUUGUCGUUUUCGCGUCCAUCGUGCUCCUCGUGAUUUUCUUCACGAUGCAGCACUGGGUGUUCCUCAUCAUCAAGGGUGUUUUCUGCUUCGCUGCGGUGCAGGGGUUGCAAGCUCUUUUCUUCGCCGUGUUUGAAUCGGGUUUCAAGGCGCUCUCGAAAGACAUUGAUAUCCCCGUCUUUGGAACUGUGAACCAACUCUCUGUGCCGAGUGUUGCCUGUGCUGUUGUGGUGGUGCUCGUGUGGCUACUCAACCAGGAUGCAACCUGGGCCUGGAUGCUUCAAGAUAUCAUGGGUAUGUCGUUUCUGGUCAAUGUUCUACGACUCGUUCACCUGCCAAACCUCAAGGUCGGCGCUCUCCUUCUUGUGGGUGCAAUGUGCUACGAUAUCUUCUGGGUUUACAUCCAACCUCAUUUAUUUGGCCGUGAGAGCGUCAUGGUGAAGGUUGCAAAGGGAGGUGAGCAACACGAGUCGUUGCCGAUGUUGUUCCUCUUUCCGAGGCUAGGAGGAAACGUCGGCGACUUCUCGAUGCUCGGCUACGGUGACGUUAUUCUGCCGGGUCUGUUGAUUGUUCACAACCACCUCUUUGAUAACCGGUACAACGAGUCGAGCAAGCCUCGCCUGGCGUACCUGGUGCCAUCUAUUGUGGCGUACGUCGCUGGUCUGCUGCUGACGUUCCUGGCGCUGCAUCUGCAGGUCGGUGGUCAGGGAGGACAGCCUGCUCUUUGCUAUCUGGUGCCGACCGUGCUCGGAGGCACCGUGGCUUAUGCUCACUUCAGGGGAGACCUGAAAGAGAUGUGGGUCGGAUCGCAAGAUGAUGGCAACGACCCGGACGGUGAGGGGGAGCGGCUCAUCGGGACCGGAUCCACGAACAGCAGUGCCGUGUGAAAAAGUCCCGAAACUUAAAUUUGGGCAUGCGAAGUGUGUACAAUGAGAUUCCCCUAUUAGCUACUCUAGCUAGGCGCUAAGAACUAAGUGUUGUUGUCAUCCCAUAGGAGUCGACUACCUCGACGAGGUGUUUGUUCUCUUCCUUCGACCACGACCCGCCCGAGGAAUGAAGUCACAAAGCUUGCAGGGUUUGUCAUCUCCUCUUGCCUUCUCCGAUGGUAGUGCACACGCCGGACAACUUGAGACGCCCUGAUAGAUGCAAACGACCGAGGUCAGGAUGUGUUCAGAACCCCACGGAGAAGACGAGGCAAGAGCGGAAUGUAGUGGCUGCUGGAGAUUAGGUGGAGACCGACCUUAAAUAUUCCACGCGGAAGGUUAUGCUUCUUUGCGACGACGUGUGCGGUGUUCAUCAAUUCAGCGGCUAGCCUGGGUAAUUCAUCCGCCAUCUUUCGGGCAGCCUCCUGUAGAUAGGCGCAACGUCGUGAUGGAGCGCUCGUGAGCUCUGCUCCCGAGGAGCCCGAGGUUUUAGCCCUCAAACUCUGCCUCGGUGCUGCUUUCAUGCCUCACUAGCGACCUCGAACCGCGGGUAGGAGCGAGUAUCUUGCUAUAUACGACUAAAACUUGUCCAUGCGAAUAUGCUGAAGACUUUGUGGCUCUUCAGGUCCUUGCUGCCGCGAUGGCUCUGCGGUGUGCAGGAUUUCGUUGGAACCAAGAAUUGCCGACGGCAGAAGAGGACGUGCAGAUUCUCGAGCCCACCGAUAGGGUCUCGUUUUAUUCCCGGUGCACCGGCCGUCGAAAUCGGACCGAAAGCAAAUUUCUCAGUGAGCAAAAUGACCCCAAAUAGAAAUACGAAUUUGCAGUUUUAACGGCAAAUACGUUUUGCCCAUAAAAAACAUUUUUAUGGCUCGCAGCGCGCUGCAGCAUUCAUGAUGGUCAAAAUCGGGCUCCAGACUAAAUACCCAUACGAUGUCAAAAUUUUGCUUUCGGUCCAAUUUCACCGGCCGGUGCACCGGGAAUAAAAUGAGACCUAACCGAAAUUGCUGCUGCUGUCGAUGCCGGGGAAAAUGAAGAAGAAAUGUGUCGAAUUCAAAGUGAAAACACCACGAAUUUCAUUGUUAGUCUGAACUUUGGGUUACCCUGCGAGUGCGACACGAUAUGGUUGUCCAAGAGCCCGGGUUCGUGCGUGGGUAUGCGUAUCUGUUUCGUAAGUACCUCAUCGAUAAUCCCAUCGCGCAUCGUCUGCUCGCAGAACGGGCCUUAGCCUCCUCCUUUUCCGCAACGAAGUCGGCACGGGGGCAAAGCGACAUUCUCCCCCGACCUUAGUCGUGGGCACUCGACUGACGCGCCAUGCACUUCUUCACUGUCUUUAGUGACCCAGGUGAUGUCUAGAUUGCUACCAUUCGUGGUUAACAUCAUGGUGGCUCGAAGACUGACGCCAGAGGAGUACGGCGUUCCAACGGUGAGGCUCAAGCCUAGAGUGGUCCUCUCAUCUGUGAUCGAUCAACGAGUACACCAACCGGCGGAUGUUCCUCUCAUGAAUUGCGAAUGUUCAUAAAGUGACGCCUCAAGCUUCUCCGCAGGUUCACUUCCAGCUCAUCUCCACCAUCAUACUCACUUGUCGAGAGGUAAGUUGUUCUCCUCGUGUCUUUGUCCGGGGAAGCUGAGAGAAAUGGAACUGAUUGCGUUCUCCAACCAAGGGCUUCCGGCGUGCACUGAUGCGAGAUGCUGGCUCGGGCACGGCUGAUGGUGAUGUCACAGACGCAAGCCAAGGUGAUAUUCAAUCGUUUUGUUCAUUCGAACCGGGAUCCAAUCUGAUCCAAUCUUUCCACCUGAAUAUCAAUAUCAGAGGCAGCCGGUUGGCUUGUGAUCCCGAUAGGAGCGGCUCUGUCUGCAGGGGUUCCGUGUGCGGUUCUACGGCUCGGUGGGCUCGACAUGGUAAGAAUAGUUGAAAAGAUGCACAUGUGCAUCGUUAUUCUUCCCUCCAGCCAACUCACGGGCAUCACAAUCCACGCAUCUGCAGGAUAACCCAUAUGCCCAAGCUGUGGCCUCCUACGGGUUCUCAGCCUUUUUGGUAAGCAAAUACCUUCGUGCAUAUUAGCGGAAAACAUUCCCGGGACGCCGAAAUGCUAAGAGCAAUUCAUGAAUUUUCAGGAAUUGUUGGCGGAACCAUUUUAUAUUCGAGCUCAGCGUAGGUCGAGAUUUCGUCUGCGAUUUGUCACUGAGACGGUGGCGACUAUUCUACGCAGUCUCGUGACAUUUUAUUUUGUGAAUUUCACGGAACAUCACGUCUCACUCGGAUUUGCUUAUGGUCAGCUUGCAUACGGAGUGACAAUUUUGAUUUGUUACGCAAUCGCACAGCUUGACUUCGCUUACUUCGGGUGUGCGCUUUUCCUCGGGAAAACAUCGGUGAAGUGGGGAGGAACACUACGGCUCGUGCAGACCUUUUCAACACAAGCCCUGUUGAAGUUGUUCCUUGCCGAAGGGGAAAAGGGCGUGUUGCUCUUGGUCGGGAAUGCAGAUUCGCAGGGGGUUUAUGGAUUAGUUUCUUCGCUGGGGUCGCUGUUCGUACGGAUCGUGCUACAGCCAUUUGAGGAAAUCGCAUUCGUCGCGUUUUCAAAAAAGCUUGAUUCGCAAACGACAAAGCGAAAGAAAAUUGAGAAUGAAGCGAAAGUGUUUGCGACUCUGAUGAGGGUUUCUGGGAUGCUCGGUCUUCUUGUGGCUGUGCAUGGUCCGCUUUACUCAGAACCCGCAAUUCGAUUGCUCUAUGGGAAGCGGUGGGCCGAUACAAAAGACGUGUCGAAAUCACUCGGUAAGUUUGCAUGAAAAAGGCUCAUGAUACGAUCGACAGCUCAUCUUCAAUACACAGGGGCAUUUUCCAUAAUGGUACUUAUUCUCGCGUUGAAUGGGACGAGCGAAGCUUACGCCCACGCAGUGAUGAAGCCAAAUGAACUAAACGGUGCAAAUGUUGCGCUUUUGAGCUCGUCGCUGUUGAACAUCAUGAUGUCCAUUUAUCUUCAGCCUCGGGUUGGACCUACUGGUCUGAUAAUCUCGAAUAGUAUUUCGAUGUGUUUGCGUUUCGCUUACACGAUGCGUUUCGUUGUUAAUGAGCGCUUUCGCGGAUGCAAGUUGACGAUCGCGUCAUUCUUACCGCACCAUGUUGUUUGUCUUGCGUUUAUUGUUUCUCUCGUGACAACAACAGUCACAUCGAAGCUUGAUAUGGGGACACACAUUCUUGCUGGUUUCGUUUCCGUUUCGGGUAUCCUUAUGUCGAUUUUAUUCUACGAGCGCAACACUCUCACAAACAUGGUUGAGUUGAAGACGCGGAGCAAGAUGGACUAACGUGUAUCAUUCGGAACAUAGUUUUUGCGCGCGCAGGACGCUCUCCUUGAGAAAUAGUGUCUAUUAACUAGAGAUAGCUAAACACGUAACAUUUCUUCCUCUUCACUUUCUUCAAGCCUUGUAAAAUUUGUAGCACCGUUCAAUGACGCGCUUUGCGCUGCUGCGCCUUCGAGCGUAUCUUCUACGUUGACCCCCUUCGUCUCAGGCAAUGCUGUCGCCAUUAAACAUGCAGCAACGGCGAAACCUCCGAAUAUCAAAAAAGGAAGGGCGGGCUCAAACAUUUGAAGCGCGAUAAUUUGCGGCGCUGCUAUUCCACUCACACGAGCGACCAAUGAACAAAAACCCAGAGCCGCGCUUCGUACAACUGUUGGAAACAAUUCCGUUGUAUACAAGAAGAUCAUGUUGAAUGAUGCUGCGAUACCGAAGCGACCUGCGAGAGCGACAACGGUUUUUGCUGUACCCUGUGCAGACAUCAAAGCGUUAGUUCAGCGCGGCUUUAGGUAGUUUAGCUACGAGUCACUGGUGAACAGUCCAGCAUUUACUAACCUGCGCAAAUCCACUUAUCAGGCAGCCAAUCCCGGCGAUCGCUAGCAAAAGCACCAAAGUUCGCUGCCUUCCCAUCGCUUCAACCGCAAAUUGAGCGAAGGCGUAAGAGGGCAUUUCAACCAGGCCGGAGAGGAAAUUGUUCAAAUAAAUCGAGCCUCCUAAUGAGCCGACAUUGAGCGAUAGACCGUAAUACACCAUGCUAUUGACAAAGAAAAUGAAAGCCAUUGCGACGAGUCGCCGACUGGAAGAGUGGGGAAAAAUCGAUUAGUCAAUUAGUGACACGUUCAACCAGAUUUCUUUGGGUUUUUCCCGUACCGCAAGGAAGGAAAUGGCAAUAAAUCUCCGAUGCUCGCGGUCUUGCUGUUUUCAUUGGGCAACUUCUGUGGCAUUGGAAAAAAAAGCGAGUUAGCUCUUUCACUUUAGUGCAGACGAGGGUGUUUCCAAUGUACUACUCACCAAUGGAGGCAGGCCUUCAGGAGGUAUAGCCUUAUCGUUGACUUUGGCAUAAGUUGUAAGGAUGGCGUGGGCUUUCUCCACCUCGCCAGAAAUUAGUAACCAUCUCGGCGACUCCUUCACAAGUGGAGAAGAGAAGAUGGCGUACAUUCCUGUCAGGAAAACGAAGAAGAAAGUGAGUGUUCUCCACUCCGUCAUAAUUGCUGCGACGCCCGACAUGAAACAUAUGCCUGAGGCCCACCAAUACUGGGUAGCGAUCCCAAGGAAUGCACGCCACUUUGCUCCCAGCGGCUCAGUGCUCAGGACGAACGAUGAUACUCCUAUACCGCCGCAACCGAACCCGAUCGGUAGUUUGAAGAUGAGGUACUGCCAAUAACCAAGAGAUGCAGCAGAGGCCGCCGCCCCCGUCGCUGCAAUCGCCAAGGACGUGUACAUGGCGACCCAGCGACCUUUGAUGUCUGCAAGCUGACCUAGUAAACCGGCACCGAAGAAGAACCCAACGAAGAACAUCGAAUCCGCGAAGGAUACUUUCCAUGCAUCGUUGCAAACGAGGUCCCACUCGGACACCACCGAUGCCGACUUCGAUUCCCAUUCCCAAUCAUCAUCGCCCAGGCUACAAAUAUCUGUCACGUUGCCACCGAUUCCGCAGAGAGUGUUGUCAUCGGAAGUACAUCGCCACUCGGGUGUUCGCUCAGUGAACACCGACAUAAGCGUGAGCAUGACCGCCGGCACCCACGCCAUGGAGGACAAGAGGAAAUGCCUAAGUUGAGCCUUGCCGUUCUCCCCUACAUGCAAGCUCAGCAUUUCGUCGAGUGUGAUAGCAUUCCUGGUGCUCGUACUCUCUCCAUCCCUCCCUCUAUCCGCAUCGUCCUCCGAGAUGAGCGUGCUCGAAGACAUCUCCAAGCUCUGCAUCGCUCGCUCGCUUUUGGCAGGUUCGUUUUCGUUGGUUCUUCAAGAGGAAAAACCGACGCGGAUUCUUGCGGACGUUUGAUUUCCGACCCAUUUUCGCUCAGUUUCCGAGAGAUUUUCAGUGCGAUCAGGCUGGCUGGGCAGCUGGCAGGCUGCCGAGCAAUGUCCAUCAAUUAGUUACGCGCUUUCACCGCACUGUUGUCCGGGCACGGCGCCGGAUUCGUGAUCGGCGAUGAGCGAGAUUCCUGUCGUGAAUGACAUCAAGGUUGUGUACGGUGAGCAACUCGGCGAUGCGGAAGAGCGCUAUGCCAGGCUCAUCGCCACCUUCGAGGAGCAGUACGGGGGCAAACCCGAUUUGUUGGCUCGCUCCCCCGGGCGCGUGAACCUGAUUGGCGAGCACAUUGAUUAUGAGGGUUACAGCGUCCUGCCUAUGGCUCUCGCCCUGGAUACUAUCGUUGCCGUGAAAGUGGACGCAGGUUCUGACAAGCUGGUCGUUUCGAACACAAACCCGGAGUACACCACGAAAGAGUUCAGCACUGACCCGAGUCAGCAAGUUGACACCGCGAGCCUGCACUGGACAAACUAUUGCAUGUGCGGCUAUAAAGGCGUCUUCGAUUUUCUCGGGGAAGCUGGAAAGGCCCUGCCGGAAGCAAUCGGACUGAAAAUCAUGGUGGACGGGCGUGUUCCCACAGGAAGUGGAUUGAGUAGCUCUUCAGCUCUCACUUGCGCCACCGCUGUGGCUGUAAUGGCUGCUCACAACCUCGCGUUCACAAAAGCAGAAGUGGCUGACUUCACCUGCAAGUGCGAGAGGCACAGUGGGACACAAUCUGGCGGCAUGGAUCAGGCGAUUAGCAUCAUGGGUCAAGUCGGAGUCGCCAAACUUGUUGAUUUCAAUCCAGUGCGUGCCAGUGACGUCAAACUGCCGAAGGGAUCGGCGUUUCUCAUCGGCAACUGCCUUGCCGUCAGCAACAAGGCGGAGACGGCGCACGAGCGCUACAACCUUCGCGUCAUGGAGUGUCGACUAGCUUCAAUCGUCCUUGCCAUGGAGCUCGGUGUCGCUCAAGCAGAGGCCCUUGAGUUCUCGACACUUUUGCAGGUUCAGAAGCUCACAGGGAAUCUCGAAGAGUCUGAGAAGGCUGCGGACAAGCUCCUUCAUGACGGAGCAUACACAAAGGUUGAACUCGAGGAAAAGCUUGGCAAAUCUUUGGAUGAUCUUUUCAAAGACUCGCCAGCUUCUCUUCUUGUGCUUCAACACAACACCAAGGGAUUCAAGCUUCAUGAUAGAGCCGUGCACGUGUAUUCUGAGGCUGCGCGUGUUCACAAAUUUUCAGACGAGUGUGCGGCAAAUCCUUCGCUCCAAAGGCUCGGCGAGCUCAUGAACGCGAGCCACGAAUCUUGCCGCAAGUUCUACGAGUGCUCCUGCCAAGAGUUGGAUGAGUUGGUCGAGGCCUUCAGGUCUUGUGGAGCUAUUGGAGCACGUCUGACUGGUGCUGGAUGGGGUGGUUGUGCCGUUGCUCUGGUGGAGCUAGAUAUGGUGGAUUCCGUGUUGUCUCGAGUGAAAGACAUGUUCUUCAAGGCUCGAAUUGAUAGUGGCAGGCUCCUCGAAGGUGGGAUCUCCGAGGUGCUGUUCGCUUCUCUUCCUUCAAGUGGAGCGGCUAUCCUGAAGGGAAUUUGACGGUGCAUGUACCUUCGUAUUUCGUUUACUCUUAACUUAUUUCAUGAAGCGCUCGCCAACCCUUUGACAGCUUCUCCCCUCGCUCGUGGGCAGGACCUGCUAUCACCCUUGAAAUGUGAGCGCCCUCUCACUUCCCUUUCUCUCCGAAAAGGAUCCCAUCAACGUCCUGUCCCUUUCGAACGUACACACCGCCACUCUCAAUGAGCCCAGGGCAGGGUCGGUAGGCUUUGAUGGGCCACCACGAGAAGAGUGGGAUCGCGCCCAUGCCACCGAUGAUGCGACCGGACCCAUCACACUGCAUCUUCUCUUUGGCAAGACCACAAGAGUCGCAGCUCCCGGUGCAACCAGCCUGAUCCUUGCUCUCAGCUCGCACGGUCAACAGGUUUCCACGCGAGGAGCCCUUGGAUGCGGUGUACGUCGGACGUCUGUACUUCGAGUGGAGGAGCGUGGCCGUCAGGGGGAGAGCGCCCGUGGACGCAACGAAAGAGGCCGACAUCUUCGGAGGACAGAUCCGACGAUGAAAAUCGAUCUGCGAGAAAUAAGUUUACCCGAGGUCGGGUAAGACGUCGCGGUCGCAGUCGAGUUCUGGCUACUACGGCCGGCGAUCGGAUAAAAACACGUCGUUGGCACGGGAGUUUGUGGUCGAGAAGCGGAUACGGCCUUUACGGUAAAUGCAGCAAAACUGCAGCACAGUUUUAGUCAUCUGGCUGGUCAUAUUUUUAUUAUUUAGUUUCAGCUACGCUUGUAGAACUCGAGGUCAUACUGCGUCUGCUCAUCAUCCUUCGAUAUCGUCCCGAACGAGUUGCGGAGGCGCUUACCCUGCUCCUUAUCCUUCUCCACCAAAGCGUCAGGGACGACCGAGAAGACGGCGUAGAGGCGACCGCCGUAGACCGUGACGGAUGCGAAGAUGGCGCCGAAAAACCCGUACAGAUCGAAAUCCACGUACGUCUGGCCGUUCACGUCGCGGUCGACAACCUCGACGGAAUCCGCGGCGACGAUGGCAUCCUGGAGGUUAUAGUCGGAGAGUGCGAGAUCGGAGAGGAUACCUUGCCGAUCCUCCUUCAGCCUGUUGUAGCCUGUGAGCGUGACGCAGUACACCUUCUCCCCGCUGCUCUUCGGAUUGGACCAGCGACUGUCCGUGCCGUUUGUGGACUUCUCAACCUUGUUCACGGUGUCCACGGUCCAGCCCUGGGGGAUAUCGUAGUAGUAUUUGAACUUGUCGAAGUUAUUCUCAUUACCGCCGUAUCCACCGUACGACGAAGACGUGGUGGCCUCGCCAUAAAACCUCAGGUAACCGUCUCCGAGGUCCGAAGGGUUCUUGAAGGUCUCUACCUCAGCCCUGGCCCCCGAUGGCAAGCUCACCACGAUGGCAGCGGCAAGGCCGGUUCCGAAGAUCUGUCGACGACUCGGCUGAGUCGAGCUCGAGUCGUCCGAAGGCAUGAGCGAAGCUCUGGUCGUGGUACUCACUCUUCGCACGGCUCGCCUCUGUCGGACUGCGGACAGGAGCGCAUUGGGCUGGAAAGUGGUGACGUGAGCAGCUGACGUGGUCAUCGCGCUGUCGAUCGAAGGGAUACGCGGCGCGAAGAGACCGAGAGAAUGUGCGAGGGGACUCGCUGUAUUCACGUUCUUGCCGCGAGUGGUAAGCUUGCGGAGGAAAUGUACGAGAUGGAUCCUGAGCACCCCUGCCACCGCUGUGUGGGGCGCCCCUGGGUAAAGAAAGAUAACUCACCCUGAUUCUCACCACGCGAGAAUGAGACGAUUUCGAUGGGGUUUGGGGGGCAAAGAUGACUCAACAAUGGCGAAUCCCAACCGGCGAGAAAGUCCAAAUCCGAUUGGCCGCCCGCUAACAACGAAUGCACGUGAUUUCCCAAAAGCCGGUAGGGAUCGAACCGCUGAAGCUCAGAACCUUCGUGCGCGAACGCGGCGACCUCUUCGCGACAGGCUUGUCGGACAGAGUUUUAGCGUUCUCUACCACCAAGAUGGCCGCCAUGUUGACACACGCGGCUUCGGCGCCCGUCGCGACCGCCGCCAGGGCCAUUAAUCCGAAAUCAACUGUUCGGGGCUCCGUUUCCACCGCGAGCCUGAGCACCAACGCGGCGGCUUCCCGCUCUGCGCAGUUCGUCCAGGGUGAACGCGCCGCGGCGUUUUCGCUUCGUCAGCACCGGCAAUCAUCUGCCGUCUCUAAGCGCUCGCUCGUCAAGCGCGUCGUUAGCGCGAGCGCAUCUUCCGGAGUUCCCGCGGUGCAGGCUGCUGCGGCUUCCGAAUGGAAGGGCGCGAAGCUGAAGCCUCUCGGGUACUCCGUUCUCGCGGGCCUCCUGAUCUGGCUGAUCCCGGCCCCUGCCGGUGUCUCGGCCCAGGCUUGGCACCUGCUCGCCGUCUUUGUGGGCACCAUCGUCGGCAUUAUCACCAACGUGCGUCCCCGACCCGUCGACCCAAUCCCAAUCGUGUUUCCGUGAGAAUGUUCCCGCCCCUUCAUGGGAGAUAUUUUUUCCCUCUCCACAUGUCUGACGGCUGAUGCUCUUCCACGAUCCUUCGACCGCGCAGCCUCUUCCCCUCGGUGCUACCGCGAUGAUCGGUCUUGGUGUCUCCAUGGUGACCGGCCUGUUGCCUUUCGCCGCCGCUUUCAGUGCGUUCUCGUCUGAGAUUCCCUGGCUUAUUGCGCUCGCCUUCUUCCUGGCGCGUGGUUUCAUCAAGACAGGUCUCGGCAACCGCAUCGCCUACUACAUCGUUUCCCUGUUCGGGAAGUCCACGCUUGGCCUGACCUACUCUCUGGUCUUCUCCGAGGCCCUGCUCGCACCCGCCAUUCCCUCCCUCGCGGCACGCGCUGGUGGCAUCUUUUUGCCUCUCACGAAGGCUCUCUGCGUUGCGUGUGGCUCAGAACCCGAGAAGGGCACCGAGAAGAAGAUGGGCGCUUACGUCAUGACCACUGUCUUCCAGACCUCCACCGUCACCUCCGGCAUGUUUAUCACUGCGAUGGCUGCCAAUCCUCUGUCUGUGAACCUCGCCGCCGCUACUAUUGGCCAAACCAUCACCUGGGGCCAGUGGGCUCUCGCUGCAUCCGUGCCCGGCCUCAUCUGCCUCGUCGCCGUGCCGCUCAUCCUCUACGUGCUCUAUCCCCCUGAGGUGAAGGACUCUCCCGAGGCUCCUGUCAAGGCCAAGGAGGAGCUCGAAAAGCUCGGCCCCAUGACAUCUGACGAGAAGAUCAUGGCUGCUGCCCUCUCCGUCACCGUCGCCCUUUGGAUCUUUGGCUCUAAGUUUGGUAUCGGCGCUGUCGCUGCCGCGCUCGUUGGCCUCUCCACCCUGCUCAUUACCGGUGUCAUCACAUGGAAAGAGUGCCUCGCUGAAGGACCGGCCUGGGAUACCCUCACCUGGUUCGCAGCCCUCAUCGCCAUGGCUGCCUACCUUAACAAGUACGGUCUCAUCCCCUGGUUCUCCUCGACAGUUGUGAAGGUCGUGUCCGCUGCCGGCCUUGCGUGGCAGCCGGCUUUCCUCGUUGUCGUGCUCCUCUACUUCUACUCCCACUACAUGUUCGCCUCCGGUGCGGCGCACAUUGGUGCCAUGUACACCGCCUUCCUUUCCGUGCUUGUUGCGUGUGGCGCCCCUCCCCUUGCGUCUGCCCUCGUUCUCGGCAUCUUCUCCAACAUCAUGGGUUGCACCACUCACUACGGCAUCGGAUCUGCGCCUCCUUUCUUCGGCGCUGGCUAUGUGCCCCUUGCCACCUGGUGGAAGAUUGGCUUCGGUCUUUCCGUCUUCUACAUUGCCACUUUCCUCGGCAUUGGCUCAGUAUGGUGGAAGCUGAUUGGUAUCUAUUAAGUGCUGAGAGCCUUUUCUCAGUUGGGAUGCAUCCCAAGCGUCCGAGGAGGUUGCCGCGAAGGUUGAGGCGCCAGUGGAGGCUGCCAGGCCCACGGCGAGCCCCUCGCGCGCAACGGCGCCAAAGUUUUGUUGGACGUCGACCUCGUAGGAAAAUCGUGUUGAUACAAUAAAAUGAACAUUAUUACACUCAAAGUUGAGCUACAACACUUUCAUCAUCGUUCGCUAUUCACAGAAGAGAUGCCCCCGCAGCAUCCAUCAACCAUGCGACAUCACCCUUCACAUAGGAAGCCGGAAUCUUUGGGUCGUCGCCAGCACUUUUUAUGAUUGUCGCUGCCAUCUCAGCCUUGCCUUCCCCUAUGGCGGUGAAACAUUUCUUCUUUGCAGCGUUUACGACAGGCAUCGAAAAUGUUAUUCGUUCGGGUGGUGGUUUUGGCGAGUCAGAAAUGGGCAAUAUCCAGGGCUGUGUGACCUUCAGAAGUGGGUGCUCUGGAAAAAGUGAGCAGAUGUGUCCGUCGGGUCCAAACCCGAGCAGUAAGAGAUCGAAAAUGGGCAAGCCGUCUUUCGUUGGUAGGAUACUGCGCGACAAUCCUUUCAGUCUUGCAUCAUAUUCCGCAGCGCAGGGCUGCGCCGCACCCUCGUUCUUCUGACACAGGCUCUCCUUGAUGGCAUACAGCUGCGACGCAGGGAUCGGUACGUCCGAAAGCAGUGCUUGCAGGGCCCCGCCGUAGUUGCUUUCGGGGUCAUCGUGAGGAACGCAUCUUUCAUCGACCCAGAAGACGUGCCAGUUAUCCCAGUCUAUUCCAUUUUUUCCCUUCAGCCCACCAAGUAGUUUGAUUAAUGAGCCACCCGCGAGCGCGACGGUGAAGGAGCCCCGCUCCUCGAUCGCCUGCUCGGCAGCCUUCAUCGUCAAACUCGCCAGUGCGUCCGCGACUUCGGCCUGGUCCUGAAAUAUAUGCAUGUUGUUAUCAGCAUUAGCCAUCGCGAUGGUGCUUCUGCGAUGUGAAACAAAAUUAGUUAGCAACGAACAUCGAACACGCUGAGGAGACGUUCGGAAGGAGACGCGACGAGAUGUUAUUUUGGAUCGCGUUGAUGGGGUCGCUCACACCUCCUGUUGGAGCUCACGUGCGAGGGUUUUGGGUUUCUGCACUGUAGCAGGCUUGUCGCCCGGAUACUGAGCUCGACUUUACCAGACAGAGCAAUCCGCACCGCCUGGGCAGACAUUUCUCGCGUGAAUAUCUUGUGCGCCCCCCUCCCCGGCUUUUCCGCAGUUGACUGUUGGCGAAACCAGCUCGACAUUUUGUUUUGAACCGGGCGACCAGAUUUGGACCUUCUGCUCAGAAGGACCUGCGCUGACCGGUAACGGUGUUUCUACGAGGUUUCUGUUGCUAGAUGCGUUGAGUGCUAUCUAAGGCGUCGGGAUUAUGUUGCCGUUGCCCGAGGUGAUACGGCUUUCGCUCCUCGAGACGGCACGGCUUUCCGAUGAGAAACUUCUGAAGCGCACGCACGGCGACAUUCUCGCAUCUCUCGAGGGGCCAUCAGAUGCACGGGUGGGCAGGGAUACCCUUGUUCUGUGUGCGGAGGUUGCAUUAAAGGUGAGUUCAAGUUAGCACCAAUGUCCUGCUCGGAGCGAAAGCACUCUGCCCGAAGUUCAUGACCUCUUCGCUGCGCAGCCGGUCAACCAAAAAAAGAUCCGAGUCCCUCACCGCGGCCUCACCCUCCUCCCUCGUAUCCUUUAUGCCGUCAGGUUGGAGCAACGACGAUCGCGACUCAGAUGCUCGACAUCUACUUUCUCGAGUCGAGCAAGUUCUGGUCCGAUGAUUCCGACAUCGGUCAGGUCGAGCUCAAAGAUCAGUACGUGUGCAGAGCUUGGUUCGCAAAGGCGCUGGUAUGUUCCGAGGAUGCCAAAGGUCUCACAGGUCAGGACCUUGUCACCGGGGUCGAGAGGGCUUUAAAUUGUCUCCUCGAAGGACUCAAGGUGGCACUCCAGGAUUCGCGAUACGUUUUCUUACUUUAUGACGCGAGCGUCCAUUACUGGAACAUCUCGAGACCAUUGCAGAAGAGUGGGACGCGGCGGCACCUCGUCGACGCAUCCACGUCAGUCAACGAUGCACUGCAGAAGGUCUCCGGUCAUGAGGAGUGGAAAGCACACCAUCUUCGAAUCCAUGCACUUUGUCUCAGCGAUGCUGGGAAAAAUGCUGAUGCUCUCAAAGUCGCUUCAGACGCCGUCGAUUUGUGCAAAGCGAAUGUCCCAGAGCUCUCAGUGUUGGCGAUCAAGGUGAAGUCACAUGUCAGCAGCUUAGAAGGUUUGAAGGAAGGAGGAGAUGGGGUGGACGGAGCCAUUGCCCUCAUGCAACAUGUGCGCUCCGGAGCAUGUGCAGAUAUUGAAGAUAUCAAGAACACUUUGAUUGAAGCUUGGAAAUUGGUCGAUCCAGCGGCAGAGAAGUUAGAAGCUGCAAAGGAUGAGUCCGCAGAGGAUGCUCAACUGGACAUCGUGGCUGAAAUCGGGUGGGUCGCAGCACAAAAUCAAGUACUAGACAUUGCGGCAUGGUGCCUAGAACGUGCGGCUGAUGAUUCCAGGCUUAUAUCUCGUGUUCGCGAUGAGAUGACAAGGGGUAUGAUUGCACUCCAUAACCUUGGAGAGAAGCGUGGUACUCUGGAUUCGGAAGCCGUAAGGGUUCACAAGGACGUCAUUCUUCAGGCGGAGAAAAGCCUUUCAACGUUUUCGAGGCUCCAGGACUUUGAUGGUAUACAUGACGCUUGCCAAAUGAUUUGGAUAGCCAGUCUACCGCUUCAGCAGAGCAAAUUUCGUCAUCACCUCACCCGUGUGCUCGGGGCAGCUGCGCUCGCGUUAGAAACAGUCGGAUCCUCUGCCAACAGGUUGCGGACUGCUUUGCACCUUGAGCUAGCAUACUGCUACAUUUCUGAAGACAUGGUUGGUCAAGCGAAAGCACAGGUCUCCAAGGGCCUCGCUAUCGAUUACGUUGCUCCGGCUGAAGAAAUCGAGAGCACGGGUUACGAGCGUCCGCUAGAUCGCUUCUUGGAUCCUUUGCACCGCAUGCUUUCCCUGAAGAGCAAAAUUCAUGAUGAUCCAGAUGACAUUGAGGAUCAAGCCUUGUUGCUCGCAGAACAAGCACGCGAUGCAAAAAGUGUGGAAAGCAAGACCGAUAUUCUGCAGCGCGCUGUCGACGCACUGAUGUCUCUGCAACCAGCGACCUUGCCUUCCGAAUCAGAUGAGAUGAGUACCGAGGAAAGGGAAAUGUGCCGUCGAUCCGCAAGGGCACGAAUAAACAUUUGGGGCUCUGUGAUCAAGGUCGCCAUGGACGCGAAGCAGAUAUCCAUGGUCCAUCGACUUGCAAAGAAUGUGGUUGAUACUGCCGGCUGGGAUUUGAUCAAGGAUAAGGACAUCAUCCUGUUGCAAGCUGAUGUCAACUUGCUUGAUGGUUUGGCGUCUUUUGACAUCCUUCGGUCUCGCGGCGAGCCUGUCAUUCCACCAAAUGAAAUCAACACGCAAGUUACCAUCUCGGCAGGAUCGACGGAAGAACUUCAAAACAACACGAUCGCCGCAUUUGUGAGGGCUAUGCAUCUUGGAGCUAGUGUAGGUGAGGACUGGGUGGUCAUGAAUGCGGCGGCGAAUGUUUGGAACAACUAUCUUGACGCUUUUACGGCACACAGGUACGCCGAAAUGUUACCAGCGACGGCGCCAGUGUUUGCAGAACUCUGCAAAAUUGAGAGUUGUGACAAGGUCUUGCUUGGAAACUUUGCUGACGCUCUGUCAUGUGGAUAUGAACAUGCCGCGUUUCUUUCUGUCACGGAUGCUGAUGAUACCAAAGAGGAUGGUGUGUUUGGUUACAAUUCACUGCGCUUGACCUUGAGGGACCACAAGUUUGAAGAUUCCCAGGAUGUUCAGCGUGGGAUCGAAACAUGCGAAUCCGUCCUCAAUCGAGUGGAUGAAAGAAACGCGCGCAAGCUAUCAGCGACACUCGCGAGGCUACACGCUUCGAUGGGUACUUCUUCUGAAGCCAAGGUUGAGGAAGAUCCUGUUGCGCAAGUUUCUGCGAUUAUCCAGCGUCUGACGCUUCCCGGUAGCGAUGAUGCCUCAAGUGACAUGCUGAACGAGGCUAUGACUCUGCUGCGACCGACUGAAGGUGAAAUACUUGGUGAUCUGGAAACAUGGGCGAGGCUCGGAGAGACAGCCUUGAAAGCCAAGGUAUAUGGGGCUGCGAUUGAGUGUGGCAAGCAAGCCGAGAUAUUUUUGAACAAAUUGACUCAGAGUGCCCCGUCCAUAAGCUGGUACUGGGGUGGUGUUGCUGAGAGUACAUUCGGUUGUGGUAUUCUUGCACUGAUCCGCCCUGAACAUCAAGAUCAGUCUACGCAGGAUACUUUAAGGGAGACAGCGUUCCAGCAUCUUGUGCAGGCGGCAAAGUGUGGAAGGCGAGCUAAUCGGAGUGACAUUGUUUCUUACGCGGCGAAGCAUUUUUGGAAUUCUGCAACAUCAUACAUGUCUUCGGCAACAACUCGGAGAAACAUCUUUGGUCAUCUCCAGGUUAUCAUUGACGCGUGCCGUGCAACGAAAGUCAGAGAUGACGGUUUGAUGAAGUUAAUGUGGGUCCUCUACUUCGAUUGUCUGGUAGAUAAGAAGGCUUGGACUGAUGGAAUCAAACAUAUAGAUGAGGCUUUCAAGAUGUUGCCUACCAGUGACCACCAGCGCCUCUGGGAGUACAAGGUUUUGUUUCUCUCUGCCACUGGAAGAAAAGCUGAAGAUGAGCUUGAUAUUCUUUCGUCGUACGAUGAAGAAACGCAAGCAAAGGUGUGGGCCGGAGUUGCUGUUCAAGCCACCUCAAAACUUGAGGGAAUGAAGGCGUACAGGAAAGCUAUAGACGUGCUCGUCAACAAUACCGCAAUGAGGGUUGACCUCAUGAUCGACUUUGCUGAUUGGAUGUAUGCCAAUGGUCAACCCGUAUCUGAUGCUGAGGAUUUACUUGUUUCUACACUUGAUAUUUUGCUGGAGACGGAUGCUGAAUCGAGUGGUGACAACAUGGACUGUGAAUCACUCGCCACACCUCAGCAGCUUGGGGUCACAGAGUUUUGCUUCAUUGUUCGGGUGUGUGUUAUGCUCUCCAGGAUGUCAGGGAGCAAUGUUGAACGCACUGAUUAUUUGUUGACAGCGCAACAUUAUGCCUUGCGGAUGUUGAUUGAUCCCCUUGCAGAGGCGAUGAGAACUAUGCCUGCGUCAAGCGUUGAAGGUUGCGCAGCCAUACCAGAAAGUCUGGAGGAAUGGGCAAAUUUCAAGUUUACUGAUAAGUUGGUAGCACGAAUGCGGGAACGCAAAGGAACGUUUGAGAUUUCCUUAGAAUCCGUUGGUCGACCUGAGCGAAUACUACAUUAUAUCGACUACCUGUGCAGCGGUCUGGAGUCUGCGAGCAUGCACCUGCAAUGUCUUCCCGUAUGCCAGCUUGGCGUGCUCAUCGCUAAAAUUGUGGACAAGGAUGAUUCCCUGGCAUCCGUUUACCAUCUUCGACUGGCCUCGCUCGCGGAUGCUUUGUUCUUAAAAUCAGCUGCCAUAAUGCAUGAAGAGCUUGCAGGAUCCCUCGAGCUCUCUGUCGAAGAAAUUCGGCGAGGACGCGAAGAAGUUAAGCGACAAGAAUCACUCAAAGAAUUGUUGUCGGAUGAUGAGCCCUCGUCUGGUGUGAUCGACGUAUCGAAGCCCCUUCGCCCUUAUGCACUACGUGAUUACUGGAUCGCUCGCGGCGCGUACCUGGAGAAACGCGGUGCCCUGGUCGCAGCCAAUCUUCUUCUGCAGGAGACAAUCCGGCACGCGCGUGCCCAUGAUGAUGUGGCUGUUGAAGCCCGGGCGUAUUUACACCUGGCAAAGUGCGCAGCUCGCGGCAACAUGCCCAUCGAUGCAGUUAAGCUCCAACACCGUGGACAGAAUCUUGGCGGGGACGUUUCAUUCUGGGGAGAAAGCAUGUGUGACUAUACCAUGUACAAGCUCACCACACGAGACGGCAAGCUAUCAGCAAAGGAUUCCCUCGUAACGGCUCUGAACUUGUUGCAGAGCCGUUCAAGUUCUUCCAGAUGUGGUGAUACCCUUGAUACCAAAAUGGUGAUGGCGAGUCUUCUUACCGAGCUCAGUCGGAUUUUGGAGCUGGAAAUCAAGAAUGCGAUAGAGGUGGGCGAGAAUCCACACCCUCAAUAUACUGAUGCUGUGAAUGCCAUUUCUGAAGCAGUCGCCAUCCUGCAAGAUUGUGGAGGUGGCAUUGACUACGUGAACGUUUUGAUGGCAAAGGCCAUGCUGAUGUAUAAAGAUCCGAGUGCAACAGGUGAUCCACGGCCAGGCUUACGAGUUAUCAAGGAGAUUAUUUUCGAGGCCGAGACGGAGGCAGAGCGAAUCUACACAGCCGCUUGCGUAUCCUCGAUAAAUCCUCUCACCAUUUCGUUGCCUGCGGCACGAUUACUCGCAGCAGUUAAGAACGCCAGGGCUGGUUGCCUGUUGGAAAUUGCACAUGCUGAGAAAGUCCUAGAACAUGUGGACAGAGAAAACAACAGACCCGAUUUUCCUUCUAUCCAAGGUGUGGAUGCGACUGCCAUCCUUGCAUUUCUUGACGAUAACGCCCCAGAGAGUUUCAAGGAUACUCUCAAUGACGCAGAGGAGGCAAUUGUCGUUGCUUCGGAAGCCACCAAUUUGCACAAACGCGAUGAUGGCAGAAUCGAUUCACUUUGUCUCUUGGGUGAAGCACUCCUUGCGGUCCACAAUGCUCAAACGAGGACCAAGAUUUGGCGCAAACCCCCUCCAGUUCCUCCGCCGACACCUCCCCCUCCACCUGCACCUCCUACACCAGACGAGAAAGAAGAGGAAGCAGCUGCAGAAGCGGGCGAUUCAAAGGAGGAUUCAGAAGGUGCCGAAACAGAAGACGUGAAGCCUGAGCAAGUAGCUGAUGAUGCGCCUGAAGGUGAUAGGCAGAGCGUAGCGAGUGACGCGGAGACAGACAUCCCUUCAGUCGGCGAGGAAGACGAGGAAGAUGAAGAGUCGCAUUUACCUCACUCCACGUUUCGGGGCGAGCUUGUCAAGCCACGUGCGAUACGUUCUCUCGAGCAAGCUAUACAGUUCGGAAUUGAGGCGUGCAAGUACGAUAUCGUUUCCAAGGCUGCCGUGCAUCUUGCUCAUGCGCAUGGGUCUGCUGAUACCGGUAAAGCAGCAGCGGCUCUUGCGCUAGUGCAGUCCUGCCAAGCCGUUGAAACGCACUUGUCAAUUUUCAUUUCAGCGGCUGACGAGAAGGACAUCGAAUCGCUCAUAAUCAGGAAUGACAGGAUCAUUCAGGGCGCUCUGAACGACAUGACAUCCAGUAAAUACAGUGCUUCACUUUUUGAGCGCUUGAAGACUUCUUGCACAGCAUGGGGGAAACUGCAGAUUGAUGCAAAGCAAGCACUGUCGGCUUCUUCGACUUUGCCCGAUGAUCUCUACGUCUUUUCUUUACAAUGGCUCGUCGGGCGAGGUGGAGAUACGUCGCUAGCGAUCGCCAUCCACGGCAAAGACGAUGAGCGGACUGGUGCGUACGUCGUGUCAGCUAAUCAGGAGCAGCUUGAAGCUGCUGUGCAACUCACCGCGACGUAUCGCUCAAAUGUCGAAAAAGCUGUUAUUGCAGCGAGCUCAUCCGAAGAUCCGGAUGCACUACAAUCAGUGUUCGAAUCCGUGGAUAUUGUCGCGGGUUGGGAUGAGGUUCGAAAAGCAACGGAGUGGGUCCUCGAACCGAUCAUUUCAGCUUGGAGAUCCUUCCUGGGCAAGGGGGGCUCAAAGGAAAAGAAAAUUGUACUGCUGGUUGACGAGGCGCUUGCAUCACUGCCCAUCGAAGCUUUGGAAUUCUUGAACGAUGCCGAGAGUAUUUCGAGAGACUUCUCACUGCAUAUGUUAUCCAAUCGGCUCGCGCGGGGUUCAGACAUUACAGCUGCGCACAUGACGGCGCUAAUUGACCUUCGGAAGGAAGAUUUGCCUCAAUCCGAUGCUGACAAAAUAAGAAUUCCAGGGGAGUUUGCUCUCCUGCAGCAGAAGUUCGGAUCAGGCUGGAAUGUGUUGAUGGGAACACCUGAAAGCAUCCCGGGGGAGGCAGAGUGUCAACGCGCGAUGGCUGCUGCGAAGGCGCUCCUGUACUAUGGUCAUGGUCGGUUUUUGUCAUACGUGUCGCCCUCGGCAGUUGCCAGUGUUGACUUGUCCAGUUGCCGACUUGCUGUAUUGGCAUGCAACACAAACAAUGAAGAAUCCCAAAGGAUGCAGGCGAUGCUCGACGGUAGGAAGACUGCCGAAAAAAAGGCUCUUGAAGAACCUUACAGGACGGCCGCGCUGUUGUCCAUGCGUGGUGUCGAAUCUAUUGUGCUGCCAAGUUUCACUGUAGGGAAUGCAAGAGCCAAUUCGGAAUUCCUUACCUCCGUGUUGGGAGGCGGUCCCGUGGCGAGCUCUGUUUGGAGGGCUGAUACACCAAAGCCACCAAGGAAGGAAGACGAAAUCGAAGAAAAUGAACCGGAGGAGAAGGAAGUUGAGGAACCAGAGGAGGGAGCGAAGGCGGAGGGCGAAGAUGAAGCCGGUGACGAUGAGGCGGAGGCAGUUGAGCCACCGCCGCCUCCACCACCUCCUCCGCCGCCAAGUGGGCCAUACAGGACAUACGUGGUUUACGGGCACCCUCUUGUCAAGAUUAGCUAGUAAGUAGACACGAAAGGUUUCAAUAGGACACGCAAAUGAACCAAAGACGUAUUAGUUUUUCUAAUUGUUCUUCUAGGGAUCAAGGCUGUACAUGCGAGCAUUUGCUCACGACAAAUCGACACCACGCAUCCGAACAAUUACUGAACUAGGCGCUCCUUGAGGACAUCCAUGACCAAGCCGAAAUCCUCCUUCACCUCCACCGGAGGGUUGGCGAACUUGCCAACGAUACCUUCAAUCUCACCAGCGUGGUAAGCGACCUUACUCUGCGCGAACUUCAGACCGUGCGCGGUGCUCACCACCACGACCUUAUCGCUGGGGCCGAUAGUCUGAGCCUCCCUGAGCUUCUUGAGCGCCGCCAGGGCAACACCAGUGUGGGGGCAGUUGAACAUGCCCGUGAGGUCAGCCUCAGCAGCGGCGUCCAUAAGCUCCUCCUCGGUCGCCUCCUCCACGAUUCCGUUCGUCUCCUUCAGCGCGUAGACGGCGCGGUCGAUGGACACAGGAUCGCCAAUCUGGAUGGCGGAGGCAAAGGUGGGCUCAGCCUUGAUCGCCUCGAACUUCUCGAACCCGGUCUUGUACGCGCGGUACAGGGGGUUUGCGUUGUGCGCCUGUGCCACCACCAUCCUGGGAAGCUUGUCCACAAGCCCGAGGUCCUUGCACAUUUUGAAUCCCUUGAAGAAAGCGUAAACAUUUCCAAGGUUUCCACCGGGGAUGAUGACGUAGUCGGGAACCUGCCAGUCAAACUGCUGGAGGAUCUCGAUUGCGGCGGUCUUCUGUCCCUCAAGGCGGAGGGAGUUCAGGGAGUUAGCCAGGUAGAUGGGGAGCUCCGCGGUCACCUCGCGAAUAAGGCGCAUGCAGCCGUCGAAGUCGGUGUCAAUGGACAGCACGAGGGAUCCGUUAGCAAUGGGCUGCACGAGCUGCGCCAGGGAGAUCUUGUCUGCGGGGAGGAACACGAUGGAUGGGAUGCCCGCAGCCGCCGCGUACGCGGAAAGGGCGGCGGAGGUGUCACCAGUGGACGCGCAUCCGACGGCCGCUAGCGGCUUACCCUGUUUCCUCAUCCUGUUCACCUGGGACACGAGCGCGGUCAUACCGAGAUCCUUGAAAGAGCCGGUGUGGCUGUUGCCGCACUGCUUCACCCACAGGUCAUUCAUGCCGAGCACCUCGCGGCCGUAGCGGUCGGCCCAGAAGAGGUUGGAGUUGCCCUCGAACAUGGAGACGAUGUCGUCGUCCGAAAUUCCGGGGAGGACCCACUCCUUCUUGCUCCACACGCCGGAGCCGUAAGGCCAGACGGUCUUGCCGACGCGCUCGUCAAAGAGAGCCUUCCAGUACUCAGGAGGGUAGAUGGCAAGGGCCUCCAUGUCGUGCUGGACAUCGAGGAGACCGCCGUUCUUGCUCCGGUAGAUGACGUCGUCGAUGGAGUACUCCUCGUUCUGAUCGCCAGAAAAGGGCACGUACUUGCAGUUGAAAAGUGUGCUCUUCUCGAGAGGAGCUGCGAGAGAGGGGCGAAGGUCAGCGCGGGAUAGGGCUGAAUUAUGUGCGAGGCUCUCGGGGUGAAUCUGGAGGGUUUCGUGUGAUCGGCUGGGGCUUGCGCACUCACCACGACGGCCGGCCUGCUCGCGGAUGCUCCCAGUUGCGGCACGAACGCCAACAUUGACCUUGCGGGCGCGGGACUGAUCGUUAAUAGCCACGGGCUUGGCGAUGGACCUGGAGCUCAGGGAGCGAGCGCCAGUGGCACCACGGCCGCUGAAGACAAGGGCCGAAUUGGGGGCGAAAGCAGCCAUGACGCUGGUGAGAUACAGACGAGGCUGUUAACCACGGAGGAAGGAGCCGGCGAUGAUAGCAGCGACCGGACCGACUUCACGACAGCACGAUGUGCCCCGUGUUGGUUACUCCUGUAUGCACGGAGCCUUUGAGGGCGCCGCCCCAAGAAACUUUCGCUAAACCCUGAAAAAGCCUCUCACGGAUGACGUUGUGGGAAAUCUUCCCCGUAUCAUGACUGAUUAUCGUGUAAAACGAGGCGAAAGAUUGAAGAAAUAUGGACUGGACGCCUCGUUUUCCCUGCUUAGUAUAUGGCUCCCGCACCGGUUCGAGCGACGAUUUCCCAGGGCGCGACGCGGAGCGCGACGCAUAAGCGGACGCACGAUCUCGUCGGGCAUGAUUCGCUCGAUAUUCAGGGCUUGCAGGUCGGCGGCGAACAGGAUGCCGCCGCCGGAGCAUAUCAUGCCCGUGGCGGCGCGCGCGACUGCGAGAUCUGCGCGCCAGUCAUUCCAUCACGUCCCAACGGUGACGCGUCCAUCUUCGUCCUUCGCCGCGCGAUCGGGAGUGAACCAGCAGCGGCCGUCGUUCGCAUGCUCAGAAAUCGCUGGACGGGCUCACUCUUUCAGCACUGAGUCUUCCGAAGAGAAGAAAGAGGACGAUAAGGCAGGGGAGGACGAUGAGACGGAGGGAGCGGAGGACGGCGAGGACGUCAACGAAGACGAGGUCGCAGAUGAGGAGGUGCAGAAGCUGACGGCUGAGUUGAGCGAGAAGACAGCGCAGGUUAAGGAUCUGAACGAUAAGCUCCUCCGUACGCUUGCGGACAUGGAAAACUUGAGGGAGCGGACGAGGCGACAAGCGGAGACGGCCGAGAAGUUCGCCAUCCAGGGUUUCUGCAAGGAUCUCCUUGACGUCGCCGACAACCUCGCGAGAGCAUCUGCUACCGUCGACCCCGAGGCCCUGGAGACGGAGACCGACGCGGCUAACAUUAAAAACGUACUCGCUUCGCUGCACGAGGGCGUGCUCAUGGUGGAGAAGCAGUUGAUGUCCACCUUUGGGAAGCACGGCGUGGUGAAGUUUGACCCGGCGGAGGGUGACCCGUUCAAUCCCAACGAUCACAUGGCGUUGUUCAACGUUCCAAAGGGCGAGAAGGAGGCGGGGACGGUCGCAGCCGUGACCAAGGUGGGGUACAAACUCCAUGAUAGGGUGAUCCGCCCGGCCGAAGUCGGCGUGUUCCAGAGCUAAGUUUACCGUUUUCUAUUCUAUGUCAUGUGAAGGUUCUCGAUGCUAAUAAUCACCUCACUUGACCGGCGUCGCUCGAAGACCGGUGGAGAACUCGAGAUGUUUUGACCGGUCGGUAAUAACGCAGUGCCGGCUAACGUCCGGGUCUGGGUCGUUCCUCAGAGCCUCUGCAGCUGCACUCACAUCCGGCAGCUCAGCAAAAAUGUCCUUAGUCCGCAAAUUUGCGAGUGACUUGGCCAGCUCCGACCUCACGUUCGGGACGUUAUCGUCCACUGUCAUCAACAUGAGCGGCAGGAGCUCUUCGAUGAGCACGUUAUCGUUUAUUGAACCCGCGAAAGCGCCGCAGAUACGAACAUACGCCUGGCGAUCUGCCCAGUGCUGGUUUGUUGCCAUAAGCUUAAUCGCAGACAUGGCACGGCCUAUCUGGCCAGACCUCCAUGCGGACGAUGAUCCAUCCGAGCUAUUCUGCAGUACCGAACCGAUAACCGCGAUGCAUGCUUCUCUGACCGCGGAUGCGGGAUCUUUCAACAGGCGAAGGGCGAGUGGUAUUGUCAUCUCCUCAUUCGCAGACGCCGGCAAAAUCUUAGAAAGAUCUCCAAGUUGCUCAGUCAUCGCUGCCCUGAGCCUCCAGUUCCCAAUCGUCACGUCCGACUUUGGCGUCGCAAUCCUUGCGAGCACAUGCAGGUGGUCCAGUCGUACGGUUGGAGGGAUCUCGCGCAUAAAUGCUGCCAGGUUAUUCACAACACCGAUGCUCACCUCGUCCGUGUCGCCAAGCAUCUCCUGAAACACCGGCACGAGAUCUGCAUCUGCCAGCUCGCUGCCAAGUAUUCUCGCCAUCUCAUGCAGCGAGCAGGCUAACGAGCGUCGCACCUUCCAAUGCACGCUGUGGGCGAGCAUGUCGUACGCACCCCGGAUUUCUGCCCAUCGUUCACGCCCCAGCGUGAGUGCAACGCCUGGCAUAGCGAAUGCGCACGAGAGCUGCAGGCCACUCGCGCUGCCUCCUGUGCUCUCCGCCAUGCUCACGAAAUGGUCUACCAGAGAUUCGCUCGUGCGCUCUCUUCCCAGCUCGGCGAUGAGUGGGCCGAGGUUUUCGAGCAUCCCGGUCCUCACUUGAAGGCUCACAUCAUUCGCGAGUGUUUCAAAAAGCUCCUGCGCAAACGCGGCGAAAGCAUCUUGCCCGACGCUCUUUGACAGUCCCACCAGAGAGUCUGCGCAGGCCUUGCGCACGGACCACACCGGGUCGUUCGCCAGUGAGCUAAAAAUAUCAAAUAACUGUAUCACAGCAUCGGUCCCUCUCAAGGUUUCGCCCGCACGCACCGUCGCCCGCACUGUAGCCUCCCUCACCUGCAGCGCGCCGUCUUUAGAUAGCUCUGUCAGCAGGGGCGCAAGCGUGGAAGCCGUGGUCUCCGCACCGAGCACCUCCGCGAGCUCACCUGCGAUCUUCGACCCGGAUAUCCUGAUCUCCUCCUCCUCGCACCUGCACAAUUCUUCCACGCGCGAUAUCAGAAACGCCCGCUCCUCCCCGGUGGUGCAAAGCGUCGCCACCGUCGCCGUCGCGUCCUCUGCAGCAGCAACCACGCCGUCCGAAUCGUCCUCCACCAGGAGGAACGCCACGUUGAGCAGGCCGAGCGCGAGGUCGUCCUCCUGCUUCCUCCUGGAGAUUUUUAUGGCGUUGGUCAAUACACCGAGCUGCUCUGCGACGCUCUGUCUGACCUCGCUGUCGUCGUCCUGCGCGAGAUCCUCGAGCAGGUCGAGGGGGAAGGGCUCGGCGCCUACCCGCAGCGCGUCUGCGCACACGCGACCAAGGCUUCGGACGUGAAACAUGCGCUGGACGGAGACAGUACAUUCCCUGCAAUACUGUGCGCAGAGCUGCAGGUCGGUCAGCCCGUCCGUCUCGAGGUCGACUGCCGACGCCUCCGCCUCCACGUACCGCUCCGUCGCGAACUGGAGCAGCUCGGGCUCAUCCAUGCAGCCUCCGCCGACGCCCUCGUAGCUCAUGGCUGUCGCGACAAGGUUCUUCACGGGGUCUGGUCUGGGUCGUCGGACUAUUGCGCGAUGAUCGCCACCAUUGCUCCCGGAACCACAACGAUCGCAGCGCGCACGUUCGCUCCACCACUGCUCCGUGAGUCAGCUCCUGACAGUUGAAGCACGUGCGUCGGACUUCACUCCUUCACCUGUUCACUUUGUUCUCGUCAGCGUUUACUGACCUGUUUCCAAGAAGUUUCUCAUUAGAUUUAUUUAUUUCCGGAUGGUCACAUGGAAGUUUAGUCACGCAUUUCUAGCAGUCUGAGCUACGGGUUAGGUGAUCUGAAACCUUUUCGCCUCCCUGGCGAAAAAAAAUCACGUGAAAAAGCGACAGGAUUGCUUCCUCUGCGCGUACCCUAAAUUUGGAACAAAAAUAAGGCUUGGCAAGCAGGCCGCGGAGAAUCAUAAUUGCCUCUCGGAAACCCGCGCGGUCGGUCAUAGCGUGCGGCGAAGAGUUCUGACGAGUUCUUCGCUCCGCAGGCCACAUGGCGACUGAUAUCGACGUGAGUACUCCCUAGAUCUUUAUUCCGCACUUUCUCCGGCGACACGCAUCGUAGCGGGGCGGACGUCGUGGCCCCCCGACGAUUUCGCGUUGACCAAAAUUGGCAGAUGUCGCACUGCCGCAGCCGCGAUUCGAACGUACCCGGGCGAGACGCGACACGGAGCGCGACCGUCCCUUACGAUUUUCGCGCGAUCAAUUCGUCGCCCGCUACGCCUCAUCGCGGUGUUUCCGCACGUGUCGUUCUCAUCCGCGCCUCCUUCUCACCCUAUCUCGAUUUCCCUCCUUUUGAUCGCGCAGAGGUACGACGAAGACCUGGGCGCUCCCGCCGUGAGCGCGAAGCCCAAAGGCGGAUCAGCGGCUGGCUCUUUUCGCGACGACGCAUCGUAUGCAUCAUACCAGCGUGACGAUGCCGCUGAAGAAGCUGCUCGCGCUCGACGAAUGGCGAACUUCGAGGAGCAGGCUCUGAUAGCACGAAUCAGGCGCCUCCAGGACAAGCUCGAGACUACGGUGGAGAGGAGGGCACAGCUCGAGGUGCUCAUGCUGGAGACCACCCAGAAGAUGCGCGAGGAGAAACUGGCUCGUAAGGAGGCCGAGGAGCAGUACGAGGACAUGAUCAAGCAUCUCAACGACGCCACCACGAACAGGCUCAAGGUCCAGGAGGCCGCGCAGAAGCUCGAGCAAGACGUGACGGACAUCAAGAGUCUCGAGACGCAGAUCAACAAGUUGCGUUCCAUCGAGCUCCCAGGUCUGCAUCAUGACCUCGAAAAAACUCUCGGCGCGGCCAGGGAACAGGCUGAGGAACUUGCAAAUUUCGACACCAUGUCCAACUCGCAGUCGCGCACUAUUGAGCAGGAAAGGCUCGAAGUCAUGAACGCGUACGAAGAAGAGCUUCGAGUAUUGGGACUGCAGGUCGCCAAGCUCACCGAGCACGUCACCGCGGCUGGUACGCUGUCUCAGCGAGACUCCGAAGUCAUCAAGGGCCUCAUUUACGAUGAGGCGAAGAUGCUAUCUGCGGCGCAGGGCGACGUGGAGAUGCGCAAGGGAGAACUGAAGCAGAUUGACGCCAAGCUGAUGAGGAUCAUGAAAGUUCUGGAGCACACCCAGGAGGCUAACUACGACCUUCGCACCGCCUUGGACCACACCGAAAAGAUUCUUGAGGAGACCAAAGCAAACGACGAGCGCGAAUACAAGUACAUGCACCGUCGCCUGACGCAGCCUUACCUGCGUGAGGAGCUCAUCCAUGACGGUUCCGACUUCCAGCCAAGGACCAACCCGCUGCCGAUCUCCAAGCCCAAGAAGGCCGUGUUGAAUGUCUCUGAGCGACUCAGGGGUUCCAGGAGGAAGCCUCUCGUCGAUGAGGAAGAAGUGGACGCGGCCAACGACGAGAUGGGCACCAUCGCGGGUAUCAACAUUUUGGAUGAUGAGGAGAUGGGCCGCAUCGCUGACUCCGAGGCGACUGUUGAAAGGACUCUCGAGCACGAGCUCAGCACCAUGAUGAUCAAUCCACCAGAUCCCCUCGUCAAUCAGCCCAAGCUGCCGCCUCCCACCGGAACUAUCGCAGAGGCCAUGGAGCCAAACCCAUCUGAGGGUGAGGUACUGGUGUCUCAGUCUUUGAUGCUCUUGAAGGAGAUGCAGGCAAAGCAGGCUGCUACGCUCCAGAAGUUUAGCAAAGACAGGCUGGACCGCUACUCCAUGUCCAUCUCUCAGCUUGACAAGCAGCUCGAGCAGAACAAGAGACACCUCUCAGACGUGGAGAAUGACGGCGACUUCUCCAACUGGAACGAGAAGAUUCCUGAGACCCCAGAGGUCAUCAAGCCCGACUCCACGGCCGCCAAGAAGGAAGCUGCGCAGCCAAAGCUGAAGCCUGGGAAAGCCGCUGGCCACUUCAACAAGGAGAGCGCCAUGGAACUGUUCAAUCGCUACGACACGGACAGGAGUGGGAAAAUCAACAAGGCAGAAAUCACCGCCAUCUUCAUUGAUUUGAAACUCUUCGAGACCCUGGAUGAUGACGAGCUCAUUCCAGCCAUCGAAAAAGCUUGGGCUGAGGCAGACGCCGAUGGCAGCGGUGAGAUCGACUACAAAGAGUUCGUGCAAUUCAUCGGCAAGUUUGAUCACAUCAAGCCCAAACAAGCAAUGCCUGCCAACAUUCCCAAGGGCUAUGAUGGCAGCGAGCAGGACAUUGUCUUCCAAGUUUUCAAGAACUGCUGGUGCGGAAGCAAGAAAAAUCCAAGCAAGGUUGCAAUGCAGAAGACAAAGUACCUCAAGGCGAUGAAGAAGAUGGGAUACGUGGACAGCACCACGAUGAAUGCGACCACGCAUCAAAUUCAAUUCAUGCGGAACGCAGUCAACAAGAAGUGGCUCGAAUACGAUGGAUUCUUGAGGCUGCUUGCCAAGAUAGCGAGUUCCUUCCAGGUGCCCUUUAAGAAGGUCGCGAGUGACUUCACCACCAGGUGCACAAUCAACUCAAAGAUGAAGGCAGCGCAAGGUGGUAAGUCGAAGUCCCAAGCUGAAGACCAGCCAGAGGAUGAGGAAGAAGAGGAGGAAGAGGCUGGUUUUGGAAUCCGCGGAGAUGUUGAGGACAUUGAGCCCCCUGCUGCUUUCGCUGCUUUCGCCAACGAGGAGGCUGCGGAUCCUGUCGACCCAGACGAGGCAGCUGAUCCCCUCGAGCCCACCGAGCCCGCAGAUGCCGCCGAGCAAGCAGGGCCCGGGAUCGAGAUGUCAAAGAAGGCUGCAAAUCUCGCCAAGCUGAUGAAGAAGCGAGCGAAGAAAGGGCACGACAUGAAGAGUUGGGACACCAAGGACGCGAUUGACAAGAUUGGUCAGUCUGCCGUCCCAAAGAGCAUGGUGCAGGAGUCCGGCAAGGGCAUGACCAUCAAGGAACUCUUCAAAAGGUAUGACGUGGACAACAGUGGUGGACUUGACCAGGAAGAGUUGAAGCAGGUGAUGAAAGAUUUGGAAGUCAUGCCCUCCGGUAUCACUGAGGAAGAGGCUGCGUACACGCUCGGAGAAUACUUCAAGUUGGCAGACGAGAACAGUGACGGCAUUAUCAGCUGGGAGGAGUUUGCCCUCUUCUACAGGGACUUGCAGGAAGUGAAGAAGAGCGAUUUGGAUCAUGUCCCUGUCACUGUGCCGAAGAAGUACAGAAACAGCAAAGAGUUCUUGGAGAUAUUCGUCAAGCACUGUUCCUUCGGGGCUGGUCAGAAGAGAGUGGAGGAGAUGGCGAGCAAGUCGUUCUUAAAAUGCUUGAACGAGGUUGAUGUGAUUGACAACAAGCAGCUGACCGAAGCCAUGGUUGAUCAAGUCUUUACAAAGUUUGUGAAGGAUCAUCCGCGUAAGAGGCUCACCUACAACAAGUUCCUGGACGCCCUCGCUCAAAUCUGCUCUUACAAGGACCUUGAUUUUGAUGACAUUGCCGGUUACAUCCACGACGAGGGUGGGCCAAAGGUCACCGGGAGCCAAGGACCAGCAACGAUGCGCAAGACGGGCCUCCCGGAUCGAUCCGGCGGAUCUGGUGACGAUCGCCCGAAGGCUGGUACGCAGAAGCUGCCCAAGAAGGCGGCUCCAGCCAAGGAGAAGUCGAGGAUCAACGUGCUCAAGUCUGGGUCGGGCAAGGCGGAGUUGACUGCGAGGAACGUCUUCGAUAAGUUUGACGAUGACGGCCAAGGGCAAAUCGACCGCGUCGAGUUCAAGCAAGUUUGCAUCUUCCUGGGUCUUGACAAGGAAGAAGGCUUCGAUUUCGAGGAGGAGUUCGACACGGCCAACAAAUCCGACACUGGGAUGAUCUCCUGGAAUGAGUUCAACGUUUGGUUCAACGGUCUCAAGGGCAAGGCAGUGACCAAAGUCGAAAAGGUAUCAUCUGAGUUGGUCAACGACAAGGAAUUCAAGACUCUGUUCGAAGAAUGGGCUAACUUUGGCAUUCCCACUAAGAAGCAAAAGAAGGUCGCCGAAAUGCAAAGCGCAGGCUUGAACAAAAUGCUGAUGAAGACGGGCCUUAAGAAACCAGGAAUCGAGCACGCAUGGAUGGACAACGUUUUCAAGAAGCAUGCGGAGAAGCCAAACGCCAAGGUGAUGAAAUACAGGCCUUUCCUCGAUUGUCUUGCGGAGAUCGCGGCCACGGACAAAAAGAAGCUCGAUGAUUUCGUGAAGGCAAUAAAGGAGCACGGAUCCCCCAAGGCGAAGGCCACUGAGGUGGAUCACCUCGGUCGUCCGAUCCGCUAGACCACCAGCUAAGCUAGCACAUGUGAAAUAUUUGCGUUUAUUAUUCAUCAAUGGUACCAUGCUGUGCUCUUCCUGCCGUAGUUGGGCACAGCGGGUCUCGCCUGCGCGGCGUCAAAGUCAAUCAUAGACUGGUAGUCCUUCUCCGCCUGAAGUGCGCCCUCCCAUGCCUGUCGCGCGUCCUCCUUCUGCUUCCUCGCGAGGGAGUCCUUGUACUGAAUCUGCGCCUCGAUGUCGAGCCUGUUCUUCAUGCGCUGCGCGUGAACUCUGGCUUUGUGCUCCUCCUCGACCGCGUCCAUCUCCGCGAGUUCUUUGCGCAUUCGCAAUUUAUCGGUGAUCUUGGCCUCAGCAGCCAUUUCUCGCGCAAUCGCGUGCUGCGCCAGCUGUCGCUCCCGAUCGGCAUGCACCUCUGCCAUGAGCUUUGCCCUCGCCGCCUCGGCACGAUCCUUCUCAGCUUGGCGCUUCGCCUCAUAAAGAGCCUGCUGCUCCGCAACCAGCCUGUCGCGUUCGGACUCGUCCUCUCCGUCCUUCUGAAGCAAGGCGGCCAGAUGGGUUCGGUAUAUGGCAUCCUGCUCCUUCUUGCGCUCCUUCAGCUCAGCCUCCCUCGCCUCCUCCUCGGCCUUCUGCCGCAUGGCCUCCUCCAGGAGCUCCCGGUUGAUCGCCUCCUCGCGUUCCUUGAUCGCCGCGAGCUCAGCCUGACGCGCUGCUUUGAACGCCUUGAGUUCCUCGCCGAUCCUCAUGUUCUUCGCCAACUUGGCGGCGAUGUCUGCGUCGUGUCGCGCCUCCUCCGCCGCCCACCGCGACUUCAUCUCCUCGACCUCGCGCUUGGCAGCUUCAGCCUUCUCCGCACGAAGCUUACGGUUCUCAGCCACCUGCUGGUCCAGCACCCGCACGGCUUCGUCCGCUUUUUUCUUGAUGUCCGCCAUCUCACGCGCGUGCCUCUCCUCCUUCUUAAGUCGCUCCGCCUCGUACAUCACCUCGAAUGCGGCGUGCUCCCUCGCCGCCGUCUCCCUCGCCGCCGCCUUCUCUUCGAGCUGCGAUGACCUGCCCUCCAGUGCGGCCCUGAGCUGCGCGUUGGAAUCGCCCUGGCGGACGCCGUCGCAACUAUCGCGCCACUGGCGGUACAGCAUUUGCUCGGCGAACGCGACGCGUUCCUCCUCUCUGCGCCGCACCAGGUCCACGGCGCGCCUCUCCAGCGCGGCUCUUCGCUCCUCAGGCGUCACCUGGUUGGCCACCAGCUCAUUCUGCAGGGCCAGCUCCUCGGCGUGGAGCUUGGCCGCGAGCUUACGGCGGCGCGCGUCGACGUUGGCCUCCGCCUGGGCCUUGAGCGCCUCGAACCUGAGUGGAGUGGAGCAGGGCGGAAGGAUGCGUCAGUCAGCAAUUGCGGUCAACUCUCAGGUGUAUCGGGGGGAACUCUGGGAGAGAGGUAACGCGGUGCGCGGGGGGGUGUAUCGGGUCGUCGCGCGCCCUUACCGCUGCUUGAACUGGUUUCUGGCUAUCAUGUUGUUGCUGUUGUGCUCCCAGACGGCACCAAACUCCUUCGUCUUCCACGACUGUUACGGGGACGGGAGGUGACGCAGGUCAGUCGUGGACAAAUUGAGGGGAAACUCUGCGCGCGGGGACGAUAGUCGACAAUGGGGUUCGGACGAGAAGAUUGAGGCGCGGGCUAUACCUUGACGUAGGCUUGCAUCUGGUUGCUCUUCUCGUCGGCGGCGCGCAUCUUCUGGAUGCGGAAGUCCGCGGGGGGCCUGGUGGUGAACAUCUCGUCCCGAUGUGUCUCUCCGCUUUGGGCUCCUCUGCAAAAAUGCCGGAUUCGGCUGGUCCGGGAAGUCGUUCCUGGACGUGUUUACGCGCUUACAGAGGCCUGUUGAGACCAAGGGGGCGAACUGUGGGUGACGAGUGGCGAUGUCUGCGUCGUCUUUUGUGGCUGGAAGUGCCGUCGCGUCUCCCUCAAGACCACUCUCCGACGGAAUUGUUUCCCAGGGGUACGAGACCAACGUCUCUCAUUUUUCCAGUUCUCCCUCUGCCAGUCCUACCAGUUAGGACCACUGCCGCGGCGACGGAAAUAAGUUGCCCGUCCCAGCGGAAGGGGGCAGAGAACAGGUCCCGAGCCACGUCGCUCUGGGAGGCAAGGAUCUCAUCACAAGCAUGGCGACCCUCGCGGACUCCUUUCUCGCGGAUCUCGAUGACCUUAGCGAUGAGGACGAUGUCGCGGAUGAGCCCGUGAAGGACGAGCCCGCGGAGGAUGGCGUGAAGGCGGAGGCGGCGGAGGGACCCGUCAGCGGCGUGGACUUCAGGUCCCUGGACGCCGUCGCAAAGCUGGUUGGCAGCGAGCGAUAUCGCAGGGUCAUCUCUCAGGUGGACGACGCGCUCGCGGCUGACGCCAAAAAGAUGGAGGAGGAAGGCGACGCAUCUGCGGGCCCAGGCAGCACUCUGGGCGUCGUGGACGAGGGCGCGUACCAGCUCAUUGUGGACUGCAACGCGCUGAGCGUCGAGAUCGAGAACGAGAUCCAGGUGGUGCACAACUUCAUCAGGGACAGGUACAGGUCCAAGUUCCCGGAAUUAGAGUCGUUGGUGAUGCAUCCCAUCGACUACGCCCGCGUGGUGAAGGCCAUCGGCAACGAGAUGGACAUGACCAAGGUUGAGCUGGAGAGCGUGCUGCCGAGUGCGACAAUCAUGGUGGUGUCCGUGACGGGGAGCACCACCAACGGGCAGCCACUGAGUGCAGACGACCUCGAUACCACCGUGCGCGCGUGUGAUGUACAGUUGCAACUCGAUGCGGACAAACGCAAGCUCGUCGCACUCGUGGAGGCUCGAAUGGACCGCACCGCACCGAACCUGAGCGCGGUGCUCGGCCCGGAGGUUGCGUCUAAGCUGAUGUCAGUGGCGGGUGGCCUGGUGGCGCUGUCCAAGAUGCCGGCAAAUAACGUGCAGGUUCUUGGUCAGAAGAGGAAAUCAGCCGCGGGCAUGUCCAGUGCGACCGCCGUCAGGGCUGGCGACUUACACGUCGGCUUCAUCAACCAGUGUGACAUCAUCCAGCGCAAGACUCCACCGCCACUUCGCAUGCGCGCCGCUCGCUUGGUCGCCGGCAAGUGCACGCUGAUGGCUCGGGUGGAUGCCUUCGGCGAGGAUCCAAGCGGAUCGACGGGGCGCAACAUGCACGAGGAGAUGGUCAAGAAGAUAGAGAAGUGGCAGGAGCCCCCCCCGGCCAGGACCGCCAAGCCGCUCGCGAUCCCCGGCGGCGAGGUGAAGAAGCGAAGAGGCGGCAAGCGAGCGCGUGCUUGGAAGGAGAGAUUUGGCGCGAGUGACAUGAGGAAGGCUGCGAACAGGGUCAACUUCAACGUCGCCGAGGAGGAAAUCGGAUAUGAGGGCGAGGGUUUGGGAACACUCGGAACAUCCGCGGGGAUGGCGGCGGCGAGCGGGAAGCUCAAGCUCACGGCCAAACCCGCGAAGAUGAAGGUGCCCAAGAAUUUGCAGAAGAAGAUGAUGAACUACGGCAGUGGUGGCGCAACGAGCGGGCUGUCCUCCUCCCUGGCAUUCACGCCAAUCCAAGGUAUCGAGCUGGUGAACCCAAACGUGAACAAGGACGCAACUUCAGGGACGGACUCGGUCUUUUCAGAGAUGAGAGGGUUCCGAAAAGUCAGCGCCGGGACGCUGCAGCGCGAGCUCAAGGACUGACGAAUAACCUUACCCGGUUUAUAGACUCCAUAGCUACUUUCUCUAAGGAUACACGGUGCCUUCGGUGCCGAAACGUUAGGCUUCGGUCGCUCUUAUAUCGGCCUGAACCGAGCACGUCAUCGCGCUUUUCGGUGCAGACGUCAUCACGCGGCGAUCUCAGAUCACUCGGCACCCAGGAGGGACUACAACUCAACCUUCCUCGCGCGCUCGGCGAACCCGUGCGAGGCGAGCAACAUCUUGAUCUCCGUCACGCUCAUCUUCUCCAAAUUUAUCCGCUCUUUUUCCUUUCCGGUCAUGUCGAACAUCACGAGUUCGGGCGCGUUCCCGGGGAUGUAUCUCACGCGCACCCCGUCGAUGAGCCCCUUGUCCACAGUCUCCUUGAAAAACUCCUUGAGACUGGGGUGCUUGUUGAGUCGUCAGCCGCUGCAAGUCUGGAACUCCAUCCUGCUGACGUCGGAGGUUGCGGUGUGUUGCUCUUCUGCAGCCACCAAGGUGACUGCGAAGAGCAGGAACGCCGAGACGAGGACCCCGACACGGGUCAUACCCUUUCCGUGCUCCUGAGACUCACCAGAUCGAGGAGGGAAGAAAUGAAAAAAUAACAAGCGGGCAGAAACCACAAAGCGCAGUGCACCGCCGCCGGGUUUUCACCAUGCUCCGAACUGCUCGUCGUCUCGCCGGGGCGGUCAGACCGCUCGGCAACGCCCCCCAGGUCCGCACCUUCGUCGCGGCAAAGCUGCCCGAUCUCGAUUACGACUACGGAGCGCUCGAGCCCGUCGUCAGCGGCGAGAUCAUGCAGCUGCACCACUCCAAGCACCACAACACGUACGUCACCAACUUUAACGUGGCGAUGGAGAAGUACUCUGAAGCGGAGAUCAAGGGUGACUACGCCACGAUGAUCUCCCUUCAGGGAGCGAUCAAGUUCAACGGCGGAGGGCACGUCAACCACUCCAUUUUCUGGAAGAACCUUGCCCCUGCGAAGGAUUGUGCGCCUCCUGACGGAGAGCUCCUUAAGCUCAUCGAACGUGACUUUGGCUCUCUCGCCAAGCUUCAAGAAAAGUUUUCCGCGCAGACCGUCGCCGUGCAGGGCUCGGGCUGGGGCUGGCUUGGGUAUGAUAAGGCUUCGGGUUCGCUCAAGAUUGCAACCACCGCGAACCAAGACCCAUGUGCAACUGUCGGCUUGACGCCUCUUCUGGGGGUCGACGUCUGGGAGCACGCGUACUACCUGCAGUACAAAAAUUUGCGCCCGGACUACGUCAAGGCGGUUUGGGAAAUCGUCAACUGGAAGAAUGUGGCGGAAAACCUCGCCGCGGCCAAGUAGGUUGCACGUCUUCGUGUCAAGAAAGCCAACUUAAAUUCAUUCAGCUAUGUCGUCGGGCCCCACGAUGAUCUCCUCCGCCUCCUCGCCCUCCACCUCGAUAUCAUCCUCGUGUUCCUCGUCCUCUACACCCGAUGCCUUGAGGAUGGCAUCGAUGCACUCUUGCCUAUCGUUGUGCAUCGCCUCGUCCAGCGCUGUCCGUCCACCCGCGUUGCACACCGCCGUCUUAGCACCCACACUCAGGAGCUUCUCGACCACCGCCGUGUGCCCGUUGACGCACGCCCAGUGCAGCGCAGUGUUGCCCUGCGCGUUCGCGAUGUUGGGGUCCGCCUCCUUCUCCAAUAAGAGCUCGACAAUCUCCAGAUGGCCGUUCGCGGCUGCGAAGAAAAGCGCAGUGCGCCCCUCGACAUCGACCGCGUCCACCGACACGCCCUGACUCAGAUACUGCUGCACAUCUUCCAUGUCGCCGUAUCUCGCAGCCUGAUUAUAAACAUGAACAGAUGGUCAGCCAGGGCAGUCUUCUUGGCCAAGAAAGGCGCCGCGGGGACGCGAGCAGGGGCGGGCGGCGGUGGGAAUUUACUAUUACGAGUGCUCACCACGACGAAGUCAUCCACGGUCUCCUGCGCUGCCUCCGCCGACAUGUCGGCUCGUUUCGAAACUAUCGACUCAAAGGCUCGAGUGGGAUCGACGCGGUGAUUCCGAUGCGACUAAGUUAGACGCGCCCCGCCAAAAGGUAUGCGCAGGCUGCGAAGGAUGAAUCUUACCAAGCGUUGUGCGGCGCCCCUGCCGGUUGGAAUUUGCAACCGACCUCCAAAGAAGGGACGCGCGGGGGGUGCACGGUUGAGCGCAGUGUCCUGUGGGCGAACGAACGCGCGAACGAUUUGUUUUUACGCGGUUAUCAUCACAACGAUAAACAGCGCGCUAAACCCUUGCCGAGGCGGAUACCCAUCCCCUCGGCACAAAGCACUACAAGAGCAAACCCCCAAAGCCGACGUGCGCGCCAUUUACUCAUCCUCCUCGCUCCUGAGCUUGGCCGACUUGUUGAUCACGUUCACGUUGAGCUGCUGCGCACGCUCCACGAUCGCCUUGCGGUUCAGAGUGGAGACGUUGUGGGCAACCUCAGCGCAGUAUUUCCUGUUGUGCAUCAUGAGAAGGUCAAGGUCGGCGACGUUGUGGACGACGAACUUGUAGAAGCCGUUGGGGAGCAGGUGCUUGGUCUUCUUGUUGGACCCGUAGCCGACGUUGGGGUGAGGGGGAAGACCCUUGAACUUGCGCCUGAAGCGGCCAUCAAUACCACGGGGCUUCCUCCAAGACUCCUGUUAUCGCGAGGGGGGAAUCGGGAGGGGCGAGGUCAGCGCGGGUGCCCGUGAGAUGAGCAGGGUGAAAAAAUCCCAGAACCCUAGUUUCCGAGCAGGACGCACGCCGCUGGCGGAGACCCGCGUGGGCGGUCGACAAUCGGUUCCGAACACGCCGCCGACUCAACGCGUGCAACCAACAUGUUCCGUUCCGGCCGAUUACCGCACAAACUAUCCCACGGAAGACUCGCGCUGCGGACAGAGCAGCGCGCAGAUCCGUUCGGGGUCUCGUACACGCGACUGUCCCACUGCCACUCGUGGAUUUGCCGGAUUCUACACGCACCUUGACGGUGACCUUGCGGUCGCUCUGGAACCGCUUGAACUUAGCGGUUCGCUUCUUGACGAUCUUAUGCUUGACGAGGGGAGUGACCUGUUGAGCGGGGAGCGUGAUGUGAGGCGUCAGCGUCACAGCGACGGAGCGCGAAGCGGAAUCUUUUAGGGUCUAGAAAAAGCCGUGAACCCCGGAGGAGGAGGCACAUCGCCGGCGGCAAACGAACGCGCCAGCGUCCCCGCCUAGCGACGACGAGGUGAGCUCGACGCGAACGGUACGGAAUACUCGUGUGAUUGUCGUUGGGGUCGUACCAUGGUCCCGUUCCCGUGUGCUACUAAAAGAGGGCAGGAUGGCUCGCGCUCCCGGGCUUAUAAAGCCUCCCCCACCUGCCCAACCGCGAAAUCUGCUCGUCGCCUCGUCCGAGGUCUUGGUUUCCAACUGUUUGCCUGUUGUGUGGGGCUCCGAAAUGUGGGAUUAUUUUCUUCAUCCCACGCAUCAUGGUUCGCGUUUUCGUUGUGAUCACCUCUCCUUUGGCACAAUGCAUGUGAUAUGUUUAUCAUGAUUUGAUGCAUCCUGACUAAAUCCCCACUGCCCAUCGUUUCCCGCCGAGCGAUCUGCUUCGCCGUUGUUGCCUUAUAUUUUCUGUUGUCUGGCCAAAAGCGAGGACCCCCCCGAAAGCCGCGCCAAUCGCGCACUAGCAGCGCUUAGUUGACCCAGGGAGUCCUAGCUUUCUCUCCCGGGCAACUUUAGGUAUCGCGAACGGGGCGGCCUCCUCGAGAGGGCUUGACUCUCACAGGAGCCAGGGUCGCCGCCCACACACCCUUUGUUGAGUUUCCCAGGGACCCCUCGCGCCUGGCAUCGGUUCGAGCACAGCGUCGACCUCGACGCCUCGCCGAAGGCAGGUGCGGGGGCUCUCCUAGGAGGGGACCGCCUCGUGAUUGGAGGAGACCGCGAAUCGUCUUGUUGUCUUGCUUGUUUGCCCGUUUCGUUGCCUUGUAGCGGUCAGGUGGAGCGGCGAUGGCGGUGCCCCGGGUGGAGAGGGUCUCCUGGCGUGGGCUGGCGCCCCGACGGUGCCGAGGGCGCGGCGGAGAGCGCCUGUGGGGGAAACUCACGCAGAUACUUAUGAUGCUUUUAUUGGUCGUUGUACCAACGGGUAAGUCAUGAUCGAACUGGUACAUCGCCUAGGGCGUCUCGUCCCUCCAUGCGACGCGCGACUCGCGGCGACGCCGCGCAAAUUUGCUUGGUGUUUUUUCCAUUCUUUCGUGCCGCGAUUUUUGAACGAGUCCCCGAACGCGACGUCCCGACUGAUCUGACCUGAUCCUCUUUGCCGCGUCGCAGUGGGUUAUGAGGUGCCCGAGGUGGAGUGGCUUUAUCCGAACGAGGGAUCGACCGGCGGUGGGGACAUUCUCACGGUCGCGGGCACCAAUCUCGGGACCCUGAAGCGAAUGAAAAACGUGGAGCUUAGAUGCAGGGUGGAUGCAACCGAGACGGCGACGAGCUAUCUGCACGACGACCUGGUGACGUGCGUGACACCUCCCAGAGGGGAAGGUUUCGUGCACGUCGAAUUCACGGUGAACGGCGAGACUGUGCAGAGCGAAUCGCGAUCACGAUACCCCAAGGCUGACGGAUACCAGUACAUAGCAGCUGGCAAGAUUGAGAGCAUCUUCCCGGUGUACGGCGAGGUUGGCGGGGGCGCGGUGAUCGAUAUCAGGGGUGAAGACCUCAAGCCCUCGUAUAGAUGCAGGGUGGGAGAGACCGCGAUGGGCGCUCAUUUCAUUUCGAGCACACUGGUCAAAUGCGAGGCUCCCGCGCAUUACGAGGAUGGGGUGACGGUUGAUGUGUCAAACCCAAAUGGCGUGUUCAAUCAGUUCUCUGACGUUGAGUUCCAGUAUGCACCGAGGGCGUCGGUGGAGAGCAUACAGCCAAGGAUGGGCAACUCGCAGGGUGGUACGGUGAUGACGGUGAGCGGAAGGAACUUCGCGAGCACCAACGCGCUGAGGUGUCGGGUGGGUACGGUAGAGACCAGUGGGGUGUGGCGGGGAUCACAUCAGGUUGAAUGUGUGUCGCCCGCAAUGCAGCCGUCGCCACCCAACUCCAGGCGCGGCCAUCCCGUCCAAAUAUCGUCCAACCAGAAGGACUUCACUUCGAGCGAAGUCAAGUUCGUGUACCAGGAGAUGUCUGGGGUGGACGCCGCGUUCCCUGCACAGCUUCCAUCUGCAGGUGGCGCGGAGGUGGCAAUCCAUCUGCCGCUUGCACAUCCAAUGGAAACCCCCAAGUGCAUGUUUGGGGACGCCGAGUCACCCGGCGUGCUGUCUGCUGAUUACGUCACGUGCAUCAGCCCGUCGAUACAGGCAGGAUUUCAUUCAGUGUACGUGGCGAGGAACGGCCAGGACUUUGAGCGCCUACCAGUUGCCGCCUCCGAGUCCAAUGCUGUGUUUGUCGAGGUGAAGCCCGCGGUAGAGGUUCACAUCGUUUACCCAGAGGUUGCAUUCAACGGAGGUGGAAGCGUGGUGCAGAUCACAGGUCGACACUUUGUUUUCGAUGAUGUGCAGUGCAAAUUUGGAUGGGUAGGAGUCACUGCGUUCGUGGUGUCAUCAGCAUUGAUCCACUGCGAGGUUCCCGCGGUUGAGUCUGGAGCGUAUGCGCUUGAGGUGACACAGCCUGGAUCCACAGCGGCAGAACCAUUGGUGCGCCCUAACUUCAUAUUUGACGAGAUGCCUCGGGUCACUGGAGUGGCUCCAUCGCGCGGCACUGUGAACGGUGGCAACACAGUCAUUGCCGCAGGGUAUUUUUUCAGCGAGAUGCACGAGAUGGCAUGCAGAUUUGGAACCAUCGGCCCGGUGUCUGGCGAGUGGAUAGCACAGGAUGAGUUCCGAUGCAUAGCCCCUGCACACGCUCCUGAGGUGGUUAUAUUCGACAUCGGCAUAGAGAAUGAUUACCAGACGUACGAUGACCCCAACGAUCGCGAGGUUUUGUAUGAGUACGUGGUGACACCCUCGCUCACAACAGUGACGGACAACAACGACGGAACUGUGACCGUAAUUGGGGCAGGGUUUCAUCCAGGAGAAAAGGUGUAUUGUAACCUGGGCAACAACUUGGGUUUUGUCCCCGGGACUGUUCAGGACUCGAACACCAUCCUGUGUACUGUUCCAAAUAGCGGAGAUGGGAUGGAGGACAUUGACGAGGCGAACACUGUCAUCACAGAUGAGUUUGGGAACAGUCUGCUGUCACCCGCUGAUCCCGACGACAAGGAUGAAGAUUUCUUACAGAAAUUACCUUCUCAGAUCGAUACCGUCGGGCCCACUUCGGGGCCUACAUUUGGGGGUACUUUCGUGAUCGUGCAGGGCAUCAAUUUCACGCCUCAGACGCUGUGCAAGUUUGGAUAUCACCCGGCAACAGUGGCGAUAUUUGUAUCGUCGACGCAAAUCAUGUGUGAGUCGCCACCACAUGCAUCUGGACUCGGACUUACUGUCGAGGUGUCAACCAACCUGGGUAUGAACUGGACCGGCGCGGGUUAUAUGUUUGCUUACGAGUCAACUGCGCAGCUGGAUUACGUGGCACCGAGGCAAGGCUCUAUGUUUGGGGGGUCCUUACUCAAGCUAACCGGUUCUGGGAUGCGAAAUACUGAGUCAUUGUCCUGCAGGGUUGGGACGAUUUCGCACAUCGCGUCCAGGUGGUUAUCGUCGUCGGCAACUUCGUGUCAGGUUCCGGCACACCGCGAAGGACCGGUACCUCUAGGCCUCCACUCCAACGCAGCUGACUACGACAUGCAUGAUGUCUCGUUUACCUACACGCCUCCGCCAAACAUCACAUCCAUUUAUCCAACAGUUGGCGUUGUGAGAGGAGGCACAAGGGUGACAGUUGACGGCGUGAACUUCCCGUCGAGCGGCAGGGCGAUGUGCAAGUUUGGCUCGAUUCCUGUAGCAGCACUAUCUCGCACGGCUAACCAGAUUGUAUGUGCAGCUCCUUCAAUGAGAGCAGGCAUGGCCACAAUGGAGGUAUCGAUUAACAAGCAGGACUUUACCAUCACAGGCACGCAAUUCCAGUUCGUCGUGCCACCGACUGUGCUCAGUAUCAACCCCAAAUCUGGUUCUGCUCGAGGUGGUACUAUAAUUGCAGUCAAUGGUGAUCACUUCAACACUGAGGGAGACUUCGAUGAGGGAACCAACUGUGUAUUCUCCAAUUUUACCAGUGAUGGUUCCAGCGAUACGACAUACGUCGUGUCAUCACGUUUGCUUAAGUGUGAAGCGCCCGCCAGUGAUUUGGGUAAAUCAAAUCUCGAGCUCUCUGUCAACGGAUUCGAUACCACUAUUGACAUGCAGGCGUUCAGGUUUGCGCAGUCGCCUGAAGUUGAGGGAUUGUACCCGUUGGCGGGUUCUGAACAGGGUGGAGGUAUCUUGGUCAUGCACGGCUCGUACCUGGGCUUCGUGGACUCGGCCGAUGUUAUGUGCCGGGUAGGCACUAUAUCUGGCGUCCAUGCAUCUCACGUGAGCACCGAUGAGAUAUCCUGCCUCAUGCCAGCGCAUGCACCGGGAAAUGUACCAGUGGAGAUAACUUUGAACAGGUUCGAUCAUACCUUCAACGAGGCCGCGUAUCAUUACGAAGCCAUGAUUACCACCCUUGGACCGAUCCCAACCCGCGUGCUGGCUGAGGGAGGAGGCGAGAUUACGCUAUCACUGUGGCCUUCAGAGGAUACCGACAUGUCCCUGGUUUGCAUUGUUGACACAUUCCCUGUGCCUGCAUCAAAGUUGUCUGCUGGCACAUUCCUGUGUAUGACCCCACCUAGAGCUCCUGGCUUUGUGGCGCUCGACAUGGCGAUUGAAGACUCAGACAUUUUGUCGCUGCAUCCCACUGUGCUGGAAUAUCAGGUGAUACCAACAGUCACAGGGUUGAAUCCUACGAUCGGAAUUGACAGUGGUGUGUCAGUCAUCAAGGUAGGUGGUCGACAUCUGGUUGGCAAUGAGGCAUUUUGCCACGUGGGGUACGAUUCUCAGGUGCAGGCAGAGAUUAUAUCCUCCGUGCUGGUCAAGUGCGAGGCCCCCGCUCAUGAGCCCGGUAGGGUGGUGAUUGAGAUUAGCACAAGUGAUCAUGGCGAACAAUUCAGCCACAACGACAUAAUAUACGAGUAUAUUGAGGAGGGUGCUGUGGUGGCAAUUGUCCCGCGCGAAGGAUCUCAAAGCGGCGGCACUGUGGUGAGGCUAGCUAUGAGCAAUCUUGAUGUUGGCACGGCAUCCUUCUUGACAUGCAAGUUCGGAACCAUCGCUCCACUACGCAGCCGCGCUGCCGGAUUAGGAGUGGAGUGUGCGUCACCAGCGCACAAAAGCGGUCUGAUUCCAAUCGCUGCAAGCUUGAACAGCGAGGUGUGGAGCACAUCCGAGCUUGCGUUUGAGUACAUGUCGUCUGCGACUGUGUUUGCUGUUGCUCCCGCCUCUGGUCCUGUGUCUGGCGGGACUGUGGUGCAUGUGAUGGGCAGCAGCCUGGUCGGCGAGAACGUGCUGUGCAGGUUUGGGCUCGAGGUUGUGGCUGGUGAGUACAUCGGCGGCAACGAGCUGUGCACGAGUGAAAUCAACUCUGCUGUCCUUCCCUCAAACGCCACUGGCCUUUCCACGAUGACGCAGCGCUCCGAGCAGUGCAUGGGCUGGGUGGAGGUGGCGUGCAUGUCACCGCCCCACGCAGCUGGCAUUGUGACCGUGGAGGUGAGCGCCACUGACGGCGGCUUCAGCACGAGCAAGGUGGAGUUUGAGUUCCAGCCGAGCGCCACUGUUUUGUCGCUGCAGCCAGCAUCUGGGCCAUCAGCUGGUGUUGGUGUGGUGAAGGUGGUCGGCGAGCACCUUGUGAGCGCUGAGCCGCUGUGUGGCUUUGGGCUGGCGGACCCUUCGUAUGCUGAGGUGGUGUCGUCAGUGCUUGCCAAGUGCGAGGCCCCAGCUCACGAGGCCGGCAUGGUGUCGGUUGAGAUGAGCAUCAGCGGCGCUGGCCAGCAGUUCACCCAGAGUGGUAUGAUGUACUCGUACACCGAGGAGGCUGCUGUGGUGGCGAUCAGUCCGCGUGAAGGGGCGCAGAGCGGCGGCACUGUGGUGCGGCUGGCUCUGAGCUCGGUGGACGCUGAUGUGUCUGGAUGCAGAUUUGGGACCAUCGGUCCGCUCAGCAGCCGCGCUGCGGGCGGUGGCGCAGAGUGCGCAUCCCCCGCACACGAGGGGGGCAUGGUGGCUAUCUCAGCCAGCGUGAACAGCGAGGUGUGGAGCACCUCCGAGCUUGCGUUUGAGUACAUGUCGUCUGCGACUGUGUUUGCUGUUGCUCCCGCCUCUGGUCCUGUGUCUGGCGGGACUGUGGUGCAUGUGAUGGGCAGCAGCCUGGUCGGCGAGAACGUGCUGUGCAGGUUUGGGCUCGAGGUUGUGGCUGGUGAGUACAUCGGCGGCAACGAGCUGUGCACGAGUGAAAUCAACUCUACUGUCCUUCCCUCAAACGCCACUGGCCUUUCCACGAUGACGCAGCGCUCCGAGCAGUGCAUGGGCUGGGUGGAGGUGGCGUGCAUGUCACCGCCUCACGCAGCUGGCAUUGUGACCGUGGAGGUGAGCGCCACUGACGGCGGUUUCAGCACGAGCAAGGUGGAGUUUGAGUUCCAGCCGAGCGCCACUGUUUUGUCGCUGCAGCCAGCAUCCGGGCCAUCAGCUGGUGUUGGUGUGGUGAAGGUGGUCGGCGAGCACCUUGUGAGCGCUGAGCCGCUGUGUGGCUUUGGGCUGGCGGACCCUUCGUAUGCUGAGGUGGUGUCGUCAGUGCUUGCCAAGUGCGAGGCCCCAGCUCACGAGGCCGGCAUGGUGUCGGUUGAGAUGAGCAUCAGCGGCGCUGGCCAGCAGUUCACCCAGAGUGGUAUGAUGUACUCGUACACCGAGGAGGCUGCUGUGGUGGCGAUCAGUCCGCGUGAGGGGGCGCAGAGCGGCGGCACUGUGGUGCGGCUGGCUCUGAGCUCGGUGGACGCUGAUGUGUCUGGAUGCAGAUUUGGGACCAUCGGUCCGCUCAGCAGCCGCGCUGCGGGCGGUGGCGCAGAGUGCGCAUCCCCCGCACACGAGGGGGGCAUGGUGGCUAUCUCAGCCAGCGUGAACAGCGAGGUGUGGAGCACCUCCGAGCUUGCGUUUGAGUACAUGUCGUCUGCGACUGUGUUUGCUGUUGCUCCCGCCUCUGGUCCUGUGUCUGGCGGGACUGUGGUGCAUGUGAUGGGCAGCAGCCUGGUCGGCGAGAACGUGCUGUGCAGGUUUGGGCUCGAGGUUGUGGCUGGUGAGUACAUCGGCGGCAACGAGCUGUGCACGAGUGAAAUCAACUCUACUGUCCUUCCCUCAAACGCCACUGGCCUUUCCACGAUGACGCAGCGCUCCGAGCAGUGCAUGGGCUGGGUGGAGGUGGCGUGCAUGUCACCGCCUCACGCAGCUGGCAUUGUGACCGUGGAGGUGAGCGCCACUGACGGCGGCUUCAGCACGAGCAAGGUGGAGUUUGAGUUCCAGCCGAGCGCCACUGUUUUGUCGCUGCAGCCAGCAUCCGGGCCAUCAGCUGGUGUUGGUGUGGUGAAGGUGGUCGGCGAGCACCUUGUGAGCGCUGAGCCGCUGUGUGGCUUUGGGCUGGCGGACCCUUCGUAUGCUGAGGUGGUGUCGUCAGUGCUUGCCAAGUGCGAGGCCCCAGCUCACGAGGCCGGCAUGGUGUCGGUUGAGAUGAGCAUCAGCGGCGCUGGCCAGCAGUUCACCCAGAGUGGUAUGAUGUACUCGUACACCGAAGAGGCUGCUGUGGUGGCGAUCAGUCCGCGUGAGGGGGCGCAGAGCGGCGGCACUGUGGUGCGGUUGGCUCUGAGCUCGGUGGACGCUGAUGUGUCUGGAUGCAGAUUUGGGACCAUCGGUCCGCUCAGCAGCCGCGCUGCGGGCGGUGGCGCAGAGUGCGCAUCCCCCGCACACGAGGGGGGCAUGGUGGCUAUCUCAGCCAGCGUGAACAGCGAGGUGUGGAGCACCUCCGAGCUUGCGUUUGAGUACAUGUCGUCUGCGACUGUGUUUGCUGUUGCUCCCGCCUCUGGUCCUGUGUCUGGCGGGACUGUGGUGCAUGUGAUGGGCAGCAGCCUGGUCGGCGAGAACGUGCUGUGCAGGUUUGGGCUCGAGGUUGUGGCUGGUGAGUACAUCGGCGGCAACGAGCUGUGCACGAGUGAAAUCAACUCUGCUGUCCUUCCCUCAAACGCCACUGGCCUUUCCACGAUGACGCAGCGCUCCGAGCAGUGCAUGGGCUGGGUGGAGGUGGCGUGCAUGUCACCCCCUCACGCAGCUGGCAUUGUGACCGUGGAGGUGAGCGCCACUGACGGCGGCUUCAGCACGAGCAAGGUGGAGUUUGAGUUCCAGCCGAGCGCCACUGUUUUGUCGCUGCAGCCAGCAUCCGGGCCAUCAGCUGGUGUUGGUGUGGUGAAGGUGGUCGGCGAGCACCUUGUGAGCGCUGAGCCGCUGUGUGGCUUUGGGCUGGCGGACCCUUCGUAUGCUGAGGUGGUGUCGUCAGUGCUUGCCAAGUGCGAGGCCCCAGCUCAUGAGGCCGGCAUGGUGUCGGUUGAGAUGAGCAUCAGCGGCGCUGGCCAGCAGUUCACCCAGAGUGGUAUGAUGUACUCGUACACCGAAGAGGCUGCUGUGGUGGCGAUCAGUCCGCGUGAAGGGGCGCAGAGCGGCGGCACUGUGGUGCGGCUGGCUCUGAGCUCGGUGGACGCUGAUGUGUCUGGAUGCAGAUUUGGGACCAUCGGUCCGCUCAGCAGCCGCGCUGCGGGCGGUGGCGCUGAGUGCGCAUCCCCCGCACACGAGGGGGGCAUGGUGGCUAUCUCAGCCAGCGUGAACAGCGAGGUGUGGAGCACCUCCGAGCUUGCGUUUGAGUACAUGUCGUCUGCGACUGUGUUUGCUGUUGCUCCCGCCUCUGGUCCUGUGUCUGGCGGGACUGUGGUGCAUGUGAUGGGCAGCAGCCUGGUCGGCGAGAACGUGCUGUGCAGGUUUGGGCUCGAGGUUGUGGCUGGUGAGUACAUCGGCGGCAACGAGCUGUGCACGAGUGAAAUCAACUCUGCUGUCCUUCCCUCAAACGCCACUGGCCUUUCCACGAUGACGCAGCGCUCCGAGCAGUGCAUGGGCUGGGUGGAGGUGGCGUGCAUGUCACCGCCCCACGCAGCUGGCAUUGUGACCGUGGAGGUGAGCGCCACUGACGGCGGCUUCAGCACGAGCAAGGUGGAGUUUGAGUUCCAGCCGAGCGCCACUGUUUUGUCGCUGCAGCCAGCAUCUGGGCCAUCAGCUGGUGUCGGUGUGGUGAAGGUGGUCGGCGAGCACCUUGUGAGCGCUGAGCCGCUGUGUGGCUUUGGGCUGGCGGACCCUUCGUAUGCUGAGGUGGUGUCGUCAGUGCUUGCCAAGUGCGAGGCCCCAGCUCACGAGGCCGGCAUGGUGUCGGUUGAGAUGAGCAUCAGCGGCGCUGGCCAGCAGUUCACCCAGAGUGGUAUGGUUUACUCGUACACCGAGGAGGCUGCUUUGGUGGCGAUCAGUCCGCGUGAGGGGGCGCAGAGUGGCGGCACUGUGGUGCGGCUGGCUCUGAGCUCGGUGGACGCUGAUGUGUCUGGAUGCAGAUUUGGGACCAUCGGUCCGCUCAGCAGCCGCGCUGCGGGCGGUGGCGCAGAGUGCGCAUCCCCCGCACACGAGGGGGGCAUGGUGGCUAUCUCAGCCAGCGUGAACAGCGAGGUGUGGAGCACCUCCGAGCUUGCGUUUGAGUACAUGUCGUCUGCGACUGUGUUUGCUGUUGCUCCCGCCUCUGGUCCUGUGUCUGGCGGGACUGUGGUGCAUGUGAUGGGCAGCAGCCUGGUCGGCGAGAACGUGCUGUGCAGGUUUGGGCUCGAGGUUGUGGCUGGUGAGUACAUCGGCGGCAACGAGCUGUGCACGAGUGAAAUCAACUCUGCUGUCCUUCCCUCAAACGCCACUGGCCUUUCCACGAUGACGCAGCGCUCCGAGCAGUGCAUGGGCUGGGUGGAGGUGGCGUGCAUGUCACCGCCCCACGCAGCUGGCAUUGUGACCGUGGAGGUGAGCGCCACUGACGGCGGCUUCAGCACGAGCAAGGUGGAGUUUGAGUUCCAGCCGAGCGCCACUGUUUUGUCGCUGCAGCCAGCAUCUGGGCCAUCAGCUGGUGUUGGUGUGGUGAAGGUGGUCGGCGAGCACCUUGUGAGCGCUGAGCCGCUGUGUGGCUUUGGGCUGGCGGACCCUUCGUAUGCUGAGGUGGUGUCGUCAGUGCUUGCCAAGUGCGAGGCCCCAGCUCACGAGGCCGGCAUGGUGUCGGUUGAGAUGAGCAUCAGCGGCGCUGGCCAGCAGUUCACCCAGAGUGGUAUGAUGUACUCGUACACCGAGGAGGCUGCUGUGGUGGCGAUCAGUCCGCGUGAAGGGGCGCAGAGCGGCGGCACUGUGGUGCGGCUGGCUCUGAGCUCGGUGGACGCUGAUGUGUCUGGAUGCAGAUUUGGGACCAUCGGUCCGCUCAGCAGCCGCGCUGCGGGCGGUGGCGCAGAGUGCGCAUCCCCCGCACACGAGGGGGGCAUGGUGGCUAUCUCAGCCAGCGUGAACAGCGAGGUGUGGAGCACCUCCGAGCUUGCGUUUGAGUACAUGUCGUCUGCGACUGUGUUUGCUGUUGCUCCCGCCUCUGGUCCUGUGUCUGGCGGGACUGUGGUGCAUGUGAUGGGCAGCAGCCUGGUCGGCGAGAACGUGCUGUGCAGGUUUGGGCUCGAGGUUGUGGCUGGUGAGUACAUCGGCGGCAACGAGCUGUGCACGAGUGAAAUCAACUCUACUGUCCUUCCCUCAAACGCCACUGGCCUUUCCACGAUGACGCAGCGCUCCGAGCAGUGCAUGGGCUGGGUGGAGGUGGCGUGCAUGUCACCGCCUCACGCAGCUGGCAUUGUGACCGUGGAGGUGAGCGCCACUGACGGCGGUUUCAGCACGAGCAAGGUGGAGUUUGAGUUCCAGCCGAGCGCCACUGUUUUGUCGCUGCAGCCAGCAUCCGGGCCAUCAGCUGGUGUUGGUGUGGUGAAGGUGGUCGGCGAGCACCUUGUGAGCGCUGAGCCGCUGUGUGGCUUUGGGCUGGCGGACCCUUCGUAUGCUGAGGUGGUGUCGUCAGUGCUUGCCAAGUGCGAGGCCCCAGCUCACGAGGCCGGCAUGGUGUCGGUUGAGAUGAGCAUCAGCGGCGCUGGCCAGCAGUUCACCCAGAGUGGUAUGAUGUACUCGUACACCGAGGAGGCUGCUGUGGUGGCGAUCAGUCCGCGUGAGGGGGCGCAGAGCGGCGGCACUGUGGUGCGGCUGGCUCUGAGCUCGGUGGACGCUGAUGUGUCUGGAUGCAGAUUUGGGACCAUCGGUCCGCUCAGCAGCCGCGCUGCGGGCGGUGGCGCAGAGUGCGCAUCCCCCGCACACGAGGGGGGCAUGGUGGCUAUCUCAGCCAGCGUGAACAGCGAGGUGUGGAGCACCUCCGAGCUUGCGUUUGAGUACAUGUCGUCUGCGACUGUGUUUGCUGUUGCUCCCGCCUCUGGUCCUGUGUCUGGCGGGACUGUGGUGCAUGUGAUGGGCAGCAGCCUGGUCGGCGAGAACGUGCUGUGCAGGUUUGGGCUCGAGGUUGUGGCUGGUGAGUACAUCGGCGGCAACGAGCUGUGCACGAGUGAAAUCAACUCUACUGUCCUUCCCUCAAACGCCACUGGCCUUUCCACGAUGACGCAGCGCUCCGAGCAGUGCAUGGGCUGGGUGGAGGUGGCGUGCAUGUCACCGCCUCACGCAGCUGGCAUUGUGACCGUGGAGGUGAGCGCCACUGACGGCGGCUUCAGCACGAGCAAGGUGGAGUUUGAGUUCCAGCCGAGCGCCACUGUUUUGUCGCUGCAGCCAGCAUCCGGGCCAUCAGCUGGUGUUGGUGUGGUGAAGGUGGUCGGCGAGCACCUUGUGAGCGCUGAGCCGCUGUGUGGCUUUGGGCUGGCGGACCCUUCGUAUGCUGAGGUGGUGUCGUCAGUGCUUGCCAAGUGCGAGGCCCCAGCUCACGAGGCCGGCAUGGUGUCGGUUGAGAUGAGCAUCAGCGGCGCUGGCCAGCAGUUCACCCAGAGUGGUAUGAUGUACUCGUACACCGAGGAGGCUGCUGUGGUGGCGAUCAGUCCGCGUGAGGGGGCGCAGAGCGGCGGCACUGUGGUGCGGCUGGCUCUGAGCUCGGUGGACGCUGAUGUGUCUGGAUGCAGAUUUGGGACCAUCGGUCCACUCAGCAGCCGCGCUGCGGGCGGUGGCGCAGAGUGCGCAUCCCCCGCACACGAGGGGGGCAUGGUGGCUAUCUCAGCCAGCGUGAACAGCGAGGUGUGGAGCACCUCCGAGCUUGCGUUUGAGUACAUGUCGUCUGCGACUGUGUUUGCUGUUGUUCCCGCCUCUGGUCCUGUGUCUGGCGGGACUGUGGUGCAUGUGAUGGGCAGCAGCCUGGUCGGCGAGAACGUGCUGUGCAGGUUUGGGCUCGAGGUUGUGGCUGGUGAGUACAUCGGCGGCAACGAGCUGUGCACGAGUGAAAUCAACUCUGCUGUCCUUCCCUCAAACGCCACUGGCCUUUCCACGAUGACGCAGCGCUCCGAGCAGUGCAUGGGCUGGGUGGAGGUGGCGUGCAUGUCACCGCCCCACGCAGCUGGCAUUGUGACCGUGGAGGUGAGCGCCACUGACGGCGGCUUCAGCACGAGCAAGGUGGAGUUUGAGUUCCAGCCGAGCGCCACUGUUUUGUCGCUGCAGCCAGCAUCCGGGCCAUCUGCUGGUGUUGGUGUGGUGAAGGUGGUCGGCGAGCACCUUGUGAGCGCUGAGCCGCUGUGUGGCUUUGGGCUGGCGGACCCUUCGUAUGCUGAGGUGGUGUCGUCAGUGCUUGCCAAGUGCGAGGCCCCAGCUCACGAGGCCGGCAUGGUGUCGGUUGAGAUGAGCAUCAGCGGCGCUGGCCAGCAGUUCACCCAGAGUGGUAUGAUGUACUCGUACACCGAGGAGGCUGCUGUGGUGGCGAUCAGUCCGCGUGAGGGGGCGCAGAGCGGCGGCACUGUGGUGCGGCUGGCUCUGAGCUCGGUGGACGCUGAUGUGUCUGGAUGCAGAUUUGGGACCAUCGGUCCGCUCAGCAGCCGCGCUGCGGGCGGUGGCGCAGAGUGCGCAUCCCCCGCACACGAGGGGGGCAUGGUGGCUAUCUCAGCCAGCGUGAACAGCGAGGUGUGGAGCACCUCCGAGCUUGCGUUUGAGUACAUGUCGUCUGCGACUGUGUUUGCUGUUGCUCCCGCCUCUGGUCCUGUGUCUGGCGGGACUGUGGUGCAUGUGAUGGGCAGCAGCCUGGUCGGCGAGAACGUGCUGUGCAGGUUUGGGCUCGAGGUUGUGGCUGGUGAGUACAUCGGCGGCAACGAGCUGUGCACGAGUGAAAUCAACUCUGCUGUCCUUCCCUCAAACGCCACUGGCCUUUCCACGAUGACGCAGCGCUCCGAGCAGUGCAUGGGCUGGGUGGAGGUGGCGUGCAUGUCACCGCCCCACGCAGCUGGCAUUGUGACCGUGGAGGUGAGCGCCACUGACGGCGGCUUCAGCACGAGCAAGGUGGAGUUUGAGUUCCAGCCGAGCGCCACUGUUUUGUCGCUGCAGCCAGCAUCUGGGCCAUCAGCUGGUGUCGGUGUGGUGAAGGUGGUCGGCGAGCACCUUGUGAGCGCUGAGCCGCUGUGUGGCUUUGGGCUGGCGGACCCUUCGUAUGCUGAGGUGGUGUCGUCAGUGCUUGCCAAGUGCGAGGCCCCAGCUCACGAGGCCGGCAUGGUGUCGGUUGAGAUGAGCAUCAGCGGCGCUGGCCAGCAGUUCACCCAGAGUGGUAUGGUUUACUCGUACACCGAGGAGGCUGCUUUGGUGGCGAUCAGUCCGCGUGAGGGGGCGCAGAGUGGCGGCACUGUGGUGCGGCUGGCUCUGAGCUCGGUGGACGCUGAUGUGUCUGGAUGCAGAUUUGGGACCAUCGGUCCGCUCAGCAGCCGCGCUGCGGGCGGUGGCGCAGAGUGCGCAUCCCCCGCACACGAGGGGGGCAUGGUGGCUAUCUCAGCCAGCGUGAACAGCGAGGUGUGGAGCACCUCCGAGCUUGCGUUUGAGUACAUGUCGUCUGCGACUGUGUUUGCUGUUGCUCCCGCCUCUGGUCCUGUGUCUGGCGGGACUGUGGUGCAUGUGAUGGGCAGCAGCCUGGUCGGCGAGAACGUGCUGUGCAGGUUUGGGCUCGAGGUUGUGGCUGGUGAGUACAUCGGCGGCAACGAGCUGUGCACGAGUGAAAUCAACUCUGCUGUCCUUCCCUCAAACGCCACUGGCCUUUCCACGAUGACGCAGCGCUCCGAGCAGUGCAUGGGCUGGGUGGAGGUGGCGUGCAUGUCACCGCCCCACGCAGCUGGCAUUGUGACCGUGGAGGUGAGCGCCACUGACGGCGGCUUCAGCACGAGCAAGGUGGAGUUUGAGUUCCAGCCGAGCGCCACUGUUUUGUCGCUGCAGCCAGCAUCCGGGCCAUCAGCUGGUGUUGGUGUGGUGAAGGUGGUCGGCGAGCACCUUGUGAGCGCUGAGCCGCUGUGUGGCUUUGGGCUGGCGGACCCUUCGUAUGCUGAGGUGGUGUCGUCAGUGCUUGCCAAGUGCGAGGCCCCAGCUCACGAGGCCGGCAUGGUGUCGGUUGAGAUGAGCAUCAGCGGCGCUGGCCAGCAGUUCACCCAGAGUGGUAUGAUGUACUCGUACACCGAGGAGGCUGCUGUGGUGGCGAUCAGUCCGCGUGAGGGGGCGCAGAGCGGCGGCACUGUGGUGCGGCUGGCUCUGAGCUCGGUGGAUGCUGAUGUGUCUGGAUGCAGAUUUGGGACCAUCGGUCCGCUCAGCAGCCGCGCUGCGGGCGGUGGCGCAGAGUGCGCAUCCCCCGCACACGAGGGGGGCAUGGUGGCUAUCUCAGCCAGCGUGAACAGCGAGGUGUGGAGCACCUCCGAGCUUGCGUUUGAGUAUAUGUCGUCUGCGACUGUGUUUGCUGUUGUUCCCGCCUCUGGUCCUGUGUCUGGCGGGACUGUGGUGCAUGUGAUGGGCAGCAGCCUGGUCGGCGAGAACGUGCUGUGCAGGUUUGGGCUCGAGGUUGUGGCUGGUGAGUACAUCGGCGGCAACGAGCUGUGCACGAGUGAAAUCAACUCUGCUGUCCUUCCCUCAAACGCCACUGGCCUUUCCACGAUGACGCAGCGCUCCGAGCAGUGCAUGGGCUGGGUGGAGGUGGCGUGCAUGUCACCGCCCCACGCAGCUGGCAUUGUGACCGUGGAGGUGAGCGCCACUGACGGCGGCUUCAGCACGAGCAAGGUGGAGUUUGAGUUCCAGCCGAGCGCCACUGUUUUGUCGCUGCAGCCAGCAUCCGGGCCAUCAGCUGGUGUUGGUGUGGUGAAGGUGGUCGGCGAGCACCUUGUGAGCGCUGAGCCGCUGUGUGGCUUUGGGCUGGCGGACCCUUCGUAUGCUGAGGUGGUGUCGUCAGUGCUUGCCAAGUGCGAGGCCCCAGCUCACGAGGCCGGCAUGGUGUCGGUUGAGAUGAGCAUCAGCGGCGCUGGCCAGCAGUUCACCCAGAGUGGUAUGAUGUACUCGUACACCGAAGAGGCUGCUGUGGUGGCGAUCAGUCCGCGUGAGGGGGCGCAGAGCGGCGGCACUGUGGUGCGGCUGGCUCUGAGCUCGGUGGACGCUGAUGUGUCUGGAUGCAGAUUUGGGACCAUCGGUCCGCUCAGCAGCCGCGCUGCGGGCGGUGGCGCAGAGUGCGCAUCCCCCGCACACGAGGGGGGCAUGGUGGCUAUCUCAGCCAGCGUGAACAGCGAGGUGUGGAGCACCUCCGAGCUUGCGUUUGAGUACAUGUCGUCUGCGACUGUGUUUGCUGUUGCUCCCGCCUCUGGUCCUGUGUCUGGCGGGACUGUGGUGCAUGUGAUGGGCAGCAGCCUGGUCGGCGAGAACGUGCUGUGCAGGUUUGGGCUCGAGGUUGUGGCUGGUGAGUACAUCGGCGGCAACGAGCUGUGCACGAGUGAAAUCAACUCUACUGUCCUUCCCUCAAACGCCACUGGCCUUUCCACGAUGACGCAGCGCUCCGAGCAGUGCAUGGGCUGGGUGGAGGUGGCGUGCAUGUCACCGCCUCACGCAGCUGGCAUUGUGACCGUGGAGGUGAGCGCCACUGACGGCGGCUUCAGCACGAGCAAGGUGGAGUUUGAGUUCCAGCCGAGCGCCACUGUUUUGUCGCUGCAGCCAGCAUCUGGGCCAUCAGCUGGUGUCGGUGUGGUGAAGGUGGUCGGCGAGCACCUUGUGAGCGCUGAGCCGCUGUGUGGCUUUGGGCUGGCGGACCCUUCGUAUGCUGAGGUGGUGUCGUCAGUGCUUGCCAAGUGCGAGGCCCCAGCUCACGAGGCCGGCAUGGUGUCGGUUGAGAUGAGCAUCAGCGGCGCUGGCCAGCAGUUCACCCAGAGUGGUAUGAUGUACUCGUACACCGAGGAGGCUGCUGUGGUGGCGAUCAGUCCGGGUGAGGGGGCGCAGAGCGGCGGCACUGUGGUGCGGCUGGCUCUGAGCUCGGUGGACGCUGAUGUGUCUGGAUGCAGAUUUGGGACCAUCGGUCCGCUCAGCAGCCGCGCUGCGGGCGGUGGCGCAGAGUGCGCAUCCCCCGCACACGAGGGGGGCAUGGUGGCUAUCUCAGCCAGCGUGAACAGCGAGGUGUGGAGCACCUCCGAGCUUGCGUUUGAGUACAUGUCGUCUGCGACUGUGUUUGCUGUUGCUCCCGCCUCUGGUCCUGUGUCUGGCGGGACUGUGGUGCAUGUGAUGGGCAGCAGCCUGGUCGGCGAGAACGUGCUGUGCAGGUUUGGGCUCGAGGUUGUGGCUGGUGAGUACAUCGGCGGCAACGAGCUGUGCACGAGUGAAAUCAACUCUGCUGUCCUUCCCUCAAACGCCACUGGCCUUUCCACGAUGACGCAGCGCUCCGAGCAGUGCAUGGGCUGGGUGGAGGUGGCGUGCAUGUCACCGCCCCACGCAGCUGGCAUUGUGACCGUGGAGGUGAGCGCCACUGACGGCGGCUUCAGCACGAGCAAGGUGGAGUUUGAGUUCCAGCCGAGCGCCACUGUUUUGUCGCUGCAGCCAGCAUCCGGGCCAUCAGCUGGUGUUGGUGUGGUGAAGGUGGUCGGCGAGCACCUUGUGAGCGCUGAGCCGCUGUGUGGCUUUGGGCUGGCGGACCCUUCGUAUGCUGAGGUGGUGUCGUCAGUGCUUGCCAAGUGCGAGGCCCCAGCUCACGAGGCCGGCAUGGUGUCGGUUGAGAUGAGCAUCAGCGGCGCUGGCCAGCAGUUCACCCAGAGUGGUAUGAUGUACUCGUACACCGAGGAGGCUGCUGUGGUGGCGAUCAGUCCGCGUGAGGGGGCGCAGAGCGGCGGCACUGUGGUGCGGCUGGCUCUGAGCUCGGUGGACGCUGAUGUGUCUGGAUGCAGAUUUGGGACCAUCGGUCCGCUCAGCAGCCGCGCUGCGGGCGGUGGCGCAGAGUGCGCAUCCCCCGCACACGAGGGGGGCAUGGUGGCUAUCUCAGCCAGCGUGAACAGCGAGGUGUGGAGCACCUCCGAGCUUGCGUUUGAGUACAUGUCGUCUGCGACUGUGUUUGCUGUUGCUCCCGCCUCUGGUCCUGUGUCUGGCGGGACUGUGGUGCAUGUGAUGGGCAGCAGCCUGGUCGGCGAGAACGUGCUGUGCAGGUUUGGGCUCGAGGUUGUGGCUGGUGAGUACAUCGGCGGCAACGAGCUGUGCACGAGUGAAAUCAACUCUGCUGUCCUUCCCUCAAACGCCACUGGCCUUUCCACGAUGACGCAGCGCUCCGAGCAGUGCAUGGGCUGGGUGGAGGUGGCGUGCAUGUCACCGCCCCACGCAGCUGGCAUUGUGACCGUGGAGGUGAGCGCCACUGACGGCGGCUUCAGCACGAGCAAGGUGGAGUUUGAGUUCCAGCCGAGCGCCACUGUUUUGUCGCUGCAGCCAGCAUCCGGGCCAUCAGCUGGUGUUGGUGUGGUGAAGGUGGUCGGCGAGCACCUUGUGAGCGCUGAGCCGCUGUGUGGCUUUGGGCUGGCGGACCCUUCGUAUGCUGAGGUGGUGUCGUCAGUGCUUGCCAAGUGCGAGGCCCCAGCUCACGAGGCCGGCAUGGUGUCGGUUGAGAUGAGCAUCAGCGGCGCUGGCCAGCAGUUCACCCAGAGUGGUAUGAUGUACUCGUACACCGAAGAGGCUGCUGUGGUGGCGAUCAGUCCGCGUGAAGGGGCGCAGAGCGGCGGCACUGUGGUGCGGCUGGCUCUGAGCUCGGUGGACGCUGAUGUGUCUGGAUGCAGAUUUGGGACCAUCGGUCCGCUCAGCAGCCGCGCUGCGGGCGGUGGCGCUGAGUGCGCAUCCCCCGCACACGAGGGGGGCAUGGUGGCUAUCUCAGCCAGCGUGAACAGCGAGGUGUGGAGCACCUCCGAGCUUGCGUUUGAGUACAUGUCGUCUGCGACUGUGUUUGCUGUUGCUCCCGCCUCUGGUCCUGUGUCUGGCGGGACUGUGGUGCAUGUGAUGGGCAGCAGCCUGGUCGGCGAGAACGUGCUGUGCAGGUUUGGGCUCGAGGUUGUGGCUGGUGAGUACAUCGGCGGCAACGAGCUGUGCACGAGUGAAAUCAACUCUGCUGUCCUUCCCUCAAACGCCACUGGCCUUUCCACGAUGACGCAGCGCUCCGAGCAGUGCAUGGGCUGGGUGGAGGUGGCGUGCAUGUCACCGCCCCACGCAGCUGGCAUUGUGACCGUGGAGGUGAGCGCCACUGACGGCGGCUUCAGCACGAGCAAGGUGGAGUUUGAGUUCCAGCCGAGCGCCACUGUUUUGUCGCUGCAGCCAGCAUCCGGGCCAUCAGCUGGUGUUGGUGUGGUGAAGGUGGUCGGCGAGCACCUUGUGAGCGCUGAGCCGCUGUGUGGCUUUGGGCUGGCGGACCCUUCGUAUGCUGAGGUGGUGUCGUCAGUGCUUGCCAAGUGCGAGGCCCCAGCUCACGAGGCCGGCAUGGUGUCGGUUGAGAUGAGCAUCAGCGGCGCUGGCCAGCAGUUCACCCAGAGUGGUAUGAUGUACUCGUACACCGAAGAGGCUGCUGUGGUGGCGAUCAGUCCGCGUGAGGGGGCGCAGAGCGGCGGCACUGUGGUGCGGUUGGCUCUGAGCUCGGUGGACGCUGAUGUGUCUGGAUGCAGAUUUGGGACCAUCGGUCCGCUCAGCAGCCGCGCUGCGGGCGGUGGCGCAGAGUGCGCAUCCCCCGCACACGAGGGGGGCAUGGUGGCUAUCUCAGCCAGCGUGAACAGCGAGGUGUGGAGCACCUCCGAGCUUGCGUUUGAGUACAUGUCGUCUGCGACUGUGUUUGCUGUUGCUCCCGCCUCUGGUCCUGUGUCUGGCGGGACUGUGGUGCAUGUGAUGGGCAGCAGCCUGGUCGGCGAGAACGUGCUGUGCAGGUUUGGGCUCGAGGUUGUGGCUGGUGAGUACAUCGGCGGCAACGAGCUGUGCACGAGUGAAAUCAACUCUGCUGUCCUUCCCUCAAACGCCACUGGCCUUUCCACGAUGACGCAGCGCUCCGAGCAGUGCAUGGGCUGGGUGGAGGUGGCGUGCAGGUCACCGCCCCACGCAGCUGGCAUUGUGACCGUGGAGGUGAGCGCCACUGACGGCGGCUUCAGCACGAGCAAGGUGGAGUUUGAGUUCCAGCCGAGCGCCACUGUUUUGUCGCUGCAGCCAGCAUCCGGGCCAUCAGCUGGUGUUGGUGUGGUGAAGGUGGUCGGCGAGCACCUUGUGAGCGCUGAGCCGCUGUGUGGCUUUGGGCUGGCGGACCCUUCGUAUGCUGAGGUGGUGUCGUCAGUGCUUGCCAAGUGCGAGGCCCCAGCUCACGAGGCCGGCAUGGUGUCGGUUGAGAUGAGCAUCAGCGGCGCUGGCCAGCAGUUCACCCAGAGUGGUAUGAUGUACUCGUACACCGAGGAGGCUGCUGUGGUGGCGAUCAGUCCGCGUGAGGGGGCGCAGAGCGGCGGCACUGUGGUGCGGCUGGCUCUGAGCUCGGUGGACGCUGAUGUGUCUGGAUGCAGAUUUGGGACCAUCGGUCCGCUCAGCAGCCGCGCUGCGGGCGGUGGCGCAGAGUGCGCAUCCCCCGCACACGAGGGGGGCAUGGUGGCUAUCUCAGCCAGCGUGAACAGCGAGGUGUGGAGCACCUCCGAGCUUGCGUUUGAGUACAUGUCGUCUGCGACUGUGUUUGCUGUUGCUCCCGCCUAUGGUCCUGUGUCUGGCGGGACUGUGGUGCAUGUGAUGGGCAGCAGCCUGGUCGGCGAGAACGUGCUGUGCAGGUUUGGGCUCGAGGUUGUGGCUGGUGAGUACAUCGGCGGCAACGAGCUGUGCACGAGUGAAAUCAACUCUGCUGUCCUUCCCUCAAACGCCACUGGCCUUUCCACGAUGACGCAGCGCUCCGAGCAGUGCAUGGGCUGGGUGGAGGUGGCGUGCAUGUCACCGCCUCACGCAGCUGGCAUUGUGACCGUGGAGGUGAGCGCCACUGACGGCGGCUUCAGCACGAGCAAGGUGGAGUUUGAGUUCCAGCCGAGCGCCACUGUUUUGUCGCUGCAGCCAGCAUCUGGGCCAUCAGCUGGUGUUGGUGUGGUGAAGGUGGUCGGCGAGCACCUUGUGAGCGCUGAGCCGCUGUGUGGCUUUGGGCUGGCGGACCCUUCGUAUGCUGAGGUGGUGUCGUCAGUGCUUGCCAAGUGCGAGGCCCCAGCUCACGAGGCCGGCAUGGUGUCGGUUGAGAUGAGCAUCAGCGGCGCUGGCCAGCAGUUCACCCAGAGUGGUAUGAUGUACUCGUACACCGAGGAGGCUGCUGUGGUGGCGAUCAGUCCGCGUGAGGGGGCGCAGAGCGGCGGCACUGUGGUGCGGCUGGCUCUGAGCUCGGUGGACGCUGAUGUGUCUGGAUGCAGAUUUGGGACCAUCGGUCCGCUCAGCAGCCGCGCUGCGGGCGGUGGCGCAGAGUGCGCAUCCCCCGCACACGAGGGGGGCAUGGUGGCUAUCUCAGCCAGCGUGAACAGCGAGGUGUGGAGCACCUCCGAGCUUGCGUUUGAGUACAUGUCGUCUGCGACUGUGUUUGCUGUUGCUCCCGCCUAUGGUCCUGUGUCUGGCGGGACUGUGGUGCAUGUGAUGGGCAGCAGCCUGGUCGGCGAGAACGUGCUGUGCAGGUUUGGGCUCGAGGUUGUGGCUGGUGAGUACAUCGGCGGCAACGAGCUGUGCACGAGUGAAAUCAACUCUGCUGUCCUUCCCUCAAACGCCACUGGCCUUUCCACGAUGACGCAGCGCUCCGAGCAGUGCAUGGGCUGGGUGGAGGUGGCGUGCAUGUCACCGCCCCACGCAGCUGGCAUUGUGACCGUGGAGGUGAGCGCCACUGACGGCGGCUUCAGCACGAGCAAGGUGGAGUUUGAGUUCCAGCCGAGCGCCACUGUUUUGUCGCUGCAGCCAGCAUCCGGGCCAUCAGCUGGUGUCGGUGUGGUGAAGGUGGUCGGCGAGCACCUUGUGAGCGCUGAGCCGCUGUGUGGCUUUGGGCUGGCGGACCCUUCGUAUGCUGAGGUGGUGUCGUCAGUGCUUGCCAAGUGCGAGGCCCCAGCUCACGAGGCCGGCAUGGUGUCGGUUGAGAUGAGCAUCAGCGGCGCUGGCCAGCAGUUCACCCAGAGUGGUAUGAUGUACUCGUACACCGAAGAGGCUGCUGUGGUGGCGAUCAGUCCGCGUGAGGGGGCGCAGAGCGGCGGCACUGUGGUGCGGCUGGCUCUGAGCUCGGUGGAUGCUGAUGUAUCUGGAUGCAGAUUUGGGACCAUCGGUCCGCUCAGCAGCCGCGCUGCGGGCGGUGGCGCAGAGUGCGCAUCCCCCGCACACGAGGGGGGCAUGGUGGCUAUCUCAGCCAGCGUGAACAGCGAGGUGUGGAGCACCUCCGAGCUUGCGUUUGAGUACAUGUCGUCUGCGACUGUGUUUGCUGUUGCUCCCGCCUCUGGUCCUGUGUCUGGCGGGACUGUGGUGCAUGUGAUGGGCAGCAGCCUGGUCGGCGAGAACGUGCUGUGCAGGUUUGGGCUCGAGGUUGUGGCUGGUGAGUACAUCGGCGGCAACGAGCUGUGCACGAGUGAAAUCAACUCUGCUGUCCUUCCCUCAAACGCCACUGGCCUUUCCACGAUGACGCAGCGCUCCGAGCAGUGCAUGGGCUGGGUGGAGGUGGCGUGCAUGUCACCGCCCCACGCAGCUGGCAUUGUGACCGUGGAGGUGAGCGCCACUGACGGCGGCUUCAGCACGAGCAAGGUGGAGUUUGAGUUCCAGCCGAGCGCCACUGUUUUGUCGCUGCAGCCAGCAUCCGGGCCAUCUGCUGGUGUUGGUGUGGUGAAGGUGGUCGGCGAGCACCUUGUGAGCGCUGAGCCGCUGUGUGGCUUUGGGCUGGCGGACCCUUCGUAUGCUGAGGUGGUGUCGUCAGUGCUUGCCAAGUGCGAGGCCCCAGCUCACGAGGCCGGCAUGGUGUCGGUUGAGAUGAGCAUCAGCGGCGCUGGCCAGCAGUUCACCCAGAGUGGUAUGAUGUACUCGUACACCGAGGAGGCUGCUGUGGUGGCGAUCAGUCCGCGUGAGGGGGCGCAGAGCGGCGGCACUGUGGUGCGGCUGGCUCUGAGCUCGGUGGAUGCUGAUGUGUCUGGAUGCAGAUUUGGGACCAUCGGUCCGCUCAGCAGCCGCGCUGCGGGCGGUGGCGCAGAGUGCGCAUCCCCCGCACACGAGGGGGGCAUGGUGGCUAUCUCAGCCAGCGUGAACAGCGAGGUGUGGAGCACCUCCGAGCUUGCGUUUGAGUACAUGUCGUCUGCGACUGUGUUUGCUGUUGCUCCCGCCUCUGGUCCUGUGUCUGGCGGGACUGUGGUGCAUGUGAUGGGCAGCAGCCUGGUCGGCGAGAACGUGCUGUGCAGGUUUGGGCUCGAGGUUGUGGCUGGUGAGUACAUCGGCGGCAACGAGCUGUGCACGAGUGAAAUCAACUCUGCUGUCCUUCCCUCAAACGCCACUGGCCUUUCCACGAUGACGCAGCGCUCCGAGCAGUGCAUGGGCUGGGUGGAGGUGGCGUGCAUGUCACCGCCCCACGCAGCUGGCAUUGUGACCGUGGAGGUGAGCGCCACUGACGGCGGCUUCAGCACGAGCAAGGUGGAGUUUGAGUUCCAGCCGAGCGCCACUGUUUUGUCGCUGCAGCCAGCAUCUGGGCCAUCAGCUGGUGUUGGUGUGGUGAAGGUGGUCGGCGAGCACCUUGUGAGCGCUGAGCCGCUGUGUGGCUUUGGGCUGGCAGACCCUUCGUAUGCUGAGGUGGUGUCGUCAGUGCUUGCCAAGUGCGAGGCCCCAGCUCAUGAGGCCGGCAUGGUGUCGGUUGAGAUGAGCAUCAGCGGCGCUGGCCAGCAGUUCACCCAGAGUGGUAUGAUGUACUCGUACACCGAAGAGGCUGCUGUGGUGGCGAUCAGUCCGCGUGAGGGGGCGCAGAGCGGCGGCACUGUGGUGCGGCUGGCUCUGAGCUCGGUGGAUGCUGAUGUAUCUGGAUGCAGAUUUGGGACCAUCGGUCCGCUCAGCAGCCGCGCUGCGGGCGGUGGCGCAGAGUGCGCAUCCCCCGCACACGAGGGGGGCAUGGUGGCUAUCUCAGCCAGCGUGAACAGCGAGGUGUGGAGCACCUCCGAGCUUGCGUUUGAGUACAUGUCGUCUGCGACUGUGUUUGCUGUUGCUCCCGCCUAUGGUCCUGUGUCUGGCGGGACUGUGGUGCAUGUGAUGGGCAGCAGCCUGGUCGGCGAGAACGUGCUGUGCAGGUUUGGGCUCGAGGUUGUGGCUGGUGAGUACAUCGGCGGCAACGAGCUGUGCACGAGUGAAAUCAACUCUGCUGUCCUUCCCUCAAACGCCACUGGCCUUUCCACGAUGACGCAGCGCUCCGAGCAGUGCAUGGGCUGGGUGGAGGUGGCGUGCAUGUCACCGCCUCACGCAGCUGGCAUUGUGACCGUGGAGGUGAGCGCCACUGACGGCGGCUUCAGCACGAGCAAGGUGGAGUUUGAGUUCCAGCCGAGCGCCACUGUUUUGUCGCUGCAGCCAGCAUCUGGGCCAUCAGCUGGUGUUGGUGUGGUGAAGGUGGUCGGCGAGCACCUUGUGAGCGCUGAGCCGCUGUGUGGCUUUGGGCUGGCGGACCCUUCGUAUGCUGAGGUGGUGUCGUCAGUGCUUGCCAAGUGCGAGGCCCCAGCUCACGAGGCCGGCAUGGUGUCGGUUGAGAUGAGCAUCAGCGGCGCUGGCCAGCAGUUCACCCAGAGUGGUAUGGUUUACUCGUACACCGUGGAGGCUGCUGUGGUGGCGAUCAGUCCGCGUGAGGGGGCGCAGAGCGGCGGCACUGUGGUGCGGCUGGCUCUGAGCUCGGUGGAUGCUGAUGUGUCUGGAUGCAGAUUUGGGACCAUCGGUCCGCUCAGCAGCCGCGCUGCGGGCGGUGGCGCAGAGUGCGCAUCCCCCGCACACGAGGGGGGCAUGGUGGCUAUCUCAGCCAGCGUGAACAGCGAGGUGUGGAGCACCUCCGAGCUUGCGUUUGAGUACAUGUCGUCUGCGACUGUGUUUGCUGUUGCUCCCGCCUCUGGUCCUGUGUCUGGCGGGACUGUGGUGCAUGUGAUGGGCAGCAGCCUGGUCGGCGAGAACGUGCUGUGCAGGUUUGGGCUCGAGGUUGUGGCUGGUGAGUACAUCGGCGGCAACGAGCUGUGCACGAGUGAAAUCAACUCUGCUGUCCUUCCCUCAAACGCCACUGGCCUUUCCACGAUGACGCAGCGCUCCGAGCAGUGCAUGGGCUGGGUGGAGGUGGCGUGCAUGUCACCGCCUCACGCAGCUGGCAUUGUGACCGUGGAGGUGAGCGCCACUGACGGCGGCUUCAGCACGAGCAAGGUGGAGUUUGAGUUCCAGCCGAGCGCCACUGUUUUGUCGCUGCAGCCAGCAUCUGGGCCAUCAGCUGGUGUUGGUGUGGUGAAGGUGGUCGGCGAGCACCUUGUGAGCGCUGAGCCGCUGUGUGGCUUUGGGCUGGCGGACCCUUCGUAUGCUGAGGUGGUGUCGUCAGUGCUUGCCAAGUGCGAGGCCCCAGCUCACGAGGCCGGCAUGGUGUCGGUUGAGAUCAUCUCUUCAUUUGGCCAAGCGCUAACAAAUGAUCAAGUUGCUUUUGCAUUCCAUGGCGAUGUUUUCGUUUCUUCAAUUUUCCCGAGCGAAGGAUACGGAACAGGCGGAUCAAUUAUCGAGAUUACGCUCUCCAACAACAUGCCAAAGGACAUUGCAUGCGGUUUUGGCAGCGUUUUCCCAGCUCACGGGCGUUCUUCCCGUGCUACAAUUGCUUGUGUCUCCCCAACAAUGACUCCUCCUCAAGGCAAGAUUCCGGUCGGCGCAGGUUACCUGCAUUCGGUUGCUUUGUCUGACCCACUUGUGUACAAUGUCAUUCCCACACCAAAGCUGGAAACCCUGUUUCCGGCUUCUACCUCGUCACUGGGCGGAACAACAAUCACUAUCGUGGCGAGUCCAUUCAUGGACACCGCAAGUGCGUUUUGCAGAUUUGGAGACCAGGUCAAUGCUGCGACAAAAGCUGAGAUGUCCUACCUUGGGCUUGGAGUCGAAGCGGAUUUCUUCGAGUUCUCAGUCCCCAAUGCCACUGCAUGGAACAAUCAGACGUUCGACAUUUUGCACGCCAGGCCUAUCAUGCCCGUCGUAUUCACAUGCGAAACCAGUAGAAACUCUCCAGGUUUUGUCAGCGUGGAAGUCGGGAUGAAAUCAGCGGAUGGGACAGAAUUGGACAUUGCACCAACGGGACAUUUGAUGGACUUUGCCUUCGAGGCGGUGCCAUCCAUUUCCUAUGCAACCCCAUCCUUUGGAUUCUCUGGUGGUGGCUCUCUCGUGCGUAUUAUUGGCUCGCAUUUUUCUUAUGCUGGUCGGGCAUGUGGAUUUGGCAGUGUAUCCCCAGUACCCAGUACAUUUGUGAGCUCGGCUUUGAUAGUCUGUGAAUCCCCUGCACACAAUGAGGGCACAAUCAAAAUCGAGUUGGCGCUUGAUGAUGCAUGGGAAACAUGGACGACAGAUUCGGCGCAAUUCCAAUACAUGGAACAUGCAUCAGUGUUUGCCGUCGAUCCCCCCAACAUUGUCGAGACAGGAGGCAACGUGGUCAAUCUUUACGGGGUUGGCUUCGCAUCCGAUAUGAUCGAAUCAUGCACUUUUGGUACUGUGGGACCAACACCUAGCAGGGUGGUAUCGCCAAAACUACUCGAGUGUGUUUCUCCCGCCAGUGAACCGCAACGUGCGCUCCUUGUUUAUGGGUCUGGUCGCGACUCUCAAUUCGCCACUUACACUUCUAAUUCCGUGCAAGUUGCGAGCACUCCAACGAUUGAAAUCGCCUAUCCAACUCGCGGUCCGUCCAACGGCGGCACGCGUGUUGCGGUCGUCGGUUCUGGACUCGCAUCGCUCCGCACGCAUGAAUUUGUUGGAAGCUGCACAUUUGGCGAGAAGACAUCCCCGGCGGAUUGGCUCAACAUAGACGAGCUGAAGUCUGCUGAGGAGGUGAGUGUGAUGCGUGCUCACGCGCUUGAGCAUAUCAAUUCCACGGACACGUGGCGAACGCUCGGCGUCGCGUUGGGUUGGAGUGUAGUAAUUUGCGAAUCCAUCCCAUCAUCGCCUGGAUUCGUCCCUCUUGGAUUUAGGACAGAUCUCGGAGCGGAAGUCGCUGAGAUUUCUUUCACGUUCACUCCAUCAGCCUUGGUCAGCAUGGUCCAUCCAGGCAUAAUCACGGAUGACCCAGCGUGGGUCAUCCACGCCGAAGGUUUUGACUUCCCAAUUGAUGAGGGUCCUGCGGAGACUGGCUACGUAUCGUGUGCUUUUGGCUCUGUGGAUACGGCUACAUCUGCCAUUUUUGUGUCUUCUGCAUACAUCAAGUGCGAGGCUCCAAGUCAUAUGUUCCCAGGUCUGACCCAGCUCAAUCUUGUGACCGAUCAGGGUUUACGGUGGACGCAAGAUAGCUCUUCUGUGCUCGAUGUGAUACCUAGCGUCAGAGCAGUCGCUGUGGAGCCUCCCACAGGAUGGGCAGAGGGUGGCAUGUCGUUGGAGGUUCAUGUGGGAUCUUUGCCAGUGAUCGUGGCAGAGAACUCACUGUUCCCGCCGUUUGCAUGUCAGUUUGGAACAAUCGCUCCAGUUGCGUCCAGGGCAACGUCCACGUCGAUGAUGUGCACCACGCCUGCUGCUGUACCUGGUUGGCGACGCGUGAGCGUUACCCCAGGUAUCAACUUGAUGACUGGCGUCGACGGACCAGCACCUACGUUUCACUAUCUCCCUAUUCCCGAGGUGAUCGCCGCUGCACCGCUGUUUGCACCGACUGCAGGCGGGAACCGGAUUACCUUCACGGGACUCGGCACGCUUACCUUGGGCAACGUGGCCUGCUUGUUCGACGGGGAGGUGAAAGAGGCGCGUGCGGUAUCUGCAACCGACGUGGAAUGUACUGUCCCUGCGCAUGAGCCUGGUGUCAUUCAAGUUUCGAUUGUGCACUCAGACUUCGCAGACGGUAUUGGUCCACACGGCCUGGCUGUUGCGCUUGGCUCACCGCUGACUGUGUUCGACUCGGGCACGGUCGAUUUCGAAUAUUUCGGAUUAUUCCACAUGGUACAUCACUACCCGAGGCGGAGCCCGACAAUGGGUGGUACCAUGCUGAACUUGUACGGCGACGGCUUUACCCGACGGGAUCACAGCUACCGGUGCAUGUUUGGCUCUGGAUAUUUCCAAGACGCUGAAGUGGUUUCGAGCAGCAUAAUUCGAUGCGCCGCUCCUGCCCGUCGCAUUUCGGGUGAAGCUCUUCUCACCAUGACACUUGAUGUGCAUGAUUCGCAGAUUGUGGGCGGAGAGGAAGAAGGUCGUACCGGUAUGCACUCUUUCUACUGGCAACCCAAGCUGUACUCGUUUGAUCCUGAGGAGGCAAAGUCCAAUGGAGGACAAGAAAUUGUGCUCCGUGGUGAAGACUUCAUCGAUGUGGAUACACUGUCGUGCAGAUUUGGCACCGUCCAAGUCGCUGCUGCGUUCUAUUCUGAGGAUCGUAUCAUGUGCAAGGCCCCGGCUCGAUCACCCAGCUUCUCUGGUGCGUUGGCGAAUAAGGGUCAAAACACCUUGGAGAUAUCUGCCAACGCAUUCGACUACACGAGCACUGGUCUUGUCAUCAACUUCCUGCCGUCCGAGGACGAUGCCAAUUCCGGCCGCCAGAUUUCCGCUUUGGAGGCGCUGGGUUUGAUCUACGGCUAUACUCUCAUCACAGGGUACUUGUUACCAACGGUCCAGUCACAGGCGGCACCCCGGCCAUCAUCGAUGGUGCCAACUUUGACUCUCAAGACGUGUCGUGCAAAUUCAUGUCAACGCAGACCUCUGCAAUCUGGGUGAAUAGCUUCCGGGUCAUAUGUAUGACUCCGCCUCAGCCCGCAGGUUUUGCCGCCCUCGAGCUCCUUGAUGGGACUGAGACGACAGACUACGGGAACCAGUUCCACUUCCACCCAAGGGUGAAAGUGACCCUCCUUGAACCAAACUUUGCGGCUACACGGGGCGGUGAGUUGGUACUGGUCAACGGCAAGCAUUUUAUGCAGUUUGCCGAACUUGGUGAGAUGCCUUACAAGGUUGGCACGUUUUGCUCGCUCGGCACGCUGCCUGUGGAGCCCGCACACUUUAUCAGUAGCGCGUUGGUGAUAUGCGAGACGCUGGAUCACCAAAAGGCAGAUCUCGCUUUGGAGAUUUCACUGAACACCAUUGAUAAGUCAUAUUCCAAGAUUCAGCUUCACAUGCGCGAUCACCCGUCGAUCGAUGCCAUCGAUCCUGUCGGUGCGCCUGCAGUGGGAGGGGCGGUGAUCACCAUUGCGGGCGGUCCUUUCGACAGGGAUGUUCCAUACGGAUGCAAGGUUGGCACGCUUGGACCAGUCGCUGGAUUCUUGUUGUCUCCCAGUGAGAUCGCUUGCGUCUUCCCGAGCCAUAUCCCAGGUUUCAUUCCUCUCUACGUCACUCAAAACUGGCAUGACGUCUCGGAGCUUGCGGUGACGUUCAAAUACCGCGAACCAGCUGUGGUUGAUGCAGUUAUGCCCGCUCAUGGUCUCACGCAAGGCGGUGAUCUCGUCACAGUCACUGGUGCUCACUUUAAGCAGGGCGAACAACCAUAUUGUAGAAUGGGACACCAGCUUGUUGCAACUGAUGCUGUGACGCCUAAUGCGAUUGUGUGUUACACCCCAGCAAUGCCCCCAGGCUUCAUCCGCAUCGGCGUUGCAGACGGUGCUGAAGACGGUAUCCCUGAUAAUAUGGACAUGGGCAAGGGUGCUUGGUUCUUGUUCCAGCCUCCUGCAGUCACAAUGGCUGCAAAUCCAUACGUCGGAGAACCAGGUGGCGGUGCCUUGGUCACCGUUACAGGAUACGAACUCGUGUCUUUUGAACCUGAAGGCAUGCUCUGCCACUUUGGCGGCGACGAGCCGACCACCGCAUAUCUAAUUUCAUCCGUGCUUGCCAGGUGUGAAUCAUCUGCACACGCGGAGGGCGCUGUGGAGCUUGAGUUGAGCGCGACUGGGCCUAUUCAAGGGUUGGAAUACGCUUCUUUUGAGUACGUCAACUCUCCGAGGCCUGUGGCUCUGGAUCCGCCAGCAGGCCCAUCAGAGGGCGGCGCUCGUUUGGUUUUGACCCUCGCAGGUGCCGAGCAUUGGACCACGGGUUCGGGUACGCAAGGCACGAGUGCACAGUUCGGGACAAUCUGGCCCCUGUCGAUUCGAUCGCUCGGCGGCGGUGGCGUUGAGCUAUUCGCGCCUGCCCGCACUCCAAGCAUUGCGCCGCUGCUCAUCACCACCGACCUCUCCUCAUCGUCUCCCGCUUUUUCCGGCCUGAAGUACAAUUCUUACGGUCUGGAUUCUGAAGUUACGGUCCUUGCAACAUAUCCCGAGCGUUCCAUCUCAAGUGGCGGCUCCUUGGUGGACGUCACCAUCGCCAAGCGUGGCGAGGCAGACGAGGAUGUGCCCAGAUUCUGUCAUUUCGGUCUUCAUGCCACGCCAGCGCAGUUUGUCAACUCUUGGGAGGUGUGCCUGUCCGGAGAGCACGCGUAUCUCCCUGCACUCAACACUACAAUAUCAGGGUCAGUCUAUGAGGGUCCUAUCGACACUCUCACGACCAGCUCAGAGAUUAACAUCACUUCUCAGUACGCCCAAUGGAUGAGUUCUUCAUCUGCCCCGACAACGGCAGAAACUGCUGCAUGGUUUGCAGAGCUUCGUCGCGGUGGACAGUGCGCCGGAUUUACCACGGUCCGCUGCAUCGCUCCCGCGCAAGCUGCCGGGUGGACGCAGGUGACGGUUGGUGACCCGCACACUCCGCCCUCAGGUGCAGGCGGGGUUCCAUUCGAGUACCUGGCUGCCCCGGUUCUGUUCCUUUCGCAACCUGCGGAUGGUGGAAUUGGAGGUGGAUCUGUCGCAAGGAUCACCGGCUCACAUCUUCAUGGCGCUGAAGCGUGCUGGUCGGGAUCGGAUGUCGUUGACGCGCAUGUGGUGUCAUCGUCGCUGGCGUAUUGCGAGACGCCGGGUGCGAGGAUGCCUGGGCAAUUCGCACUCGGUUUGGGCGCGGACUCCCCUCCAACAGGAGACGCUGUUCUCGCAUUCACCUACAAGGAGGAUUUCAUUCCGCUGUCAUUAACACCAACUGGUGGUUCGAACUCAGGCGGGGUCUUGGUGACCAUCACUGUGCAUCCUGAUUCGAUACAUGCGCAAGCUAGUGAUUCAUUGUGUCACAUAGGGACGAUUGGCGUCAGGGCUCGAGCAAAUGCUAUGGGAUACGAAUGUGUGACCCCGGCAUCAGUCGGCUUCUCUGCUUCCGUGGCGCUCUCACUGAACGGCGCGGAUAGGACUCCGGAGUCUAACAUCCUGUCUUUCGCGUACCGCCCUGACCCAGUGACGUUGUCUGCAUCGGUGACUUCCUUUGUUUCAUCGGGAGGGGCUGAGUUGUUGAUUGAGGGUUCCAUUCCACGCGGCGCAUACGAAGACAUCUCCUGUAUCUUCAACGGGGAUUACUCGGCUCCAGCAACAGUUAUCGAUGUCGAGGAGGUUUGUGUAGGAGGAUCAAACUGGUACGCCACUGCAGGUCAAUCUGCAAACAGGUGUUUGGGUAGUGCAAUCGUGCGAUGUAUCGCUCCGGCACUUCCAUCCGGCGCGGUAUCGCUGUCGCUCGCGGCCAUCCCGUCCGACUCGUUCACCCCAUACUUGCUGUCCCCGCUGCCCGGCGCCGAGAUAUUUGUCCUCCCGGCUCCUCACGUGGCUGUUGUGGAGCCUGCGUACGCGUCGACUUCUGGCGGUGACGUGAUCCACCUCAAAGGCACACACAUGAAAGUCGACUCUAUCGACGUUGUCGUGGGAUCAGCGGCGGAAUCGGCCCUUGUACGCGUGGUCUCCUCCGCGGUGGCCUCCAUUGAAUCGCCGGCUCACUUUGAGGGAUCUGCUGUCAUCGUACCUCGCAUCAACGGGCAGCUUGCCGAGAAUUCAGUUUCCAGCAAUAUGCCGCAGAUAGAGUACGUGUCGCCGUCGCACGUUGUCGGAGCGACCCCUACGGAUGGAUCCGAAUCUGGUGGCGCUCUGGUCGUCGCCUCUCUCGAAGGAUUCUCUUCAGGACAUGGCGAUCUAGCAUGCUCCUUUGGAUCAAUUCGUGUUGCCGCAAGGCGAGCAUCAGCUGGGUCUGUCAUCAGCCUCGAGUGCGCCUCACCCGCCCAUGCUUCUGGGUACGUGCAACUUCGAGCGGUGGCAAACGGCGUGGGAGCGAUUAGUGAGACGGCCUUUGCGUAUCGCAGAGACAUUCACGCGGUCUCCGUCGAUCCGGCUACUAUGCCAACAAGUGGUGGCACUGUCACAAUUGUGGAGACGUUUGGAGAGUUGGCAAGAACGGAGCAGACUUCGUGCAGAUUUGGGACCGAGGUUGUACCAGCACGAGUGCUCGCCACAUCACGCGUAUGCACAGGUGUCACUCGCACCGCACCUGGCUACAACAUAACCCUUUACAGCGAUACAGACGCGGUGUGGAGUUCACUGAGUCGUUGCCUGGGUUGGUCUACCGUGGCGUGCGAUGCACCGUCUUCACCUGCCAGUUUUGUCUCUCUUUCUGUUGGUCUUGGUGACGGUGAGUAUGUGUCCUCGGGACUUUACGUGCAGUACCGCUCCGUGCCAACCGUGAGGUAUAUUCAGCCUGUCUCUGGUCCAGCUUCCGGCGUUGGUGUAGUCAAAAUUGGAGGCGCAGAUUUCGUUGACGAUGAAGGCCUGUGUCGAUUUGAUGACCUCUCACCCGGGGUUGUUGAUCGGGUCUCCUCCACGCUCAUCAAGUGUGAGGUGCCUGAUCACGACAUCGGCAUCGUCGCGUUCGAGCUCGAGCUCGGAGAUGAUGGGCAGCAGUACACGCGUUCGGGCGUGUUGUACGAGUACGUGCAAGAGCCUUGGGUCGUCGGCAUCGAACCUCCACAGGGCCCACUCGAAGGUGGUGCAACAGUGAAGCUGGCGCUCCACGUGGAUCACUCCCUCUCUGACCCUUCCGUGGAUGCACCGUGCAGAUUCGGGACCAUUGGACCCGUCAAGGGGCAAAGAUACGCGCUCGGUACGUCGUGCGUACAACCCGCCCACGCCGGUGGCCAGGUCCCGGUCGCCACCUCACUCAACGAGGGCGAGGUGUGGACCGAAUCUGAGGUGUUUUUCACUUACGGUGCGGCCACUGCUGUCGUUCACGCGGUACUUCCAACCACCGGACCCCAGCGUGGGGGCACCGAAGUUGUGGUCUAUGCGGGCGGUCUGCGCGCAGACAGGGGCGUGCAGUGCCGCUUUGGUAUGGACAUCGUGACCGGUCAGUUUGUCGGAGGACCGGAUACUUGCAAUGGUGUCGAUGGUGGCGCAGAUAACUCGACGCUAUGCAUCGGCUGGCGAAUGCUCUGGCAGGAGAUCCGUUGCGUCGCUCCGAGCUACUACCCGGGAGUGACUACUGUCGAGGUUACCGACAUCAUCGGAAUCUUCAGCGACAGCAAGCACGAGUUCGAGUACCAGGUGCCUGCCGAGGUUGUCGCCGUCCACCCUCCUCUGGGAUCCACUGAAGGCUCCACUGCGGUGACUGUGCAAGGUGUUAACCUUGUCAGCGCAAACACUGCGAAGACAAUUUGCAGUUUUGGAGAUGCUGAGUUUACGACUGCCUUCGAGGUAUCGUCCGUGAUGAUCAUCUGCGAAUCACCAGCACAUCCGGAAGGUUCCGUCGCAGUGGAGGUGAGUGUAAGCGACCAGGGGCAACAGUUCUCUUCGAGCAAUGCGCUGUUCGAUUACGCUCUCCCACUUGCUCUUCGGGCAGCGUAUCCAGAGGGUGGUCCGGAAGAGGGUGGCACUGUCGUGAGCGUCCAGACAGAUUCCCUGGAGGGUUCGCUCAGGACCUUCGGCUGCCGGUUUGGAACCGUCUCUCCCGUCAGUGCGCGCAAGACGAACGACAACAUCAUGCAAUGCAUGAGCCCCGCGCGAGACAUUGGAGCAACCCAGCUCGAGGUGACUCACAACGGUGGUGCGGAAUAUACAUCCUCCGGGACUUUGUUCUCCUACUGGCCGAGUUCCGAAAUUUUAUCCGUCGAUCCUGUCUCUGGUCCAAUCGCUGGCGGCACGCUCGUCACGGUCGUCGGUCAUGGUCUGCGCGACACGACACGCUGCCGCUUCGGCAACGAGGUUGUUGACGGUCAGCAUUACGCCGGCGUCGACACUGUGUAUACUGUGGACAGGCUGACCAGGCAGGUUGUGUCAAAUGGAACUGAGGUUACACAGUGGACGAGCCGUACGCGGAGGUAUGGCGUUGCCUAUUUAAUCUGCCAAACUCCAGCAUCGUCUGCAGGCCACGUGAGCGUUCAGAUUAGCGAUGCAUUCGGCAGCUUCGGCGUGUCGCAAGACGUGGACUUCCAGUUCCGCGCGCCCGCUGAGGUAUACGCGCUCUGGCCCAGGCUCGGAUCCACCGAGGGCGGCGCCAUCCUCUCUGUCGCUGGUUCGAAUCUUCUCGGUGCCAACCGCAUUUGUGCAUUUGGCGACGCCGAAUCGAUCACUGCGGUGGAGGUUUCGUCCAAACUCAUCCUUUGUGAGGUUCCAGCGCACCCUGAGGGUGCCAUCGAGGUCGAGGUCAGCGUUGUGAGCGGAGAAGGGCAGCAACUGACUUCAAGCGGUGUUGCUUUUGAUUACGCAACUCCAAUUUCUGUGCUUGGCACAGAUCCUGCAGGUGGGCCAGAAGAGGGUGGCACUGUCGUGAGCGUCCAGACAGAUUCCCUGGAGGGUUCGCUCAGGACCUUCGGCUGCCGGUUUGGAACCGUCUCUCCCGUCAGCGCGCGCAAGACGAACGACAACAUCAUGCAAUGCAUGAGCCCCGCGCGAGACAUUGGAGCAACCCAGCUCGAGGUGACUCACAACGGUGGUGCGGAGUAUUCGAGCUCUGCGUUUGCCUUUUUCUACUGGUCAACUGCUGAUGUAUUGUCAGUCGAGCCUGCCUCUGGUCCUGUCAGCGGUGGGACGCUCGUCACCAUUACAGGCUAUGGAAUCCGCGAGGAUGUCCAGUGCCGCUUCGGCAACGAGGUGGUGUACGGCAACCGCGUGGGUGGUGGCUGGGAACUCGGAUCCGAUGGCCGAAGACAAUCUGGCCAUAUUGGUUAUCAGCGUUGGAUGAUUGAUGCGCAACCAAUGGUGACCACCUCCGUGAUUUGCCGUAGCCCACCCCUGAACGCCGGUCACACGAGUGUGGAGAUCACGCACGGACACGGUGGUCGCUCACUGCGAUCAGUCGAGUUCCACUACGAGGUGCACCCUGAGAUUUACACCAUCACCCCGUUAAUUGCCCCGGUUGACGGCAGCAGCAUAAUUUCUAUCCUCGGCGAGCACCUCAUCGGCAAUGGACAACUUUGCAGCUUCGGCGCUUCCUAUCCCGUCACCGCACAUCCGAUAUCAUCGGCAUUGACCCUUUGCGAGACACAGCCGCAUUCUCCUGGUGCAGUCAGUGUGGAGGUGAGUGCGAGUGAUGUCGGUCAGCAAUUCACCUCUUCUGGCGCUGUGCUUGAGUACUCAUACUCACCGCUGCUCAGAGGAAUUGCCCCAGCGAGCGGCGCACUUGAGGGAGGCAUAGCUGUGAUGUUGGUGACGGUCGAUGCGGAAAGAAUAACAUCGAGCAUCAUCGCAUGCAGCUUCGGAACAACAGCUCCGGUCCUCGCAAGGGUUUCGAGCGGCGCUGUGGAGUGUGUGAGCCCAGCAAAGGAUGCCGGCGCUGUGCCGCUUGAUGCCACCGUCAAUCUCAUCGACUAUACCAGUUCUGAAGUGAUGUUCCGUUACGGUCACAGGUCAGCGGUGGUGGAUUUGUGGCCCGAAUACGGUUUGGUCACAGGAGGCACGGAGAUCGUUGCAUUCAUGGAGUCGGUCAGUGAAGAGAGCGAGCCUGUGUGCACUUUCGGCGCCGUGGCUGUUCGGGCCACAGUUGUUGACGAUUUCGAGAUUUGUGGAACAGCGCUUGUCUCAGGCACAACUGCAAGGUCGCCGGAGAUCGUUGGCACGGCCAGCGAUGAGGCUGCAUCUGCGAGCUCGCCAUCCAGGUAUGAGACUGAGCGCAAGUGCGUGGGAUAUGUCACCGUGUCGUGUCUGUCUCCGCCCCAGCCCGCCGGGUUUGUCUCCUUUGACAUUCACUCCGGUGCAGUUGGCGGUGCCUCUAGCUUCUCCUUCAGUGUCGGUCCUGAGAUUUUCGGUAUUUCGCCAAACUCCGGCGCAUCAUCUGGUGGGACCGUGGUGAGCGUGCUAGGCCGACACAUGUUGGAUGCGCACGCUUCGUUGUGCAGGUUCGGGAACGAUGCCCCUGUGGGUGCUCAGUUCGUGUCUUCUGCCCUCAUCAGGUGCGAGACCGGCGCUGCAUACGAGACGAUCGCGGAGGUAAGCGUAGGCAGCAACUCGCUCCAGUUCACGCCCUCCACUACGAUUUUCGAAUUUGAGCACGCGCCCAGGCUGUUGUCGAUCAGCCAGGUCGAGGGAGUGCAGACGGGCGGCGCCACUAUAGCGAUCACCGUGGACUUUAUUCCCCACCCGCGAGCACUUGCAUGCAGGAUCGGUACGAUCGGUCCGAUUUAUGCCAAAUCAGGGGGCGAGCAGGCGGUUGAGUGUGUAUCGCCAGCGCACAAACCGGAGCUGGUCCCGAUAGACCUCUCCCUGAACCUCGUUGACUUCACUUUUGACCAGCUCGAAUUCGAGUUCACGCAUGAGUUGACCGUGAUCGCUGUGCAUCCGACGUCUGGACAUGCUUCGGGCGGCUCUUUGGUCACGAUCAGCGGCCGCGGAUUCCGGGAGGGUGUGGAGUGCAGGUUCGGUUCAAAAUCUGUCCCUGCGAUUUUCCUUGAAAAUCCGGAUGGAAUCACCGAGCGCUGCUUCGACCGUGCCGAAUCCGUCGAAAUGCCCACGGGAAACGUCUACAUCCCGCGUCACGUUAAGACUCAGCAGUGUGUCGGCUGGUCGGUAAUCGGUUGCGAGGCUCCUGCAACGAGCAUCGGGUGGACCGCUCUGGAGGUUCGAUCCUCUGAGGGCGAGUUGGCGUCCGUGCUCGGGUUUGAAUUCCGCGCUGAUUUCCAGAUUUUCUCGGCGAUGCCGUCACUUGGUCCUAUUUCUGGAGGGACUGUCGUGCAUCUCACCUCGCGUCACGUCGUCGAUCACGAUGACGCGAUAUGCACGUUUGGAACCGGAUCUCCAUCGAGCGCGGCGUUUGUGUCCUCCGCGCUCGUCAGGUGCGAAUCGCUGGAUCAUGAGGAGGGCAUCGUGGGUGUGGCUGUGAUCGACAACAAUUUUGGCACGAUGGGCUCCUCCGCGGCGUUUGAAUACGCAGCAACUCCUCGUGUAGUCAGCCUCGGCAAACGCACUUCCGGCAGUCAGGAAGGUGGAACGCUCCUCUCUGUAUCGAUUAUCAACGGUGAGAGCGCUCUAGAGUUAUCAUGCCGCGUGGGCACAUUAGCUCCCGUGGCAGCGACGAGAGUGUCCUCAUCGGAGAUUGUGUGCGUGAUGCCGGCCCAUAGACCUGGUCCGGUGCCGGUGGAGAUCACUCCCAACAUGGCUGACUUUACAGCGGACUCGGUCGCAUUCGAGUACGAGUAUUCAGUCAAGGUCACUUCAAUCGUUCCCGAUGUCUCGCCAGUGAGAGGCGGUGUGGAGGUGACCGCACGCGGCUUUGGCUUCGCAGAUGGUGUUGAAUGUGUGUUUGGCGAGAUUUCAGUCCCGGCAACUUUUGUCGGGUCCGAUGACGGAAUUAUUGAGAGGUGCCAUGAGCCACAGAUCGUAUCCACAGGCAUAAUAAGUGGCCUCGUGCCAUCUGAGGAAUGCAUGGGCUGGUCCGUGGUGAAGUGCAUCACGCCGCCGGCAAUUGCAUCUGGCAUAGUAUCCUUUGUGAUUCGUGCAGCUGGCGAAUCCCACCUUUCCUCCCCUGGCCAGUUUGACUUCUCAUUUGAACUUGCGCCAGAAGUGAUUUCGGUGGAUCCACCUCACGGCUCGAUCGCUGGAGGCACCGUGGUUUCGCUGAUCGGCAAACACAUGACCGAUCACAACGGUCCACUGUGUAGAUUUGGCAGCGAUUCCCUCGCUGAGGUACAGUUCGUGUCGUCUGCGCUGGUCAGGUGUGAGGCGGCGGCGAGUUACUCGGAGGGAGAGGACUUGAUUGAAUACUUGUCCAGCGCUGAAGCUGCGAUUGCUGAUUCUGUUGGCAGCGUCAGCUUCGGCUACAUUAGCGACCCACGCAUCGUUGGUCUGUCCCCUGCUGUUGGCCUUGAGGUCGGCGGUACUCCGCUUCGCGUCUCUGGAGUCAACUUUUUGCCCGGAGACGUCGCGAGGGUCGGCACCAUUGGGCCAAUCACCAUGCGAUACAUUGGUUCGGAUGCAUUGGAACUUUUUGCUCCUGCUCAUGAUACUGAGUCUGGAUAUAAAGUUCCCGUUGAGGUCACGCACAACGCUCAAGGCAGCAAUAUCUGGUCGAACGAUGAGACUGUGCUCUCUUACACUUUCGCCGUGCGCCUCGACGGCGCAGAUAUGGAUGUGAGCACCACCGCGGGAGGUUCCUUGGUCAAUAUUUAUGGUUCCGGUCUGCGCCGCACCGGCGAGGCGGCUGCACGUUGGCAGUGCCGCUUCGGGGAUCAGCAGGUGGACGCGCAUGAGGUCUUGGGUUCCACCAGAGAUGCGUACCGCAUACCCCCAGAGAUGUGCGCGACUGGCAGAUGUAUGGGAUGGUCCGCCCUGUCUUGCGUAGUUCCCCCAGGUCAGCCUGGCUUUGCGACACUGGGCGUUGGGAUGCAGGGUGAAGAGAUGAGCCGCGAUAGGUUCACCUUCUCGUUCGACGUCCCCGCAUCCCUCGUUUUGGGUUUUCCCAGUGAGAGCCCGAGCGAGGGCAGCGGACUUGUGUUCGUCGUGGGCCGACAUAUGCGCCCAGGUGACCAGUCUUCUGCUCCCUUGUGCAGGUUUGGUAAGGAGCCACGCGAGGGCGCGCCAGCAAAGGUCAUUUCGUCAAUGUUGAUGGUUUGCGAGGCUCCAGAACAUCCAGAGGGCUUUGCCGAGCUAUCUGCGUCAUUAUCCGACGGUGGAAAGACCUACAGUGCUCUCACUGGAUCUGCGGGUGUGAUGCACUACUUUGCGCAACCAGUCCGAGUCACUGGGUCGAAUCCGAUGACUGGCCCCGAAUCUGGUGGAACAAUCAUCGCGCUUAACGGUAUUGGUUUUGAGGAUGGUCCCUUACUUGCAUGCAGGUUCGGUACGACCUUCCCGGUGGCCGCUCGCUUCGUCACGACUGAGCACAUUGAAUGUUUAUCUCCUGCUCGCGACGCUGGUUCGACGGUACCCCUGGGUGCCACCGGGAACGGCCGUGAUUACACACCCGGCGGAGGACUGUUCGGCUCGAGUGCCAUGCUCUCAUUCCAGGCCAACCUCCGUGUUUCGGCUGUUACGCCCAGAUCCGGCGUCACGGGUGGCAGGACCCCCGUUUUCAUUACCGGGUUCGGGUUCGUCAACUCCACUUCUUUGGCAUGCAGGUUCGGGAAGCAAGUUGUGCAGUCCUUGUACAUUACGCCCUUCACCAUCUUGUGCAUCGCACCAGAGCAACCCACCAGCUCGGGUUCAGUAUUUCUGGAAGUUUCCAACAACGGCCGAGACUGGACCUCCCAGCGCACUCUGUUCCACUUCGCGCCGUGCCCUGCCGGCUACUAUUGCCCCGAUGGUGAGCCGAUGCCGUGCCCCAGAGGCGCGUUCUGCACCGGUGGGAGUGGUGCCGCGACCAACUUCACACUCUGUCCUGCUGGCACAUUCCAGCCAAGGACUACACAGAUGUCGUGCCUGCCCUCUCCAAUUGGCUUCAUCGCGCCGGACAUUGGCACCUCAGUGCCGAGUCCGUGCCCACGCGGUGCUGUGUGCGAUGUCACUGGUCUCGCAGGGCCCAGCAAGGUGUGUCCUCCUGGUCACUUCUGCUUGGAGGGCACGCGCACAGCAAACUUCACUGAUUUUGGAACUCCAGAGCGGCCUUUACCUUGUCCUUUCGGCACCUACUGUGGCGCCGGAGUCACUACGAACAGGUCGAUCGCAAACAACUUCACCACUCCGCAGACGUGUUUCGCGGGCUUCAUGUGCGAGCCCGGUUCAGUCACGCCGCAGGGCUCCGGACCCUGCCCCUCUGGGCACUACUGCCCACCUGGCCAGCUCAUCCCAUGCCCAAGCCGCACCUACUGCCCCGGCGUGGCCAAUACCGAACCAAAGCCGUGCGUCCCCGGUCUCUACCAGCAGGAGUUCGGUCAGUCCACGUGCAAGAAAUGCCCGCUCGGUACGAUCUGUCCGGGUUUCGCGAGAGAACUUCCAGAACUAUGUCCCCCGGGUUUUGUGUGCGACGAGGUUGGUCUGCCGAUUCCGUCGAAGCGAUGCCCAGCCGGACACUUCUGUUUGGAGAACACUCUCACGCCAGACCCGCUCAGCGCGCUGGACAUAGAUCAGCUGCUUCGAUCUUCGCCGAUUGCACUAGAUGUGGCGUCGUUCCGACCGUUGCCGUGUUUGCCUGCGACGUACUGCAUGGAGGGUGUGAUGAGCAACCUGACGCUGGAGGGAGUAUUCACUCAGCCGCAGCCGUGCAAGGAAGGUUCUUACUGCGAGUGGGCCACGUCGGACAAGACGUUCGCCGAAGAAGGGGAUGUUUCCAACCCCAUGCUUCGAUGUCCACCAGGUAACUACUGCCCUAAGGGUACGUAUAUUCCCAUCCCUGCGCCACGUGGUUACUUCGCACCCGGCGAGGGCAACGCGCAGGCGGCACAGUGCUUGCCAGGGUCAUACACCCACUAUGAAGGAUUCGAGGUUUGCCUCUCAUGUCCAGCUGGUUAUGAAUGCGCGCAAGACGGCACCUUUAAGCCGACUAUCUGCAGAUCCGGUACCGCACGCUCCCUCCGCGACUCCAUCACUUGCAAGAACUGUCCCAUGGGUACGUGGAACCCGUUCCGCGGUCUCACCGACGAGUCGCUGUGCAUACCGUGCAACCCUGGCCUUGUGUGCUCUGCGGAGGGUACCGAGAACAACAAACCGUUCGGCGACAAUAUCGCGCAGGUGGUCAACGAGUUUAUCGGCCCUUGCGAGGCCGAAUUGGACACGUGCGAGUCCGUGGAGCUUCAGCCUCUGGGUCGCGCCACGUUGUGCCCAGAGGGCUACGUGUGCGACGCAAGGACAACUGUAGCAGCGGUUAAGUGCCCGGAUGGAUACUUCUGCGGCUACGGCACAUCCCCAGAGACGCAGUUUGUGAACAAGUGCCCUGCUGGAUACUUUUGUCCCGAGGGUACUGCCGCGUCCGGUCGCUUCCAGUUCCCUUGCUCGGCUUGCCAUUUCUGUCCAGAGGGCACCGGCGUCAUCUUGCCCAGGUGUCCCGAAGGCACGCGGUCAGAUCCCAAUGCCGACGACAUCGACGACUGCAUUGCAGACAGGAUCACAUUCUGGCGCAUUCAGCCACUCAAGACGACUCUCAUCGAUGAGGCUUACGCCAUGCUCCUGCUCGCAUACAACGAAUCGCAGGCAGAUCGCAGGAGAUCUCUCUUGGAGAUUGCGCCCGCGCCAUCGCCUGCAGGUGCCGAUGACAGAAACGCAUAUGGAGACGAAUUUGGGGCUCCCAGAGUCAACAAAUACAGUCAGAAGAUCUCUCCCGCUGCGCUGGAGAAGCUGGGCGAACACGUUUCGAGGAUCCGAGAAGAGUCAUCCCCUUUCACCUGGGAGUGGAACAGGCGAAGGCUGCUUCAGGAUACCGGAGAAGUCGCCGCAAACACCACCAACCUCAAUACUGAUGGCACCAACGCUACCGACGCCGAAGGAGAUGGCACUUUUGACACGAGCUAUUUUGGUGAGUGCAAGGGCCUUAACUUCGACUUGCUCAAACCCGAAUUCAUCAUGGACGCGGAAGGUAUGCCUGCGACGGACAUCGAGGGCACGCCUAUGGUGAAGUUUACGAUCCCUCGCAACCACAUCGCGAAGGUGAAGUUAGACUUCCGUUUCAUCGAUGAUUUCAUCCGCCACGGCCAACAAUAUGAGGUUGCAAUUUUUGUGGACGACCGUGUCAAUGACAUGAUGUGCAACGAAGAAGACUUCGAGAAAGUACCUUGCCCCCCUUGGGACACAGGCGAUGGUAUCAACAGGAAAACCAUGGGUGUCAUUGAAGGCCGUGAGUUCGAGGAGAAGUGUCCCAAGUCCACCGAGGCUUUGGAGCUCCCAUACUGGUUUGCGGGGAACGGUGUCAUUGGCGAUAACAACUACAACGAAAAGUUCCCCAAAAUGGGGACUUACGUGUGGAAACGGGGCUUGCAUGAGAUCAACAUCGGAGGCGCGGACGAGACUACAUUUAGAUUCGAGGUGCGUAUGCUCCACGGUCUGUACCAGAACGCCACCAGGCGUGGUUUCCUCGACUCCAUGUGCAUUGAUACCGUGUAUCCCGAGCGUGGCAACAAGAAAGAAUUUUCGUCGUUCCACAUUCUGCUGGAGAACAGCGACGGGCUGCAGAUCCCGCUUAACGUCCCGGCCCGCGAGCCUUAUCAGCGCUCUAUCGAACUCGACUAUUUCACGUGCUCGGAAGUGCAGAUGGACCCGUCCUGUAGGUACGUGUACCCCAAGGUGACCCUGGAUUACAACUCCACACUGGCGUCUGAGUGGAAGCAGUACAUCAAGCAACAGGAGCUCGCCGCCAUGGCAGGCAUGGAAAUUCUCUUGGACGACACCGCGGAUCAGGAAAUGACUGACGAUGUCAUCAUCGAGGAAAAUGGAGACAUGCACGUGCCCGACGUCCUUGAGAAGGAGCAGUUCAUCUUCACAGAAGAUUACUGGACACAGGGCAGGCCACUCUUGGCAAUCGAUUAUCUGCCGUUCUUCUCCGGCUGCCGUGGCUUCGAUGCGCACAUCUACUUCUGGUACCUCACCGAGACGGAAUUCACGGAGAUUGAGGACUUUAUCAAUUAUGGCAAGUGCGAGCUCGUACCAGUCAAUGAGACGAUCUUCAUUGAUCAGUGGGCACCACAGGUAGCCACAGCCAAGGCAGACAGCUGCGAGAUUGAGAUUACGUGCUUCUACGAAGAAGCCUACGCAGAGGCUGCGGCGAAUACUCGAUGGUUCGAAGUCGAGGAUGAGACUCUUUUCUAUAUUACUCAGGAAGCGAGCGAACGUGAACGUCUGUUUGAAGCUUCAGUCCUGGCGAAUGAUCAGACAGAACCUGAAGUGAAUGUUGGAGCGUUUGUGACGGCUAUUGCGACUGAUUUGGCUAUUCCUGUGAACUUUGGACCUGCAGAGGGCGUCGAGGUUACACGUGGCAUUGUUCCCACCGAUAUAUCUCUUUCGAUAUCUUACUUCCAGACGUCACCGACGGAUAAGCGCAUGAUUCUAGCUGAGGGCGAGUUCGGUGACUACACCAAUGCAAAAAAGCACGAUGGCUCCUACACUCUCACAAUAAGUACCACUCCUCUGGGUUGGUUCGAACUUCUCAACGCAUUCGCCUUCGAUGAGGUCUUCUACGUCGCGCUAUUCCACGCGCUUGGCCUUCUGUCGGUAGGCAUCGUGGUUGGUUUCUGGCUGAUCAUCCGGCUGUUCACAACUCUGAAGGAUCCGCCGCGGUUCAAAUUCCUGCCUUAUUUGGGUAUUGUCACCCAGGCGCCUGCCACCGGAAUUUUGCUUGCGAUGAUUCCUUUCCUUCUGGCGCAAGUCGGCGUCCGCUGGAUCAUGGAAAGUAUCACCUUGCUUACCCAGUUCCCGAUUACUAUCGAUGACAUGGGCCGCGAGAUUGAUACAGCUGUUGUUGAAAAAGCCACGGCUGGUCGACUGGCACUUUGCUUCCUCACAAUUUCUGGCUACUUGAUAUCAUGUGCGUCACAAAUUUUGGUCCCAUCUAUUCCUGAGAUGGACGCUUUGCGAGCGGAUAAUGAGGAGAGUGUCAUGCAACCAGAGUCCUGGAAGCGAAGCCACUUCAUCUUAGCUGUGAUCUGUGUGAACAUCACUAACCUCGCACUGAUGGAGUUCUCCUACACCGACACGUAUGGUGUGUACUUCUUCUUGAUUUUCAUCCUGAUGAAGGCGUUCCAUUUGCUUAUUGAGAUGCAAGCUGAGGGAUUCUUGGGCGAGGUCAUGUUACUGACUCCGAUCAGCGUCGGCUUGUCACUCACAGCAGGUCUCGUCACUAUUGCCGCAGAUGACUUCACCGAUUUCACCCUGGGUUAUUACCUGGAGUUGAUCAUUGGUUUGCUUGAGUUUGUCUACCUCGACGCAUUUAUUGCGUACAUCUCCCGGAUGGUGCCAUAUUUGAAGCGCAGGAUCUCUCUGCGCCUACGCUUGCGCCGACGCACGAUCCAACAGCAACUGUUGGAGGGUAAGGUGCAACGCGAGGACUCCGUGGUUGAGGAUCUUAUGGGUUUCCUCACCGCAUACGGUGCCUCCACUGCUGGUCUGUACAUGACUCCUGUGUUCAUUUAUUUCUACUGGGACUUCAACGACUACCUGCAGCUGUCGUUCCUGUUCGGCUUCAGGAAGAACGACUUAAUCAUCUACCUCCUCUUCGGUCUCGUCAUCAUCCCCUUCCAGAUUAUCAUGGACAUCUUCAUCUUCAACAUUCAGGAGUUGUUCCACGGCUGGAAGGUGUAUGAGUACAUGAAGUACGCCAGAUACCGGUUCAGGCACAGGACGGCGAGGUGGAAGGGCCUGGAAAAGACCUACGACGAGUCCAUCGAUUAUUCGCUCCGAACUGUCGACCAGCUUUGCUUCUCAUCUCAGUUUUACUUCGUGCUUGGCAUCGGCGGCUCCGGCUCGUUCCUUUUCGUGCUGUCGCUCUCCAUGAUGCUUCGCGUGAACUACAACAUGUUCGAAGAUAUUCUGUUUGGCCUUGUUGUAAGUCUGAUGUUGGGACUUUGCAUGAUCACACGAAGGGUCGCACUAUUCCUGGCAGAUUUGGUAGGUUUGUGGAAGAUCGAUAGCCGUCUGGAUGACGACAUGAUCAAUGAGGACGACCUCCCAACAGAUUUCCAGCUGUUUGGGGACAAGGCAGAUACAGAGCGUGACACUGAGGCAUCUGAACGAGGCGAGUUCACGCUAGCGGACCUCACUACGGAUUCCUUCCGCCGCAAAUUCUUGGAGCAUAACCGCAUGUGGCUGCUGGAUCAGUUCGCAGAGUUGCUCACCCCGAGGACGGCGAAGAAGUUCAGGAAGAUGGGCGGAAAGAUUCGCGGCACGGGCGGAUUGUCAGACAGCGACAGCGACGAAGGUGAGAGGGAUCGGUUCGAAGGUGACGUCAUACUCGCAGACACGAGCGCGCAUGUCAUGCGUAUGUGGCUCCAUGAGGCGUCCAAACGAACCGGCGGCGGGAGGAUGGCAAGACGCCUGGGACUGUCCGAAACUUCGGACAGCGACAUGGACAAGGGACCCAAGUGGCCACCGGCGAAACUGUCGCCCGAGGCUCAGGCACUCGCCAAGGGUUGGCUUGCAGCAGUCAAGGCUGUGCGAGCCGCACGCGGCGACAGGCCCGCAGGAGAGCUCUCCUCAUCAGACACGGAUACCGACGGGGGUGGUCUGCGCAGCCAGUGGGGCACGCCCGUCGUGUCUCCUGCGUCUGCGGCGCUGGUCAGGGAUUGGCUUCAGCGCGCAAGGAAGAAGGUUGGGGAGACGCCGAAAGGCGGUGGGUUGACCUCCUCGUCUGAUUCGGGCAGCAGCGACGGCGAUCUGGAUCGACUGGUGAGCCUCAAACCCGCGUCCGCGGUGGUCAUGCGUCAGUGGAUCGCGGCUGUCCGCGCACGAAGCCGUGGCAUCAGCAAUGACCAACUGGUAUCCAGGAUGCGCUCUGAGUUGAGCAGCUCCAGUGGCGAGAGUGAAGGAGAGACGGGGUUUGAUGGUCCUGCGAGUGUAAGCGCCACGGGUCAGAGUCUGAUUCGCUGGUGGCUUGUGAACCUGAGGAGGCGCAUGGCUGAAGAAGGCGAGCGGAUGAUUGCCGAGUCAAUUGAACAGGCGCGCUCGCAGCUGCCGCAAGCGCCAACCGGCGACGACGGUUUCCCGGAUGACGAUGAGUUCACGGACAGCAGCGAUGAUAACUUUCCCGUCGCGCAAAUGAGCACAGAUCCAACGUACACGACUAGCGAUCCAAACGCAGGUCGCCGCGGAAGCUCCGAUGAAUCGAACCUUGACUCAAGCGAUUAGCAAUUUAGAGUAGUUCAUAGAUGUGGCAAACAAGCUGCGUGAACCCGACUUGGCAACCAGCCAAGUUGUGAGUGAGAACGCAGCAACGCCGCUAAGCAUAGUCUUAGUACAUGAUAGAGAGAAUAUUUUGAUUCAAAAGAACGAACGAAAUUCAUUUCAUUACUUGCUGUCGUGCAUCUACAUUUUCGUUGUGUUUCAUCAUCAUGCAGCGCCAGCAGACUUGGUAAUGUCAGUGGCAGAGGUCUUCCUUGUGGAACCGAACAAGGUGCCUUCCGUGUUUGAUGUGGAGGCAGAAGUGACGUAUCCAUUGUCAACCAUGAAGUGGUUAAGCUCGAACCAGCCGAAUCUUUGGGGGCAGCGCGUGCGGAAGACAUGCUCACCGCGUAAGGUGAAGUUCGACGUGUUCGCCUCGGAUUGGUCAAAGUCAGCCUCCGCGUCUUCCAAAUUUAUAGUGCGUCUGACCAGGUAUCGCACACCAGAUGCAUUCUGCGCCCAGAGCAAAAUCUUGUCGAUAGUCGGCGUGGGGACACCGGCUAGUUCGGCGAUGCCUCUCAAUACCACGAGCCCGAAGGGAACGUCCUCAGUCAAGUACCUGUGAGAGAAGUCAGGGACCAGCGGAGCGUUGGCCUCCGGAAUUGCGGAUCCGUGUUCGUCGUAUUUCACACGAUGCUUCAUCGGGUGACGGAGGCCGUGGUAAGCUCGAUUGGUCCUCAUCAUGGUUGCGACGGAACUUUUAUCGAGCCCCGGCUCGUCGCCAUAGGAGCGAAGAAACCAUUCCACGCAGGAUCGUGCACUGGAGAGAUCGUCAAGCAGAACACCGGGGAAAGUGUUUCGGAUCUUUUUGCAGACGGCUGCAACUUCAUCUGAGAUUGCCAUCAGCGACUCACCGACCUCGUCACUGCAUUCCUCGUAAAGCAGGGGCGCCUCAGUGAAAGUAUCAUGGCCGUCCCAAUCCCUCCACCUGUGGUACAUCAGCGUUGGGUGCCACAAGCAGUUGAUGUCCAUCAACGUGACACCCAGGAAGCCCGAAGCGAGUUUGACUGUGGGACAUCGACCGACGACUGUUUGCAGCGUCUCCAUGGUGAUCUGGACAGACGCUUUCGUUUGAUUUGGGUAAAAUGAUAUGGCCACGUCCACUGUCUCCUUUGCGCCGAGCACUUCAACUUCUCUUCCGGGCCUCAGAAUGCGGCAUGCCCAGGGGAGUGUCUCAAAGCCCGCGAUAACCACCGGCGCAGUGACCUCAGCCUCGUUUAACGCAGCCCUCGCAGCUAGGUCGAACCCGCCUUGAGCAACCGCCGCGCAGAUCACCGUGGGAUUGUGUCGCGUGUCCUCUAGCUUCAGAUAGGGCGCAAUACCCGCGAGGUAGGUGUCGUGCGCGAAGGCAGGCAACGCAAGUAUAAUUGCAUCGUAUCGGGUGGUGUUCCUGAAAGCCUGAGAAGAAGGAGGAGAAGAAGGAGGAGGUCAAGGCCGAGAAGAAGGAGGAGAAGAAGGAGGAGAAGUCUGGCGACAAGUUCACCUCCUCGAAGGACGCACAGACCGUCGGUGAGCCACGGAGGAUGCCAAAUUUUGUGCCGCUGUCAUCCAAUGGCCAAUUCUUGACGGUAAUAUGAGGGGCGCGGAGUGCGCGCUGUGAGCCCAGGUGGCUUCUGUCGUGAUGGUCGUCGCUCAGGCCGCCUGCUGACAGUCUCUCUGCUUCGCCUGGAAAGGUAGUCAGGAGACACGUAUUCACGUGCCUUGCGGCGAGCUGGCCGCCGAAGACGUGUGCCGCGUUACCGCCACCACACACGAGAACUGAGAGGCUCGCCAUUCGGUUGGGCGAUACGCGUGUUCGGUGUCGUCGCAAGUGUCGUUUACGCAAGUUAUCCCACGAUAUCUGACAUGAAGGCAACGACGGAACCUCCAAGAAGUGUGAGCGCAAUGUUAACUGUAAUAUUCCCUCUUGUCCCAUAUGUUUUUGAGUUACCUUCGAAGAUAUUUUAUAAUUUCCUAAUUGGAGCGGUUUGAAACAGCCUUUCAGUGUUGGGGAAUCGAUAUUCCAAAAUCCGAGCUGCCAGGUUCUUCUCUCAAUUCAAAAUCCGUGGGUCUGACUUCUGGUGAAUUCAAACUUUUCCGUUCGUCCGGUUCGAACACAACACCGGGCGCCAUGGAGGAGCCGGCAGUGACGCCCGCGGCGAUGCACGAUGACGAGGAUGACGAGGAUAUCCUGGUGGUCAGGCGCCACAAGCGCUCGAGGCCCGUCGCGAAGGACGGCGCCGUCGACGGAAAUUCUGACGAUACCUCCCCACGUGGUCCAAUCGACGCCAGCCAGGCGGACAGCCCCGUCAAGUCCUCCGACGACGAGCAGGCUGACGAGCAGGACGGCCUCCCGGGUAACAGGAAGUUCAAGCUGAGGCGUAAGGGCGCGAUAGAGGAGGAGGAGAAGGAGAAGGCGGCGAAUGUGCCCGGCGAGAUGCCCGACGACUCUGACCUCGAGCUCGACCUUUCCAACGGCGGGGUUGACGAGGAGGAGUACGAGGAGGAGGAUGUCGUAUACGGCUCCGACGACGAGGAGGGCCAAAUGGAGGUCAUGCUGAAGCAGAAGGGUACUCUCGACGGCUUCGGCCUCGACGACGACGCCGCGGACGGCUCCGGCGAAGACGACGAGUCCGAUGAGUCGGAUCUGGAGGACUCCGAAGAUGAGCGCGAGCUGCAGGAUGAGGUGGAGAGGCUCAAGGCCGAGGCCGCCAAGCGCACCGCUGAGGCCGCCAAGGCUGCCAAACCUCCCCCCGAGAACGAAACCGAGGAGGAGCGUAUUGAGCGCGAGAAGGCCGAGACCGCCGAGGCGCAGCGCGAGAUUAUGCGCGAGGCUGGCAAGCGUGCGCACUUUGCCGGCUACCACCAGGUUCCUGACCGCGAUCCCUUCGCCUACCGCAAGAUCUUCGCGGCGAUCAAACAGAUGAAGGACUCGCUCAACCUCCCGCCGCCCCCGCCGUCUCCCGAGGUGUCGGACGACGAGGACGCCGGCGAGUUUGCCGGCGAGGUGGAGGACGAGGACGGCGACCUCCCCGACGACGAGGAGGAGGCGGAGCUCGACUCUCAGGCGGGCGACGACGAAGAUGAGCCUGCAAACAAGAAGAUGCCCGAAGAGGAGGAGAAAGAGGAGGAAAUGGUGGUGCUCGACGUUGACGAUGAGGAAGAUGAUCUUGGGUACGAUCAGGACGCGCUGAGCAAGAUGCUGGCGGAGGUGCAAGCCAGGGCGGCCGAAACCAAGGCGAAGGCGGUGGCCGAAGCCCAGGCUGCUGCCGCGAAGGCGCAGGAGGAGCCUGAUGCCGAGCCCCCCGUCGUCGACUUUGACGACGAAGAGGCCAUCCUCCGCGAGAAGGCGGCGCAGAACCUUCGCGAGAAGCGCGAGGCUGCCAAGGAGACUCUCAAUCCCGAGGAGGAGGAGGAAGAUGAGGGAGAGGAGGCUGAAUCCGAGGACGAUCUCAGCGAGGAGGAGGCGGUGGAGAUGACCCGCAAGGAGCGCCUCCGCCAGCUCAAGGCGGCCAAGGCGUUCUUCAAGGCUGACGCCAAGGCUGCAGAGCGCACGGCCCGUGGUGAGGUUCUCGAAGACGAGGCCGAACUCUCCGAGGAUGGCGGCCACACCGACGACGAGGAGGAGGUCGAGGUUGAGGUGGGCGAUGGCGAGGAGCGGGUGAUUCGCAGGAUCCGCGCCAAGCGGGGCGACGGUCUCCUUGACCGCGAGGAGCUCGAGGAGAUGGUUGACUACAUCGACUUCAACGAGUCCAAGGACGAUGACGAGCGACGCGCCGCCAAGCGUGCGGCUGCACACGCCAGGUUCGAGGAGGAGAGGGACGAGGAGGAGCUCAAGAAGAUGCAGGAGGCGCUCAAGAACGGUUUCCGCCGCCCCAACAAAAACGGGGGCUACGACGAUGGACCCGACUACUGGCAGCGACGCAUGAGGCAGCGGGAGGAGGGCGACAGCGAGGGGGAGGAGUUCGACAUCGACAUCCCCGACCGCGCCUGGGAGCACGUCGAGCUCUCCGACGACGACGACGGAGAGUGGGCCGAGCGCGCCGAACGGCGCAAGAAGGUGGCCGCCGCCCAGGAGGCUGCCAAGAAGGAGCGCGAGUCGCAGCGCGAGAGCCAGGGUCUGGACUCGCAGGACGUGGACGAAGAUUCGCAGCUCCCCAGCGCCAAGGACUUUGGCUUCCUCGGCUCCCAGGACUUCAAGAGCAUGAUGGCUGCUGGGAAAUCCCGAAGGCGCCGCGUCGGCGUCGGUCUCGCUGCUGCGGCGAUGGAGACCCAGGCGUCCGCGGGCAGCCUUCCCUCGCACCCGUCGGCGUCCAUGCCCGCACCCGCGCCCAGGCAGGUCAAGGCACCCUGCCUCGACCGCACGAGCUCGUCCAUGUCCUUCCUCGGCAAGAGCGGCGGCGGGAGCAGGUCCAACCACGGGUCCAACGGCCUCUCGCGCUCCUUCUCGCUCGGCGACCGCGGCACUUCCCGCUCGUUCGUGUUCGGCGGCGGCGGGGACUCGCUGUCUAUGUGGGAGAAGGACGCGGAGGAGAACGGGACGGCACCCGCGCCGACGGUGCUCGCCGAGCUCGGCGGCAGCGACAACGCCAACUUUGGCUGGGCGCCGCGUGAGGCCAACACCAAGCCCGCCACCAAGUCCAAGCUCAGCGGAAGCCAGAGCUUGUUUGGGAUGCUGCAGGCGUCUCAGGAUUGGGACGAGCAGGUGCUCACUAGAUCCGAUUCGCUCACGGAGGCGGUCAAGGCGGCUAAGGACAUCAAGCUGCGCCCUGCGAUGCCCCGCUGAGCGUGGUCUGACAAGGGCAAUACGAGAUCAUUUCUCAAGACUAAUAAUUGAGUUGUCUAAUCGAGCUAUGGUUUGACCCGUCCGGGUUCUCAGUCCAAUCCGCGUGCUACCUUCACUCCGCCACCGCGAAAGAAUCGUCCCCGGUGAGCAUCGCCUCCACGUCCGCGUCGGUCUCGAUGGAGACAAGCUCGAGAGUAACGUUUAGGUCUUGAUUUGGCGGGAUCAGACCAGGCAGUCCGGUCCUGCCGAAGGCCAGGUUUGCUGGGAACGUCGUGGUCGCCUUCUCUCCCACGCUCAGUUGUGUUACCGCCUGGUCCCAUCCCUUCACGACCUGCCCGCUCGCCACCCUGAACCGGAACGGGGUCUUGCGCUUGUACGAGUUGUCCACCUCUCGCCCGCUGCUGAGCCUCAUCGUGUAGUGGACAGAAACGUUGUCGCCCUUCUUCGGGUAGUUCUUCCCAUCGCCCGCGCGCUCGAUCUGGAGUUCGAGCGUGGGCGGCAUGGUGAGGAGAUUUAGAGUGAGUGACGACGGUCGCGCGCCGUGCCGGGUCGCCCUCGCGCCUCUCCUUACUGCCGGGAGAAUGUGCCAAAACAGGAAAAUCGACAACGGGCUGGCGGGCGAUUUUUCAUGGGCAAAGCGGACUCUUUUUCGCAGGUUCGCAGGCAGCCGAAGGUGAAAAAGAAACCCCGGGACAGGAAUCACGUGGGCAAAGAUGCAAGGAACUCACAGGUUGCUGGACGAUGGGCUCCGAAUUUAUUUUUUACUUCGCAUUCGCCCACGCGAUGCACGGUUCCGUUACAAGCCAAGCGGCCGCUAGUCGGCCGCGUUCCUCUAUCGAAGCCCACACAACGCAGGGCAAAACCCCCUCCUCUGAGUUCCAUGUCCCUAUAAACCGCCGCUCUACAUCUCGAGUUCCUUGCCAACGAAAGGCUUGGCGAGGCCGGACUCGUCCUCGUCCUUGGGGUUGUGGAUGGUGACGGUAUCGGGGAUGGGAGUCUUGGGGCCGGUGCGGCCCUUGGGGUCCCAGUCAAGCAUGAUUUUAACCUUGACGCCGACGCAGCCCUGGCGGAGGAGGACGUGCAGGCACGCGGAUUCGAUGUACUCCCUGACGGGGUUACCGGACGAGAUCAUGUAUCCGUCCUUGAACUUCAUGGCCUUGCCACGCUGACCGCGGAGCUUGCCGGACACGACAACCUCGGCACCCUUGGCGCCGUUCUCCAUGAUGAAGCGGAGGACACCGUAGCACGCGCGGCGCACGGCGAGGCCUCCGAGGAGCUUGUACCUGAGAGACUCAGCCUGGGCGAUGGCGCAGAGACCGCGGUUGGCAACCUUCUCGGCGUAGAGCUCGACGGAGCCCUCGGCGAAGCCGAAGCGCUUCUGGACGAGGGAGGUGAGCUCGCGAAUGCGGCGGCCCUUCUCGCCGAGCACGUUCUGGGUGCGGGUAGCGCGGAUGAUGAUCUCGGUGCGCAUGGGGGUCACGCGGACCUCGACGCCGGAGUAGCCAUCCUCGGCGAGCUCACGGAUGAGGAGCUCGUUGAGCUCGGCGAAGAAGACGCCGUCCGCGACGAACUGUUGGAAGGGAGGCGGAGAGGAACGUGAAUGUCAGCGGGGUGCGCUCGAGGUCGUGGAGUAAAAAAGCAGAAGGGCGGGUGGUGGUAGAAAACCCUAGAAAAAGCCGGACGUCGAUCGAGCGCCCGGGGCGCCAGUCGCGACCAUGACGACGACGUCUUGGAUCCACGACGCUCGUUUCGACAUCAUUGGUAUCGCGUGGGAGGAAUCCGUCGCGAAAUCGACGCAUCAACGCGCUCAGGAACCCCCUAGCGCCCGGUAGAGACUGCGCUGCGGGCCGCAAAACCCUGUUUGCUACCCGAACGCCGGUCAUCGCCGGAUGCGCCCCGCAGCGACGCGCUUCGCGCAUCGCUGACGCGCUCUCAUCGGCACGUGUUCCGUGUACACACCUUGCGCUUCUUGGAGAUGUUGCCGGAAGACAUGUUGGCUUGCUGUGUCUGCUGUGGCGCAGGUUAAAGAGACCCACAACGUUGGGCGGAUGGGGUCCAUAUUAUUUUCCCUCGCUGCCAAGUCUCCGGCUAUCCUGCUCUACCUGCACUUCUUUUCUUUUUAUAUCUCUAACUACUUGGCUAUGCGAUUUAAUGGAUAUCAUCGAUUUUUCACCUCAUGCGUCAGUCACAAAAAAAGGCACGGUUAUUACUGUCCAGCAAAAUAACUUCCCAAGCGUGGCCCGCAGCACUUUGGAGAGAGCUGGACUCCGAGUCGAUGGAGAGCUUCCAGCAGGAUGCGCUUCGCUUCGGAUGCCUCCGCGGGUUCAAGCACAUGUCCUUGCGCCCGCGCGGCAAGGAGGAACUCCUCGUGACCGUUCAUCACAGGGACGACGCCCUCGGGUUGUCGCCCGGGCCGUGGAUGACGGCACCCCGGCCCAGACAGCGCGACUUCUCGGUCGACGACGACGAACCCGAGAGCCCAAGGGCCAAAUCCAAGAGGCGCGUCGACUCCACUGCACCCUAGUUUAUCCACUCGUGCUUUGCCCCAACCCCGAACUCGACCCCGGGACCUUCCAUCCGGGCGGUGGAUGACGAGACCGAGUUCAUCUUAAAUUGCGCAAGGGCUCUGAGGGUGCGAACCAACGCACCGCCUGAUGCGACGAGAUGCAUACUUUCGACCGACACCGCCCCGCGCAGGAAAUCCCUGGAUAUGUCAGUAUCCGCCCGCAUCGACGUUUCCCUCGUUGCCCUCGCUCAUCGCCCUCAUCACCGACCAUAUCCGCAGGGAGGCAAAGAUGGCUGACGACGAGAAUGAGCCCGGGUCACCUCGCGCGCGGCCCCGCAGGACCGAGGUCCAGGCCGAGGAUCUUACCACCUCCCCGUCCCGUCCCAAGUCCGCGACCGCUGAUGCGUCCACCUUCCUCAUAGGCGCGUACGCGAAGUACGAUCGACCGUACGUCUGGCUCCGGGAGGGAGGCCGGAUCAGAUCCGACGGUACGGGCGCAGAUGACCUUCCCCUCGACCUCAACACGCUCAGGGUGAACGCCCGCAGUGGGGAGCCCGCGGGGUUCAGCGCAAGAGUGUGGGACGUGGCAGAGGAACUGGUGGGGAUGAACGUUUUUCCAACUCCACCCAACGCGUUCGCGGUGGAUCAUGGCGCGAUCAAACGGAUGGAGGCGGGGGAGAGGUUUCUCGCCGCGGGCGCCAUGGUUGGAUUUUUGCACGACAUCCUAGAGGCAGGGGCGCGGCGGGGGGGUUCGGGGCGGGACGGGAAGGCACGCGGGGAGGUUUUCGUGGCCCUGGUGGAAGAAGAUAUCGACAAACUGGUGGCGGCGCACCUCGCAGAGGUGCCCCAAGCACUUUUGGAUCGCAAUAGACCUUAGAAUUUGAUAAACUGGCGGGCGUCGGCAGAACGAACCCCUUGCACCUGUCUACGCCAUGGCAGCGGCGAGUUGCUCCGUUAGCCUGUCCACCUCCAUUCGCAGACCCUGCACCCUAUCCUUGAGUUCCUCAUUUUCCUCGCUCGUCUCCCCCAUCAGUUCGAGCGCGUCGAUGUGCCUCCCCUCCAGCUCCUGAAGCUCCGCCCUCAGCUGCCUGGGGUCGCCGGCUUCGUCCAUGAGCUGGGUCUGUCGCACGAGUUCGUCCGACAACGCGCGCUCGGACGCCUCGAGCUGCUUCACCCUGUCCUGAACGAUCGUAAUCUCCACCUCUUUGCUCCUGAUCUGGCGCUGGAGCUCCUCGGUGGCUCGCAUCACGGCGAGCUCCGCCCCGCCCGAACCGGCGGUGUUGACGCUCCGCGCGGCUCGGUCCAGCGCCGCCUGAACGGUGUCCCGGACGCCAUCCCCGGAAGUUUUCGCCCUGUUCGCCGCCCUGACCUCCUCCUCGCGCUCCUCCAGUUUUUUCGUCGCGUCCGUGAGCUUGUCUUUGACCUCGGCGAGGCUGGACUCGAGCUCGAGCCUCUCGCGCUCCCACGCCGCCUUGGCCGCCUCCAGCCGGCCCCGCUCCUCGGCGAGUUGCUGCUUCAGUCGGCCCUCGCGUUCCCUAGCCUGGUCCUCCAGCGCGCGAAGCUUCCCUUCCUGCGCGGCGGCUGCCUCCGUCGCCGCCUCGACCCUGGUGCGUUCCUCCGACAGUUGCUCCUCGCGUUCUUGGAGCCUCUUCCUCGCGGCGUCCGCCUCGGCCCUCGCUCGGUUCGCAGCCGCCUCGGCGUCGUGUACCCGGGAUUUGGCGUCGGCGGCGUCCUCCGCCGCCGCCAGCUGUGCCGCCGUCGCAACCUCCGUCGCUUCCUCGGCCGCGGCCACGCGCGCGAGCAUGGCACGCUCUGCCCCCGACCACGCCUCGGCGCGCUCGCUCUCCUGCGCCCUCAUGGUCUCGAUCUGACGAAGCAGGGGGCGGGUGCUCUCGGGAAGGCGCUGCGCCAGUUCCUCGUGCCGAGCGUCGGAUUCUUGCAACCUCUGCUCGGCGUCCCUCAGGUCCUCCGCCAGGCGCUCUUCCCUGGCCGCGGCCUUCUCGGAUGCCCGCGUGAGCGCCUGCUGGAGCCCCUCGACUUGCUCUUUGAGGGACUCGAUGGACUCCUCGGCCUCCUUGAGUUGUUUCCCGAGAGUCUGGCGCGCCGCCGAGUCGGUCGCCGCCUCCGCCGCCGCCGCCGCAGUCUUGGCGCUGGUCAGCUGCUGAAUGUAGUACGACUUCUGCUCAUCCAGUUCCUUGGCUGCCCUCGCCAUCGCAGACUUGAGGUCUGCCUGGAACUCGGUCCGCUUGGCCGCGACAGCCUGCUCCACGAGGUCAGCCUGCUUCUCCUUCAGGUCCUUGAUCUCCUUUGCCCGCUCGCGGAGGCGCAUCUCCAUCUCCAUCUGUUUCUUUGAAAGGUUCUCGCCCUCCUCCAUGACCUCCUGAAUGAUCGCGUCCUUUUCCUUGAGCAACAUGGCGUUGUCUCCGCUCUUCUCGUACUGUCUUUUCCACUGGUCGCGCUCCUUAAUGGCCUGCCCUGUCGCGUGCUCCGCAGCGGCGAGCUUAUCUCGAAGUUCAUUUAGCGCCAGCUCCAGCUCGGCCGCUGCGGUAGCCUUCGAGGCACUUUUGAGCAGCUGCGCCUCGCGGGCGUUCAGGGUCUCGCGCGUGACCGCCAACUCAGCCUCCAGCGCCUCGAUCCGCGCGGCGAGGGAAUCGGACUCCGUCGGUGGCGCGGCGCUCGGCUUGGGCUCCGGCGGAAUUGGAUGGGAUCGGGGCGGAGCCACGUCCUCGGCGGGGGCGGGCUCGUCCGCGUCCUCGGCGGGGGCGGGCCCGUCCGCGUCCUCGGCGGGGGCGGGCUCGUCGCUUGACGCCUCGUCCAUCCGCGCCUCCUUCGGGACGAUCUCCUCUUUGGCGACCUGCGCGCCGGCCGCGUCGGCGUCAUCCCUACCCUUCGCAUCGUCUUUUGGGAAUCCGGGUGCCGGUGUCGGGGCCGGCGGGGUCGCGAUUUUAUCCCCGUCGCGCUUUCCGCCCUUUUCCGGCACGUCCACGGGAGCUGCAGGAAAGGUGGGAGACCCCGGGGCGACGGUCUCAGCCUCGUCCUUCGGCUCGUCGGCCGCGUCUCCCGUCUUCCAGCCCAGGCCCACGUCUUCCGAGGAUUUGGGGGACGCCGCCGCCGCGACGGUGGCACCCACCGUAGCCGCGCCCGCUGCCGCCAUCGCGACCUCGUUGGCUUCCAUCGCUUUGUACUCCCGCUCCACCGUCUCCUCCAUCUCCCUGACCAUGGUGCUGGCCUGCUCCGACAGCGAGUUCACCGUGGAGGAAAUAUCGAUCGAUUGCGCGCUCUCCAUCACCGCAUUCAGUUGGGACGUGACGUCGAUGGAGUUCAGGGUGGAGGUAAUGUCCAGGUUCCCCACGCCCCAGUCGGAACCCCAUCCCCAUCCCGAAGACGACUGGUCGCCCUCCUUACUCAUGAAGCCUUCCGAGCGCCCGAGCGUCUGACCCAAUCAUUCUUUCAGCACGUUCGGUCGAGGAAUAUUCAGUUGCGGUUUCUGAAAUGCGUAUCGAGGUGGCAUAUGGCGGGUGCACCUCAGGUGUCCCAAUGGGGCCUGGAUCCCCUUUUCUUUUCGCACCCUAAGCUCGCGAUCCGUGAGCUGGUCGGGGGUGAGGACGUAUGGGUCCCCGCGCCGGAAGGGAACGGAGCGGUGCACCUGUAUCGGGGAAGGCCGGUUCGGCGGUGUGAGAUGAUGGGUUGCGUCGUCUCGUUGAACCCAAAGCCGGGCAAGACGGUGUUCACGCUCGACGACGGCACGGGUUGCGUGGAGUGCGUGGUGUGGAUGGGCAUGGACGAGACCGGGACCGCGGGAGGCGGCGGGACGGACGGAACUGUGGGCGCCGACGCGUUCGGGGUGGACCCGGACGGACUGCGGGUCGGGGCGCUGGUGCGGAUACAGGGGAGGAUGACCAUGUACCGGGCGAAGUGGCAGCUGGCGGUGAACGCCCUACAGUGCUGCAAAGAUCCGAACGAGGAGAUUCUGUUCUGGGUCGAUUGGGUAAGGGCGGGCGAGGACAUAGAGGCUGGGCGAGUAGCGCCCCGGACGGACCCAGGCAAAAACGAGCAACAGUAGCGAAACGUGACAGUGGUUUGAAUAGCAACUCGUCGCCGAGGCCGGGCGCUCCACUAAUCCUCAUCGCUGUCGUCGUCAAUCACGGCUCUCCUCCUCUUCUUCGCGGACUUGCGGCCCUCCUCCUCUUCAUCGGGUUCGUCCUCCUCGGGUGGGGCCUCGUCCUCCUCCUCGUCGUCCUUCUUUGCCUGUGCACGCUUCCGCUUGAUCGCCUCCAUCGCCUUCUGAGCCCUUGCCUUUUCAUCCUCCUCCUCCUCCUCCUCCUCCUCCUCCGCCUCCUUCUCGGGGGAUGCCUCCUUCUUGGCAUCGACAUUGACAUUUGCGUCGUCGUCGUCAUCAUCAUCGGUGUCUGCGAGUCCCGCGGCUUUGAGUCUCGCCUUUGCAUCCUCGUUGGGCUCGUCCUCAUCCGUCUCCUUGUCAUCCGCCUCCUCCUCAUCCUCCGAGUCGGAGAAGAGGCCAGUCGCCUUGAGCCUGGCUUUCUCCUCCUUGGUCAUGGGCUUGGCGUCGGGCACGAGGAUAUCGUCGUCGUCCUCGUUGUACACCGUCUCGUUCUUGGUCGCCUUACCCGUGCCCUUCUUGCCCUUCUUGCCCCGCUUGGGCUCCCCCUCUUCCAUCCCCGCCAGAAUAGCCUUCUCCUCCGCCUGAGACUUGAGCCACUUCUCCUGGUUCUGCUUGAACCUCUCCUGCGCGGCGGCCGCGGCAGCCUCGGCGGCCUUGCGCUCGAGCUCCUUUGCAGCCGCCGCCUGCGCGAGCGCCACGGCGCGAGCCUCUUCCGCCUUCUUUCUCGCCGCCGCCUGCGCGUCGCGGCGGGCCUUGAGGGCGUCCUCCUCAGCCUUAGCCGCCUCGAGGUGCGGCUGUGAGUCUGUCAGCGCCUUGUUGCAGAACUGGAUGUGCAUCCCGAGGCGCUUCUUGUCAAUGCCAAUCUCCUGCGCCAGGGACUUCUUGCCCUCCUUCUGCUUGUCAGCCUGGAGCACCGCUUGGAUCUGCUGGAAGAGCUGCAGCGCGAGCUUGAAGUCCUCGAUGGCGUUAAGCACCUGCGCCAGCCUGCCUUCGCCCUCGCCUUGCUGCUUCCCCUUCUCGGCUCCCUUGAGGGUGCGGUUGAGGGUCCUGUGCGCGUGCUCCUGGUACACGUACGCGAGGUUGAAGCGAAGCCUGUGGUCCCAGGGCGCGACGUGAAGCGCCCUCUUGAGCGUAACCUUGGCUUCCUCCAUGUUGUUGGCCUCGUAGUGGUUCCUCGCCUGGUAGAGCGCCACGCGGGGGUCCAUGCCAAAGAAGAACCGCUGCUGUGCCUGUUCGUAGUUUCUCGCGGCGGCAACGUAGUUCCCCUUGGCCAUCUGGAUGUGUCCCUGGUUGAUCCAGAUGUCGGGGGAUGUGAGCAUGUCCUUGUUGGCGUUGGCGUCCGAGUCUUCCGUGCCGUCGUCCUUGGAGUGGUCUCCGCCGCCGAGGCUCAUCAGGCCCUCCGCGACCAUCUGGAACGUUCGCUUGGCCUCGUCAAUCUUGCCCUUCUCAGCGAGCAGGAUGCCCAGACCGUUCGCCGCGUACAGGUUGCUGCCGCUCUUCUGCAGGGCCUUGGUGUAGUAUAACUCGGCCUGCUUCAGGUGCUCCUUCUCCAGGUUCCUCCAUUUCUCGCGCUCCGGGCCAGAUUUGACCAGCUUGGCGCCCGCCUGUGCCUUGACCGCCUGGUAAUACGCCGCGUUUGCAGAUGAGAUCAAAGCGUACUCAUCGCUGGUGUGGGUCACCGGGUCGGUCUUUCCCGCGGCCGCCCUUCGCGCGGCAUCCUCUGCGGAGAGCUUCUUGGGCAUCUCUCUGAGGCGCUUGAACUGUUCCUGGGCCUCCUUGUACUUCUCCUGCUUCAUAAGCAGGUGGCCGACAUAAGCAGCCGCGUCAACGUCAUCGGGCCUGCGCUCGGUGGCCUCCUUGGCGAGCUCCAUGGCCUUGUCAAAGUCCUCCUGCCUGGCCGCCAUAGCCGCGCGACGCAACAGGCACUCUGUCAUACCCUCGUUAGCGUCUAGAAGGUCGCCGUACCGGUCAUUCGCUUCUUUGACGUAGCCAAAGUCCUCGUCAAGGUGCGCGAGGUUGAAUGCGAUGGGCUGCGCGGAUUUCGCCGCCUUCUUCCUCUCAUUCUGCGCGUCCAGCUGCUCGCCCGUCUUCUUACCGCCCUCCUCAGCAGCUGACGCCUCGAGCGCGCGCAGGAACAGAGAUUUGGCCUUGUCGUAGUUUUUACCCGUCAUCGCGCACAGAACCGCGCAGUUGUUGAGAAGCGCUGCGGGGGCGUCGGGUCCCUUGCCGUUCCUCGCGCGAUCCCCGAAAAUCUUCACAGCCAUCUCGUAUGCACCCAGCGCGCCGAUGUAGUCGCCUGAGGCCAACAGGGCAUCGCCCAGCUCAAGCCUGGCUUCCAGAUCGGCGGGAUCGGCCUCGACAACCUUCUUGAGGAUCCUCGCCGUCUCCUUGUCUCGCCCGGCGCCAGCCCCAAAGGUACCGACAGACACGAGCCCCGCGCCACCCGCUGCCGCAGCCGCCGCAUCCUGCUUACGCCUCAGAUGACCGUAAAGCUUCAGCACCGGGACGCUGUCCGGGUAGGCGGCGUACGCCCGCUCCGCGUACAGCAUCGAUGACUUGUGGUCCCCCUUGGCCAGGUACACCUGCGCGAGUCCAAACGCGGCGGCAGCGAAGGACUCGUCCAUCUGCACGGCGGCGGUGUACAUCGCCUCCGCCCGAUCCAGCUUACCGUCCUGGUGGUGCAGCCUCGCCCUCACGUACGCCGCCUCGGCGCGGAGCCUCGGGGUGGCGAGCUCAUUCGUUGACGUGCCGCGGACGAGCUUGUCCGUAAGGUGGUCCACCGAGGCUCCGUCCUUCUUGAUCAGAAAGUGCUGCGCCAGCGCGACAUUCACCGCUGGGUGAUGCGGAUCGGCGUUGAACGCGCGGCGCAGCAGCUCCAGGCCCCUCUGCACCGCCGCGGUGUACGUCUCCGCGGCAGCUUCCAUCUUCUCCUCGACGGAAGCCGGGUCGGUGUCUUCGUCGCCGCCGUGGAGCAGGGACUCGGGCACGGGCGUAAACUCGUUGAGCUCGCAUUGCGCUAGGCCGAGGAGCGCAUCCGGGUUCUCCGGCUCGAGGUCAAGAGCCCUCUGGAACGCCAGCCUGGCAUGUUCGAAAUUGCCGAGCCUGAGAUUGCACGCGCCGAUACCCAGGCGCACGCCCGCGUCCGCGCCGGGGUGCAUUCGCAGGGCCCUCUUGUACCAUUGCAGGGCGUCCGCGACCUGAUCCCUCUUGAAGAGCAAAAGCGCCUUCCAGAGCAUCGGGCCUAUGUUGUCCUUGCCCCCAUCCUUCAGGCCGCGCGCCUCGUCCAGCAGCUUCUCCGCGUCGAUCGCGUUCCCCUUCGCAAACUCCAGGUGCGCUCUCGAGACGCACGGCAUCUGCUCUCUGUCCUCCCUCCGCUUGUGCUGCCACAGCAGAUCCGCCUUAUCGAUCAGCUUCUCGGCUUUCGUGAGGAGUUCCACGCGGUUGAUCUGGUCGCUCUCGCCCUUAGCGAUGUUGACGUAGUAGGACGCGAGCGUGCAGAGGAUGCAGCUGCGCUCGUACUGCGAGUCGGGAUAAUACUCCUCGAUCUCUGUUGAAAAUCAAGGGAAACGGGUUCGGGUUCGGGGUCAGGGAAGGGGUUCGGGUCGCACGCGUUGGCGCGGAUUAGGGAUUCGCUCGUCUGAUCGGAUUAGAUUUUCCAGGGUCCGCGAGCGCGAUCGCGGUUGGGAGGCGGAGGGGCGGGGCGAGAGGACGCACCGUCCUCCGUCGCGUUACUCAGGAUGGCAUGAAAAUUUUCUUCUUUGCCCUGCUGCAGGUACGCCUUGGCGAUGUCGAGCCAGAUGUCGAGCGGCGCGAACUCCUGCUGCAGCAGCACGAGCACCUCGCUGGGGUCGUCGGGAAGAUCGUCGACGGGAAGCGCGACCGCCUCCUCCGUCUGGCCGAUCGGGACGUAGAUGAUAUCCCGGACGCCAUUUUCGGUGUCCAUCAUCGCCAUCGCCGCGGUGCCCCUCGCAGGAACCGUUCACGCGCACGCUUUGAGGAGCGAACGCGCCGGCGCCUUUUGCUCGCUUGAUGAGCGGGCUAAAAAUUCCAUUUCAGUCGUCGAAUUCGGAGAAGGCUAUGGUAACGCAGUCAAGUCUGAAAAUGCUAAACAUGAAUGACCACGACGACUGAUCGACAGUGACCAUAUUUUUGAAGUUUGCCCUUAUUUAAUAUUAUUAUUGAGUUGAGGGCACUUGUGGGUCCCCGUAAAGCCCCACCUCGUCUACCCUGCGCCUGCGCUCACUGAUUCGUCACCUUGCCUCGCCGUAAAAAGUCGCAGAACGUGUCGCUGUAGCCGGGCAUCUUCGCGAUGCCCGGGAAGUAAUUAAUGUCCACGACGAGGUAUUCGUCGCUGUCGCCGCCAGCCCUGAUCAUGUCAAAGUUGAACAUCUGCAGCUUCAGGUUGUCCCUCAGCCCCAAUGCCAGGGUCUUGAUGAACCCCUCGUCCGGGGGCUGAAUCAAGGCGCCGUUGUCCCUGCUCCCGUUCUCCUCAACCGCACCCAGUUCCACCGUGGGUUCCAGCUUGAAAUCCGGGUUCUGAUUCGCCAUCAGCCGAUAGUGCUCGCGCGGGUCGUUAACGUCGGAGCCCACGUCGGUGGAGUCGUCGCUGCCGUACCUGGAUCCCCACGAGACGCGAGCGGCGGCGAGCGCUGACAGCCUGGUGUUCGGAGAGACGCCCAUCGAGUUUGCGCUUUCGCGUGACACCCUGAUGGCUCUGUUCGACUCGGAGCUGCCGUCCUCGCCGCCGUCGAAACUGUUGAUUGAAUCCCCGGAGCCCACGGUCGACAUCGUCAGGUGCUUGCCGAGUAAACCGCUGAUGCUGCUCAUUCCCGUUUGGUCCGAGUCAAGCGAUGAUAGCUGCAACUUUCUCUUCUCCUCGUCGCUCAGCCUGUCGCGCCAGCUGGUUUCACCGUCGUGAGCUCCCCCCUUGAAGCACGACACCCUCGGGAUCUGCUGCGCUCCCGUGAAGCUGUAGAGGCCGGACUCAUCGUCUUCGCUCUCACCCUCGCCUCCGGAUUCGUCCUGAUCGUACCCGUCGUCACCGGCGCGUUCGGGAGAACCCCCGGUCCCGUCACCUUCGCUGGCCCGUCCGCGAGCCAGCUUUGCGCCCUGCCUGGUUGCAGUGUCUUUGGCCGCCGCCGCCGCCAGCCUCGCGUUCGCCAGCGCCGACGCCUUGGCCCUUCGCCGAGAGCUCUUCUUCGCGCCGCGUAAAUCGGGAAGCGACCGGCGGAUGGUGCUGGUCACGACGUCGCCCACCACGUACACCUUGAACAGACAGCCGCCGUGGUUCACGUACUCCUGCAUGACGCACGGCGGCGCCAGCCCCGGAACCCCUCCCGAUGCCACCGUGACGAGACCGUCCUGGUCGUGGAUGAUGGCCACCCUGUGCGAGUCGCUGCUGCCAUCCGCGCGAAUGGACUUCGCCAGGAGCGGGAGCUGUAAUCCCGCGGCGUCAACCUGCCGCCUGACCUCCUCCGCCGUUCCCGGCGCGCACACGAUCUGCCGCGGCGCGCGUACCGACGGACCACUCGGUUCCCCCUCGUCGUUCACCGCGCCUCCCCGAUCGAACGCGUGUUUCACCUGAUCCACGGCGUCCAGCAUGGUAUCGCGCUGCGUGAUCUUUUGCACCGCGGAUGGCAAGUCGACGACACGGCAGCUGGUGAACUCCCUCGCGUACUUCUCCACGCGUUCGUCCCACUGGCGCUUAUGCGGCGAACUAGCGGGGACCUUCUGCAGUAUGACAUCGUACGGGUGUCCAGUCUGUUGCAGUAAGGAAGGAAGUAAGGGUGGUGUCAGUCGGAAACAAAAUACAUGUCAGAAGGAAUAUUUCGCCAGCUGAGUUCGUCCAAGUAUCCAUGACCGGAGGCGGGACUGCGCACCUGAGACUCGAUUGGGAGUCGAGGAUCGAUGGGCACGAAGUAUACGCCUUGAGACCUGCGGAAUGAGUCGGGGCGGAUCGAGUUCAGAGGUGAAAGCUCCAUCGUGGCGCGCGAUACGGGAUCCGGCGACUGUCGCCGAACGGGUCUGGAAAUAUUCCCCGAGGAAAAGGGAGAGCGAAAGACACGUCAGCCGCCGGGAGGUAUCGGCGACGCGCGUGGAUCGACGUCGUCCUAUCGCGCACCUCGCGUGCGCCAGGAGCUCAGGGCUAAAUAAGCUUCUGCGCUUCUUCUCUGUCAGCGCGUAGCCGACGAGCACUUCCUCACCGCCCCUGCUCGGAGCCGCCGCCGCGUCGACGGUUGUGCCCACGCGCUCCCCCAUGGAUGCCGACGCCGUCUGACUCCUGUCUCCCACUUGACCCCGCCGUCCCCCGCAAAAUGUGGCAGCCGCUCCCUCUAUUGUCCUCUCCGCGCCGACGGCUUAGGGACGCUUCUGCGACCCUUCGUGCCGCCGCGUGCGCGGACGAUAGUGAAGCACCGCAUCGUCGCUUUUUUAUUUCAUGAUCUUUGACGCAUUGCUUUUACAGUCUCAAACGGCUAGUCGAGGCCGAAUUGCAGUAUUUCGGUUGAUUUUCUGAGUGCCCGCAUACGCGAAAUGAGGGACGCGUUUCCGCCUGCGUGGAAAACUCAUACCACGGCGCGAAAAUCACGGACGCGUCCGAGCGGUCCGAGGGGUGCUCUUGCCCGUGAGACGAAAACUUUGCUCGUUCAACACCCGCGCCUCAAGCCAUCUCCGGGGCGCGGGGCGACGGGGCGGAGGCAAGCGAGGCGAUGUCGGACGGGGGCGGAGGUACCGGUCACACGGCCGGGUACGAACCCGUCCGCGGGGCGGAGGAUACCGGCAGCUUCGGCCUGGGUAGCCUCACGAGCUUCCUCAGCAGUCAAGCUGGGGCGGUGGAGUCGCGCGCGAAAGCCGUCGCUUCCGCGGUGCGAUCCGCAACCUCCGCCGACGCGCGGACCGCCGCGUCUUACUCUCUCCGAGAUCGGGCGAAGGAGAUCGACGCCAUGUUCAGGAUCGACCCCGAGGAGGCGAGGGCACGCGGCGGCAUCGCGGGACUCGUCCACUCCUGCGAGGUCGCCCUGGAUCGAUACGACGCGACGCACGCGCACCACCUGUCGCGCAUGGAGGCCGCAAAUGCGCUCGCCGAGGACGUCCGGACAAGACUGGAGCGUAGUCGCGCGUCCUGGACGGAGCUCGAGCGCGAAACCAGCACCCUCUCCGACGUCACGGACUCGGUUUGGAAACUGGGCGCCGACGUGGACCGAGUGUGCGCGCUGCUCAAGGAGACGGAGGACAUGCUGCUGGAGGCGGAGGUCGCCAUCGGGCUGGACGAGGUGUACGCCAGGGAUGCAGAGACGCGACUGUCCAAACGGGCCGCGGAGAUUGCGCGCAGGGAGGAGGUGGAGCGGAUGGAGCGCUUCCGAGAGGAAAUGGCCGCGCAGGCGCAGACCAACCAGGUCGCGCAGCGCUCCAGGCAGGAGAUUGCGCUCGAGGAAGAACUUAAGCGCGACCUGGACGUCAUACGGAAGUCGGCGAGGAAGCAGGCGAAGCGGGAGGGCAAAUCGGGGUUCACGCCGGAGCGACCCGCCCCUGAGGACCACUUCGGGUUGCUGGCAAAGGACGGGAGGAAAACCAACGAUGACGUGGAUGACACGCCGAUUGGUCCCAAGCGUGGGAGCCUCGCGGCGGCGGCGGCGGAGCUCGACGUGGCGGGUAGUAUGCGCGGGUCGAUCAAUCGGGACCUGGACGAUUUCCUGGAAGACAACGAGGAGGAGGAGGAGGAUGGCGGCGGGGACAUUGUGGGGGAAAAGUCAGAGCGGCUCUACACCGUGUACGGGCUGAGGCGACAGGCGGACGCCACUCAGGCGGCCACGUCGGAUGCCAAAGAGAGCGGCGCAUCGUCCUGGUUGGCAUCCACCGCGGAGGCGGUCGGCCUGGCGCGGAAAAAGGAGAAAGACGACGGGUCGGUCGUGGUGAACUUGAGGGCGCCGCUGACGACCAUGGGCGCGGGCGAUGACGUAUUCGUCGAUGAGAUGCCGGGCAUAAAACCCAAACCGAAGACCGAAUCGGAAGAUGCGGCGACAACGGAGAAACCCGAAGCACCGCACGAACCGGGUGUCGGAGAGCAGAUGUCGGAGCAGGUAAGCGCGGCCGCGGCUGCGGCGGCGGCGCGCGCGGAGGCCGCCGCGGCCGCCGCGAGGGCGCAGGCUGAGGCAGCCGCCCACGCAGCCGGUGAGGCGGCCGCGGCGGCGAAGGCGCAGGCGGAGGCUGCGGCUGCCGCCGCCAGGAAGAACGCCGAGGCUGCCGCGGCCGCGGUGUCCUCCUCCGUCUCCUCGGGGUGGUCCAGCUUGCUCAGCUUUGGUCAGGCGGCGACCAACCACGCGAACAAACUCGCCGCGGACGUGUCCAACACCGUCAACAACACGGUGCACAGCACGCACGAGCGCUGGCAGCAGCAUCUGCAGGGAAGCGGCACGAGCGUUGCGGACCCCGCCGAGGGCGGCGACGGGGUGGGCGCACCCGCGCCGGAGAUACCCCGGGAGACACCGGCGGCGGAGAAGGAGGCGAAAAAGGAGGAGGCCGAGUCGCCCGCACCCGCCGCGUACAAGGUGUCUCCAACCUCCGAUCGUGUCGACCGCGACGAGGGGUUCGACGAGGUCGUGAGCAAAGAGGGGUCGCGGCGGUUCUGGGAAGAAAAGGACGCGGCGGCGUCGCCCAGGGCGACGGAUUCGCCGCCGCAGGUCAAGGACAGCGAGGCAAAGGUAGAAUAGAAAUUUUUUCCUUCUGCUUGGGCGAAAAAUUUUCCAUUGGCGGUGAAAAAGAACACGAAUUCCCAUUGUUACCCCGCGCUGCCCCAGCCCAAGGCCACCAUCGCGCCUGCCGGCAUGACCAAUGCGAGGGUGACGUCCAUAAGUGACAUGGUAAGGAUGCCCUUCGACGCUUUCCGCGAGACCGUGGCUCCCCCAGUGACGCCACUGCGCUCGUCAUUGUCCCUGGAUACCUUGAGGCAGCGGUUGGGCCGCAUAUCGCGAGACCACGCCGCGUUGGACCCUUCGGAGGAGAGGCGAAGGACGUUUUGGCAAUCAGGCGGUCUCUUUGCGCCAGGUAUCCCUUACGUCAUGGGGCUCGAGGACGGCGAUGAGGAGGAGGAUCCCAGCCUGAGCUACGAAGCUCUCUCGGAGCUGGACAAUGUUCCGAGGCGGGGGUUCACGAGAGCUGAGUUGCAGCAGCGGCUGAGACGGUCGAGACGGUUACCUGUAGGGGCAGAGUGCCCGAUCUCUCGCGAGGGGUUCAAGGAGGGUGAGAAAGGGGUACGAUUACCGUGCGACUGCGUGGACGUCUGGUUCAAGGAGGCUCCGCUGGAGCGCUGGCUCGCGACGUCGAGAAGCUGCCCGGUGUGUCGAAAGGAGCUGUAGUGCUAGUCCAAGUUCCCAAUCUGUUCGCGCGAAACAUCAAACUGUGCAAAUAAACCCAGGUUCUUGAGUCACAGAAAAUCCGAAAAUUCGCCCCAAAUUUGGACGAACCCAGAAAACUCGAGAAACGACGGGUCCAGAACCCUGACAAUCUCCCAUAUCCUGAAGGAAACGAGGAUCCGGCGCGGGACUCUCCGCUCCAGACGCGAGCGCGCCUCCGCGGGGACAAGACCCGCUCCGACUCGCCUUGGUGGCCAGAAUGACCUCGAAAGAUCUCGAGCGCGGCUCGGGUGGUGACCGUAGCCCCGGGAUCGCCGCGGCGGAACGUGCCCGAGUGGUGGCGAAUGGUGUUACAACAUUCGAAGCGAGAGCGCGUACGGGGCGAACAACGCCAACGGAGAGGGAGGCGCUGCUGGGUUCGCCCGAGCAUCGUUCGCGUUCACAGGGGUACGACUUGGCGCGUAAGAUCGUCGGCACCGUGGUUUUGGGCACGUGCGUGGGCGUCGCGGCGCUGUCCUCGCAGACGCGCGGCUACUUCAUGAGGAGCAUGGGUUCCACUGACCCGAGGCCGUACAUCGUCGACUUCGGCGACAGCGUGUCCCCAUCCUUUAAGCACCAGGCGUUCGUGUACCGGUGCGACGGCGAAUCUGACUUGCUGACCAAGCUUGCGGAGAGGAAUCAUCACGGGAUGUACGACUACUACGCCGUCACGCAGGUCACCGUCGGCGAACCCUCGUUCGAGAAGUGCUACACGAAGCACUUCUCCUCAAAUCCACUCGAUGCAGUGCCCAAGCCGGUGUACUUCACGGAGAUGGCCGCGCACAAGGGCAAGAUGAUCGGCAUGUUCCGGUUGCCCGAGAACAAAAUAUCGGCGGGCUUCGUCAACGCCUUCGAGUCCUGCCCGACGAUGCAGCACGAGCACGGCCCGAGCUGCAACCCCGCGCACGAGAGCUACGCCAUCGGCUCGUGCGACGCGGCGAUGAACCCGACGCCGCAGACGGUGGAGAAGUACUUCAACUGCGUCAAGGGGUGCCAGGUGAGCAUGCUGAACGGCAAGUUCUGCGGCGGCGCCGACCCGAAGUGCCUCGCCGUCGUGCUCGCGGACGUCCCCGACAUCUCCAGCGAGUGCGAGGCGAACCACGUGCCCAACGAGGCUGAGAUUCAAAACGCCAUCUCCAAGGUCAACGACGGGCACUUUGCCGUCGUCGGCCUCGCGGAGAGGUACGCGGAUUCGGUGCGAAAACUCAGGGCGUACCUCACGGGUCAGGGCGCGACCGCGAUGAUGGGCAAGAACAGGAAGGUUGCGCGGAUGGGCGAAUUGGAGGACCUGAAGCCGCUCGUGCCGUUCGGCGACGGUCCGGAUGUCGUCAAGAACGCAGAGGCUAGGGUGGCGGAGAUCAUGAAGCAGAAGGGUCUGCGGGACCUCGCGGACGAGCGGCUGCACGCCGCGGCGUACGAGUGGUUCCAAAGCCACUGAAGACAUAGCUAGCAACCCCGAAGAGACCCUCUCUUUCUUCACGUAACAGGUAAUAACAACCAAUAGAGCCAUUCCAAAAGUUAGUUACUCGCGACGGCUCUCAGCGCUCGUAUUAUUGCCCCGCGCUCAUCAGCGCCUGCGUCGAAUAUCCGAUGGCCUCCUCGCGAAUGAUGUCGGCUCGUGCGUCUCCUUCACUGGGGCGCCUCCGCGGCGCCAAACCCGCGCUCGUCUCUCGCCCCGGUCGCGUCGCGCCCCCGGUCCGUGCGUCUGCCGCCCAGCGGGGCAGGGGAUCGACCGAUGAUUACGUCGUCACCCUGGUGAACAUCUCGGUCACACCCGGGAACGAGGAAGGGUUCGUGGCGCAUUCCGUGGACAACGCCACUAAUAGCGUCGAGGUGAGUGCCUAUCCGAGCAGACCCUUCGAGCCCUCGCGCGUUCCCUCCUAGCCGACACCAUCGGUUUAGACGACACUAUCGUUUUUCCCGACUUUCCGUACUCACCCGACUCUCAACCUCUUCGCCUCCACAGGAGCCCGAUAACCGCCGGUUCGAUGUCCUGCAGGACCUCGACGAUCCCUCCAAGUUUGCGCUCCUCGAGGUCUACUCCACCUCCGAGGGAAACGACGCGCACCGGGAUCUCCCGCACUCCAAGGCAUGGAGGGAGGGCGUCAAGGACUGGAUGGCCGAGAAGAGGACGUGGAGUGUGUACAAGCCGGUGUACCCUUGGGCGGGACUGUGGGGUACCGCGGCGGCGUCCAGGCGCGCGAAGGACGGCGUGCAGCAGCCGGUGCAGGCCGCCUUCCUCACCCUCGACAAGGACGGCGACACGGCCGGCGCCAAGGCAGCCGCGGAGGACACCAAGCAAAUCACGCACGUGCACGUGACCUGCAAGCCGGGGACGGAGGACGAGUUCAUCGAGGCGUGCCUCGCCAACGCGGCAUCCUCCGUCCUCGAGCCCGAUAACUUAAGGUUCGACGUGCUGAGGCACAGGGACGAGCCCAACAAGUUCAUGCUCGUCGAGGUGUACGCCACGAGCGAGGGACCGGUGGCGCACAAGGCCACGCCUCACUACAACGAGUGGCGAACAACCGUUGAGCCGUUCAUGCAGGAGCCGAGACGGGCGAGGAAGUUUCGCGCGGUGUUCCCGACGGACCCUGCGGCGUGGAAGAUGACGCUGAACGAUAACUGAGGGGACCGGGGAGGACGCAUCGUGUACCCAAUAUAGCAACACCACCACCCCGAGUCACUUCCUGUAUCACGAGUUAAAAUAUAACAUCGACACUCCUGAGAAGGUCCUCGCCUCACAGAUCCGCCGAACGCCACUUCGACUCGAGUGGGGGCAUGGAUGCGUACGACUCUGACCAGCCGCUUUUCUGCGACGACACCGGUGAGGCCCUCAACGAAGCCGCGCGCAAGCUCGUCCUCUCAGCGCUCGCCGAGGACAAGCGCGCGGAGGUUGAAGGCGACGGCAAGACACUUGGGGCUGUCCUCAGUUCGAUCCCAGUGGUCGACUGCGCGAUAGGCACGUGGAAGUACGUGCAGGUGCAGUUGACGCACCCCGACGAGCCCGACACUUUCGUACUCGUCGUCAGGAGCUAUAACCACUGCAGCUAUCAUGCGGAGAACUACCAGGAGCUCAUGCGUCGACUCAGGCGCGACGCAAAAACAAAGGGAUGCGUGGGGAGAGUUAUUGGAGGGGGAAGGAUCCGUUUUGACAAAGGCGCGGGGGUGUGUGAGGUGUACGGGUACUCGAAAACGUUCGGGCGGACGCCUGGGUGCAACGAGAAGACAGCAGAUAUCAUACGGAAGGCGUGCCCCGAGUUCAAGAAGGUCUCCUGGAGCGAUAGCGGCUAUUAAGGAAGAGCAGGCUCUUGUUACCAGCCGUCGAAGUUCCCAUACGUUUUCGCCUUCUUUCGCGCCGGCUCCCCCGCUGCGGCCCCUGCGGUGUCCGAAUCUCCACCCGCGGUCGCCCGGUUGACGUACUUCCCCACCCCGGUGGACUUCCUCAUCGUCCCGUCGUCGCCAGCCUCCUUCGCCAUCUGCCCGGCGGGAUCCGACCACCACUUGCCCGGGUUGAGCGCCUCGGUCCGCUCCCGCGCCUCCUUCUCCUCUUUGGCCUUCUUCUCCGCCGCCAGCCUCUCCUCCGCCUCCGCCAUGUCCUUGUACGGAUCGGUGAAUACCUUCGUGCUGUUGAUGACGAUGGGCUCCUUCGGCCUGUCGUCGUCCGCGGUGGGCACGCGCUCCAUCUCGGCCAGCACGUCCACGCCGCCCACCAGCCGACCAAACACGGUGUGUUUCCCGUCGAGGUGUCGCGCGCUCUUGUACGUGAUGAAAAACUGGGACCCGUUGGUGUGCGGGCCGCUGUUGGCCAUGGAAAGUACCCCGCGUCCGUCGUGCACGAGGUGGGUGAUCUCGUCCUUGAACUUGUCACCCCAGAUGCACUGGCCCCCCGAUCCGGUGCCGGUGGGAUCGCCGCCCUGGAUCAUGAAGUUUUUGAUGCUCCGGUGAAACUCGACGCCGUCGUAGUACCCGGCUUUGCACAACACGAUGAAGUUCUCGCACGUCCUGGGCGCCACGUCGCAGUGCAGCUCGAUGUUGAUGUCCCCGAGGUUGGUGCGCAGCUGGACGUACCCCUUCUUCCCCUUUGGCGGGUUCCUCUUCACGACCUCCUCCACGCGCUCAUUCACGGUGGCGCUGCCCAUCACCGUGGACGUGAACGAUGUGGACCCCGCGCCCGUGGUGCGCAUCGAGUUGGUCCUGUAACUGAUGUGCGACCCGACCGCCUUAAAUCGCUCGCGCAUCUCCGCCUCCCGCUUCUUCAUCUGCUCGCCAUCUGCCGCCUUGGCGUGGGUCACGCGCCAGUCCUCCGGCCCGUCUGUGUUCCACGUGUGCGAACCGGGCUUGAACGUGACGUUAUCCAGCGGGUGGUUCGUCGGCGCCUUGAGCAGGUGACUCUUAUCCACAGUGGCCUGGGAGUCGCCCUUGGCGUCGGCAUCGGACUUGUGCUUAGCCUCCGCGAGUAUGCGCUCAGCCUCCGCCCUUCUGCCGCCGCCUCCCGACUUGAGCGCGGCGGCGGCGUCCUCCGUCCCGAGCUUUUCCAGCACGCGCUUGAUGUCCGCGGACAUGGCCCUGGAGUUGAGACUAUCAUCCGGGCCGCCUACACCGCCACCUCGCGUGUCGAUCUCGUGUCCCUUCUUGACGUGCUCGAACUUGUCGAGCAUGCGUCCCUCGAGGUUGAGGGGAUCCUGGAUGGUGAUGAGGUCCUUCCGCGUGAACUUCUCGUCGGUGAUUAGAUCCUUCCAGUUCUUGGGCUUGAUGCACAGCUCGUCGAUGGCCUGGUAGCAGUACACGUUGCCGCUGGUCUUGACGGCGACGAUGUGGGUGCUGUCGGUGAAAACCUUGUUGAGCACCGGGCACUCGUACUCGCCCUCCGAGUUUUUGUGGAAGUUGAGCUUGGUCAGAUCCCGCAGCUGCAGGGGCUCGCCCGUCACCGGAUGCUUGCCGUGGGUUUGCACAUAGGGUACCGCGUGCAUGAUAUCCAUGACGGUCCCGUCGGCUGUGCACACUGGAUCUUCGAACGGCAAGAAUGACACCGCGCAGCAGUUGAAUGGCAGGCGACGGAAGGGCACCCCCUGCAUCUUGUCCUUGUAUCCGCCGCCCUCCGUCUUCCACUCGGUGGCGGUGAUGUACCCCCGGUCCUUGCUCAUACUCUUCUUCCCCAUGGUGGCUCACUCCAACACUCCCGGCCACGCGAAGGCUGGGUCGUAACCCCUCUCUCGGCGGCUCUUACGCUGCCUGCCCUCCGCGAGAGGUCUGGGUCUGUGCCCGUUGUUUUUCGCGAAAAAGGCUGCCGGCGGUUGGUCGUCGGCCUGUCAGGUCUGUGCAACGUGGAAAUAAGACUGCUAAUCCGCCCGUCGAUUCACUGCAACGAGCACGAGCACGCAACGCUAAAGCAGGCGUACAGCGUUCUCACAUCGGUGUCAUCGGGUAAAGUCGCCCGCACUCUCGCGUAGUCGAUCCGAGGGUCGCACAGCGAGCCAGGCACGCGCCUUCUGUGCGAGUAGGAGAGCGGAAAAGUUUUAGCCAAACGGAGCAAUGUCGACCGGUCUCGGCAAGGGUAUCGGCAUCCCCGUCAAGCUUCUCCACGAGGCGGAGGGGCACACCGUGACGGUACGUGUAUCCACGGCUCCCGACAUUCAUCCGACGUCGUCCACGUGCCCUCGGCGGUCGCGUGACGCGCGUUUCCCGGGAUCCCGCGCGAAAUCUCUGCAGCGGAGAAAAACCUAGUGCCCACCAGUCUGGGGGCGAUCGCCCCCCAUCCGGCGCUCCCCUCGACGCGUCGCUGACCAUUGACUCCCCCGACUCCUCCAAUAGAUCGAGCUCAAGACGGGUGACACUUACAGGGGCACGCUGCUCGAGGCUGAGGACAACUGGAACUGCCAGCUAGAGGGAAUCACGCACACGGGCCGCGACGGCCGUGUGAACCAGCUGGAGAACGUCUAUGUCCGAGGCAGCAAGAUUCGUUUCCUGAUCAUCCCAGACAUGCUGAAGAACGCGCCGAUGUUCAAGCGCAUCGACCCGAGGGCGGGCGGGCGCGGCGCAGGGAGGGGAGGUGCCGGCGGUAGGGGUGGCAGGGGUGGACGAGGCGGGCGCGGUGGGCGCGGCCAGUAGGGGGAGCGGCGAGGACCAACCACCCGCCAAAUAAUCUAUAGUUUCCAGAGUUCAACAAUGUUAGAGAUAUCGCACCACCACUACUUGCCGAACCUCUGCGCCGUCUUGGAGUAUCGACGUAGUACCCGCCUCAGGCCCUUGCGCGUGAACCCCCACAGACCCCUGUCCACGUGGUAAAUCUCCGCCCUGUGCAGCUGCCACGGCGGAUACGCCGACGCGUGGAAAUGUUUUCCAAAGACAAUCGCCAAAUCCACCGCCGGAAGAAGCCGCCCCGUCCGCUCCAUCCAUGCCUCCAGCUCCCGCGGCGUGAUCGAAUCGUCACUCCCCGACGGGGCCACGCCGUCGCGGUCUUGUUUGCCGUCGCGGUCUUGUUUCUCGUCGCGCCAUCGCCUCGCCGCCUCCAGCAGCGCGGCUCUGCCGUCGCCGCCUCGGAGCAGGUCCACCGUCGUCGUCAUUGGCGCCGAGCGCGGAGAGUCGCCCGGAGAGUGUUUCUCGGACGGCUUGCCCAUGCCGAAGAGCUCCGCCCACUUGUUCGUCGCCGCACCUCCGCACGUGAACCUCGCGGCGACGCGCACGGUCCCGUCGUCGUCGACGGUCCUGACCUCGUAGGUGCACGCCCUCAUCCUGUGAAAUCUGUUCCUCCGGUGCCCUUCCACCGUCGCCCUCACCACCGCCUCCACCAGCCGCUCCUUGCCCGCGCGCACGCUCCCGUCUUGAUCGUACAUGGAGACAUGUCCUAUUCCUUCCUCGGUGCACCACACCGCGAGGUUCGCCAGCUGCGUCAGACACCGCGGGUGCAUGGCAUCGUCCUGGUCGUUCACGACCGCCGCUAUGCACCUCGGGGGAGGCGGCCUCUCCCCCGCGAUCCAGUCCCAUCGCCACCCCGGGUCCUGGAUUCCGAUCAACCUGGCCACGGAGGCCUGCGACUUCCUCGCGGCAAACAUCAACCCGCGUCUCGGCUCCAGGAACGCCAAGCCCAUCGCAUGGAAGGCUCGGUCCACGCAAGCCUUGGCGAAGGAUCGGAAUAAGAAGUAGUAGUGCAGCAGGCUCCACAGGUAUCGCGCGACGCGGCUCCCAAAUUCCGAAUCGCCCUUCAUCGUAGUGGACGUGGUCAUAGUAUACGCGACACGAGUGAUUCGAGCGCACGCCGGGACCCACGGGAAGUCGCCCAGGUGCGCUGCGAACUGAGAGGACGGCUCGUCCAAGCAAAUGGAUAGUCGUGAUUCUGACUUGGCUUGAUUGACUUUCGCGUCCGUGAGGUCCUUGAGGAUAGCGUGAGGAGAGGGAGCGACGAAUAUGAUAAUGAUGUGAAAUGCUUUUGAUCAAAUUGGCUGCGUCCUUCCACAACCUGCUGCGUCUAUAAAAAAAUGUUUCUCCGUUAUUAGUGGGCCUUGACCCUCUUGCCCCUGCCUUUCACCGGUGCCACACCCGCCUUCUUGGCACCGGCGUGCCAGUCCUUCUUGUAGAUGUCAAACACCUGCUCCUGGAUCAUAUGGAUCAUGUACAUGCAGAUGUGAACUGGCACGAGGUACGGAAGCGCCGCGCGGAAGGUCGCCAUCUUGUGGAAACCCAGCAGGCCGACGAUAGACCCGAUGAUCAUGGGGUGUGGCACAUACCCGUAGGGGAACUGGGACACGAAGUUGGGCUUCAUCACGCCAAGCUCCACGCCAAAGUAGGUCUGGUCAAUGCCGAGCGCCACGGUGGCGGCGGUGGAAAGGCCGUAGCCAACCACGAGCAUCGCGAUGGACACGGGAUCGUACGUGAAGUUGGUGAGGUAGUUCCAGCACAAGUGCGUGAGCGCGAUUGUCUUGAAAAAGACCACGUUGCGCUUGAACACACCAAAGUUGAUCUUGUACCUGUAGUGGUACGUGGCGAUGUACAUGCAGUAGUGCGUGAAGGAGGUGGCCACCAUGAAGAAGUAGGGGUGAAUCUUCUGCCCGACGGCGAAAAGCGCGGCCGCGACGGCGACGUUGUUGAGACCCGCGUACAUCUCGAGCUCCCUCACCCUCUUGGUCCAGAAGAUGACGUGGAACGCCAUGAACCGCCAGAAGAGGCCGCGGGGGCGGAUGGUGGCGAGGAAGAGGUUCCUGGCGGUGGUGUUGUACCAGGUGGCGAGGGUACCCACGAGCCGGCCGAAGGGACCGAAACACUUGGGGUAGACGACGUAGUGGAGCUUGCAGGUGAUCCUCCUGUCCUUGUUCUUGGUAGGGAGGUCGGCGAUGACGUGGAUCUCGCGGUUGUAGUCAAAUCCCACGGCGUCUCCGUCGCUGAGGCAGCCGCCUCCGCGCUCCAUGGUGAACAGGGUCUCGACCUGGACGUUCUCGUUUACGGCGAGCAUGACGCGGUACACGUGGCACCAGGGCCACACGCUCCACGGUCCGUCGCAGUGCUGGGUGUAGAACACGGUGUCCGAGUUGUUGUUGUGGUGCGAGGAUGCGACGUAGAUCUCGUUCAUCGACGGGAUGGGAUCAACGUUGUAAAGGUCGGGCCUGAACCGAUCGUAGAACAUGCCCAUCAUGGCGUCGCAUGACAUGCAGUGGGAGAAGGCGUCCUUCACCUUGCCCUCGAGCUUCUGGUACCACCAGUGCGCGGUGCACGUGCGGUCGGGAUCCUCGGCGGUGACGAAGUCGUAGAUGGUCUUGCGCGCCGCCUUGUCGGCCGAGUUCUCGAGCUUGCACCUGACGACGUAGUUGUGCGCGACGAUCCACUCGGCGAAGGAGGCCUUCAUGUUCACGAGGGCGUCGAUGCACAGGGGGAGUAGGAAGUAGGUGUGCUCGAGGAGGAGCGCGAGGAAGGUUGGGGAGGCGGCCUGGUACGUGGAUUGGAAGGUCUUCUCGCCGGUGACGAUGUGCGCGAGCUCCUGGCCGAUGUACGCGAAGCCCAUGAGCUUGAGCGCGUCGUAGGUGGCCAGCGCUGGGGCGAUGUGAACGGCGAGCGCGGCGAGGCCGGCCAUCAUCGCGGAGGUGGCGACCCAGAGCUUGAUGUCGCCGAGCGUCACGAGGAGGGAGGCCACGUACGCGCCGACCGCGAUCUGGAAGUGCUGCGGGGUCACCGCGGGGUGGUUGACCAUGAGGACAAGCGCGGCGAUGAUACCGACGGGGGUAGUCACCAUGUGCAGCGCGACGUUGAGGGAGUUGGUGUGGUACGCCCGGAAGCGCACCGCCAGAUCCUGGAAGGAAGAAUUCGCGCCCAUCUUGUUGUCUGCCUCUCCUGUUCUCUGCGCCGACGAUCAGCCGAUACGAUCGGUCGAAGGAAGCGCUCGCGUUAGUCCGAGGAGGCGCGAGUCGCGGCGCGGGAUGUCUUCACGCGCGGGGUGAGGCGGUGCCGCGGACGGUCACUGCUCUCGGAGUUCUGGCAGCGCGCGCGCGGGGGGGCGCGGGUUACGUCUUCAAACGUUUACCGCCCGAUCGACGUGUCCUGCCGACCACUCACUCAAGAUCGACGUGGUGGUGCACGCGACUCAAGAACGGAGAGCUGCUGUUUCUCAGCUAAUUCAUUUGAUGUACCGUAUGGUGUCGUGGUGACGAAAGUUUCACGAUCAAAUGAAAUACACCAGCGAUCAGGGACGUCGUCAGUUGUUCUUUACUCUCAUCCGAUCUCACGGCGGCAGGGGUAGGAUUGGCUUUGGCUGAAUGUUCUCUCGGGCCUCGGCACCUGGUGACGGGGAUCUGACAGCUGGAUCUGACUCACUUUCCGGAAAUAUCUGAGCUUUACGAAACGUCGGGACCGCCACUACGCACGCUGACCAUCGCCUAUCCGAAGCUCAACCCAAAAUGCACGACACCACCUUCACCGCUUUCGUCCCUCCCCACAAGGUCGACUCCCCUGUCCCUGUGGUGCUCUUCCAGUCCGGCCACGGCUCCAAUUCCGCAUGUCACGCUCCCCUGAUGAACGCGCUCGCCUCUGAAGGCUUCGUCUGCGUUCUGCCCGACCGCGAUACGGACACCCUGAACACCCCGGAAGGAGACGCUGUUGAGCAUAUAUUCACCGAGGGCAAGCUCACGGCGGCGCUCUCCACCGAUGGCACGCACCUCGCCGCGGCCUACGAAUGGCUCCUCGCCCAAGGUGGCGUCGUCAGUGGUCAAAAAGUUGACACCACCAAGGUCGCCGUGGGAGGGUUCUCCAUGGGAGCCAUUGAGGCCAUCAACUUCGCCAGCCAGAAACAGGGCGCCGGGGGUAUCUCGGCCGUCUUUCUGAUCUCCUCGUCCACCUCGGAGAAUGCCGAGCCGUUGUACCAGUUCAAGGAAACAGACUUGGUGGACAAGGUCUCCAAGUUUACGAUCCCGUCGCUCUACAUAACCUCCGACAAGGACUGCAUGCACGACGCCACAAAAAAACUCGCGGUGGCUGCUGCGAAGCCCUCCGCGCUCGUCGUGUUCAAGGACGAAGUGCUCGAUAACUCCAUGACGCUCACGCAGGAGCUUUCCAUCUGGCACACGAGGCACAUCGAGAUGAUCCCUGGCCUGGCGCAGCACUUCGCCUUGGCCGCGGAGGCAAAGGUUGUUGCCAAGGAGCCCGUCGUCGGCUUUUUGAGGCGAACCCUGCUGCACGCGGGUGGUAUCUGGUCCGACGAAUUGGUCAAGGCAUCGGACUGCGUCGCCGUCGUGGACCAGAUGCUCGUCCACAACUCGGUGGCGUGAGCGCUCUUGUACAUCUUGUGCUGACUGACACUUAACAUCACCUUUGUGCCUCCGGCACUGUUUUGGUUAAAUUUGGAUGUCCAUUCCAAUAAUCACUUCUCCGUUCUACGGUUACCCAGGCUCCACCACGGCUUCUCAGUCGCCUUGCUUCCCUUGAGGAACUUCUGAUACUCCUUCUGCAUCGCCUUGACCUCCUUCUCGUCCCACUCGGGCGCCUCGCCGUACUCGGAAUCGUCCGAGUCGUUCGCGUCGGCGACGCGGUUCUUCUCCCGAAUCUCAUCCCUCGACGGCGCCGCGCCGCCGCCCAGCGCGGAUUCCACGCGGGACCUCUGCUCCCGCCGAUCCUCCGCGAGCUGACGCUGCAGCGCCUCCCUCUGCUUGCUUCGCGCGUCGUCGUCUCGCGCGGGAGGGGAAACGUCGGUGGGAACGUCGGUGUCGGACCCUCCGCCCGGGAGGAGGACGGCGAGCGCCAAGCCGCUGAUCAUCGCGAUGCCCGUGCCCACCAGCGUUGAGGGCGCGAGCCCGGAGACGGUGGAGAGCUUGGCGACCGGUGCCGGGGGUUUCGCGUCGAUGGCGAUGGCGUACUCUGAGAUCUCCCGCCGGAUGGGAUCUAGAGUCUUCGCCGUCGUGGACUUGACGGCGGCGACGGAGUCUGCGGCGGCGGUCCGGGUGCGGCUCGCGACGCGGUUCAUCGCGUCGACGAAUUGGCCAGUCCCGGGCGUCUUCGAAUCCGUCGACUUGGGCUCAGCCUUCGGCUUCUUCUCCUUAACUUUCUUCGCAGCAUCGGCUUUCUUCGCAGCCUCGGCUUUCUUCGCAGCCUCGGCCUUCUUCGCAGCCUCGGCCUUCUUCGCAGCCUCGGCUUUCUUCGCAGCCUCAGCCUUGGCUUUCUUCGCAGCCUCAGCCUUCUUCGCAGCCUCAGCCUUGGCUUUCUUUUCAGCCUCAGCCUUCUUCGCAGCCUCAGCCUUGGGAUCGGACUUUGGCUUCUCAGCGGCCGGCUUUGCCUGUUUGACCUCGAUGGCUUUGGUCCUCGCCUUCGCCGCGGCCGCCUUUGCCCGCUCCAUCGCCUGCGCCUUAGCCUUGGCCGCCUCGGCGCCAGCCUUAUCCAUCGCCGCCUUGGCCCUCGCCGCCGUCUCCGCCGCCUCCCUCUGCACGCGCUCCUUGACCUCGGCCGCCUUAGUCUUGGUCUGUUCCUUGACCUCAGCCGCCUUUUCCUUCGCCCGCACCAUGUUCACCUCCCGGGCCGCCUUGGCCUUGGCGUCGUUCGCAGCUUUAUCGUCGGCUGUGCGAGCGCGCUGCUCGGCAACGAGCCUGUCCCGCGCGGCGGCAGCCUCCGCCUGCUUGGCGGCAGCCUCCUCCGCCUUAGCUGCCUUAAUCUCGGCGUCCCUGACGCGUUGAGCCUCCAAGCGGGCCCUGGCGUCGGCUGCGAGCUUCUCCGCGGUGGGCUUGGCCUCCUCCUCGGCUCGCCUCUUCGCGUCGGCAACCUGCUUCAGCUUCUCCUUCGCUGCGGCUUUCAGCUCCGCCGCUCGCGCCCUGUCCGCCGCUUUCUUCUCCUUGGCGAGGUCGGCAGCCUUCGUGGCGGCGGCUUUUGCCUUUGCGGCCUCCUCCGCCAGCUUCUUUUCCUCGGCGGCGACCCUCUUCUCCUCGGCGGCGCGCUCCUUGCGAAGUUGUUUCUCCGAUUUGGGUGACGAAUUCUCGGCAUCCUUGAGCCGCUUCGCCUCGGCGAGCCGCUGCUCCCGUUGGCGUUCGAGCGCGAGCUCCUCCAUCCUCGACGCCUCGAUCCACGCCCUACGGUUAGCCUCACGCUUGAGCGCCUCCUGCAUGCGCUCGGAUCUUUGCUCGGCGUCGACCCUCCUCUGCCACUCGGCAACCUUACGCAGCUCCUCAACCUCCGCCGCCCUCGCGGCGGCGGCGGUCUGUUCCUUGGCCUCUUCCGCGGCGAUCUGCGCGGCGCGCAUCUCCCUGUAGCGCACCUUGAGCGGGCGAUCGUCCACGGGCCCCUUGCGCGCCUCGGCUUCCUUGGCCUUGGCCUCGCGCUCCUUCUGCAGCUUGGCCCGCUCACGCUUCGACAGCUUGGCCUCAUCGGCAAAUUUCUUCUUGCGCACGUAGACGGACCACGCCGCGAGCGCGGCCGCGGAUGUGACCGGGAACGCCCACGGGUGCGGGUCGGGUUCCUCAUCCCACUCUUCCUCCUCAUCUUCGUCGUCGGGGUAGAUCCACUCAUCGGUCGACGCCGCGGAGGAGGAGGCGCCGUUGUACGAUAAUUCCCUCUCCGUUCCAUUAACGGCGCCUGCCUCGGAUCCCGUCACACGAUCGCCCUCCGAGGCGCCAAUCGCGGAGGUGCUGGCGGCGAAUUCGGCCAUCGCGACGAUACGCUCCCUCAAUGUGGCAUCGAAAGCGGCAUCGCUGUUCCAUCGCGAGCGCCGCGUCGUCCCCGGAGUGGCCGCGCCAGCCGGGCGGUUGAAGCGGUGUCGACGAUUAUUCGAGGGGCCCCGGGGACGCGCGCAGUUGGCGACCGCGGGGGUCGCCGCAACCGCUCGCGCGACCGCGUGCAUGACGGUGACGCCUCAAAGACGACGAACGGUCGAUUCGAGGUGCCGGAGGCUCCGCGAGCCGCUCGGAGCGCCUUGCUUAUGCCGAGGACGACGAUUCGAGCUACGGCUACGUAGCAGCCACUCGUUCAAAAGAUUGCUAGCCAAUGGCAGACUGGGAAAAAGACUCAUGAAUGAGGGUCUAUUCGCGCUUGGGUGAAAGUUGGUUCCUGUCCAGCUGUUUUGGAUCCACUCCACGCGGUGCUGAAAGUUGCUUAGGCUCACUCUUGCGAGCCACGUCGGAGCCCCGAGAUGAACGCCGCGGCGGCGCGAUCGACGCCAGCGUCGUGCUCGUCUCGUCCGUUGGGAUCGGAUCGGAUCGACCGUCGCGGGCGACCAUGCGCGGCGACUAUGUUCGGAGGGCGCUCCUCUUCCUCGUUCACGAGGGAUGUCAUCUCUAGGGCGUUUGAGGAGAGACCCGGUCGGAGGGGCUCCCGGGCGCUGCGAUUCGCCGUGGCCGCGGAGGUACCCCGCUUCGCCCGCGAGGUUUCCCGCGGUGGAUUAGUGGUGGAUCGCCUCGCGUUUACCCCCGUGGGGAGCGGCACGGAGGUGCUCCGGGAGGUGAACCUCCGCAUACCCCCAACCGGCCUGAACCUCAUCGUGGGCCGAUCGGGUUUCGGCAAGUCCACCCUGCUGCACCUCAUCACCGGACUGAGCGAACCCACCGGGGGUUGCAUCACGUUCACGGACCAGCCCGACUUCGGCCACAUGAGCAGCGCCGAGCGUCUGGCCAGGGUGGGGCUGGUCUUUCAGUUCCCCGAGAGGCACUUUUUGGGCAGGGACAUGCUCUCCGAGCUGACCUUCGGGUGGCCCCAGAAACCGGAGGCGUUCCCCAAGCGACGCGCUCUGGCGCUGAAGCUGCAGGAUGCGUUGCAGGCGGUGGGGAUGUCCAACUUCCCGCUCGAUACCCCCGUGGCGUCCCUCUCUGGCGGGUACAAGCGAAGGCUCGCGCUCGCCAUCCAGCUCGUCCGAGAUCCGUACGUGCUGUGUCUGGACGAGCCGCUCGCGGGGCUCGACUGGAGAGCCAGGUCCGAGGUGGUCACCUUAUUGGCUGAUUUACGGAAGGAGCGCGCGAUCGUCGUGGUCAGCCACGACGUCGAGGAGAUCUCCCCGGUGACGGACAGAGCUUUCAGGAUGGGAAAGGGCGGCGUCCUCACGCCCGCGCCGGAGCUCGCGCUCGCGGGGGGGAACCCGUUCGGAAGCGCGGCGUCCGAGUUUUCAUCCUUCUAGAUACGUAGAAUAGGGUGUCGUCGUGCACGGCACAACGCACAUCGCGCGUGGGACAUCUAGCGUUGGCAAUUGACUCUUGUCGAACAAAAAAAUCCCUGUUGUUACACCCCACCCCCCGAACGUAAUCGAACACACAGAACCGAAAAGCCGUGGCGUGCGGGCAGUCACCGGCGCCUUACAAUCACGCGGGCAUGGGCAUGGGCCCGUCGCCGUCGCCGCCGAACUCCGUCUCGCACUCCUUCUCGGGUUCGCGCAAGCCGUGCUUGGCGACGCCCGUGAGCCUCCACGCGUUCUGAUUGAAAGCCUCCGCCCACGUCCCCGCCCCUUCGCCCGCGAACUCCAGCAGCGCGGCGUUCGCGACCCUGAGCUUGACGGUCUGCCCGGCGAAGUCCGUCGCCGCCUCCUCCCAGCCCUUGUUGUGCCCGAUGACCAUGACCGUCCUGACGCGGUUGUCCCUGCCGCCUUCGCGCUCGACGAGCCCGGCCACGGUCUCCCUGAGGUGGUCCGCGGUCAGGCCGUCCAUCGCGGCGAAGGCGUAGAGCGAUCCCAUGAAGUGGGUCUCGGCCUUACCGAGGGGCGCGUGCGUUCGGACCAUCUCGCCGAGGGUCUCCCUCGAGCGCGUGGACGCAGAGCAGAGGACGAGGUCCGGUUCGGCCCAUCCCUUGGCGACCAGCUCGGAGCACAGCUUCGCCGCCGCGGUCCGGCCCCAGGACGUGAGCGGCCUGUCGUGAUCGCGGAGAUCUGCGUCCUGAGUGCAGCUGUCGCUGUGCCGGAGGACGAUCAUGCGGAACGGGGAACUUUCCGAAGCGCCCGAGGAUGCGGAGAUCCGCACCGCGUUUCCCCUCUUCUCCCCACCCAGGGAGCGCGGGACGGGCCUACGCGCGGGCGCGCGAAGACGCGCGCUCGAGGUAUCGCGCGAACCGACGCGAGCAGGCGCGCGGGAGAGCGAACGCUCAAACCGGAACCCGAUAGUCGACGCCUGGGCCAUCUCUGACGUGCACUGCGUCGAGACGAGUGCGCGACCCGCGGCCAAGGUCUCCUUCCAGCUGGCAAAAACCACGGGAAAACCCGAGAUUCGUGCUGGCCUCUCGUUCCCGCAGGGUCGCGUUGGCGAUUUUGGAAUUAACCAGAGUUGGCCGAUAUCCUGACCAACUCCGCUGUGUUCAUUGUGUGAUGGCGAGCCUUGUUUCCGAAUUUGAAUUUCACGGAAUAUCGCCCCUUCGCUAACUAAAAAGACUGUGGUGGUCCACGUGGACGGCGACGUGGAAAAAUCAAGUCGGAACGUUCCACGACCCGGCAGAACCCAAAAAAGUUUUUGGUGCGAAUCACACAGCGGCAGACCGAACGGGGGCUGUUAGUCUACCUUUUUCAUUCACAAUCGGCGAGAGAGGGGUGAGAGAGGUGCGAAGGGAUAGGGAGAAAUGGGUUACAGACGGGUGCUCGUGCUCAUCAAGCAGACCGCAUUCGAGGCGUAUACCGCGCAGCAGCGCAUCGCGGCGGCGGCGGGACACACCCUGUCCUACGAGGCGGUGCGCAUGAAUAGGUUACGCGAGAGGCACGACACGCACAUGACGCAGGUGGACCGGAUAACGGAGUGGCUCACCGCGCGGGGGGUGGACAUGACCUCCGUCAUGCGAGACGAUGCGACACAGGACCACGUGCGCGAGGCAGAUCUUGUGCUGGCGCUCGGAGGUGACGGCACCACCCUCAUCGCGUCGCACCUCAUCCGCGACCGCGCCGGCCCGCCCCUGCUCGGAGUUAACACCGACAGGGCAUCCAUCAACGACCUCGCGACGCUCUAUCGAUCCAGCGAACCCGUGGACAUGCGACGUAGCACCGGGCAUCUCUGCGCCACGACCGCCAGCGGGGACAUGACGAAGGUGCUCACCGAGGUGCUCAACGGCGACGUCGCCCCCACCGAGCUCGCGAGGAUCCGUUGCGUCGUGGCGGGCGAGGAGCUGGCGCCCGCGCUCAACGACGUGCUCAUCGCGCAUCCGUCCCCGGGGGCGGUGUCGAGGUACAGCGUCCACGUGGGAGGUGCGGUGCCCAAGUAUACGGACGAGUACGCCGCGGCCGAGGGAAGGCUGAACGCGCAGCUCGCGAUGCCCAAGUCUGACCUGGAGAAGCUCCAGAACGAUCCCACGCGAACCGACGUGAAGAAGCUGGGACCGCCGUUGUGGUUCCACGUGCGGAGCAGCGGGCUUCGCGCGUGCACCGCGAGCGGAAGCACCGCCGCGAUGCGAAGCGCGGGCGGGGAACCGAUGCAUUACCUCUCUCGGCGGAUGCAGUUCAUGGAUCGCGAGCCCAUCUACCACGACCACGCGCCGCCCCCGAGCGACGGGCACGGGUUCUACGAGGAGGGCAAGGAGAUGUGUCUGCGAUGGAAUAGUAGAGUCGGGACGGUGUACCUGGACGGCGCACACGUGACGCACGCGGUGAAGAUGGGAGAUAGAGUAACGCUCAGCACGAACGCACCGCCGUUGAGGCUGUUCACGAGCGCGUGGUUCAGGCGGAAUCAUGCCGACCGAUGGCCUACGUUGCGGAAGCCGGACUCGGCGGGCGAGGAAGACUGGAUCAUAGAGUGACUAAGGGUGACUAGCCUUCCACGCCCAUGUACCGCCACUCCGCAUACUGGUCGGGGUUCUCUAGCAUGGGAAAUCCUCCCGACGACGCCACCCCUCGCAUCGCAUCCGCGCAACCCUCGCCCCCAAACUCGAGGCCGACGGCCUUCCCCUUGCACAGCUCGGCGUGAAACGCCGCGCCGCCAGCCUCCAGAAACGACACGGCCCAUGCCUCCGUGAGCUGGCACCUGUUGGUUCGGACCAGCGACACCUUCGCCGCGUGCGCCAUGUCGCAAAUCUCCCGCGCCAUGUGAGCGUCGCACGCGGGAACCAGGAUAAGGCAACCCUCCUUUGGCGCCGAGUCCCUCUCGCCCAGGGUCCUCACGCACAGGGGCGGCCUGGCGCCAUCCGCGAGCGCUUCCGCGACGCCCUCGAGCUCGGAAAAGUCCGGCAGGGGUUCGAGCGCGGCGAGUGCGGUGCGUUCGGGGGGCAUGAGCGACCACGUCGCGUCGUCGGGGUUGAAGUUGUAUAUAUGGCUCCAGAAGUUCUGCCACUCCGAGAUGCCCGCGCUGCGCAUCUGAGCCUCGAGCCCCUCGUAGUGGAAGUCCCAGCACCCGAAGCGCAUGUUGGUCGAGGUUUCGAUGAUCGGCCGGGUGGUGACGUGCAAAUGAGUGUCGAUGUCCUUGCAGUCCCUGCAGCGGUACUGGCGGCACAUGAACACGCACGUGCAGUCGGAGCAGUCGCGCAUGAAGAUGCUCCCCGUCGUCGGUCCCACCACGAUCUUGCAUCGCACGCAGUCGUCGAUCAUGAGCGAGUCGCACUCGUCCAGGAUGUAAAUCUCGCAGUCCUCGCACCUGUCGAUGACAAACUGCUGACCGUUAAUGGUACCCGGGGCCUUCACGAGCUUCUCGCCGGUGCGCUUCAUGUAGAUGAAGUCCUUCGGGUCGAGCUUGGGCUUCGCGACGAGGGGCUCGGUCUUGGCUUCCGAUUUGGAGCUGGACUGGCUUCGCGCGGGGGCGGCAUCACCACCGUCCUCGGUCUCGCCACCCACCGCGUACCUCGACCCUUUGUCUUCUUUAGAAACAAAGCAACCCAUGGUUCGUAAACCUACUCGUCCGUGCGACGAGCUCUGGCCCGCUCCCGAUCGCCCGCCGAUUACAAGCAGAUUUUGUCGUCCCCCUUUGCUUUGGCAGACUCCUGUCGGUAAAAUCUAUUUUUCAGACAUUGGGGUCGCGCUGUGCAAACGGAUGAAUUCGUUAUGAUGACUUGCUAAAAUGCAUGAACUAUCGCGGCGCGAGCUUCAAUCUGUCCUCGAAGGUUCGCUCCUCUUUCCCCUUGCGCACGCGCCUCUUCACCCGAACGCGGAAGAUGAAGAACAUGAGUGAGUUGUAGAGGAAGAAGCACCUCGGGUAGGUGAGCUCGCCCUUGAUGUCCCCCUCGAGCUUCCUCCACUCGACGCCCUUCGCAAUCGCGGGCUUCGCCAGGUCGGCAGCCUUGCCCGCGGACUUCACCACCUCCCUGCCCAGGCUCUGGAGCAGCCUGGCGUCCUCGCGCGUGGGCGGCGACACCCGGUCCCACUCCUCGCCGGACACCCUCGAGUGAAGGUACCUGCACAGCCUGCGCCGCCGACGACUCGCCCACGUGUCGAAGGACACCAUGCGUCCGUCAUUGGAUGCGGGCACGUCGUCCGCCCACACCACGAGCGCGUUGGCGAGCGCGCGGGCCGCGAGCGCCGCCGCCCUGUUAGCCUCGGUCUCCACCGGGUUUCCCCUCACAACCUCCGAGAACGCCGCCUCCACCCCGCCGAGCAACUCGCACUGCCUCGUGUACUCCCUGAGCGCCGCGUCGACCGCUGAGCGAUGCGCGCGGAGUGCCGCGGCAGCCGCGGCGACCCCAUCGCUCUCCGCGACCGUCGUCGUGGUCUGCCUGUACUCCGGGGACUCGUUCGGGUCCUCAUCCUCCUCCGACGAUGACGACGGGGCGACGGAAUCUCCAAAGUGGACGGUGUAGUCCAUGAGCCUCUCCAGGUAGUUUGGCUCCAGCGCUCCGUCAGCCGCGCCGCCCUCGAGCUCGUACCCGUGCGCAUCGGCCGCCUCCACGAGGGCCCGCGCGCACGCCGCUACCGCGGCGGCCUUGCUCCAUCCCAGGCGUUUCCCCCGGGUGGAAAAGGUGACUGCCAACACGCCGCCGUCGGCGACGGAGUGCCGGGAAAACACGUCCCAGAGCUGCUGCUCGCGCUGCUUCACCGCGCCGCAGUGGUCCAAGUAGACCAAGUUGAGGGGCGGCGCCUUGGGGUCGCGCUUUCUCAGCACCUCCGCGACGUCCGCGGCGUACGGGGUGCACGGCGACCCGGGUUCGCGGAGCGAGUGCACCACGUGCGUGUGCUGAUUCGGCACGAGCACAGACGUCGCCGGGAAACCCAGCCCCUCGUUCAGCUCCAGAGCCUCACGCUCGAGGUCCGCCUUGGUCGCGCCCGCCCUGUACGCACCGCGAGCGGCGGCAACGCGCUUCGACGCUUUCAUCUUGACGUUGUCCCACCAGUACCUCCAAUUGUUGGCACCCUUCCCUCUCCUUCCGAGCUCCACCGAGCCCCGCAGGUACGGCGCGGCUUGCACCACCUUACCCUCAAACUCCUCGAAAUCCUCCGUCCCUUCCGAGUCGAACGAUAAACUGUCGUCCUCUUCGUCCUCGUCCAGGGAGUCGAAGCUGUCGGACAUGCUGUCGUACACGACACCGUAUGAGUAUUCACCCUCGACGGGUUCGUCGACGGGUGCCAUCGGCGACGUGAGCCACGACAUGAACCGACCCGCGGGCCCCUUCGAACCGUUCGCCUGGUCCGAACCCCCAACCCCAAAGUAGCUGAACGCCAUGGACAACUUCUCCGACGUCUUGGCAUCCGACGCGUCCAGCACGAGCGCCGCGGCGUCCGACGGGGGAAGCCGUCUGUGCGCCGCCGCGCCAACCGCCGCCGCCGCGACGACUCGGUUGGUCAGCUGCUUAUCCGGGUUAACCUUAUUCCUCUCACCCGGCGCGACGUAAUCGUCCGAGCGCCACUGGCAAAGGAACGUCCCCUUGUGAAGACCGUCGAGAUACUCCCUCUCCCGCCGCUCCAUCUCCUUUCGCGCAUCCGCCGCGUAGGCACCCGGCCGCCGCCUCAGACACGACGUCAGCGACGCGAGCGCCGCGCCGACGACGUACCAAACCGCCACCCCCGCCGUGGUCAGCGGCCCGCGCCCCACACCGGGUCCGCCCACGAUGGAUCGCUCCAGGCCCACGAACGCGCCGAACCCGCCGGCGGCGGCGACCGCGGUGAGCCAGACCGCCAGUCCGAGGAUGACGGCGACGACGGGUCGCGACCACGCCGCGCAGGCGUGAGCGGCGGCGGCGUGUCUCGCCUCGCACGCGCUGAACGUCGCCUUCUUGAGCUUGGCGUACGCCAGGUGCUGGGGCCGGCUCUCUUUCAUCGCCUUGAGCCUCCGUUCCCUGUCCGCCACGGUCUUCGCGGUGGCCGGCGCGAGGGUCCGCGGCAGGUUCGCCGCCGUCAUGAUUGUCAAGAAGCGCAGGUUGAGCUCGAAGAAUCCCGCCGUCAGGGCAGCCACCACGGGCGCGACGACGGUGGACACGAGCGCGCCCUCGGCGAGACCGGCGAGCGCCUCCAGCGCCGCAGCGUCGAUCGCCGCCCCCAGGUUUCCAAAGUCCAGCGUGGAGAAAUCGAGGAACAUGACGUGCUUGACGCUCGACCAAACCGCCCACACGACUCCCACGACCGCGACGAGCGCCCAGAGCGAGCGCGCGAUCCUCGGCACGGUGCCGUGCCCCAGGCUCGGGGGCCACCGCAGCCUCUUCGAGCUCGGUCCUUUCCCGUAGAGCGUGUCGCCGUCCGGGGAGGGCUCGUACAUCUCGUCGUCGUCGUCGUCGUCGGGGACGUAGGCGCCCUCCUGCCAUUUGCGCGCAGCACGCGCGCGCUCGUCCUCGUCUAUCCUGAGGUUGUCCAGCUCGUCGCCCCAGGAGUAUCCGACCGGCCGAUCUAUGCGAACCGGCGCGUCCUCGGCGACGGGGCCGUCGUCGGGGUCGACCCAAGGGCUGUACCUCUGCGCCGCCGCGCGCAACCGAAGCGGACGGGAGUCGUCCCGCGGACGCCGUCGGCUCAUUCCCGGGAGCCGGCUCGUCGGAACCGAGGGGACGGCCCUCGCGACGGGAAGCGACGCGCUCGCCCUGGCGCGCGGCCGACGCCCUCGAGAGAGCCACCGGACCGGUGCGAUCAUCGCACCGGUCGCAGUCGCGUGCCACAUCGUCGCGAACAAACCCCGCGCGUACACGCGCGCGCCUCCAAUGCGGACACCACCCGUGCCCUAACACUUAUUCUCACAGUUGCUUUCGCGCCAGUUUGCUUUUGGGAGGGGCGAACCGGCGAGUUUGAGAUGCGAGGAUCCAGAGUUGAGGUCAGCGUGAGUCUGACCGCGAACGGACCAAUCACGUGCCGGUUCGCGACCUGAUGACUUUUCCCGAUUGCGAUGGGCCGAUGAUCGCAAACCAAACCCUGACCGGUCCGAAGAUCCACCCCCUCUGCCUGUUUCAACGCUGCGUCACAGCGAUGGGGGUCUCGAUGGGGUGCGCGCGGGGCGUGGGCGCGGUCCACCGGGUCGGUCCGCGCCUACCGCCGCGGCGGCGGUCGGUCGGCACGAGGGUGUGGACGCCGGUGCCGGUCAUCGCGGUCCGCGUCGGGUGUCACGCGGGGUUGCGCGCGCGCGUGCACCGCGACCGGCGCGGUGCAUCGACCGCGACGUCGGCGACGCCGGAGCUGACGGACGCGCUCGUCACGGAGGCGUCGUCGCCCGGAGCCGCGGCCGAGGCGGCGCGCAUCUUGGCGGCGGCGAUUCUGGAUCAACACAGCGUCUGGUGGGCGUUGGCCUCGCCGCUCUUCGCGCUCUCCGUGGCGCCGUACUUGCUGUUCCUGAAGAACAUCUGGGAGGUGCCGAGCGCGACGGACGAGAUGAGGGCGUCCUUCGCGACCCUGCUCCUGUUCGUGGUGGUUUCCAUCCCGGCCGAGGCGUACACCCAGGAGCAGUAUGGUACGGUGCUAUCCAACAUCGACGCUCUGCACUUCCUCAUCCAGGCGGCAAUCUCCCUCACGAACCUCCGCAUCAUGCUCGCGUUCAGGGACGGGUGCAGACGCGAAAACCAUCUGCCCGAUCCCAACCAGCCGGUUCCGCUGCCUUCCUUCCUUCCCGCACUUCCCAUGGUCACCACGAACGCGGACGACCCAAACGAGGCGACGGCGGACGACGGAGGAUGGGCGUCGCGGGAGCGAUACGGCGCGUUGGCGCGGUCCUUCGACGACGGUCUCGUCGGCUGGGACGGCGAGGGCUUCGGCGCGCGGGACGGCCUCGUCGCUGACAACUGGGGCGGCGACGGGGACGCGGCGGCGGGGGAGACGAUCGGGCUCGGUUCGUCCAUCACGGGAUUAACCAGAACGCUGAGGCCCGGCGCGCUCGUGGAGGCUGCCGCGGGGAUCGCGCUCGUCGGGACGUUCGCGCUCAUGGCGCUGGACUCGAGGUUGGUGGGUUUCGCAUCCGACGGGACCGUGCUCGGCGGCUUGGAUCAGUCGCCGAUCGCCGCGCUCGUGGACGGGUUCAGAAGCGUCUCCGCGGCAGCCGCGAGCGCGCUCGCGCCGGGCUUACCUCCCGGCCCGGCGAACGCGCUUUCGGUGCCCACGUGGGGCGUGCACGUGUUCUCGCUGGUGGAGUGGCUGGUGGCGAUGGGCCUGGUCUGGGAGUACGCGGCGGCCAGCGGCGUGAAGGAGUGGAGGUGGCUGACGUGGGGCAUGCUCCCGCUGCACGCCUCGGGGGUGUGCGCAUGCGUGCAGCACUUCUUCUUCAACGCCGCGGAUCUGGAGUGGCUGGUCACGGCGCAGGGUGCGCUGACGAUGGCGGGCAACGCGGGGAUGUGCGCGGCGGCUGGGAAGCUCGCGAGAAGAUCGAAGAUCGAGAGCGAUGAAGACGUCGGGAAAGAAGGCGGCGGUGCGUCGUCGUUGGCGUCGUCGUUCGAUGGGUGGCUCGCCGAGUCGGGUAUCGUCAUUGACGGGGUCGGCCGGUCAUCGAGGUUGAGCGGCGAGCGUCCGGUGGCGUCGACGGGUGAUUCGGAUGACGCCUCGUUUCCGGAUUGGUACGAGUUUGACGUCGAGGGUUUCGCGACAAUCUGGAGAGACGACGAUGACGCGUCAUUCGCGGCGAAGAUCGCGGCGCUGUCGCUUUUCGUCGCCGCGGGGGUGCGCUGUGCGAGCCUGGCCUCGGGACCCAAUUUCGCGGACGACGGAGACCUCGCGUGGGCGCGGGGUUUAGUCGCGGGCGCGAUGAUGUCGACGCCGCUCGCGCUCAACGUGGCUAAGUGGAAGAGGCGCGGCGGCGCGGCGGCGGAGAUUUCGGGGCCGUUUCCCGAGACGGCGCUCGGUGAAGUGGUCGGGGUCGAUGCGGAAGGGAUGGAGGAGCUCGAACGCGCGAGGUGAUUCCAUGAUCAGGUGACUCGCAGGAAUAUCGAUAUCAUAUCGGCGUGUACGGGUUACAAGUGUAUUAGCCACUUGCAAGAAGCGCGAUGAUUAUGAUGCGUCCGUUCAUCUCAUGUCACAAGGAGAGAUAAUUAUUGUGCUAACUAGGUGAUAGAUUCAAAGUGAAGAGAAAGGUCGUGAACUCCCACGAUCGCGUCGUCGUCGAGAGGACAUCAACGCGUUGAAUUCGUCAUGCUGCUUAAGUGUUUACGCAGAGGCGAUGCCGUACGCGAUGCCGGGGAUGAUGAAGAAGCACAUGCAAAUGUAGGCGAAGGGGAAAAGGGUGCCGUACUGGGGGUGGGCAGUGCAGUGGCCGAGGAACCUGGCAGCCUUGAGGGGAAUCUCACGAACCUUGGGGAUGGGAUACCAGAUGAGGGUACCAAAGAUGUUGAAGAAGAGGUGAGCAAGCGCAACUUGCCAGCCGUUGACGGGGUUGGAGGUGACGACGGAGGCGGACAUGAUGCCGGUGAGGGUGGUGCCGAUGUUGGCGCCGAGGGUGAGGGGAAACAUAUCGUUGAGGGAAAUGAUACCCACGGCCGCGAGGGGGGUGAGGGUGGAGGUGGUGAUGGAGGAGGACUGCACCAUGAUGGUGAUGAAACAGCCGAUGGCGAUGUUGAGGUAGCCGUUGAAGCCAACCACCUUCUGGAGCACGCGUGCGGCGGCGCCCUUCAUGAUGAUCUGGAGCAUGUACACGAUGCAGAAGAGGCACGAGCAGAGCGCGAUGAGGGAGACGAUGGUGAGGAAGGUACCCGCGCCGUUGUCGGUCAUCUCCCAUUCAUCGAGGAGGAGGCCACCCUUGAGGAGGCGCUUCUCGCAGAGGCCCGUCUUGACCUUGGAACCGCAAACCUCGUAGCAGGAACCGGCGGCGAGGGAACCCGCGACGGUGCUGGUCCAGGCAUCCUCAUCGUUGAAGAACUUGGUGGAGGUGGAGCAGGAGGCGGGCUUCGAGUAGUGGAACUCGGCGGGACCGGAGGCGGUGCCGACGAUGUACGCGGGCGCGCGCUUCUUGGCGAGGUAGCCCUUGGACAUCCAGUUGGACUCGUAGUUCUUGUGGACGUUGGAGCAGUCCGUGGUGGAGGUGCAGACCUCUGCGGAGAUCAACUUCAUGGCGUCGGUGGAGUAGCUCUUGCCGCACUGGCCCGCGCACCAGUUCUCGGAAAUGUAUCCGGCAACCUUCUUGUCGUAGUUGGCGACGCCCUUGGAGUACGGGGAGAUGUACGGCUUGAGGAACUCAGUCUUCUUGCACUUGUCACCCUCGCAGGGCUUCUGGUCCUUGGCCAUUUCGUAGGUCAUCUUCUCGAGGAAGGGGUAGAUCCAGUUGAGGGGGAGGAAGAUGAGGACGUUGAGCAUAUUGAAAAUGUCGUGCACGGUGGCGGCGGCGAAGCCGCGGCGGAGGUCAUCCUGGUUCGCGAAGUGGCCCAUGGCGACGAUGGUGUUGGUGACGGAAGUACCGAUGUUGGCACCCAUGAUCAUGAAGAUGGCGAUGUUGACGGAGAGCUCAUCGGCACCAACCAUGGAGACA